rnacentral:lncRNA from 1 species
GUAAAUCAAUUACUAGGAAUGUAUCCUCACAUUAGGACGUGAAAGCCGUCAUUGUUUAACAUAGGGAGGGGAAAAAAAGGAAGAAAGAAAAGAACAGGUUUCCGAGUAAUUCUUAAAUAAUUUUAAUUUCAAUUUACAAAUAUAUCAUUUAUUUUAUUUUAUUUUUGGAGCACUGACUUGGAGCCUUCUGAAAUUGUAUCUAUCAAAAUUCGUUUUUGAUAUCUACCAGCUUAACUUCUAUUUCUAUUUACUCUCUUGUGCAGAUGGGCAUUGAUUGCUGGUAGGCUUCCGGGAAGAACUUCAAACGAUGUAAAGAAUUACUGGAACACCCACCUCAGCAAGAAGUUCUUUGGUAAAGCGGUUAAAGAUGUAGCUGACAAGACAGCCAAAGUCACCGUUAUCAAGCCUCGUCCUCGGACCUUCAAUAAGAACCUAUCUUAUUUAAAAGGAAAAGCAGCAAAAGAAAGUGAUGUCCAAUCAGCAGAUCAUACUCUUAGCAAACCAUAUUCAACGCCACCUCUGUCAGAGGAUGGAAUUUCAUGGUUGGACAGCUUAUUUUCUGGCAAGGAAGGCCAUAAAGAAAGCACAUGUUUCAGAAAUGGAUCAGGGAAGGAAUCCAUUUCAAGCUUCUGGGAUGAGGAAAUUUCAGCAGCUACGAAAGUAGGGGAGACUUUUGUUGAAGAGAACGAAAGUGACUGGAACCACUUCUCUUUCGAUAUGGACCUUUGGGAUCUUUUAAACGCGUGAUAGGAAACCAUAAUACAGUCAUGUCUUCAAGGUUAUCAAUGCUUUUUCCUUUCGCUAACUAAGAUAUGGCUGCAUGUCCAAUCAUAAAUUCGGAAAGAAUCUUAUCUAAAUUGCUUCAAUGUCGCCCUCUCCACGUUUCCAACCAAUUUCUAGUCAUUUAAUUUUUCAUGUGACUCAGGUCAGCACCAAAAACUUGUGGAUUUAAAUAAGUAUUAUGGUGAUCUGCUUUGUUAAUUAAUGUGAUGUUGCUGGUGUGCCUCCUUUUUAGGAAUUAAUUCCGUAUCUUUUAGAAAUAAAUAUUUAUUAUGAGCCGGUAUUAUAUUAUAUGUCAUGACACACAUCUUCAACUUUGCAACUCCAGGAUACUAGUAAGUUUUAUUGAUAAAACAUUAUUUUUUUCUUUUUUCUUUUUUUAUUAACUUGGAGCUAUGACGAUUGCAAAAAAACCUCCCAUGUUUCGAUAAGGAGUGAGUCUAUCUCCCUGUGCUUGUAUGAAAUAUGGGUAAUAUGGGUGUGACAAAGCAAUUUAAUAGGCAAUAAUACGAGUCUAGUCAUAUUUGGGAAGCUAGUCAACUUCCCCAAAUAUUAUACUUCCUCUAGGCGCAACCUGAUGUGUUUGGGUGAAGACUCUUGUAUCUUUCUUCCUUGUGUGGUUGUGCUUGUGCUUGUGCUUGUGUGCAGACCUUUUAUGCAGUGAGUCCUUUCACUACUACAAAAAUAGAAAAUCAUGAUGAUUUAAUUCUUGGGACUUUUAGAAAGUAUCAUUGUAUUCUUAUAAAAAGCGUCAAUGUUUGUUGUGGUUUUUUUUUUUAAUUCUAUGGCACUUAUCAGAAGUGUCAUUGUUUGAUGUGGCUUUUAUAAGUGGAACUAGGUAUACUAGGGCACUUUAUGACAGCGUCACAGUUGUGGUAUUUUACAAAGGUGCUUUUAUAUAUAUAUAUAUAUGUUCCAAAUAUAUAUACUAAAACAUUUGUCCCCUCUCUAUGAGCACUUGCCAAACAUUCCCUCCUCCGUUUUAGAACUCAACAUACCCCAAAACCUUGGAGCUUACCACUAAGAUCAACUAGUGAACAGUGACUGAAUGAUGAGUUGUCAAAAACCUACCAUUUAGCCAUUAUCACAUAUCCCCUUUUCCAUUUUCCUAAACCUCGAAUUUGCCAAUCGAAGUUGACCCUAUUUUGAACAGUUACCAAGUUUCCCCAUAAGCAUCAAUGCUCACCCCAGAUUGGAGCAUUUUAAGGAGAAACCAAUUGGUAUUUGUUAAUCAUAGGUAACCCAUGUGGUGAGAAACCCUUGCUUCAUCCAUUAUUAAGCUACCUUAGUGCUUUUCUCCAUUGGUCAUGUUGUUUCUGAAGAAGACCAGAUAUUGCAUGUACUUGCUGGAUUAAGCCCUGAAUACGAUUCAUUUUUUAUUUCUAUCACCACAAGAAUUGAACCUUCUAAGUUUGAGGACAUUCCUUCUCUGCUAAUGACACAUGAAACUAGACUAGAACAACAUGUUCAUAGAUCGAUUGAAAUCAAUUCUCUGGAUAUUAGCAUAGCCACGUCUAAUCCUAGUAGAACAACCCAUUUUGGACUUGGUAGAAGAUCUUCUCCAACUACAAUGCUUCAGGGAAGUCCCCAAUAGACAUAGUUUACCCCCAAUACAGGAGGAAGAUGAUCAAACCUUCCACCACAAUGUGGAAGAGGACGAAGCCAUGGCAGGAAUCAUGCAAACUCAAAACCACAAUGCCAAAUAUUUUACAAAAUAGGCCACACUGUUGCUCAGUGCUUCUACAGGUUUGAUCAAGAAUUUCAAGCCUCAACUUACACUACCAACAUCAAUCCAUGACUGCCAUGCUAGCCACUCCUGAGGUGGUAAGCGACCUUGGUUGGUUUCCAGGCUCCAGAGCUAUAAACCAUUGCACACCAACAGUUGGGCAACCCAACAAACAAAUCUACCUAUGAUGGUCCUGAUCAAGUCUACAUGGGUAAUGGAGAAGCUGAGUCAAUCUCUCACAUAGGAGAAGGUUUAAAACCCAAAAGUAAGUAUAUGAUUCAUGCAAAUGGUAAUUGAACUAUUGACUAUCCUAAAAUAUCAAAGAUAACCUUAAUGGAUAAGAAAUAACUUUCAAAGAAAAACAUAUCUACAAGAUAAAUAAAAAAUAAAAUGAAAAAUCCUAAAAUUCUCAAAUUCAAUAUGAUCAAUUAUGACUCGAAAAAUCACUAUUGCUAUGUUUCCUCUUGUAACUAGUAGUCAAUGAUGAUAAUCAACAUUGUUCAGACAUCCUUUACAAUUAGUAGUGCACUACCAAAAUCUACAUUGUCAAUUGCAUUAAAGCUUUUCCUAAGAGGAAAAUAGCAUGUAUCAUAUAAAACUCAAAAUAUAUAACUAAUAAAACCAAUCCAAAGUACAAAAUAUCGAUACAUGGAUAUAAUUAAAGAAAUGGUGCAAAACAAUGAUGCCAUUAUUCCAAGGUAUUAACUAUAUAUAAAUAUAUACAUAUCAAUGGGCUUCCCUUCACAGGUGUCUGAAAAACUAACCAUCCGACCUCCUAAUUAAAGUUGAAAUGGACUUCACUUCUGAGGAUGACAUCUCAGUGCUUUUAUAGGAGCAAAGAGAAAGCAAUGUUCCUAAGAAUCUGACUCAUGAAUUCAAGAACAAUGGUCCCCCCAGUUCUGGAAUUGAAUAGUACAUAUAUAUGCUUACCAUAACUUAACAGCAAUUACUAAGUUGAGCUUUAAGCAAUUAUAUUCAUCCACCUCCAAUAAUUCUACUUAUGGAACUUGGGGAAAUAACUUUGCUUGCAGUGCAGAGAAUCAUUUACAGAGUAGCGAGAGAGACUAUGGCAAGGGUUAGGAAGUCAGAAAUAACUUUGCUUGCAGUGCGAAGAAUCAUUUACAGAGUAGCGAGAGGGACUAUGGUAUGGCUUGGGAUGACUUCAUAUAUAAUUAUUCUCUCUCUCUCUCUCUCCUCUCUCUCAACUAAUAUGGAUGAAGAGCGUAUUUGGGAGUAGUUAUAAAAUUAAAGGGCUUUUAUUUGUAAUGUUUUUAUUAAUAACCAUUCCAUUUAAAACUUUGUGAGAAUCCUUUUUUUUAUUUUAAUAUAUGUAAAAAAAUAUUUUGAUAAUAUUUUUAUAAUGUAUUAUAUAAGGAAAAUUGAUUUUCUUUUUUUUUUGAAAAAUCACCGAUCAAGUUAAAUAAUUGCUUUCUCUAAAUUUUUAAAAGUAAACUUUAAAGAUUUACCAUAUGUCCAAUUUUUAUAAGAAAGUGAUUUUCAAAUGGGUUACAACAUUGCUUUGAUGAAUUAAUAGCAACUUCACUUAAAUAAUAAAAUCUUUUGAUAGCAUGUUAAGUUAGUGUAUUAAAUUAACAAUCUCCUUAAAUACAUAAAAUAUAAUAUACAAUAUUUUUAAUAUUCUUAGAAGUUCAAGGAAAUAUAAAUUGAUUAUCAAUGAAGGAAAUUAAAAAUGUAUUAUAUAGUAAACAAAAAUUAAUAAUGUAAUAAAUAAAACUUCGUAAUAUAAUAUAAUAUUGAGUAACUUUUUAUAACUUCUAUUUGUAUCGAUUCAAUCUUUUUUAAAAUCAUUAUAUAUUUGAUUUGAUUUGAUUUUUAUCUUUUAGAGCAUUAAGGUUUGAUACUGGCCGAGUUCCUUCAUUUUUAAAAGUCUUUUUAUCUUUUAUAAUUAAUAACCAUAUUUUAUUUUUUUAGAGUUUCUUAAGUUUUUAUCACAUCCAUAGUCUUUAAAUUUAUAAAUUACACAUGGACAAGUACCCAGUACAGAACGUACAUAAUACUUUUUACAAAUGAUUAAAUAUUCAAUUAGUGAUAAAUUAAUAAAUGUGUAAGGAUUUUGUUAUAAUCCUAUUAACAUAAUAAUGCCUCUUGUUUCCAAAAAUAUUAUUUUAUAAGGGUUUCAUUAGAGGAUCAUAUAGGUUCACGGACGAUGAGUCUUAGCUUAGCUUUGUUUAUUAUUUUAAAAUUACAUCUAGUUGCCUUUAUAAAACUAUAUUGGUACGUAGUAUUGAGGUGUUUAAUGAUUUAUGCAGAAUUUGGAGGUGUUUAAUGUUUCAGGCAGGGUAUUGAUUUUCUGUAUCGGUAUCAAUAGUUAUUUUAUAUACAUUUGUAAUUAUGUAAUGAAAUUAACUUUUUUAUGCAAAGAGAGAGAGAGAGAGAGAGAGCAUAAUUGUGAAAAAGGGAAUAGUAGUUGAGCUGAUUUGUACAUGGUCUUCUAAAUUCGCUAGGCCUUUUUUGUGGGGCCAACUAGUUGCCACUUGACGUUUAGACCAUUAUAGAGCUUUGCAGUUUCUAUGGAGCACAUCACUCAGAGAGAGAGAGAGAGAGAGAGCAUAAUUGUGAAAAAGGGAAUAGUGGUUGUUGAGCUGAUUUGUACAUAGUCUUCUAAAUUCGCUAGGCCUUUUUAGUGGGGCCAAUUAGUUGCCACUUGACGUUUAGACCAUUAUAGAGCUUUGCAGUUUCUAUGGAGCACAUCACUCCAACGGUUGCAAUACCUGAAGUAAACCACAAACUGCAGGAGAGGUUAGCUUGAUAAAGGGGCAUAUAUUAGUGAAGCAGAUAUUGCUCAGCAGUCAAUGCGAUGAUUUCUUCCAAUCAAUAAACCAAACCUGUCACUUUGUCCAAUCAGCGCUCCAAAUGGUCCCCAAACAGUGACAAAUCCUUCCCUGUCUCUCUCAAAAUGAGCCCACCUCUAGCUGUAAUGCUGUGAGUCGCACAUUUUGUUAUCAUUUCGUACAACGUGGUUAAUGGAUUGAUUGAUUGGAGGGCCGCUGUAUUUUGUCAUCUUAUGAACAAUAUCUUAUAUGAAUAUUUAACGUAGUACUUGCUUUGGAAGUUCAUCUUUCAGAAAGCAUCUUGCCCUUUUGUGGUGAUACUAGUUUUGGAAUUGGACGUUAACGUUUUGUUAUCAUUUCAACGACUCGUUGCAUGACUAAUAUUAAAUAAUAACAAUAACAGUAAAUAAUAUUAAGAAUACUAAUAUAUAUAUAUAUAUAUAUAUAUAUAUAAAAUACAUAUCUCAUGAUUACAUUAAAAAAUAAUAAAAUGUUCAAAUAACAACCACUAUAAAAAAACAUGAAAAAAUGGAAAAAAAAAAAACAAAAAUAUUAUAUUUUUUGUUUUUAUCCUUUUAACUCACCAUGAACCUUUUACCCAUUUACAAAGCUACCUCUCAUGCAUUGUAACUUACUUUUGAGACAAGGAACAACCAAUCAAUAAGGAGUUUGAUUGUUCGAGUAUGACUUCAUGAGGUCAUUCCCUAUUUCAUUCAACUACACCUAUAUCUUGCUUAUAGUCAAUUAUGUAUCAAAAUAGGUGGAUAUUAUUCUUUGCUACAUAAAUGAUCAUGGAGUGGUGCUACAAUUCUUAAAAAAGAACAUUUUCUCCAAAUUUGCAAUUCUAAGAGCAAUGAUCAAUGAUGGAGGAAGUCACUUCUAAAGCAAGCCAUUUUUCAUACUCUUACAAAGAUAUGGAGUCAAGCACAACGUUGCUAAACCCUAUCAUACUCAAAUUAGUGAUAAGGUAAAACUUGCUAACAGAGAGAUUAAGGGAAUUUUGAUGGACAUAAAUUUUAGCCGCAAGGAUUGGUCCUUCAAGCUAAAUGAUGUACUUUGGACAUACAAAAUAACUCACAAGACCAACCUUGGAUGUCUUCCCAUCGAGCCAUCUAUGGGAAGCCAUGCCACCUACUUGUGGAGAUUGAACAUAAGGCCUAUUAGGGCAUUAAAAAGUUGAAUUUUGAUUGGGAAAGAGUUGGAGGCAAUAAAAGGCUAAAACUGAAUGAGUUAAAAGCUCUAUGAAAUAAGGCUUAUGAAUUCAACAAAAGAGUUGAAUAAAAAUCUAAAUACCUCCAUGACAAGAUCAUACUUAUAAAAGAGUUCAAGGAGGGGCAAAGAGUGCCACUAUGACUCAAAAUUUCCUUUGUUCCCAAACAAGUUAAGGACUAGGUGGACUAGUUCGUAUAAGGUUAAGCAAGUUCAUCCAUGUGGAGUCAUCACUAUCAUUAAUCUAAGGUCUAGGAAUGAUUUUAAGGUGAAUGGGUAGAUACUGAAGGAGUUUAUGUAGAGGUUUUUACAGUGAUAUCACCUUUCUAGAGUACUUGUGAUCUUCAUCACAAGUUUGGUGAAUUUUCUUUUCUUUUUACUAACUCUUUUUAUUUGUUUAUUUUUUCUUUGUUCAUAUUUUAGUAUACCUUUUAUUUAGUUUUUAAUUACCUUAAUUUUUUUUCUUAGAAUUGUUUUUCUUUUGUUUUCUUUUGUUUUCUCUGUUUUUAAUUCACAAAUUGCUAGUUGUGCAUUCCAUAUUGAAUACGAGAAACCAGAGGAAGCCAUGAACUUCAUGAGUUAUGUGGCUGAAGUUUCAAGAGGAUGGGAUAAACCAAAUGCUAGAGAUAUGGGAAGAAUGAAGUCUCAACCUAAUGCUAAGGGUGAGAUGUAUAUUUUGAAUGAUGACAUGGACAUGAAGGCAAAGAUUGCAGCUAUGGCAAGGAGAUUGGAAGAGCUAGAAAUGAUGAAGAUGCAAGAAGUGCAAGCCAUCUCUCAAACACCAUUGCAAGCUAUGCCUUGUGCUAUUUGUCUAUCUUAUGAGCACUUGGUGGAAGAGUGUCCUACCAUUCCAACGGUGAGAGAAAUGUUUGGUGAUUGCAACACUUACAAUUCCAAUUGGAGGGACCAUCCAAAAUUCUCUUGGAAACCACAGCCACCUCAGUACAAGCAACCUGCUCAAGCACCAUAGCAAGCCUCAAACCUUGAUCAAGCUAUGGUGAAUCUUAGUAAGGUCGUGGGAGACUUAGUUGGAGCUCAAAAAUCCAUCAAUGCUCAGCUCAGUCAAAGAAUUGAUAGUGUGGAGAGUUCAUUGAACAAAAAGAUGGAUGGAGUGCAACAUGAUCUAUCUCAGAAGAUAGAUAAUCUCCAAUAUUCAUUCUCAAGGUUUGCCAACCUCAACAAAGUGCAAGAAAAAUGAAACUUUCCUUCUCAACCUCAUCAAAAUUCCAAGGGUAUCCAUCAAGUGGAGGCUCAAAAGGGAGAAUCUUCAAUGGUGAAGGAAGUUAAAACGGUUAUCACUUUGAGGAGUGAUAAAGAGGUUGAUCUGCCCACAUCCAAGCUAGAGCAUAAGGUAGAGAGUGAAACAGAGAAAGAAAAGAGGGAGGAAAUCAAAGGAAAGAAAAAAGGGAAAAGUACAGAGAAAGAUGGCUAUGAUGUUAAUGUAGAUGAUGGCUAUGAUGUUAAUGUAGAUGAAGAUCCACAGAAGAUAGUCAUCAAGGAAGAAAUGAUGAAGAAUCACAUGCCUCCACCUUUCCCCCAAGCUUUGUAUAGCAAAAUCACACAAAACAAGCCUCAAGUGAGGGAUGCAAACUUCAUAUGGGAUCCGGGCAAGCUAAAUCAGGAUCAAAUUUUUUGAUGGACUUAGUCUUUUUAAAGACUAGCUAGUCCAUAUCUUUUUGUUUUAUUUUAUUACUUGUUUUAAUUUUGAUUUCAAUGCUUUAAUUUUGAUUUUAAUGCUUUAAUUUUAAUUUGUUUUGAUGUAAUAUAGGUUUUUGAAUGAUCAAAAUCAAGAGGAAUGUCAAAAGAGGUGAAAGAAGAAAAUUGGGAAUCAAGAGGAGCUCAAAAGCAAGGAGAGAGCAUGGCCUGCGAAAUUUCGCAGCAAAAGUGAGCCGCUGCAAAAAUCACCUCUCACUGCGAAAUGGUUUCACAGCCGUCCAUCAUUCUCUGCGAAAAUUUUUGCAGCUGCGAAGAGGUCCCUUGGCACACGAGUGCCAUUUCGCAGCCAAGUACACCCGUUUCGCAGCUGCGAAAUGGCUGUGAAUUUUCCAUGCUUGGAGAUCCACCAUUUCGCAGCCGAGGAGCCAUUUCGAAGGGUGUUUCGCAGCUGCGAAACCACCCUUUGGCACAUGAGUACCAUUUCACAGCCCCGUACACUCAUUUCAUAGCUGCGAAAUGGUUGCGAAAUCUCCACACCUUAAAAUCCUUCAACGAGCACACCAUGAGCUGACAUGUUGCAGCCACACCCCCAUUGGACACAUUUCGAUCACUUCCUGAAGUUCAUUUCAUUCAUACCAUAUGUUGUUUCAAAUCUUGGGAAGCCAGGAGUCCAGAUCUUCAAACGGUGCUCAAUUUGGAGUUGAAACGAAGAAGUUAUGGCCAUUUGAAGACGAGCGCGCAAACCAUGAAAGGAAAUGUUGCAGCCGCACUCACAUUGGACACAUUUUGGAGUAAUUCAUGGAGCUCAAAUUAUGCAUACUAUAUCUCGUUUCAAAGCUCGAGAAGUCGAGAGUCCAUCAUUUCAAACGGUGUAUGAUUUGGAGUUGAAACGAAGAAGUUAUGGCCGUUUGAAGAUGACUGUGCAAACAAUGAGCUGAAAUGUCACAGCCAUACCCCCAUUUAGCUACUGUUGGACACAUUUUUGAAGCACUUCCUUGAGCUCAAAUUAUGUAUACUAUAUCUUGUUUCGAAGCUCGGGAAUUCAAAAGUCCAAUGCUUCAAACGGUACAUGAUUUGGAUUUGAAACGAAGAAGUUAUGGCCGUUUGAAGACGAUCGCGGAAAGCACCAGUGGGAAUUUCGCAGCCGCGCCCCCAUUUCGAAGGGUGUUUCGCAGCUACAAAACCACCCUUUGGCACACAACUGCCACUUCGCAGCAUCGUAGGCCCAUUUCGCAGCUACGAAAUGGGCUGCGAAAAUUCCCCUCCUCCGCGAAAUCCACCCCCCGCUGCAAAAAUGCUCCAAGCUUCAAAAUGGCUACGAUAAUGCUCCAGGCAUCAAAAUGGGCUGCAAAAUUCCCAUUUGGCUGCAAAAUGUUUUUGCAGCCCCAUAGCUACCUCAUGUGAAAUGACCUCCAAGCUUCAAAAUGGCUGUGAAAUGAUUUCCAAACUUUAAAAUGGGCUGCGAAAAUGUUUCUAUUUUUUCCAUGGGUUGCGAAAAUGUUUUUCUUUUUUCCCUUUGGCUGCAAAAUGAUCUCCAAGCUACGAAAUGAUUUGCAAAACACUUUGUGAAGCCAAGGGAACUUACGAAAUUUCCAACAGAGCCUUUCAACCAUGCAUCUAAAGAGGAGAGCCCUCUCACUGAGAUCACACACAUGAAGUCUCUCAUUCCAUUUCUUACCUCCUUAAACCAUCAAAGCCCAUAGCUCCAACCUAGAGCUCCAGUUGAGGAGACUAUGCCACUUAAGGAGACUACCAAAACAGAGGUCAAAGUCCUGAUCCAACCCAUUCAGGAGGCCACCACAGAGGCAUCAGCUCCACAGGACCCUACCAUUACUUGAUCAUCUCUUUACUUUUGUCUUUACAUAUUAUAUUAGUAUAAAUAAUUCCAUGUUUUGAUGUUUUAUAUUCUAGGAUUGGAUGUAUUACUGAUGAUACAUCAUAUAUAGACAUCAUUUUUGUUUAAACUUGGCAUUUUUCUAUUUCCUCUACUCAUUAACUCUUAUGUUUUCUUUGAAACAUGUGGUUUCUCCUAUACGACUCAGACUCCAUGUCACUCAGGAGGUACCACUUCCUCCCUAUUUUUCAAUCGUUUUUGUCACAUUGAGGACAAUGUUCAGCUCGGUUGGGGGGAAAGUUGAGGAAGGAAGUUUUGUUAUUAAUGCUAAGUUAUUUUGAUAAUUUAGUUAUUUUUUUGCUUAAUUUUUUAAAAUUUUUAAAGUUUUAAUUCUACUCUCCAUGGUUAUUAAGGAAAAAUUUUCAAAAUGAAAUGGGAGAAAUUGAAUUUUUAUCUUUUUACUUGACUUAGAGUUUGUAUUAUGCUUACUAAAGUUGAUGAAUUGGUGAAACUUCUAGUGAGUUCAACCUUAGUUCUUCCACUUUAAGCUAUUCACACACUGUGCACAAUAGGUUCCGAUUAUAAGAUGAGAAACUAUUUCCUUCUUGACUUAGGAAAAUUUAGACUUGGUACCUUUGACCUCAUUUAAUAGUGUUGGGACACCUUAUAAAAGGCCAAUGAGUCUUUGAAAAAAAAAAAAAAUGUUUGCUUGCCUUGAAACUCGAGCAAGGUCUAAGGGGUAUAUGGUGAAAAUCUUUAAAAUCUGGUGCCCUAAGCCUUAUUGGGAGUCAUCGACCUCAAUGCUCGUUACAAGGGUGAAUAGGUGGAGUUUAACAUACUGUAGGUGCUUGGGUAUUAAAAUUUCAUUCUCAAAAGUCCGGGGUAAAAUCCAAGGAGUUAGUGGUUGAAAGAUCCUUAAAGCUUAAUGCCCUAAACCUUAAUAGGUUGGGAGUCAUCGAUGGACCCCCGUUACAUGGACAAUUUAGAAAAGAAUACCUUUAGCCUUGUACUCUUACAAUGAAAAAAAAUUGUGAGAAAAGAGUUGCGGUCUUAACCUAUUGGAGGUUGAUCAGUUUGUUAAGCUUUGAAAAAGAAAUAGGUUGGGGGGAGGGAUUAGUUCAACAUACUAUAUUCGGAAGCUAAUAAAUAACACUUAGAUUUUUGUGGAAGAGUAAGGAUUGACCCUUUGGGAGUGGAAACUCUUUUAAAGCUUAAAUUUGCAUAAUGCCUUCUCUUUAAGAAUUGUCAUUAGACAAGUUAUUUGAUAACUCUUGUUGAAGUUUGAGUUUUAUUUCUUUAAUGUUCCAUGUGAGAGUUAUAUCAUCAUGUCACUUGAAAAUUGUUUUUUGAUCAGCAUGAUGUUGUAAAUUAUAGUAUUGUUUAUUUUUAUUUUUCUCUCAUUCAUUGCUAAGGGACUAGCAAUAUGUCGGUUGGGGGGAGUUGAUAACCCGACUCUUGGUAGCUUGGCAUGUAAGGGUAUCAACAAAAUUUAUACCUAACGUCCUUACACUAAAGUAGCAAAGCUACUAUAGCAUAGUGGCUCUAGGAUCGAACACUGGGAAGGGUUUUUACUUUAACUGGUGAAGUUCGGAGGAUGGAGUGAACUUUUCUUAAUAAAAAUUAGGUUAAGAUGAAAACAUAUAAAGAUGAAGGUGUUGUACUAAACUAACAUGAAAAUAGGUUAAAAGAUGGAAAAAGAAGUUUCUCAAAGCUUUGGAUAGCCAUGCUUAACUCACUGUGUAAAAAUGGAGAUUUUGGAACUUUUCACCUCGAGUUGGGGAAGCAACUAAGGUGAUGCUUACUUCCCGAACCGGUAUGUGUUUAACAACUGAGUUUUAGUCCUUCAAAACUUACAAAAAGGGUAGCUGAACCUCAUAAAUGCUCUUUUAAUGAUAUAGGUCAUCUCCUCGACUUGCAAUACAAUGGCUCGUAGGAGAUAACUAAUGAACGUCAGUGGAUCUAACAAUAAGAAUCCACUGAGACCAAAAGGUUAUCAAGUAUUGGCCAUUCAAAGCAAGUCAGAGGGAUUAAAAGCUUUACUUUGAAUGAAAACAUUUAUGAUGCUCAACUACUUACAUUUAUGGCUUGGAAAUCUCCAUCCUGACACGGGAGCUUCACAUGGCAUCCAUUACUUCAAGAAACUAAAAGGUUUUAGCCUCUCAUCCUUGGGGAUUUCAUCCUCCAAGGAUGUUUGGCUACUAAGAAAAUAGAAAAUAGUAGAGAGAAAAAGAAAGCAAAAGAUAUUAUGUAUUUAGCUAAGUGUAAAAUUUUACAAAAGAUGGUCUCCUGGGGAAAGUUCCCCGACGUUUUAAAGUGAAAAUUACAAAACAAUACAUAUCAGGUUGUUUACCCCUGCAUCCUUGCUCAACAACUAAGGAAUCAUCUAAUUGGUGGAUUACAAGGAGAGAAUUGGCAUUUAGACAACAAAUAUCUCAGGCAAAAUAACAAAAAAACGAUGGUCGCAAAUAUCUGGAAGCACUCGGGAGAAUUUCGCAGGCGCACAAAAUGGCUGCGAAAUUUCGCAGAUGAACAAGAUGGCUGCGAAAUCAUUUCGCAGCCGAAGGCUGAUUUCGCAGCCAAAGGCUGAUUUCGCAGCCCUGCGAAAUUGGCCUUCAGCUUGGAGUGAUCUGCUUCCAUUGGCUCUAACUUCUUCAUUUCAACUCCGAUUUGCGAACCGUUUGAAGCAUUGGAUUGUUGACUUCCCGAUCUUCGAAACGACAUAAGGUAUGCAUAAAUUGGACUUCAGGAAGUACUCCAAAAGUGGCUGAAAUGACUGUCAUCAAGAAUGCUUCAAGGUGGAUUCUCUCUUUACUUCUCCUCCUUGCAAUCCGGAUUGGUUAUGGCAAAGGACUUUAAGGCUUCAAAUCUCUGAUUCUUCAUGUUCCUGAGCUUUCUAUUGCUUUACCAUGGAUUCCAAAUAACUCUCCUCCAUCUUGGAUUGCUUUGNNNNNNNNNNNNNNNNNNNNNNNNNNNNNNNNNNNNNNNNNNNNNNNNNNNNNNNNNNNNNNNNNNNNNNNNNNNNNNNNNNNNNNNNNNNNNNNNNNNNGAGUAGGGAAAAACUUUCUUCAAAAAUCAGCUUGAAGUUCUGUCCAUGUUCUUAUGCUUCUCGGCCUCAAGGGAAUUGAGCCAUAUCUUGGCUUUGUCCUUUAAUGUGAAUGGAAAGAGCUUCAACCUCAUAAGCUCAAUAGCUGUUCCCCCUUCUUGAAAAGUAUUGCACACAUCUUCGAAUUCCUUUAUGUGUGCAUAUGGAUUUUCACUUUCCAUCCCAUGGAAAGUAGGAAGCAGAGGCACGAUGUGUGGCCUAAUAAUCAAUUGCUCUGUAGGAGGAAUGAUGCAAGAUGGUGCACUCAUCCUCGGAGGGUGCAUCCUGUCCCUCAUGGACCUAUACAAGUUCGGAUCAUUCCCCUGCCCGUGUUGUGAAUGUUGAUCCUCUGGCUGAUUCUCCAUGACUUCUAAAAUAAUCUCCAAUUCAAUAGCUCGUGGAGUCUCUAUCCGCACUAACCUUCCCUUUUGGUCUCUAAUCCAAUAGGGCAUGCACGGAUUCAGCUGGAACAAAGUAAACAAACAAAACAAAGAGAAAGAAGAAAAAAACAGAGCACGCGGAAGGAAAAACAGAGUAUGAAAAAUAAACUAAAAAUGAAAGUUAAAAGCUAAAAGAAACUUAUCUAAACUAAGUUAAAAAUGUUCUAAAACUAAAAUAAAAGGUUAAUAAAUGAAAAAUGAGAUAGAAUUCACCUUACUCAUGAGAAGUCUCACAAGUUACCUCCGGCUGAUAUAUUCAUAGUGAAGUAGCACCUUCCCCGGCAACGGCGCCAUUUGAUAACCCGACUCUUGGUAGCUUGGCAUGUAAGGGUAUCAACAAAAUUUAUACCUAACGUCCUUACACUAAAGUAGCAAAGCUACUAUAGCAUAGUGGCUCUAGGAUCGAACACUGGGAAGGGUUUUUACUUUAACUGGUGAAGUUCGGAGGAUGGAGUGAACUUUUCUUAAUAAAAAUUAGGUUAAGAUGAAAACAUAUAAAGAUGAAGGUGUUGUACUAAACUAACAUGAAAAUAGGUUAAAAGAUGGAAAAAGAAGUUUCUCAAAGCUUUGGAUAGCCAUGCUUAACUCACUGUGUAAAAAUGGAGAUUUUGGAACUUUUCACCUCGAGUNNNNNNNNNNNNNNNNNNNNNNNNNNNNNNNNNNNNNNNNNNNNNNNNNNNNNNNNNNNNNNNNNNNNNNNNNNNNNNNNNNNNNNNNNNNNNNNNNNNNAGUGGCAUGACCGAUAUCAAAACACAUCUCACAUGGUGAACUAAAGAUAUGAAGAUUCAAAAUGCAAUAGGAGUUGUCAAAGCUAAAAACUUAAACAAAAAGUACAAAGAGUGGAGAUUAUGCAAUUAAGUGUCAAAAGAAUCUCUACUCUCAAGGCUCCAAAUCAAACUCUUCCAUAAUGAGCUAAGUGUUAACGAGAUUAGGCUCCGGAUAUAGUAUAUACAACUAUCCUCACCCUCCGACCUAAGCUUUUCUCGAACAAAGGCAAAAUUAACCAACUCUUAAUAGGUUAGGAACGCACCUUCUUAUUCACAAUUCUUUUUACUCACUAAACUUUAACCAAUUCACCUAUGUAGCAAGCAGAGGAUCGAUGACUCCCAACCAAUCAAGGUUUAGGGCAUCGGGUUUUAAAGGCUUUCGCCACCCCUUCGGAUCAUGCUUAGGUUUCAAGGAAAGAAUAGAAGCUUAUUCUUUUUUUCUUUUUCUUUUUCUCUUUUCUAUUUCUUUUUCUCUUUUUCUUUUUCUUUUUCUCUUUUUCUUUUUCUAAGACUCAUUGGCCUUUUUGAGGUGUCCCAACACUAUUAAAAAGAGGUUAAGUAAUGAACCAAGUCAAAAUUUUCCUAAGCUUAGAAGGCGAGAAGUUUUACAUCAUAUACCCGGGAUCUAAUGUGCACUGUGUGUGUAAAGCUUGAAAUGGAAGAAAUAAGUUCGAAAACAAAGAGAGUUUUAAUAGAUUAUCAACUUUGAGAGCAUAAAACAAACUCAAAGACUUAAAUAAUUAAGUUAAAACUCGACUUAUCCUAUUUUAUUUUUGAGAAAUUAUCUUUAACAACCAUAGAGAAAAAUUUUUAAAAUUAAACAAAAGUAACCUAAAUUACCAAAAAAUUUAGUAUUAACAAAAAUAAUAAUAAAAAAAAAAACUUCCUUCCUCAACUGUCUCCCCCCAACCAAGCUGAGCAUUGUCCUCAAUGUGGUAUGAGCGAUUGAAAUUACAGGGAGGGAGUGGUGCCUCCUGAGUGGAUGUAAUUUGAGUAGACAAGGAGAAACCACAUGUUUCAAAAAGAAAAUAGAUAUGAGUAGAGGAAUAAAAAUAAAAUAAUACCAAGAGUAUGCAAAAAAAUGAUAGAGUUGUAUUACUUCAUGAAAGUACAUUAAAGAUGAUAACAAGUAAUACAACCAAUCCCAAAAUAUAUCAUAACAAAAGCAUGGGAUUGCAAGUGCUACUAUAAUAAGAAAGUGCAUAAAGAAAAUACAUAAAGUAAACUAUGGAAAUGAUCAAGUAGAUGGGUGCUGAUGAUGUGAAGAUAAUGACUCAGGUGGAUGUCUGUGUGUCUCCUGGAGUCGGCUCUGUGGGCUCUAAGGGGGCAGGCAUCUGGUGCUGAGGAGCUGAUGGGAUACCCAGAUGGCUCUGAAUCUGCCUCAGAAUGGCAGUAUGCUGAGUCUGAGUAGCAAUAAUUUGCUCCUGAUGAGCACGAAGAGCUGCCAUCUCCUGAGUAAGAGUGCUCUGUGAAGUGGUCAAUGUCUGCAAAGUGUGACAUAGAGCUCUGUACUCGGAAAUGGAUAUGGUAGUCCUCGGCUCUGCUGAAGAGGAGGGCUGUGAUGUGGCUGAAAAAACAGGGGAAGGCUGUGGUGUGGCAGGAGAAGCAGAGGGAGCAACCUCAGGUAUGGGCUCUGCGGAGGGCACUGCAGGGGCAGGUGCUCUCGUGUCAGCUGGUGUCUCAAUGGGCUGUAGCUCCUGUGGCUGCUCUGCAUGUGGAAUCUCUGGAUGCUCUACUCCAACUGGGGCCCCUGGCUCUGCACUAUAGGCUGUCAUAUUCGUCCAUUUGUCAAGAGUGAAUAUCUCUCGACAAAUCCGUUUGCGCUCAAAUUGAGGCUCAGUUGGGUAGCCCAAGUGUUCCAAAAUCUGACANNNNNNNNNNNNNNNNNNNNNNNNNNNNNNNNNNNNNNNNNNNNNNNNNNNNNNNNNNNNNNNNNNNNNNNNNNNNNNNNNNNNNNNNNNNNNNNNNNNNGCAAUGGAAAGCUCAGAAACAUGAAGAACCAAAGUAUUGAAGCUUUAAAGUCCUUUGCCAUAAGCAAAUCCAGAAUGCAAGGAGGGGAAGCAAAGAGAAAUCUGCCAUGAAGCAUUCUAGAUGACAAUCAUGUCAGCCAUUUUUGAAGCACUUCCUGGAGUUCAAUUUAUGCAUGCUAUAUGUCGUUUCGAAGCUUAGGAAGUCAACAAUCCAAUGCUUCAAACGGUGCAUGAUUCGGAGUUGAAAUGAAGGAGUUACAGCCAUUGGAAGCUGAUCACUCCAAGUUGAAGGCGAAUUUCACACAGCUGCGAAAUCAGCCUUUGGCUGCGAAAAUGUUGUCCUUUUGCUGCGAAAUUUCACAGCCCUCUUGCUGUGGAAUUUCUCCCGAAGCUUCCUGAUAUUUGCGACCAACAUUUUGAGAUUUUUUGCUUUAGAUAUUUGAUGUCUAAAUCCCCAAACUCUCCUUGUAACCCACCUAUCAUAAGAUUCCUUAGUCUUUAAGCAAGAACAAAGGGUGAAUAACCUCUUAUAUAUAGUUUGUAAUUUUCUUUACAUAAAAAAUCGAAUCUCUCGGGAGCUUGUUCUUAGAGACAACCUUUUGUAUAAGUAAGAAAUAUAUUUUACAGAGCACUUGCUCUGUUUUUCCUAUAUAUUUUUGUUUUCGUGUUAUUUUUCUUUCUAGCCAAUCAAACUCUGAGGAUGUUUUCUCAAAGGAUGAGAGGCUAGGCUCUUUGUCUCUUAGAGUGAAGAAAUCCGGGUAAGUUUCCUCAUGCAUAAAUUGGAAGUUUUGUUGUUUUAGUUUUUAAUGAAGAGAAAGUGUGACCCGUUAAUGGUUUUUAUCUUUUUAGCUAACUUAAAACGCCUUUUAAUCACCUGGGCCAACACUUGAUAAGGCAAGUGGUCUCCGUCCAUUGAGAUACACUAGUUUAUCUCUUGCGAGCCUUUGGGAGGUGGUUUGAAGGUAGGAUUUUCUAGAAUAGCCAACACUUGGUAAGCUUUUGGACUCUAAGGAGACAUCCAUUAGUUAUCUCUUGCGAGUUUUUGACGGGUAAUCCAAGGUUAAAGAUCACCUUGAAUGGCAAAUGCUAGGUGAGAGGCAUGAGCCAUUGCAAGGUGCAUCAGUGAGAGGGAAUUAGUGUUUAAACCCAUUAAGGGGAAGCAUUUGUACCACACUGAUUAGAGAAUUAACUAUAUGUUAAUUCUCUAAUGCGAGGAAAAGAAACAAGUGACCGGAACUCCCUUUUUGUUCAAGGAAUCUGAGCCUAGUGAUCUGAAACUCCAAGAAACAUUUUUCUUUGUAAUUAAAAUCAGUUACUAUUAUUUUUGGUUAGCUUAAAACCAAUCCUUGUUCAAACAUCUUUAUGUUUUCUUUUAAAGCUAACCUUGAAAUGAAAAUGCACCAAUUCAGCUUUGAAUUAAUAUUAAUUGUGGAGUGAAAACCCAUCCCAAUGAACGACCCUAGAGCCACUAUGCUAUGCUAGCUAAGGCUAUCCUAGUACAUGGUGUAAUAGGUUAUAAAUUUUGUUGAUUACUCCCUAAGGACCAAAAUCAAGGGACACCAGCUGGACACGAAUCAAAUGGCACCACUGUUAGGGACCAUUGAGAGGACAUGAAUCAACUGAGACACCAAUUGGGAACGUGUCAGAAUCUUAUAUCUAAGCUAUGAAAGCAAUAUUAACUUUAUAAAAAAAAUGAUCUUUAGGAUUAAAGCAUUAACCUUUAGGUUUGGAUGUUCCCAAACCUUAAAUUCCAAGUGUUGAAGAAUUAACAUCCUCAGAAGUUUCAUAGACCCAUGAUCUUCUGCACGACGACUCUUCCUUGAUCUUAGCACACUUUCGAUAAGGGGAGAGAAAUAGUGGAGACUAUGACUCUCUUUCUCUAGAGGUGGAAGAAAAAUUUAUGGAAAAGGUAUGGAAACCUUAACCUCUAAAGAGGUAUUUAUAGGGUUCCCUAGUGGGCUUAAGUGAGCUCACUAAGGGCUUAGGCCACUUAAUCUAGUUCAAAACAGGUCCUAAUUUAUUAAUAACCAAACAAAAUUAAUCACUUAUGUAGAGAACCUAGUAGAUCCCUUUACAAAGACUUUAUUUACUAAAGUCCUUGAUCAUCAUAAGGAUAGCUUAGGUGUCAAAUGUGUUCCUAGCAUGCUUUAGGACAUGUGGGAGUUUGUUGGGAUUGAGCCUUGGAAAGCAUGACAUGAUGUAACAGAUUGAGAUUCAUUCAUAAAUUUAUUUAUUUAUGUUUCUUGGUUUCCAUUUAUUAUUUCUUUUCCAUUAAUUGGUUAUUUGAGCAUACACGCCCCACAUCACUUGCAUUGUACAUGACUUGAGUGCAUUAGAAGUUGUAUAGAAGAACCAAGUUAUUGAUUUCUUGUAGUGUGAUGAGUUGUCCACAAUUAGUUCAUAGAUUUGGGCAAUCCAUUGCGAUUGUAGUACACAACCUCCUAAUUUGAGGGAUGACUUGUCUUGGUCAUUGGAUGGUUUUCCCAUGGUGAGUGCACUAGUGAAUGUGAUGCAUGUUGGACAUGACCUACAGUAAAUCAAGAUGUAAGGUUAUCAAUUGUCAUGAUUCACCAAGCUACUAUACUGCAUGGACUCACAACCUUGAGAGGAUAUUGAGCCUAUACCAAAGUCAACAUGAGACUUUGACCUAUGGGUGAGAACCUAAAGUAGUCAUAUAUCCCUAUGGAUUGGGUCACUAUUGAUGGAGGCUGAUGACAAUAGUUAUUCUCAAUAGAGGCACCAUGAUAUCUCAUGGAUUGAGAUCAUGUGUCCCCUUAGGUGAUCUAAAAAACAUGUGAUCUAGAAGAUUAUGACCAUAACAUUUCUUUUAGUGGAAAUUUGACAUAUGCUUAUUGGAGCUAGAGUAUGUCAAUUGAUCAUAUAAUUAGUAGGAUCUAUAACUCAAGGAUUAGAGAGGUAAUCUUGAUAGGUGAUAACACUACCUUGUUAGAUUAUGGAUAUUAGUUCAUGGGGAGUCUAGAUGCAAUGGAUAGUGGGUCAUAGACUUGAGCUUCGUCUCAUUGUUAUUUACAUAAGAUAUUAGAGUGCAACUGAUUCUUUUUAGUGGAAUGUUGAAUCAACUUCAGAAUUUGAUUUGAAGAAAGCUAGUCCUCUUAUAAGUUCUAUUGGUCCUUGCUUUGAGCUCAUAUACCAUGAUGACACGAUUUAUGAGAGUUGGAUUGGUUCUUGGUUCACUCGUAUGUAUAAGGGUAUUUUGGUAAUUAUGCAAGGUUACACAAGGAAUAGUGAAUAAGUUCUUUGGAUUGAGCUAAUUGAUUAAUUAGAUGACCUUGUGUGGUUAAUAAAUCAAUUAGAACCCACUUUGGGAUAGAUUAAGUGACCUAAGCCUUAUUGAGCUCAAGUCACUUAAGCUUAGUAAGGGAACCCUAUAAAUACCAUCUUAGGGGCUAGGGUUUUCAUAACCUUUUUGAGAGACAAUUGUCUUCCACCUCCAAAAAGAGAGAGCCUAGGAUUCCUCCCUUCUUAAUCCCACACUUUGGAGUGUCAAGAUCAUGGUUUGUGUUAUCGGGUGGAAGAUCUUCGGUGUACAAGACAUCCAGAUUCUUUGUUCUUCAUCUUCAUAGAGUGGAAUUGAUUUGGGAACAUCCAAAUCAAAGCUAAAGUUUUCUAAUGGCUUUUCUCUAGGCCCUACAUUGGUAAAAAUAUGAUAUUUACUUUUGUUGCAUUGGAUCUAGAGCCCUAAGGUAGUUUUGCAUGCACAUAUAUGAUACAAGGUAAAAGAAUUGAGCAAUCCAAGGUUCCUAGUAAGAUCAUAGUGGUAUGCCUAGUAAGUUUGAUUUUUUCCAUUGGAGUACAUGAUUACAUCCCAAUUAUGUGCAUUAGGGAGUCCAUUGCAAAAUAGAGAAGUGGAAAGAAGAUAUCAAACUUGGAUAAACAUAGUGAGAUUGAUGAUUUUUUUUUUAACACUUCUCAUAUUCUUUUGGAGAUAUGUCUUAGAGAUUGUGUUUUACUUAAUUUGUAUUAAGAGAUAUAUUAGUUUAUGGGAUAUCUAAAAAGAUUUUUGGGUUAUUACCUUUAUAAUCAGGAUUAUCAAAAGAUAUUUGUUGGCACAAAUGUAAGAUUUUUUUAUGAAGACUAUAUGAUAAGGAAUGAGUCAAAGAGUGAUAUAAAUUAGAAUACACUAGAAGAUAGUCUCAUAUUGCAUAGGAUAACUAUGGAUGUAGAGGGUUAAAGAUGUUGGGAUUGAGCCCCUAAAAACAAGACAUGAAGUAACAUAGUUAAACUUAACUAUCCCCUUGUUAUCCCUUUGGUGUAUUACAUUGAUUUGAGCAUUCAACCUAUGUCUCUUACAUUGUACAUGAUUUGACUGCAUUAAGAGUUGCAUAAAAGAUACAAGUCAUGGGUUCCUUGUAAGUAGAUAAGUUGUUUAUAGUUGGUUCAUGGAUUUGGGCAAUCUAGUAGAGACUGUAGUGUACCACCUCCUAAUUGGAGGGAUGACUUGUCUCAACUGUCGGGAUGAGUUUCUCAUGAUGAAUGCACUACUACAUGUGAUGCACACUAGACAGGAUUUACGGUGAAUCAUAAAGUAAGGCUAUUAAUUGUCAUGACUUGAGAGGAUAUUGAGUAUGUGCGAAAGUCAAUAAGAGGCUUUGACUUAUGGGUGAGAUCCUAAAGUGGUUAUAUAUCCCUAAGAAUUGGGUUACUAUUGAUGAAGGUUGGUGGCAAUGGGUAUUUUCAAUAGAGGCAUCAUGAUAUCUCAUGAGAUUAAGACAGUGUGUCCCCUUGAGUGAUCCAAAGGACAUGUGAUCAUGAAAUCUAUGGCAAUAGUAAUUUCUUUAGUAGAAUUCAACAUAUGCUCUAUGGAGCUAGAGUAUGUCAUUAGAUCACAUAAUAAGUGGGAUCUAUAAUUCAAGAAUUUGAGAGACAAUCUUGAUAGGCAAUAACACUACCUUGUUAGAUUACAAACACCACUUCAUAGAGAGUUUGCAUGUAGUGGAUAGUAGGUCACGAACUCGAGCAUUUGGUGUCCUGUUGUAAUAUACAUAGGGUAUUAGAGUGCGGUUGACUUUCUAUAAUGGGAUGUUAAGUCAUUUUCAGAAUUUGAUUUUGAGGAAACCAGUACUCCUAUGGGUCCCAAUGGUCCCCGUUCUGAGCUCAUAUUCUUUGAUGACACGGUUUAUGAGGAUUGAAUGAGUUUUUAUUUUACUUUUGUGCAUAAAGGUGUUUUAAUAAUUACACAAGGUUGCAUAGGGAUAUCUUUGAAUUGGGUUAAUUGAUUAAUUAGGACAUUGUAUGGUUAAUUAAUCAAUUAACAACCAUUUUGGGUUAUAUUACGUGACCCAAGGCCAUAGUGGGCUUAAGUCAUUUAAGCCUAGUAGGAAGCCUAUAAAAACCCUUUUAGCGGUUAGGGUUUCCAUGUCUUACCAUUCUCCCCUUUAGUUUAGAGCGAAAACCCUAGCCUCCACUCUUGCACCAUCUCAAUGCCUAGACAUAAGGAAGAGUCAUCAGAUGAAAGAUCUUGGGUGUACGAGAAGCGUCCUAGAAUUGAAUCACACAGGCUACAUACAUGAGAAUCGUAGGCGAUGUGCACAGGUCAUGUUCAAGAGAAUUGCACGGGACACACACAUGAGUAGCAGCAUGAGGAGAGGUUCUCCAAUUUUUCUAGGCAUGUUCUUCACCAUAAGGAAUGAUUUAGGAACAUCCAAAUCUAGGUAUGAACACUUUUUCUCUAGAUCUUUAUCCUAAUAUGGUUUUUAAAGCCAUUAUUUUCCAUUGCCUUAGAUCUAGAGAGCCCUACGGAUAGAUGUAUGAAACCAAUGAGAUCCAGGGCAUGGGAACAAAGUAAUCUAGGGUUCCCAACAAAAGACAUACUAUUCCUAUGAUUUCUAGUACACCAAUACCUCAUCAUAAUGGAAGGUCUAUGUCACAUAGAUUAUGAUGAAGCGGUGAGCAAUUUUUAUGUUCAUCCUUGGCAAGGAGCUAUGAAAGGAUAAUUGGAAUCUUUCUAUAUAUGAUGAUGCACAUGCACAAAAGCAACACAACCAAGCACUUUAAGGAGUAAAUCAAAGAUUAAUUAUGACUUUGGAAAACAUUCUUUAAGUCUUUUUAAUGGAGUCUAAAAAUUCAAAAAUUCUUAAAGGCAUUUUAUUUAUUAGAUAAGUGGUAGUAAGUAUAGCUUCCCCCCAUAAGUAUUUAGGUACUUUAGCUAUAAACAUUAAAGACCUAGCUACUUCAAGGAGGAGUUUAUUUUUUCUUUCUACUACUCCAUUGUAUUGUGGAGUGUCAUUACAAAAGCUUCGAUGAAUUAUUCCCUUUCCAAAAAAUAUGUUCCCAAGAUCUUUUUGAAGUAUUCUUUUCCAUUGUCACUCCUAAACACUUCAAUUUUUUUUAAACUAUGUUUCAACCAUAUUAUAAAAAUUCUUAAAAACAUGUUCAAUCUCUUAUUUUUCUUUAAGUAAACAAACCCAACAAAUUCUUGUAUGGUCAUCAGUUAGUGUCAAAAAUAAUUUUUUCUAAGAAAUUGUAUGAGUUUUAUAUGGUCCCCAAAUAUCACUAUGAAUACGAGUAAAGGGUUUGGAUGACUUAUAGGGUUGCAUUGGAAAUGAUGCACAAUGAUGUUUUCAAUUUGACAAAUAUCACAUUGAAGAACAAAUGGAUUUUUAUUCUUGAACAAUUUGGGAAAUAAGUACUUUAAAUGCUGAAAAUUAGGAUGGCCUAACCUAUAAUGCCACAACAUUAUUUCAUUAUCACUAGAAACACAGAAUGAUUUCAGACUAGUCAUUUGAGCUUGUCUGCAUAGGUUACCUCCAUCUUCAAAGUAAUAGAGUCCAUUAUUUUCCUUAGCAUUGCCAAUUUUCCUUUCCAAGUCCACAUCUUGGAAUUCACAAUGAGUUGAAGGAAAUUUAGUACAACACUUUAGGUCUCGGGUUAGUUUGGUAACAGAUAAGAUUGUAAGAAAGAUUUGAAACAUGAAGGACAUUGUGAAGAACAAGGAAUUUUGAAUAGCUAUUAAGCCUUUUCUAGCAAUUGUUGAAAAAGAACCAUUGAUUAUCUUGAUUUUUUGAUUCCUUGCACACAAACUAUAGGAAGAAAAUAAUUUAGAAUUCUCUAUCAUGUGAUCCAUUGUACUGGAGUCAAUGAUUCAUAGACACUUUGAAAUUGAAGACAUUUUAAAUGAAAUAGCUUGAAGGAAUCACCUUUGUGGGCUAAAGAACAAGAGAAAGACAUUUUUUUUUUUGAGAAGUUUGUCAAUUUGAAAAGCUUAUUUAGUUGAUGUAACUAUUCUUAUUGAAAGAAUGUGUCUCAAUGGUCCCUUCUGCACCAUUUUGCUCCUCAACUUCAACUUGGAAGGUUUUUUAAUAACAGUUGGCUUGGUUGGUCUAGUUGGAUGACCCCGACUUUUGGUUUUGUGGCUUCCCAUGUAGAUCCUAACAGGUCUCUUUGUAUGCCAAAGUUUAUUGCAAUGCUCACAUAGGACCUUCUCAUUCCUUAUAUUUUGUCAUGGCUAUCCAAAAUGAGUAAAUGAAUUUGCCUUUGAUACCAAAGAAGAAACCUCGGGUAGGGACUGAUUAUUCUCUCCUAUCAUUUCCUUCCUUUGACCUUUGGCCACUUCAUCAAAUAUUUCAUGGAGAGAUGACAAAGGGGUUUUCUACCCAAAAUUCUGCCCCUAACUUCAUCUAGGUUUUUAUUAAGACCUUCCAAGAAUGCGAAUACUCUAUCAUUCUCCACUCUCUUCACAUGUCUCACAUUUUUAGUUGGACAAUCUCAUUCCUCUUGAUAACAUAAAUCCAAUUCUUACUACAACCCUUUCAUGGCUUUAUAACUUUGACACCUCUCGCUCGCGUUGUUUUGAGUGUCACAACUUUGUUUUCAAUUAAAAAAUUUGGGCAGAAUUUUCCAAAUCCUAAUAAGUUUCUCGAAGUGCUUCUCACAAAUCUCUAGCUAUUGGUAGGAAGAGAUCCUUCUUUCCAAUGGAUAGAUCCAUGGAAUUGAUAAGCCAGGCAAUAACUAGUGAGUUUUCGGACCUCCAUGUCCUCAGCGUGGGAUUGUUAUCAGUUGGUUUUGUUGUCUCCCUAUUUAAGUGGCUGAACUUCCCUUUGUCAUCAAUCACAAGCUUAAUUGAUUGUGCCCACUCCAGAUAGUUUUUACCAUUCAAUUUGUGAAUUAAUUGAAUAGAUGGGUUUCAAAUCCAUUAAGACUUACGAUAGAUACUAAUGGUAUGCCUCUUGCAACAAUACUUGAAGAUGCAGAGCUUCUAUUUGCUCCAAUCAUGGCUAUUUUAAUCAUCAAGAUUUUUGUUAAUAUAGAGCCAAACUUUGAUACCAUCACAUGGGAAUAAAUAACCUGAAACACAAAAACCACAAAUCUAGGAGCUAACGACUUGAACAAUCUAACAACUUUGACUUGAAUUUAUUGGAAAAUAAAACAUAGACUUUAACAAAUAAUCCUAGUAUUUCUACAUUUUAUAUCCAUUUGAUUAAUUGAAUAAUCAAUAUGUUAAAACUAUUGGGCCAUGGAUCCUUAAUUGAUUGAAUUUUCAUGUUUACAUGGUUAGAAGAUUUGUGUUCUUUAUAUUUACUUGAAAGAAAAUUACUAGAGUUAAAGUUUCAUCUUCUAUAUCUGUGUUUGUCUGGCCUUGGCAGUUUUAUAUAUCUGAUAAAAUCUGUAAAACUUACAUAUUUCAUGAUAGUUGUUGCACCAACAUAUAUUUAAUGGUCAACAAAUUUCAUACAUGAUUUAUUAGAUUUUGUUGUCUCACCAACCAGAUUUAUAGUGAAGUCCUAUUCUACAUUUGGUCUUUUUUAAGCUUAAAGUAUUUGCUUUCUUAUAAAGGAAAAGGUUAAAGUGUGUGUUUUAUUUCUUGAGAAAAUGAGAUUUUGUUGUGCUUCAUUUUGAUUUUAUCAUUUUCUUAUUUUUGUCUUCAUUUUUAUUGUUCUUGGGUGAUGAUUCUACUGACAUGUUGAUGAGUCCAUAUUAAGAGGAAAUGAAAAAUAAAUAAACAAGAAGUUUGUUGGUUGUCAAAGCAAAGGUGUAGGAUCAUAUCUCUGUAGUUGUGUUGCUGAAUUUGGUGCCAAAAAUUGGUUAAAAUGUUGAGAGUUCUUGCAAAGUUGCGAAUCUACAAAUUGAUAAGAGAAUCUUGCAGGUAUCAUCAUUGUUACCACUCUUUGUUAUGGUGUCUUAAAACUAUUUCCAACUUAACCAAUCCAGUUGAGAGAAUCCCAUUUGAAAAACUUGAAACCAUUGAUGAUCAUUCUUUCAAGUUUCAUUAGUUUAACCAAAUCUUACAGGAAUGCACUGAUGCUAGUGAUCUUCAAAUUGGCAUGUCAGUAAAAUUGAAUAUUAAUGGGUUUUCUUCAUAUGGAAAAAUGACUUGGUUUGUGCCUUAAAUUGGGUCUUAUUCAUUAUGCUCAUCAACUGUUUGAUACAAUGCCUCUCAGAGAUGUUUCUUUUAAUACAAUGAUUUAUGUUUCUGUCUAUAAUAAUUGUGAUGCUCUUGAAUUAGUGGGUCUUUAUUCCAAAAUGAAAAAAUAUGCUAAGCCCAACCAUAUCAUGUUUAUUGGGUUAAUUGGUGCUUGUUGUCAUAGGAUGCUUCAAAUGAGCCUCCCUAGGGGUUAUAUAAAGCCUAGGAAGCUUCUAGAUACUUCUACACUUAGCCAUUGGUGGGAAGAGUGUGGAAGGUUCUAGAGAUUCCUAGAGAUGUUCACAUCUCUACAUUAUGGUGGAAGGCAUGAGAGGAGUCAAAGGCUUUCUAGAGAAUUCUAGGGAUUUCUAGAGAUUUCUUGUAUAUUCUUGUACAUAGGCUUGUAUAUAAAAUUGUGUAAGAGGUUCUAGAUUGUUCUUGAGUUGUAAGGAACCCUCCAAGGUUUUAGAGAGUUCCAUUGGUGCCUAUAAAUAGGUGAGGGCCUCAUUUGGCCAAGGUACCAAGGAAGUGAGUUCUAAAGCACUUGUAAAACUUCAUUUGAGCAAUAAAAGCUUCAAUUCUUUAAGAGUUGCCUACUAUGCUUUCUAAAGAUUCCAAGUCAUGAUCAUAUUGGUCUAACAAGCUAAGCAUCGAGACUAAGGCUAACUUAGCAAGAUUAAGGGUUUGGCUUGUCUAAGUGCUGCACGAGUUUAGGAAAAGACUAAGGUGGUGUUUGUUUUUUGGCUGAAUAAAAAAGCUAAAAUAUUUGGUUUUUUUUAUUCAGCUAAAAGUAACUUGUUGAUAUCAUCCAACAUAACUAAAAUGAACUUAUUAUCCAUAGGUUCAAUUUAGUUAUGUUGGACAUGUUACUUUUAGCUGAAUAGAAAAAGGCAAAUAUUUUGACUUUUUCUAUUCAGCCAAAAAACAAACACCACCUAAGUUCGUGACAAUUGGUAUUAGAGCGUAGCUACAAAGGGGGCAUAGUAAAGGAAGUAGUUCGGGCUCUAAUAUGGAGGAGACUAGUGAGCAAACCCAUGGGAGGGGAGACUGAGCCUACUACAUGGGGCAGGGGUAGGAAGGAUAGAUCUUAUGAUGCCAUAGCCAACAUAGAGGCAAGGUUAGCCAAGGUGAAGCUAGCCAUGGCAGACACCUUGGAAGAGGUGGCCUUGAUUAACCAAGGCAUGGAAAAGGGCUUAGAGGAUCUAAGUGAUUACUACUCAAAAAGUGCUAUUUCAUAGCUUGUAAUUCACUCUUUUAAACACUUUUGAGUAGUAGUUAUUGCCUUUUAACCCAAUUAACAUAUUAAGGACCUUUGCAAGCACUUCUAAUCAAUUUGUGUUAAGUUUUGGUGUUUUGAUAGCUUUUUGAUCACCAAAGCAAUAUGAGAUUGAGGAGAGUUAUUUGGAAUCCAUGGCAAAGAAAUGGAAAGCUCAGAAACAUGAAGAACCAAAGCUUUGAAGUCCUUUUCCAUAAGCAAAUCCGGAAUGCAAGGAGGGGAAGUAAAGAGAAAUCUGCCAUGAAACAUUUUUUAUGACAGUCAUGUCAGCCACUUUUGGAGCACUUUCUGAAGUCUAAUUUAUGCAUGCUAUAUGCCGUUUCAAAUCUUAGGAAGUCAGCAAUCCAAUACAUCAAACGGUGCGCAAUUCGGAGCUGAAAUGGAGUUACAGCUGUUGGAAGCCGAACACCGCAAGCUGAAAGCCAACUUCGCAGCGCUGCGAAAUCAGCCUUUUGUUGCGAAGUGAUUUCGCAGCCCUUUUUGUGUGUCUGCGAAAUCUCGCAGACCUCGUUUCCACCUGCGAAAUGGUCCUUAGUGCUUCCCGAUAUUUACGACCGACACUUUGAGAUAUUUUUCUUCAGAUUUUUGUUGUCUAAAUCCCCAAACUCUCCUUGUAAGCCACCAAUUAUAGGAUUCCUUAGCUAUUAAGUUAGGAAAAAGGGUAAAUAUCCAUGUAAUAAUUAUUAUUGUAAUUUUCAUUUAAAUAGCUCUCGAGGGCCUGUUCUAACAGGAGGACGACGCAUCCUUUGUACAGUUUUGGGAAGGAAGUAAAAUACAGAGCACUUGCUCUGCUUUUCAUAUAUAUUUUUGUUUUCUCGUUCUUUUUAUUUCUAGCCAAUCAAACUCUGAGCAUUUUUCCUCAGAGGAUGAGAGGCUAGGCUCUUCAUCUCUUGGAGUGAAGAAAUCCGGGUAAGUUUCCACAUGCAUAAAUUGGAAGUUUUGUUGUUUUAGUUUUUAAUGAAGAGAAAGUGUGACCCGUUAAUGGUUUUUAUCUUUUUAGUUAACUUAAAACGCCUUUAAAUCACCUGGACCAACACUUGGUAAGGCAAGUGAUCUCCGUCCAUUGAGAUGCACUAGUUUAUCUCUUGCGAGCCUUUGGGAGGUGGUUUGAAGGUAGGAUUUUCUAGAAUAGCCAACACUUGGUAAGCUUUUGGACUUUAAGGAGACAUCCAUUAGUUAUCUCUUGCGAGCUUUUGACGGGUAAUCCAAGGUUAAAGAUCACCUUGAAUGGUAAAUGCUAGGUGAGAGGCAUGAGCCAUUGCAAGAUGCAUCAGUGAGAGGGAUUUAGUGUUUGAACCCAUUAAUGGGAAGCAUCUGUACCACACCGGUUAGAGAAUUAACUAUACGUUAAUUCUCUAAUGCGAGGAAAAGAAACAAGUGACCGGAACUCCCUUUUUGUAUAAGGAACCUGAGCCUACUGAUCUAAACUCCAAGAAACACUUUUCUUUGUAAGUAAAAUCAGUUACUAUUUUUGGUUAGUUUAAAACCAAACCUUUUUCACUCAAACAUCUUUAUGUUUCUUUUAAAGCUAACCUUGAAAUGAAAAGGCACCAAUUCAGCCCUUGAAUUAAUAUCAAUUGUGAAGUGAAAAUCCAUCCCAGUGAACGACCCUAGAGCCACUAUGCUAUGCUAGCUAAGGCUAUCCUAGUACAUGGUGUAAUAGGUUAUAAAUUUUGUUGAUUACUCCUUGAGGACCAAAAUCAAGGGACACCAGCUGGACAUGAAUCAGUUGAGACACCAAUUGGGAACGAAUAACUAAGGGAGCAUAUCCAAGACCUUUGUGAGGGGAUGCUAGGCUCACAAGUUCAGCCGAUGUUACACGGGGAGUUCAUGUCCUUCUAAGACAAGGUCAUGAGCAUGUUUGCUAACAUAGAGUCAAGGAUAGAGGCCUUAGCUGCAUGCAUGGAGGCCUGAGACUAGGAGGUUCAAUAAGAACUGGCCAUCUACAAGACUGUCGUUGCAGCACGAGUCAUGGUCACUCAUGAGGCACCAAGGGUGGAAGUGCCCAAGCCACACACGUUCAGUUGCAAGAGAGAUGCCAAUGAGCUAGAUAACUUCUUUUGGCACAUGGAGUGCUACUUUGAGGCUAUCUCACUAAGAGAUGAAGCCAUUGAGGUACACACAGAUGCCUUAAACUUCACUAUUGGAGGAGUUCUGAUGCAAGAUACACAUCUGAUCGUCUUUCAGAGUCGCAAGCUAAAUGACAUGGAGAGGCGCUACAUGGUGCAAGAAAAAGAGAUGACCGCCAUCGUCUAUUACUUACGCACCUAGAGGCACUACCUUUUAGGGUCUUACUUCAUAGUGAAGACCAGUAAUGUUGCCACUAGCAACUUUCAAACCUAAAAGCAGCUAAGUCCUAAGCAAGCUAGGUGGCAAGACUUCCUGGCUGAGUUCAACUAUACUCUAGAGUAUAAGCCAGGAAGCGCUAAUCAUGUGGCCGACACCCUAAGCUGUAAAACAGAGCUAGCAUCCAUGAUGAGUCAGCCCUAAUGGGACAUAAUAGAUCUUUUAAGGGAAGGGCUGCAACAUGAUUUAGUGGCUAAGAGCCUCAUUGCCUUGGCCCAUGAUUGGAAAGCUAAGUAGUUUUGGGUGGAUGACGACCUAUUUUACACUAAGGGGAGAUAACUCUAUGUGCCUAAGUGAGGGAACAUAAGGCGGAACCUGAUUAAGGAAUGCCAUGAUACCAAGUGGGUUGGGAACCUUCGACAAUGACACACAAGGGCACUACUCAAGUUAGCUUACUAUUGGCCUCAAAUAUGAGAUGAAGUUGAGGCCUAUUGAUUCGUGCCCAAUUGGUGUCUCAGCUGAUUCGUGUCCAGCUGGUGCUCCUUGAUUGAGGGAUUAAUCAACAAAAUUUAUAACAAAUUACACCAUAUACUAGGGUAGCAAAGACAAAGCUACUAUAGCAUAGUGGCUCUAGGAUCGUUCACUGGGAUGGGUUUUCACUUCACAAAUGAUGUUAAUUCAAAGUUGAAUUGGUGCCUUUUCAUUUCAAGGUUAGCUUUAAAAGAAAACAUAAAGAUGUUUGAAUGAAAAAGGAUUGGUUUUAAGCUAACCAAAAAUAGUAACUGAUUUUACUUACAAAGAAAAGUAUUUCUUGGAGUUUCAGAUCACUAGGCUCAGAUUUCUCAUACAAAAAGGGAGUUCCGGUCACUUGUUUCUUUUCCUCGUAUUAGAGAAUUAACAUAUAGUUCCUUCUCCAACCGGUAUUGUACAGAUGCUUCCCAUUAAUGGGUUCAAACACUAAAUCCCUCUCACUGAUGCACCUUGCAAUGGCUCAUACCUCUCACCUAGCACUUGCCAUUCAAGGUGAUCUUUAACUUUGGACUUCCCUUCUUAAGCUCGCAAGAGAUAACUAAUGGAUGUCUCCUUGGAGUCCAAAAGCUUACCAAGUGUUGGCAAUUCCAGAAAAUCCUACCUUCAAACCACCUCCCAAAGGCUCGCAAGGGGUAAACUAGUGAAUCUCCAUGGACGGAGAUCACUUGCCUUACCAAGUGUUGGCCCAGGUGAUUUAAAGGCAUUUUAAGUUAACUAAAAAGAUAAAAACCAUUAACGGGUCACACUUUCUCUUCAUUAAAAACUAAAACAACAAAACUUCCAAUUUAUGCAUGUGGAAACUUACCCGGAUUUCCUCACUCCAAGAGACAAAAAGCUUAGCCUCUCAUCCUCUGAGGAAAAAUCCUCAGAGUUUGGUUGGCUAGAAAUAAAAAAGAAAUGAAAAAUGAAAGAGAAGGAAAAACAGAGCAAGGCUCUGUAUAUUCUAUAUAUUGAUCGAUGGAUUACAUGAUUCUAUAUUACAUGAUCUCCCCAGAACAAGCUCCCGAGAGCUAUAUAUAAAGAAAAUUACAAAACAAAAAUAUCUGAGGUUAUUCGCCCAUUUUCCAAACUUAAUAACUAAGGAAUCUUAUGGUUGGUGGAUUACAAGGAGAAGAAUGGAAAUUUAUACAAAAAUAUCUAAAGAAAAAUAUCCCAAAGUGUCGGUUGCAAAUAUCGGGAAGCAUUAAGGACCAUUUCGUUGGUGAAAACGAGGUUUACGAGAUUUCGCAGACGCACAAAAAGGGCUGCGAAAUCACUUCGCAGCAAAAGGUUAUUCUUGCAGGGCUGCGAAGUUGGAUUUCAUCUUGAGGUGCUCAGCUUCCAACUUGCGGCAUAUAUCGGGCAACUUCAGGAGGGAAUCCACAACACUGUAAAAAAAGGUUGUGAAAUCAUUUCGCAACAAAAGGGUGAUUCCGCAACACUUUUGCAAAAUGCUUUCUUCAGCUUAGAGUGAUUGACUUGAAGUGGCUAUAACUUCUUCGUUUCAACUCUAAAUUGUGAACCGUUUGAAGCAUUGGAUUUUUGACUUCCUAAGCUUUAAAAUGGUAUAUAGCAUGUACAAAAUGGACUUCGGAAAGUGCUCCAAAAGUGCGCAAGAAGACUGCAGCUGCUGUCCUCUGUUUUCUUCACUCUGUUUUCCUCUCUCCAGUGCUCUUUCCUUGCAUACUUUGAACGACUAAGGCAAAGGGCUAUGGAGCUCCAAAGCUUGGUUCUUCAUGAAUUUGAUCUUCCAAAAGCUUUGCCAUGAACUAUAUAUAGCUCUCCCUCAUUCUUAAAUUGAUUUGGUGAUCAAAAAGCUAUCAAAACACCAAAACUUAACACAAUUUGAUUAGAAUUGAUUGCAAGGGUCCUUAACAUGUUAAUUGGGUUAAAAGGCAAUAACUACUACUCAAAAGUGUUUAAAAGAGUUAAUUACAAGCUAUGAAAUAGCACUUUUUGAGUAGUAAUCACUCCGCCCAACCGACAUAUUGCUAGUCCCUUAGCAAUGAAGGAGAGAAAAAUAAAAAUAAACAAUACUAUAAUUUACAACAUCAUGCUGAUCAAAAAAUAAUUUUCAAGUGGCAUGAUGAUCUAACUCUCACAUGGAACAUUAAAGAAAUAAAACUCAAACUUCAACAAGAGUUAUCAAAUAACUUUUCUAAUCAUAAUUCUUAAAGAGAAGGCAUUAUGCAAAUUUAAGCUUUAAAAUCAUUUCCACUUCCAAAGGAUCAAACCUUACUCUUCCACAAAAAUCUAAGUGUUAUUUAUUAGCUUCCGAAUAUAGUAUGUUGAACUAAUCUCUCCCCCCAACCUAGUUCUUUUUCAAAGCUUAGCAAACUAAUCAACCUCCAAUAGGCUAAGAACGCACCUCUUUUUUCACAAUUUUUUUCAUUAUAGGAGUACAAGGCUUAAAGGUAUUCUUUUUUUUUUAAUUGUCCAUGUAACAGGGGUCCAUCGAUGACUCCCAACCAAUUAAGGUUUAGGGCAUCAAGCUUUAAGGAUCUUUCAACCACUAACUCCUCGAAUUUUACCCCGGACUUUUGAGAAUGAAUUUUAAUACCCAAGCACCUACAGUAUGUUAAACUCCACCUAUUCACCCUUGUAAUGAGCAUUGAGGUCGGUGACUCCCAACCAAUGAAGGCUUAGGGCACCAGGUUUUAAAGAUUUUCACCAUAUACCCCUCAGACCUUGCUCGGGUUUCAAGGCAAGCAAACAUUUUUUCUUUCUUUCUUUUUUCUCUUCAAAGACUCAUUGGCCUUUUAUAAGGUGUCCCAACACUAUUAAAUGAGGUCAAAGGUACCAAGUCUAAAAUUUUCCUAAGUCAAGAGGGAAAUAGUUUUUCAUCUUAUACUCGGAACCUAUUGUGCACAGUGUGUGGAUAGCUUAAAGUGGAAGAACUAAGGUUGACUUCAAUAGAAGUUUCAACAAUUCAUCAAAUUUAAUAAGCAUAAUACAAAAUCUAAGUCAAGUAAAAAGACAAAAAUUCAAUUUCUCCAAUUUUAGUUUGAAAAUUUUUCCUUAAUAACCAUGGAGAGUAGAAUAAAAACUUUUAAAAAUUUUAAAAAUUAAGCAAAAAACAACUAAAUUACCAAAAUAACUUAGCAUUAUUAACAAUACUUACUUCCUCAACUCUCCCCCCAACCAAGCUGAACAUUGUCCUCAAUGUGACAAAAGCGAUUGAAAAAUAGGGAGGAAGUGGUAUCUCUUGAGUGACAUGGAGUCUGAGUCGUUGAUGCGACUCAUGGUAGCUUAGCUUUAAAGGCGUAUCAACAAAAUUUAUACCUUGAAUACUAUUACUAAAGUAGCCAAGCUACUAUAGCAUAGUGGUUCUAGGAUCGUUCACUGGGAAGGGUUUUCGCAAACACAAGUGAUAUUCAAAUUGGGAAAAUAGGUGAUUUUCUUAUGGAUGUUAGCUUUAAAAGAAGAUGUAAAUGUUUUAGAAAGAAUUAAACUAAUCUAAUCUAACAUUAAAGACUAAAAUGAAAGGGUGUAAAAACAAGUUUCUCAAAGAUAGGAUAGCUAUGCUCAGGCUCUUAUGCAAAUUGAUAGGCUCCUCGCGUUGGGGUUGCAACUAUGGUGAUGCUUGCUUCCCGAACCGGUAUGGAUUUAGCAAAUCAAGUUUUAAUCCUUUAAAAUGACAGAUGGUAGUGAAUUUCAUCAAUGGUUAUUCACCUUAGACUUCCUUUGAAUGGCUCGUAAGAGAUAACUAAUGGUCUAAAGCCAAAAGCUUACCAAAUAUUGGCAACUCAAAGUCAUUCCAGGUGAUAAACUUACCUUUCAAUGGCCCUUGAAAUUGGUUCUAACGGAUUAAUGCAAAACUUGGAAUUGAAAACCUCACCUUCCAAUAGCUCGUAGGAGAUAACUAAUGGAUAGAAAUCCAAAAGCUUAUCAAGUAUUGGCCGUUGGAAGUUGUCCAAAGGAAAUAAAAACCAAACUUUGCAUUAAUGAACCUUUAAUGAAAAACGACUACCUUACCUUCCGGGUGCGAGAAAUUUCCAUGGGAUUGCAUCCAAGCCAUCACAUAACAUCCAUACUUUGAGAAACUAAAAGUUUUAGCCAAUCAUCCUCUAAGGAAAAACCCUCAGAGGCUGUUUGGCUACUAAGAAAAUAGAAAUGGGGAAGAACAGGAGAAACGAGAGAGCUCUGUGAAAUAUUCUAAAUGUUAAACGUAAUAUCUAUUCUAUAUUCUCCAAGAGGUGAUUUCCACCCCUUAUAUAGUCUUUACAAAAGCAAAAGCUUGUGAUUGGUUAGUUACAAGGAUAAGAAAGGAAAUUACAUCACAAAAUACAAAGGAAAAUAUCUAAAGUGGAGUCGGCAAAAGCAGAGGAAAAUUCGCAACACGCAUGGGUUAUGCGAAUUUUGAAGGUGUUAUGCGAAAUUUUCGCAUAACCUGGAGCAGUUGGCUUCCGAAGGCCAUAUCUUCCUCAUUUCAGCUCCAAAUCGUACACGGUUUGAAGCGUUGGAUUCUUAACUUCUAGAGCUUUGAAAUGGUAUAUAGCAUGUAAAAAAUGGACUUCGGGAAAUGCUCCAAAAGUCCGAUAUAAUACUGAAGCUGCUGUCCUCUGUUUUCCUCUUCUCCAUUGUUCUUUCCUUGCAUACUUUGAACGACUUUGGCAAAGGGCUAUGGAGCUCCAAAGCUUGGUUCUUCAUGAAUUUGAGCUUCCAAAAGCUUUGCCAUAACUUGUCCAAGUAGCUCCUCCAUCAUUUGGCAUGCUUGAAUUGAUUCAUAAGCUGAUAAAAACAUGUAAACUUGCCACAAAAUGGUUAAAACCAAUUACUAAGGACCUUAAUGAAUUAAUUGGGUUAAAUGAAUAUGAUUACUACUCAAAGGUGCUUAAAACCAUUAUAAUUAGGUCUAAAAAAUAGCACUUUUUGGUAGUAAUCAGUCGUAUAGGAGAAACCACAUGUUUCAAAGAAAGCAUAAGAGUUAGUGAGUAGAGGAAAUAGAAAAAUGCCAAGUUUAAACAAAAAAAUGAUGUCUAUAUAUGAUGUAUCAUCAGUAAUACAUCCAAACCCAGAAUAUAAGACAUCAAAACAAGGAGCUAUGUAUACUAAUAUAAUAUGUAAAGACCAAAAAAUAAAGAGAUGAUCAAGUAAUGGUAAGGUCCUGUGGAGCUUAUGCGUCUGUGGUAGCCUCUUGAAUGGGUUGGAUCAGGACUUUGGCCUCUGUUCUGGUAGUCUCCUUAGGUGGCAUAGUCUCCUCAACUGGAGCUCUCAGUUGGUAGCUAUGGGAUUUGAUGGUUUAAGGAGGUUAGAAAUGGAGUGAGAGACUUUGUGUGUGUGAUCCCAAGGUGCGCGGGGCUCUCCUCUUCAGAUGCAUGGUUGUGAGGCUCUGUUGGCAUUUUAGCAACUUCCCUUGGCUUUGCAAGGUGUUUUUGCAAACCUUCCUCCAUUUCGCAAGUCAAUUUCGCAAUUUGAAGGCCAUUUCGAUGCUUGGAGGUGAUUUCGCAGCCAUUUCGAAGUUUGGAGAUCAUUUCACAGCCAUUUCAAAGCUUGGAGAUCAUUUCAUAGCCAUUUCGCAGCUCAAAAGUGAUUUCGCAGCCCAAAAUUGAUUUCGCAGCUCAAAGGUGAUUUCGCAGCUGUAUCGCAACUUUGAAAUGAUGGGAAUUGUGUUGAAAAUGGCACUCGUGUGCCAAAAAGUGGUUUCGUAGCUGCGAAACACCCUUCCAAAUGGUGUCUCGGCUGCGAAAUUCUCGCUCAACUUUGCGCGCUUGUCUUCAAAUGACCAUAACUUCUUUGUUUCAACUCCAAAUUGUGCACCGUUUGAAGAUUUGGACUCCUGACUUCCCAAGAUUUGAAACAAGAUAUGGUAUGUAUAAUUUUAACUCCAGGAAGUGCUUCAAAAAUGUGUCCAACAGUAGCAAAAUGGAGGUGCGACAUUUCUGCUCAUGGUUUGCACAGUCAUCUUCAAAUGGCCAUAACUUUUCCGUUUCAAAUCCAAAUUGAGCACCGUUUAAAGCUAUGGACUCCUAACUUCCCAAGAUUUGAAACGAGAUAUUGCAUGCACAAUUUGAACUUCGGAAAGUGAUCGAGAUGUGUCCAACAACUGCCGAAAUGGGGGUGCGGCUGUGACAUGUCUGUUCAUGGUGUGCACGCUGAAGGAUUUUAAGGUGUUGAGGUUUCGCAGCCAUUUCGCAGCUGCGAAAUGAGUGUACGAGGCUUCAAAAUGGCACUCGUGUGCCAAAAAGUGGCUUCGCAACUUCGAAAUACCCUGCGAAAUGGAGCUUUGGCUGUGGAAUUUUUUUUUUUUUUUUUUUGGAUUUUGCAGCCAUUUCGCAGCUGCAAAAUGAGAUUCACUAUGCUGCAAAAUGGCACUCGUGUGCCAGAAUCGGCUUCGCAACUUCGAAAUACCCUGCGAAAUGGAGCUUUCCCUACGAAAUGGAGGAUUUCAUGCUUUGGUGGUUCGCAGCUGCGAAAUGGGGGCUUCUGUGUUGCGAAGUGGCACUCGUGUGCCAUUCUUGGAUUCGCAGCUGCGAAAAUUUUCGCAGAGGAGUCAAAUGUGUUGCGAAAUGGUUUCACAGCAAAGUGCCGAUUUCACAGAGGCUGCGAAAUCUCGCAGACCCCUGUUUUUUCCCUGUUUUUCCCCUGUUUUUGCCCUGUUUUUGCUCUAUUUUCACUCCGAUUUUGCUCCGAAAGACUUCCUUCAAUUUCUUUGCAAUUCCUCUUGAUUUUGAUCAUCCAAAAACCUAUAUUACAUAUAAAAAAAAAAACUAGAAUUAAAGCAUUGAAAUCAAAAUUAAAGCAUUGAAAUCAAAUUUAAAACAAGUAAAAAACAAAACAAAAAGAUAUGGACUAGCUAAUCUUUAAAAAGACUAAGUCCAUCAAAAAAUUUGAUCCUGUGGUUUAGCUUUCCCGGAUCCCAUAUGAAGUUUGCAUCUCUGGCUUUAGACUUGCUUUGUAAGAUCUUGCCAUACAAAGCUUGGAGGAAAGAUGGAGGCAUGUGUUUCAUCAUUUCUUCCUUAAUGACUAUCCUCUGUGGUUUUUCAUCUAUAUCAAAAUCAUAGUCAUCUUUCUCUAUGCUUUUCCCCUUUUUCUUUCCUUUGAUUUUCUCCCUCUUUUCUUUCUCUGUUUCACUCUCUACCUUAUGCUCUAGCUUGCAUGUGGGCAGAUCAACCUCUUUACCACUCCUCAGAGUGAUCACUUCUUUGACUUCCCUCUUUUGUGAAGAUUCUCCCUCCUUAGCCUCCAUUUCAUGGAUAGUCAUGGAAUUUUGAUAAGGUUGAGAAGGAGAGUUUUCUUUCUCUUGCACUGUGUUGAGGUUGGCCAACCUUGAGAUUGAAUCUUGGAGAAUAUCUAACUUCUGAGAUAGAUCAUUUUGCACUUCAUCCAUCCUUUUAAUCAAUGAACUCUCUACACUGUCAAUUCUUUGAUUGAUUUGAGCAUUGGUGGCUUCUUGCUUUCCAACAAAAUCUCCCACGAACUUGCUAAGAUUCACCAUAGCUUGUUCAAGGAUCGAGGCUUGCGGAAGUGCUUGAACAUGUUGCUUGUACUGAGGCGGCUGUGGUUUCCAAGAGAAAUUUGGAUGGUCCCUCCAAUUGGAAUUGUAGGUGUUGCAAUCACCAAACAUUUCCCUCUCGGCUGGAAUGGUAGGACACUCAUCCACCAAGUGCUCAUAUGAUCGACAAAUGGAACAGGGCAUAGGUUGCAAUGGUGUUAGAGAGAUGGUUUGCACUUCUUGCAUUUGGUUCAUUUCUAGCUCUUCCAAUCUCCUUUCCAUAGCUGCAAUCUUUGCCUUCAUGUUCAUACCAUCAUUCAAAAUAUACAUCUCACCCUUAGCUUUAGGUUGAGACGUCAUUCUUCCCAUAUCUCUAGCAUUUGGUUCACCCCAUUCUCUUGAGACUUCAGCCACAUAACUCAUGAAGUUCAUGGCUUCCUCUGCUAUGGUAUUCAAUAUGGCAUGCACAACUUAGCAAUUUGUGAAUUAAAAACAUAGAAAACAAAGGAAAAUAAAAGAAAAACAAUCCAAAGAAAGAAAAUUAAGGUAAACUAAAAACUAAAUAAAAGGUAUACUAAAAUAUGAACAAUAAAGAAAUAAAAAGAGUUAGUAAAAGGAAAAGAAAAGUCACUAAACUUGUGAUGAAGAUCACAAGUACUCUAGAAAGGUGUUAUCACUGUAAAGUGGCACCAUCCCCGGCAACGGCGCCAUUUGAUUCGUUCCCAAUUGGUGUCUCAGCUGAUUCGUGUCCAGCUGGUGCUCCUUGAUUGAGGGAUUAAUCAACAAAAUUUAUAACCUAUUACACCAUAUACUAGGGUAGCAAAGACAAAGCUACUAUAGCAUAGUGGCUCUAGGAUCGUUCACUGGGAUGGGUUUUCACUUCACAAAUGACAUUAAUUCAAAGUUGAAUUAGUGCCUUUUCAUUUCAAGGUUAGCUUUAAAAGAAAACAUAAACUUGUUUGAAUGAAAAAGGUUUGGUUUUAAACUAACCAAAAAUAGUAACUGAUUUUACUUACAAAGAAAAGUGUUUCUUGGAGUUUCAGAUCACUAGGCUCAGAUUCCUCAUACAAAAAGGGAGUUCCGGUCACUUAUUUCUUUUCCUCGCAUUAUAGAAUUAACAUAUAGUUCCUUCUCCAACCGGUGCUGUACAGAUGCUCCCAUUAAUGGGUUCAAACACUAAAUCCCUCUCACUGAUGCAUCUUGCAAUGGCUCAUGCCUUUCACCUAGCAUUUGCCAUUCAAGGUGAUCUUUAACCUUGGAUUACCCGUCAAAAGCUCGCAAGAGAUAACUAAUGGAUGUCUCCUUGGAGUCCAAAAGCUUACCAAGUGUUGGCUAUUCUAGAAAAUCCUACCUUCAAACCACCUCCCAAAGGCUCACAAGGGGUAAACUAGUGAAUCUCCAUGGACGGAGAUCACUUGCCUUACCAAGUGUUGGCCCAGGUGAUUUAAAGACGUUUUCAGUUAACUAAAAAGAUAAAAACCAUUAACGGGUCACACUUUCUCUUCAUUAAAAACUAAAACAACAAAACUUCCAAUUUAUGCAUGUGGAAACUUACCCGGAUUUCCUCACUCCAAGAGACAAAAAGCUUAGCCUCUCAUCCUCUGAGGAAAAAUCCUCAGAGUUUGGUUGGCUAGAAAUAAAAAGAAAUGAAAAAUGAAAGAGAAGGAAAAACAGAGCAAGGCUCUGUAUAUUCUAUAUAUUGAUCGAUGGAUUACAUGAUUCUAUAUUACAUGAUCUCCCCAGAACAAGCUCCCGAGAGCUAUAUAUAAAGAAAAUUACAAAACAAAAAUAUCUAAGGUUAUUCACCUAUUUUCCAAACUUAAUAACUAAGGAAUCUUAUGGUUGGUGGAUUACAAGGAGAAGAAUGGAAAUUUAUAUAAAAAUAUCUAAAGAAAAAUAUCCCAAAGUGUCGGUUGCAAAUAUCGGGAAGCAUUAAGGACCAUUUCGUAGGUGAAAACGAGGUCUGCGAGAUUUCGCAGACGCACAAAAAGGGUUGCGAAAUCACUUCGCAGCAAAAGGUUAUUCUCGCAGGGCUGCGAAGUUGGAUUUCAUCUUGAGGUGCUCAGCUUCCAACUUGCGGCAUAUAUCGGGCAACUUCAGGAGGGAAUCCACAACACUGUAAAAAAAGGUUGCGAAAUCAUUUCGCAACAAAAGGGUGAUUCCGCAACACUUUUGCAAAAUGCUUUCUUCAGCUUAGAGUGAUUGACUUGCAGUGGCUGUAACUUCUUCGUUUCAACUCCAAAUUGUGAACCGUUUAAAGCAUUGGAUUGUUGACUUCAUGAGCUUUAAAAUGGUAUAUAGCAUGUACAAAAUGGACUUCGGAAAGUGCUCCAAAAGUGCGCAAGAAAACUGUAGCUGUUGUCCUCUGUUUUCCUCUCUCCAGUGCUCUUUCCUUGCAUACUUUGAAUGACUAAGGCAAAGGGCUAUGGAGCUCCAAAGCUUGGUUCUUCAUGAAUUUGAGCUUCCAAAAGCUUUGCCAUGAACUAUAUAUAGCUCUCCCUCAUUUUUAAAUUGCUUUGGUGAUCAAAAAGCUAUCAAAACACCAAAACUUAACACAAUUUGAUUAGAAUUGAUUGCAAGGGUCCUUAACAUGUUAAUUGGGUUAAAAGGCAAUAACUACUACUCAAAAGUGUUUAAAAGAGUUAAUUACAAGCUAUGAAAUAGCACUUUUUGAGUAGUAAUCACCUAUGUGAGGACUUGUUGAUUACUACUCAAAAAGUGUUAUUUGAUAGCCUAUAAUUAAUCCUUUUAAACACUUUUGAGUAGUAGUUUUGGCCUUUUAACUCAAUUGGCAUGUUAAGGACCCUUGAAAGCAAUUUUAAUCACUUUGUGUAAGUUUUGGUGUUUUUGUUAGUAUUUUGAUCACCAAAGCAAUUCAAGAUUGAGGAUAAUUAUGAGGAAUCUUGGGUAAAGCUUAGAAGUCAUUUGCCAAGAGUAAAUCCGGAUUGCAAGGAGAAAAAGUAAAAAGAAUCUGCCAUGAAGCAUAUUCUUGAUGACAGUCGUAGCAGCCACUUUUGGAGCACUUUCUGAAGUCCAAUUGAUGCAUGCUAUAUACCAUUUCAAAGCUCAGGAAGUCAACAAUCCAAUGCUUCAAAUGGUAUGCAAUUCAGAGUUGAAACGAAGAAGUUGCAGCCUUUGCAAGCCAAUCACUCCCAGCUGAAGGAAGCAUUUUCCAAAGUGUUGCAAAAUCACCCUUUUGCUGCGAAGUGAUUCCGCAACCUUUUUGUACAGUAGGGUGUAUUUCCUUCUGAAGGUGUCCGAUAUAUGCCGCAAGCUGGAAGCUGAGAACCUCAAGGUGGAAGCCAACUUCGCAGCCCUGCGAAGAUAGCAUGUUGUUGCGAAAUGAUUUCGCAGGCCUUCUUGAGUGUCUGCGAAAUCUCGCAGACACCAUUUUCUCUUGCGAAAUGGUUCCUGAAGCACCCCGAUAUUUGCUACCGACAUUGGGAGAUAUUUUUUAUUAGAUUUUUGUUGUCUAAAUCCCAAAAUACUCCUUGUAAGCCACCAAUUACAAGAUUCCUUAGUUUUUAAGUUAGUAAAAAGAGAAAAUAUCUAUGUAAUAAUUAGUUUUAUAUUUUGUUGAUAUAAGUACCUCUCGGGAGCCUGUUCUCAAAGAGGAGAUCCUUUUGUAAAGUUUUUGGUAAGCAAGUAAAGUUCAGUUCUUUGUAUUGCCUUACCUUAUCACUUUGUAUUUUUUUAUUUAUUACUAAGUUAUGAACUCUCUAAGGAGUUUUCCCCAGAGAAUGAGUAACUAAACCUCUAAUUCCUUGGAGCUAAGGUUGCCGGGGAAGGUUUCAAGAGCAAGAAUGCAAAGCUUUGUGGUUUCAGCCAAUAAUGAAGAGGAAGUGAAAUCCUUUAGUGAUUUCUAUGUUUUUAGUUAACUUAAAACACCUUAGAGUCACCUGGGCCAACACUUGGUAAGGCAAGUGAUUUCCAACCAUGGAAAUGCACUAGUUUACCCCUUGCGAGCCUCUGGGAGGUGACUUUAAGGUAGGAUUUUCUGGAAUUGCCAACACUUGGUAAGCUUUUGGACUCCAAGGAGACAUCCAUUAGUUAUCUCUUGUGAGCUUGAGAAGGGAAGUCCAAGGUUAAAGAUCACCUUGAAUGGUUAAGGCUUAGUGAGAGGCUUAAACCAUUGCAAGCUGCAUCAAUGAGAGAAUUAAAGUGAAAUCUAAUUGAAGGAUGUAUCUGUACAACACCAGUUAGAGAAUUGACUAUAUGUUGAAUCUCUAACGCGAAUAAUUGAACCAUCUGACCGGAGCCGUGUCUUUUGCAUGAGGAACCACCCUAGUGAACCUAACUCUCCAAGGAAUGUUUUUCUUUCUAAGUUAUUCCCAUUACUUAUUGUGUUAGUUAGUUUAAGUCUAAAUCUUUACCAAUCAAAGUUUGUGUUUUAUUUCUUAAGCUAACCUUGAAAUGAAACAAGACCAAUUCACUUUGAAUUGGUAUCAUUGAUAGCUUGUUAAUCCUUCCCAGUGAACGAUCCUAGAGCCACUAUACUAUAGUAGCUUUUUCUUUGCUACCCUAGUAUAUGGUGUUAUAGGUUAUAAAUUUUGUUGAUUACUCCCUCAAACAAGGAGCACCAGCUGGACACGAAUCAGCUGAGACACCAACUGGGCACGAAUCACUUGUCUUGUGUGCCAACAAGACAAGGUGAAACAAAGACAGCUUAGAGGCCUGUUGGAACCACUACCUAUAACAGAGCAUUCAUGAGACAGUGUCACCAUGGACUUCAUCAUUGGGGUACCCAAUUCGGAGGACAACGACUCUAUCAUAGUAAUAGUGGACAGGUUCUCUAAGUACAUAACCUUCAUAGCAGCACCUACUGACUGCAUUGCGAAGGAGACAAAAAGACUAUUCUUAAAGCACCUGGUCAAGUAUUGGGGGUUGCCUAACUAUAUCAUUAGUGAUCGUGACCCACUAUUCACUAGGAAGUUUUGGACACAGCUCUUCAAGCUUAUGAGUUGGGAGCUUCACUUCUCCACAACUUUCACCCAUAGACAGAUGGGUAGACUGAGAGGGUGAACACCUUAUUGGAGUUAUACUUGAGGCACUUCGUGAGUUCCAACCAGAAGGAUUGGGCUAAGCUGCUAGACGUGACCCAGUUCUCAUACAACUUGCAAAGAAGUGAGGCAACCAACAAGAGCCCGUUCGAGCUAGCCACAAGGCAGCAACCAUUAACUCCUCACACACUAGCAAUAGGCUAUACGGGGAGAAGUCCAACGACUUUCAAGUUCGCUAAGAGGUGGCACGAGCAAGCUGAUAUAGCAUGCUCAUACUUGGACAAGCCCACUAAGAAGAUGAUGAAGUGGGCUGACAAGAAGAGAGUCACAUAGAGUAUAAGGUCGGAGAUAUGGUGCUUGUCAAGCUUCUUCCUCAACAAUUCAAGUCGCUAAGGCUGCUACAUAAGGGCCUUGUGAUGAGGUAUGAAGGACCCUUCCCUAUACUUGGGAAGGUCGGUAAGAUGUUCUAUAAAGUUGAGUUACCACCGAGGUUGAAGAUUCAUCCUGUCUUCCAUGUAAGUUACUUAAAACCAUAUCACGGAGACAAGGAAGAUCCAAACCGAGGGAUGUCUAAGAUGGCACCUACAACGAUUGUGACCUCCUACGACAAGGCGAUAGAACUCAUCCUUGUAGACCAAGUUAUUAGGAGACAAGGCAUACCUCAUGCUACAAAGUACUUGGUGAAAUGGAAGGGACUUUUAGAGAGCGAGGCUAGUUGGGAGCCAGCAGAUGCACUAUUGUAGUUCCAGGAACAGAUUGAGUAGUUUCGGGUGAAAGGCGUGACGAGGGCGUCUAUAGCUUAGGUGGAGGAGAGUGUCAUAAGAUGUUUCAAAUGAGCCUCCCUAGGGAUUAUAUAGAGCCUAGGAAGUUUCUGAAGACUCCUACACUUAGCCAUUGGUGGGAAGAGUGUGGAAGGUUUUAGAGAUGCCUAGAGAUGUCCACAUCUCUACACUAUGGUGAAAAGCAUGAGAGGAGUCCAAGGCUUUCUAGAGAAUUUUAGAGAUUUCUUGUAUAUUCUUGUACAUAGGCUUGUACAUAGAAUUGUGUAUGAUGUUCUAGAUUGUUCUUGAGUUGUAAGGAACCCUCCAAGGUUCCAGAGAGUUUCAUUGGUGCCUAUAAAUAGGUGAGGGCCUCAUUUGGCCAAGGCACCAAGGAAGUGAGUUCCAAAGCACUUGUAAAGCUUCCUUUGAGCAAUAAAAGCUUCCAUUCUUUAAGAGUUGCCUACUAUGCCUUCUAAAGAUUCUAAGUCGUGACCAUCUUAGUUUAGCAAGCUAAUCAUCAGGAGUAAGGCUGACUUAGCAAGAUCAAGGGUUGGCUUGUCUAAGUGCCACAAGAGCUUAGGAAAAGACUAAGUCCGUAACAUUGUGAUGGUUUGAUUUCAUUAAGAUUAAGAGAGGUAUUUCAUGCCCAUAAAGUUCGAUGCGGAUUAAGCUCUAAUGAAUUUGUUGGGGGUUCAUUGGUUAAUGGUUAUGCAAAGCAAACAAAGUUAAAAGAUGCCAUUGAAGCUUUUGAUGAGAUUAUCGAAUUGGAUUUAGUUUCAUGGAAUAUUAUUAUUGAUGGGUAUGCACGGAACAACAGUAAAUAACAUGUUGUGAGAAUGUUCUCUCAGAUGCUUAAAGGAAAUGUGAGGGUCAAUGGCUUCGCUUUGACAAGCAUUAGAAAGACAUGCUCAAAAACCUGUAGAUUUGAAGCAUGGGAUGCAGUUCCAUGGUUGUGCAAUUAAAUUAGGUUUGGCUCAUGAAACACCAAUUUACAAUGCCCUUAUAACAAUGUAAUCAAAGUGUGAGAAAGGAAUGGCAUCUCCUAUUAAAAUUUUUUGGAGCAUUUCAAAACCCAACGAAAUCUCCUGGACCCCAAUGAUUUUUGGGUUCAUGCAAAAUGAGUAGAAUGAGGAAGCUAUUGGGUUAUAUAAGGAAAUGCUUAGAUUAGGUGUAAGAGAAAAUGAUUUCAGUUUUUCCAGUAUUCUUUCUGUGUAUAGUAAUUUGGCAAACCUUGAGCAAGGGAAGCAAAUUCAUGCUAGGAUUAUAUAGUCAUGGUUUGGAUUGGAUCUAUUAGUGAAAAAUGCCCUGAUAGAUAUGUAUUCCAAGUGUGGCAGCUUAGAAGAUGCACACCUGGUGUUUAUGAAAAUGGGAAAACAUGAUGUUGUAUCUUGCACAACGAUGAUUAUGAGUUAUGGCUAGCAUGGUAAGGGAAAAGAGGCUCUGGGAAUUCUUGCUGAAAUGAAAAGUGAAGGAUUGUUUCCAGAUGGUGUUACAUUUCUUGGUUACCUUUAUGCAUGUAAUCAUGGUGGUCUUGUUGAGGAAGGUCUAAGGGUGUUUAAAAUUAUGAUUGAAGUUCAUAAUCUCAAGCCUAAAAUGGAGCAUUUCGCUCGUGUUGUUGACAUGUUAGGUCAUGCUAGGAGGUUAAAUGAGGCAAAGAGUUUUAUUGAUGAGAUGGGGAUUGAGUCAGAUGUUUUGGUAUGGGAAGCAUUACUUAGUGCUUGUAGGGUUCAUGGUAGAUAGUAUUGGGAGAGAAAUCCGCCCAAAAGAUUAUGGAACUGCAACCAGAAAGACAUGGACCUUUUGUUUUGUUAGCUAAUAUCCAUGCAGAAAGAGGAUCGAGGGAAGACAAAGAGAUGGUGAGGAAGAAACUGGUCAAUCAUGGGUUGAAAUAGCAGGUUGGAUGCAGCUGGGUAGCAUUGGAGACGAUGUCAUGCUAAAAGAUAUUCAACUUUUGUGACAGGGAGUCUAUGACAAAGUAUUUUGAUUUUUGAAAUCUCUUAUCCCAAAUUGCAGGCCACACCAUUGUGUUGGAAUUUCUCAGUUUGUGCAUAUAGAUUUGAUGUAAAGCAGGAUUUUAUAACCUAAAAGAUUUUGAUAACAAGCACGAAAAAAUUCAAUACAUUGAUGUUGGAACUUGGAAGCAUCUGUGCCCAAAUACCCAAUAGAUAAUGCCAAACCUCUGUGUGCGCAAUGUUAAAUAUUAGAGGACCAUGUGAGUAAGGUGACUCAACCCUACAUCCGAAUGAACAAUGUCCAAUGACAGGUGAUGUGCACCAAAGGACACGUCGUUCAUGAAGCGAGACGACGAUUGACGAGGGUAAAAGAAGACAAAAAGUGAUAAGACGAAUGAUGAAUGGGUGUAGAAUAAAAUGAUGAAACAAGUUGGGAUAAAAGUGUAGCAAUGUGUGAUAAUGACGAACAACUCAUCACAUGAAUUCCAAAUCGAAGCAAGUCACUAUAUGACGGGAGUGGUGAUAUAGAUAAUGAUCUAAGGAACCUAGUGCAAAGGAAACCUAAACCUCACUCCCAAUAUGUCUCCCAGAUCCAUGGAGAAAAGGAUCGUACAAUGCUCUCAUCGACUCUUAAAAGAAGAAUAAGUCUCUCAAACCUAAAAUGACCUCUGAUGAUCAAGCCGUGAUAUUGUCAGCAAACCAUGCAAAACCUAAAUAUUAAUGACAUGAACAUCGAAUGAUCGUAAGUUUUUUUUUUUUAUGCGGAACAACCGACAAAGGAAGCCAACGACCAUACCAACAUGAUCUAACAAAUGUACCUCAAAUUCCAAACCCAAAUGGUUCUCACAAACUAAAACUUCUGGAUAAAAACCUAAGGGUGGAACAAAGGGUGUGACAAGCCUCACCUGCAGCUUCGGGAGGAGAGCGUGUCAUCAUCACAUAAGGGAAGAUGGAAGCGAAAAAGAAUCAAAAGGAUAGAAACAAAACUCAAAGACAAACAAAGUGAAGAUACUGGUUAUGGUGACGGAUGCAGAUAAGCAGGCCCUGCUAGCCUAAUGGGAAUAGCUGGCCUGUACUGAUCAUGCUAUAUCAUCUGAUAAGAGGUAUCUGAAAACAGCCUUUGAGUUUGAGGCCGAUAUGAAGACCUAUGCCUUAUCAUACCAAUGGUGCCAACAUUUGAUGGCAUGGGUCUUGACCCCGACUUCUUCCCUUUUGAGUAUGAGGGGGAAGAAUUUGCCCAUAAUCCUCUAGAUAUACCCUUCUUGAUGCCAUAGAGGGCCUGCACUAAGAAGCCAAAGUUUGUCUGUGGAAAACCCAUGAGAUGUCUAGCGUAGCGAGGCUAAAGACUGUGCAUAAUCAUACUAAUCCAAUCAUGCUCUGAGGGUCUGUCAAUAAUCUAUGUUAUCUUUUCCCUCCAACGGGAGAUAAAGGAGGUAACUAUCUCAUCCGGCCUCUAUCUAAGGGACUCUAACUCUUUCCUGGAUACAUCAACUAAAAUAUUAAAGGAAUACUGUUUGAGAAACUCCUGUGCCAAAUCGGUCCAUGUCCGGCGUCGUGAGAGGUCCAAUGAAGCAAACCACCGUUGGGCGACACCACUUAGGGAAAAGGGAAUAACAUGAUCAUUUGUGUCUCGUCUAACCUAUGCCCGAGCAUAAUAGCACUGUACAACUUCAAGUGAAUACGGGGGCACCCGAUCCCUAUGUAUCUCUCAAUGUCCGACAUGCGGAACUCAACCGGAAAAGCUGCAACAGGCAGGUCAUCAUACCCAUCCCAACUCAUGAUUCCAUUGAUGACAUGCAGUGACCUCAUCCUCUACUCAAUCCUCUCAAUGCGGGCCUAAGUAUCAUCUGCAACUUGGGCAGGGGCCACAACAGAAUGUGGCAUAGUCUUAGUCUGACCAUGUAAGACAAAGGCCCCUGCCUGUGAGGCUGACUGAACUGAGGGUGGUGGUGGAGGUGGGACUAUGUAGUCUGGUUGUAUGGUAGGUCCAAAUGGUGGUGGUGGUGGGGGUAUGGAAGAAUCAUGUGGGGUGGUCCCUUGAAUCGGUACUGGUGGGACCUGGUGCCCGUCAAUCCUCUGACCCAGUCCUAAAAUAACAUCUUUGAGUGAUGCCAUGGUAUCUGUAAUCUUUGCCAACUAGUCAACAGUAGCAUGCUGCGGGUUCAUAUCUCUCUGAACUAAUGUUUGUCCUGACUGGCUAUGCUGUUCUGAUCCUCUAAUAAGUUUACCUCCGACCCUGAUCCAAGCUUGAGAACCCAGGUCGGUCUCAAUCAAUAAUCCUACAAAAGAAAAGGGGUAUGUCAAUCCCCGUGACUACUAGUCUUGAAAUCAAUUCUGUAAUGUAAUCCCACGACUAAAUCCUCUAAGGGAAUGAACUAUCAUGUGAUGUUAACAACUAAUCUAAUACAUGGCUCCACGGGCAAGAACGGGAUUCUGACAUGGUGAUACCUUAGGGGUAAGGUGGCUCAAAAGCUAACAACGGGAAAAAACAAGUCCUAAAAGCUAGAUGACAAUACCCUCAAAGGGGAUACGCAACCUAAGAUUCUAACCAACAAUCAAAGUGGCACUCUGGCCACGUAAGUAUCCACGAAACCCAACUCAGGGCUAUACAGGUCUUCAUUGCUCGGAUAUCCGUCAUCUCCAUAGUGCUCCCAAACAUUGAUAUAACCCUUAUGCUAAACCCUAUUCCAAACCCCUAGUUUGGUCGAAGGCAAACAAUUGGGAAUGAGUCCCAAAUAAUUCAAGAAACCAAUCAGGAAUAGUCGACCAAGACUAGUGAUUCGGAAAUAAGAGGAUACAAGCGUGCCCCACAAAUACAAACGACAAGCAAUCAUGCAAGAGAAAGGGCAGUCAUGCAGCAAGCAGUCAUGCACAAAAAGAUACCCUACCAUACAAUCUACACACAAGCUAAUCAUCUAAGCCUAUCAUGAACCGCAAAACCAAGAACCAACAACAAUGAAUAAGCAUGCCACAACCAAUCAGGUGAGCACACAGGCAACAACUCAUCACAAGUGUAAGUCAAAUACCAACCAAGUAAGUGAUCACCAGUCACCUAUAAAGCCUAAGAGUAAAUUGGUCAAUUAACCAUGUACUCUAAUAUAACCAACUCAAGUUCAAGUUUGAUCCUCUUAUGAAACCAGAGAUUCUAGGUUCGAUCCCCAAUAGAGUAGAUAUUUUGUGGACCCUCACCAAAUCCACUGACCACCGCGACUCGCGAUUUUAAAAGUGAAAUGGAAAACUGGUUUUCGAGUUUUGAAAAAUUCGUCCCAGUGAGGAACAAUUUUGUUUAGAGUCGCCACUUACUUUUUAUUUUUAUUUUUAAAUGAGGGAAAUUUCAGUAAGAACAAAAACCCCAGCAUGACUCUAGUCAGGAAAAAGCGAUCUACGAAAACUAGAUUCUGGAUCCAGGAAUCAGGUUACCUAUCGGGAAGGUAUCUCAUGCGAGGUAGCACCUCUCUAGGCUCGGAACUUGGUCUCUACUAAUGAACUGGGUAUAUAGGAGAAUAUGGGUCAAAGAUCAAACAAACCUUGGGCUAAACAAAUGACAUGAAUCAUAUAGACCCGCCUAGUAUUUAGCAUGCACAUACACUCAACAAGCCAAAAUCAGAGUGUAUACUUGUGGUCCCCAGCCAUGCGCUGCAAGAAAAAGGUGAGACAAUAGGCACAAGCAUGUAGUAGGCAUUCAUGCUCAAGCAUCAAAGUUCACACUUAAAGAGGAAGUGAAUGGAAAUGAGGAUGACCAAUUGUUUAUUUCUUUUCACGUUUCCCAAAUAACAAUUCACCUAUCACGAAAUUCACAUUUUUACCAUUAAGGAUUCAGCCACAUUCUUCAUUGAAACAUGCAUUAAAAUAGAACCACACUCUCCAUUGAAACACACACUAAAAUUCAGCCUCUUUUUUCAUUGUUUACCAUAAAAAAAACCAACUAUAUACUCACCAUCAUGCAGCCGCCUUACUCACCUUUAACUCCAUUUGACAAUUCAAACACCAACUCACCUUAUGCAGCCCACAAAAUCCAUAGCUCCAAAUCUCAGAUCCUCUCAUCGAGCUUCAUGGUUGCACUCUUCCCCCCAUGAAAUUACUUCUUCUUACAUCCCAUAUGAAUUACCAUGGAUACAUCCAAGUUUCAAACAUUAGAUUCUUCAUAUGCGGCCACCAAAACAUCAUUGAUUUUCAUUAAAUUUUAGCCAUUAAAAUUAUGUGUACAACCUUGAGUUUCAACCACUUACCUCUCCGUUAACAUCCUCAUGCUAUGACCAAACUGCCCAUUUAUAAUAGAAACAAAAACUGUCCACUGAUCUUGUGAAUUCUCGAUAGCAUUUCUAUUUUCGUUUAAACAAAAAUUCAAUAACAAAUCAAAUCUUUUAUGGAAAUCCUCAUUUUUAAUUCAGAGAAAGAGACAAAAUCAACUAAUCUAAAAAAAAAAGUCAUGACACUUGUGCUUCAAACAAAAGAUAAAAAUAAAAUAAAGUAGAAUAAUAAUAAUAAUAACAAAAACCAAUUAAAUCACUUGUUAUAGAAUUUUCAUUUUUAAAUCAAUUAGAAAAUGACAACAACGAUGACUAAGUUAAUCUUCACAAAAUCUCCAUUUGUAAUUUUGAGAUCACUAACCUCUACUUGCAGCCGUAAUCUUUCUUGGAGAUGCAGAAAAUGAUGAUGCUAAUGAAGUUCUGUUAGUCUGAAACGCAGGUGGUGAGAUGCUAGACGGUACAUGUUAGCCUUUGAUGGCGGUGGGCAAUUCCCUCUCAAUUGAAGCUUCUCCCUCAAUCAAUGUUUUUUUUUUCUUUCUUUCUCCCGUUCUCUCUUUUUGAAGCUCAAAAAUCUUAUGUUUUUUUUUUUUUGGACCCCCCAUUUUUCACCUCCGUUUCUUCAUUUUUUUCCUAGUCCAUUCCUUUUCCCCCAAACUUGUUUUUUUCUUUUUUUUUUCUCCUUUCUUUUUCUUUCUCUCUAGGUGCCAAACCCUCAGAGACCUCUAGACUCUUUCCCCACGUUUCAGUUUUUCUUCUACAAAGUCCCUUUCAGGAUUUCCCAAAAAAACCCUUUUCUCUUCCCAACGUCCCCGCUUUUCCAAAAACCUCUCAAACUUCUCCUUCUUAGCAUCCGCACCACACCCUUUUCUUCCCAUUCAACUCUGGAAAAAUCACCUUUAGCUUUGGAACCCCCCAACACAUUCAGUUCCCUCAUUUCCCGAGGUGGCAGCUGCCCUCUCAUUACUUCAUAAUUCCUUGCCUACCAAGAAUCCACAUGGAUUCAAGGUGGGUUGCAAUUUACCUAAAAAAUGGCCCAAAUCGGACAUAAAACCAUCCUCCUAACCCAUAUGGAGCACCAGGGCUCGAACCAGCCUGAACAAGGACACCAAAAAUGCCAAAAACAAAGUUGUUCGCAAGCAGCCCCAAUGACCCGGUUGACUAGUUGCCAACCGGUCGACCGCCUAAAAAAGAACUUGAUGAACCGGUUGAACCGAUUAUCCAUCCGGUUGACCGAUUGAGGAAAAAUUUAAAAUGUUUUCAAAAUAUUCCUUGAAGAUUAAGGAAUCCAACAAAAAAAAUGGUGCAUAAUUCUGAGUUCAGAUGAGGGAGAUAUGAUUGAAACAAGCCCAAGUGCUCCGUAUUCGAACUUGCUCCUAUGAACUCCAACCGAAUUGAAGCUUUAGGGAGAUAUCACUUCCUUUCUUUAGCAUGAUGUGAACAACUAGGGAAUUGGCCAUGACGACACUCUAAAAUGAACUACACACUCGCACUACAUUGGACCGUAGAUGAACCUACACAAGACUCAAAAACCAAUCAAGCCCAAAAGAGGGCCAUGACGGUGCCAUAUGGAAAAAAUUGGUUGCAUGUGACACCCCUAAGAUAAAUGCAAGUUUCAAAGGAAAAAAUUGAGGGUCUACAACUAUGCAUCAACUUUGUUAUAUCUUGACCCAAUACUUUGGGUCAUCAUUAUAUGGGUGUGUUAUCUUUCCUUUGGGAUGCUAAGAUUUGUGUGAUUCUUGGAUGCAUAAAUGGAUAAUCGAUGUUAUUCGUUCUACCUGAGAUUUUGCUUAUCAAGUGCCAUACUGGGGCAUAUCCCCCUCUCGUUAAGGAGGACUAAUUGGGCCAAUAGUGCAUGGGAGGAUGGUCUGUAUUGAUUUCUUACUUCAUGUGAGAAUCAUUUGUUACACUGGAGCAUAUUCGUCACUUUGAUGAGAUGGAUGGCUUUGUGCCUUGUAUUUGUGGUUUCCUAUUCUACAUAGGGGAUUGAUGUCUUCAUGAUCAGUUUUUGCUUUUGUAGCCAGUUUAUCUCCUUAUAUGAGCACAUUCUUCAGUUUUUUUCAUUAUUUGUGAUAUUGUGGUUGGCUACAUAUGACUUUGCUUGGGACUGAGAUGGAUCCCAUCGGAUUUCACCCAGAAAGCAUCGAUGGACUCCCUUAUCAAGAGUUUAUGAGACGAUUUGUUUUUGCCAUAGUCGUUCUUUUAUCAAACUGUGAUGUACAUCUAUUGAGCUUUAUGUUUGAGAUCAAUUGACAAGGAAUUUAUUUGAAAUAUGAAGAGAUUUAUGUUUAUACUUCUCGAGACCUUUGUCAUGAUGUGUUGCUUCUUUCUCAUUAAGAUGUUUGCAGCUGCUUCUUUCAUUUGACAUUUUAGCAGCUUGAUGCAACCGUGAUACUGGGGUACACCCCCUUCUUUGAGAUUAUCAAGCUUAGGUUAGAAUAUGUUAUUACCUAGUUUAGGUUUUGAUUUUUUACAGGUCGUCAUACUGGGGAAUAUCCCUUGUGUAGAAGUUAUCAAAUUUUUCUUCAUUUUUUUCAUAGGCAUUCAAAGACAUCAUUUUCCUAGGCGUUUAGAGCCACCAUUUUCAUAGGCGUUCAGAGCCAUCAUUUGCACAGGCGUUCAGAGUCAUCAUUUUCAUAGGCGUUCAAAGCCAUCAUUUUCAUAGGCGUCCAGAGCCACCAUUUUCAUUGCAUUGACAUUCAAAGCCAUCAUUUUCAUAAGCGUUCAGAGCCACCAUUUGCAUAGGCAUUCAAAGCCAUCAUUUUCAUAGGCAUUCAGAGCCAUCAUUUUGAUAGGCAUUCAGAGCCAUCAUCUUUAUAGGCGUUUAGAGCCACCAUUUUCAUAGGUGUUAAGAGCCACUAUUUUCAUAGGCGUUCAGAGCCACCAUUUUCAUAGGUGUUUAGAGCCAUCAUCUACAUAGGCGUUCAAAGCCAUCAUUUUCAUAGGCCUUCUAAGCCAUCAUUUUCAUAGGCAUUCAGAGCCACCAUUUUCAUAGGUGUUCAGAGCCAUCAUUUUCAUAGGCGUUGAAAGCCAUCAUUUGCAUAGGUAUUUAGAGCCUUCAUUUUUAUAGGCAUUUAAAGCCAUCAUUUUCAUAGGCGUUCAAAGCCACCAUUUACAUAGGCGUUCAAAGCCAUCAUUUUCAUAGGCGUUCAGAGCCAUCCUUUUCAUAGGAAUUCAAAGCCAUUAUUUUCAUAGGCGUUUAGCGCCAUCAUCUGCAUAGGUGUUAAGAGCCAUCAUUUUCAUAGGCAUUCAGAGCCAUCAUUUUCAUAGGUGUUCAAAGCCACCAUUUGCAUAGGCAUUCAAAGUCAUCAUUUACAUAGGCGUUCAGACCCACCAUCAUUUGCAUAGGCAUUCAUCGCCAUCAUUUUCAUAGGCAUUCAAAGCUACCAUUUACAUAGGCGUUUAGAGCCACAACCAUUUACAUAUGCGUUUAGAGCCAUCAUUUGAAUAAACGUUCAGAGCCACCACUUGCAUAGGCGUUCAGAGCCACCACUUGCAUAGGCGUUCAGAGCCACCACUUGCAUAGGUGUUCAGAGCCAUUAUUUGCAUAGGAGUUCAGAGCCACCAUUUUCAUAGGCGUUUAGAGCCAUCAUUUGCAUAGGCGUUCAGAGCCAUCAUUUUCAUAGGCGUUCCGAGCCAUCAUUUUCAUAGGCGUUCAGAGCCAUCAUUUUCAUAGGCGUUCAGAGCCAUCAUUUUCCUAGGCGUUCAGAGCCAUCAUUUUCAUAGGCGUUCAUAGCCAUCAUCAUUUUCAUAGGCAUUCAGAGCCAUCAUCAUUUUUAUAGGCAUUCAGAGUCAUCAUUUGCAUAGGCGUUCAAAGCCAUCAUUUUCAUAAGCGUUCAAAGCCAUCAUUUUCAUAAGCAUUCAGAUCCAUCAUUUUCAUAGGCGUUCGGAGUCAUCAUUUUCGUAGGCGUUCAAAGCCAUCAUUUUCAUAGGCAUUCAGAGCCAUCAUUUUCAUAGGCGUUCAGAACCACCAUUUGCAUAGGCGUUCAGAGCCACCAUUUGCAUAGGCGUUCAGAGCCACCAUUUACAUAGACGUUUAGAGCCACCAUUUACAUAGGCGUUUAGAGCUACCAUUUACAUAGGCGUUUAGAGCCAUCAUAAUUUUCAUAGACAUUCAGAGCCAUCAUUUUCAUAAGCGUUCAGAGCCAUCAUUUUCAUAGGCGUUCAAAGCCAUCAUUUGCAUAGGAGUUCAGACCCACCAUUUGCAUUGGCUUUCAAAGCCAUCAUUUUCCAUAGGCGCUCAGAGCCAUCAUUUUGAUAGGCGUUCAAAGCCACCAUUUGCAUAGGUAUUCAUAGCCACCAUUUACAUAGGCGCUCAGAGCCACCAUUUACAUAGGUGUUUAAAACCACCAUUUACAUAGGCAUUCAGAGCCACCAUUUGCAUAGGCGUUCAAAGCCAUCAUUUACAUAGGCAUUCAAAGCCAUCAUUUACAUAGGUGUUCAAAGCCACCAUUUACAUAGGCUUUCAGAGCCAUCAUUUGUAUAGGCAUGCAGAGCCACCACUUGCAUAGGCGUUCAGAGUCACCAUUUGCAUAGGCAUUCAGAGCUACCACUUACAUAGGCGUUCAGAGCCAUCAUUUACAUAGGCGUUUAAAGCCACCAUUUGCAUAGCGUUCAGAGCCAUGAUUUACAUAGGCGUUCAGAGCCAUCAUUUUCAUAGGCAUUCAAUGUCACAUCCUAUAAACCUCUUAUUCAGGGUAUUUCUUUCCUUGUAUAUGGUUUAUCUUGGAAUUUAUUACAUCAUGUGCUAGGACAAAAUUUUUUGUCUUUCUUAGUUCUUCAGUAUAGUUCAUUUCAUUCCACUCAUUACUCGUGUUUCCACUCAUAUUCCCUACACUCAUGAUCUCUACCGAAGAGGGGCAUAUUUGUAGACCCUCCAUUUUGUCCUACUAGCACAUAUCCUAUUACAUGUCCAUUUGAUACUUUACAAUAAUUCCCUGUUGACCCAUUGGGCACCACCUUAGGCCCACUUUUGCACCCCAGGCCUAUUUAGAUGCACUUGGCCCAUUAAGUACACUCCUAGGUCACUUGACACAUUUAUAAUCACCCUACAUCACUUAGGCAUAUUUCUAAACCUUCUAGGUCACUUAGCAUAUUUUUGAUCACUUAGACACCUCCUUAGUUUAAUUUCCACCUAAUUCACCUUGGCACUUUCCACUUAGGUCACUUAGGCACUUUUUCACCUAGGUCACUUAGUGUUUUUUUGGGCUUAAUUCCCUAAGAUUAAUUUCUUGAUUGCUUGAUGUUUUAGAUUAGGUGAGUAUUUGGCUUGAUUUUGAUUUUGAUUGCUUAAGAUGAAUUUUCGAUGUUUAAUUGUGUCGAUUUGAUAUUUUGUUUUUUUUGUUUUUUAGUUUAAUAUUUAGAUUAUUGUUACAUGCAUGUUGUAUUUAUUUAUUUUUCCUGCUUUAUUUAUUUGUUCAUCCACUUAUUUAUUUUUAGAAAAUUGCAUGUGCUUGGGAACCUGAUUAUCUUAUUAUUAUUAUUAUUAUUAUUAUUAUUAUUAUUAUUAUUAUUAUUAUUAUUAUUAUUACUAGUAUUAUUAAUUAUUAUUAUUAUUAGUAUUAGUAUUAUUAUUAUUAUUAUUAUUAUUAUUAUUAUUAUUAUUAUUAUUAUUAUUUACUUGUUGUAUGUUUGUUUAUUAUUAUUUCACUCUUCUUAUUUAUUUUCAUUUUUUUUUCAUAUACGUUUGUUUAUCUUUAUUUUUAUUUUUUACUCUUUUAUUUUAUUAAAUGAAAAAAAGAAAAAGAAAAAAUGGGAAAUCGACGGACUGCAUAGGAGAGGAGAGAGCGAGGGGUUUGAAUUUUGGUUAAAAUUAAAAGAAUUUGAUGGAUAAAGAGAGGGUAUCGGAAAAAAAGAAGAAAGACAGAUUACAAGAGAUGGAAAAAGGGAUUUUUUUUAGAAAAAAGAGCAACUGGGGUUUUCCGAGGGGUGUAUGGAAAAUAGAGAUGGGUAGGCAAUCUUAAGAGAGAAGAAAAGAAAUGGUGAGGCGUGGGAAGUCUGAUAAGAGUUUGGGGAGGUUUUCAAAAAGAGGGAGAGAGACUUAAGAAUAGAAAGAAAUAGGGGUCGAAUAGAUAGAGAGAAAAAAGGAGUCUGAAAGAAGAGUUGGAGAGGUUUUGAGGGAUGAAGGAUUCAGAUAGGUGGAGAGAAGAAAGCAGUCUGAAAGAAGAGUUAGAGAGGUUUUGAGGGAGAAGGGAUUCAGAUAGGGAGAAGAGAAGAGGAGGGGACGUUUUAGGGAUGAAGACUUAAGAAAAAAGAAAACAGAGAUUGGAAAGAAAAAAGAGAAAAAUAGAUAAUGGAGGGAGAAGAGUCUGGAGAGGUUUUUAGAGAGAAAAGUCAAAAUGGAGACUUAAAAAAAAUAAUAAAAAAAUGAUUGAGAUAGAAGCUUUAAUUGAGAUGGAAUAGUCCACCUCCAUUGAAGGCUAACACACACCAUCUUUAGCAUCUCUCCAUCUACAUUUCAGACCAAUAGAACAACAUUAGCAUCACCAUUUUUUGCACCUCCAGGAAAGAUUACAACUCUAAGUAGACGUUAGUGAUCUCCAUUUUAAAUUAAAAAUGAAGAUAUCAUAAAGGUUAAUUUAGUCAUUGUUGUUUUUUUUUCUAAUUGAUUUAAAAAUGAAGAUGCUAUAACAAAUGAUUUAGUUGAUUUAUGUUAUUAUUAUUAUUAUUAUUAUUUAUUUUUUAUCUUUUGUUUAAAGUACAAAUGCCAUAAUUUUUUUUAAGAUUAGUUACUUUUGUUUCCUUCUCUGAAUUAAAAAUGAAGAUUGCCAUAAAAGAUUUGAGUUGUUAUUCAAUUUUUGUUUAAAUGAAAAUAGAAAUGCUAUUGGAGAUUCAUAAGAUCAGUGGACAGUUUUUGUUUCAAUUAUAAAUGGGCAGUUUGGUUAUAGCAUGAAAAUGUUAACGAAGAUGUAAGUGGCUGAAACUCAAGGUUGCACACAUAAUUUUAAUGGCUAAAAUUUAAUGAAAAUCGUUGGUGUUUUGGUGGCCACAUAUGAAGAAUCUGAUGUUUGAAGGUUAGAUGUAUUCAUAGUAAUUUGUGUGGGUUGCAAGAGGAGGUAAUUUCAUGAGGAAAAGUGCAACCAUGAACCUCGAUGAGAGGACUUGAGAAUUGCAACUAUGAAUUUUGUGGGCUGCGUGAGGUGUGUUGGUGGCUGAAUUUUCAAAUGGAGUUAAAGGUGAAUAAAGUGGCUGCAUGAUGGUGGAUAUAUAGCUGAAUUUUUUAUGAUAAACAAUGAAGAAGGUGGCUGAAUUUUAGUGCGCGUUUCAAUGGAGAGUGUGGUUCCAUUUUAAUGCAUGCUUCAAUGAAGAAUAUGACUGAAUUUUCAAUGGUAAAAAUGUGAAUUUCGUGGGCUGCAUAAGGUGUGUUGGUGGCUGAAUUUUCAAAUGGAAUUAAGGUGAACGAGGCGGGUGCAUGAUGGUGGAUAUAUAGCUGAUUUUUUUUAAUGAUGAACAAUGAAGAAUGUGGUUGAAUUUUAUCUACCAUUUUUCUUUUUAGUUUCAAAUGACAUUUUUAAAAUACAAUUUUUUAAAAAUGCUUGCUGUUUGUCUUUUAACAUUUUUAAAAUCCUUUUCUUUCAUUCAAUCUUUAAAUUUCAAUCCACAAAUAUUUUUCCUAAAUUUUCUGAAACUCAAAUUUUAAAAUACAACUUUUAAAUAGUCUUCUAAAAUUUAGUUUUCUUUUUCUUUUUUAAUACAAUUUUCAAUUUUUAAAAAUUUUUUCAAAACUUAAUUUUUUUUAAAAACCAUUCUUAAAUUCUCAGAUUUUCAAAAUUCCAAAUCCAUUUUUUAAAAUAUUAACUUCAAAUAAAUUUUCCAAAAUUCCAAAACUCUUAAAUUUCCAAAAUUUCAUUUUUUUAAACACCAUUCUUAAAUUAAUUUUCCAAAAUUCUAUUUUUAAAAUUUUCAAAAUUCCCAAAUUCACAAAUUUAAUUCUUUAAGUUUCCGCUACCAAAAUUCCACUUCCAAAAUUUUAUUUCCAAAAUUCCAAAACUCUUAAAAUUCCAAAUUUUCAUUUUAAAAAAAAAACACCAUUCUUAAAUUAAUUUUCCAAAAUUCCAUUUCUAAAAUUACCAAAAUUUCCGAAUUUCCAAAUUUAAUUCUUUUAGUUUCCGCUACCAAAUUUUCCAAAACUCAAAAACUCUUAAAAUUCCAAAGUUUUGAAAAUUCUGGAUUCAAUUUUUUUAAGUUUCCGUUUCCAAGGUUUCCAAUUUCCAAAAUUCCGGAUUUAAUUUUUUAAGUUUCCAUUUCCAAAAUUUCAAAAACUCCGAAUUUAAUUCUUUAAGUUUCCAUGCAUGUGACUUUCAUGAAUUUGAUGGUCUUUAGUUAAUCAAGUUCAACUGAAUUUUUUUUAUGGAGAAUUAUGGAAUUUGUGGUUAUUAGUGGAUGAAAUUCAAGCGGGAAAGAUGUUAAUUCCCAGCUGAAGACCAAUGGAAUAGGAAUAGCUAAAUUUUAACCAUGUAGUGAAGUCUCAUGGCUACAUUUUGAUGGUUGUUUGGUGAAGCCUAGAGGUUACAUAUAUAGGGUUUGGUCAUGGCUGAAAAAUUUUAGUAAAUUUGGGGUUUUCAUAUAUUGUGUGCUUGUACUUAUUAACUCACCAUUUUCCUCAGUGUACGACUAGGAACCUUAGGUACGCACCUUUGUUCUGAUUAUUGAUUUCCUAUGCAUGCCGAAUACCAACUAGAAUUAUAUGAGUCUUCGUUAUCCAUGUAGCCCGGGAAGGGGGGGGGCAAUUGACUGAUCUUUGACCCAUAUGUUCCAAUGUACCCAAUUCACUAGUAGAGACCGGAUCCCGGGCCUAGAGCGGUGCUACCUCGCAUGAGGUACCUUCCUAAUAGGUAACCUGAUCCCUAGACCUAGAAAUCGAGUUUCGUAUACCACUUUUUCCUAGUUGGAGUCAUUGAGGGGUUUUUGUUCUUACUUAAUUUUCCUCAUUUCAAAAAUAAAAAUAAAAAUAAAAAGUGGCGACUCUAAACAAAACUGUCCCUCAUUAGGGACAUAUUUUCCAAAACUCGAAAACCACUUUUCCUCCACUUUAUUAUUUUCAAUCGCGAGUCACGCCUAUCAAUGGAUCGGGAGAGGUCCACAAAUUGGAGACUCCACUAGGGAUCGAACCCAUAAUCUCUUAUUUCAUAAGAGGAUCAAACUUGAACUUGAGUUGGGAAUAUUGGAGCACAUGGUUCAUUGACCAAUGGACUUUUGGGUCAUUUGGAUGACUAAUGAUCACUUACUUGGUUUACACCUGUGAUUUGUUGUUGCUUGUAUGUUCAUUUCAUUGGUUGUAGCAUGUUCGCUCAUUAUUGGUAGUGCUUGGUCUUGUGAUUCAUGAUAGGCAUAGAUGAUUAAUUUUUGUGUAGAUUUUGUGGUAGGUUGGCUCUUUGCGCAUGACUCACUAUCUCUUGCAUGACUGCUUGCUGCUUGUCUUUGUGGGCCGCAUAUAUAUCCUUUUACCUCCAACCCUCUGGUUUCGGUCAUUUUCUUCCUUUCGGCUCUUACUUUUGCAAGUGUGAGGCCUUAUGUGUGCUUAUUUCUCUGACCGAGCUAGAGAUUAGGAGUAGGGUCUAACAACGGCCAAUAUCGAUGUUUGGGAGCAUUCUGCAGGAGAUCGACACACUAAUAUUGGUUGGAACAUGAUCUUUGAAGACCUGUAUAGCUCAGAGCUAGGUUUCAUGGAUAUUUGUGUGACCAGUGUGUUUAUUUUUUGUAGUUUUAGCUUCAUAGGAUUUUUGGAUGCACCCACACCACUCACUAUGCACUUUAGUUGACUAUUGAGUGUUGAGAGUUGCGAGAACUUUUACCAUAGGAAACCCCCUGGGAUGUCGAGGUAGUACAUGUGUGGAGGUGAUGACCACCUUGCAUGGAAGCACCCUGUCUUUUUGGAGAUGUACAGAGGGUUUCGUACCGUUGGAGGGAGAGAAUUGAUUGAUCUUUGACCCAUAUGUUCUAAUGUACCUAACUCACUAGUAGAGAUCGGAUCCCGGGCCUAAAGCGAUGCUACCUCAUAUUAGGUACCUUCCUAAUAGGUAACCUGAUCAUUGGACCCAAAAAUCGAGUUUCGCAGACCGCUUUUUCCUAGCUGGAGUCAUUGAGGGGUUUUUUUUCUUUCUUAGUUUUCCCUAUUUAAAAAAUAAAAAUAAAAAGUAAGUGGCAAUUCCAAACAAAAUUGUCCCCAUUAGGGACAGAUUUUCCAAAACUUAAAAACCACUUUUCCUCCAUUUUAUUAUUUUCAGUCAUGAGUCGCGUCGGUCAGUGGAUCGGGGGAGAGUCCACAGUCGCCUCCAGUAAACUAAUGUUGUUUCCCACUAUUUGUGUAAUGUCCCACAUUGGAUAGGGAUGAAAGUUCCUAGCACUAGAUAUGUAGAGGCUUCUCUUAACCAAGUAGACGCGUUUUAAAGCCAUGAGGGUCCCUUUGGGUCCAAAGCAGACAAUACCUACACGGUUGGGAGUGGGUCAUUACAAAAUGGUAUCAGAGCCAAUCCCCGACCCUAGUGUGGGGGUUUGUUUGGCUCCGUAAAGGGUGUUUGUCUAUUUGACCCCACAAUCCAUGGGACACAACAAGGAUGUUGUAUCUGCAUGGGGGAGUGUUUGUGAUGUCCCACAUCAAAUAGGGGAGAAAGUUCUUGGUGCUAUAUAUGUAGAGGCUCCUCUUAAUUAGGUAGACAUGUUUUAAAGCAGUGAGAGUCCCUUUGGGUCCAAAGCGGACAAUAUCUGCAAGGUUGGGAGCGGGUCGUUACAAUUUGAUAUUAUUGUUUCAUGGAUGGGGAGGUUAUUUAAGGAUGAUGAAAUUAGGUAGGUGGUAUCCCAAAUAAAUACACUACAUAUUGAUACAUAAAAGGCCUUAGUUUGGAUGAUUUUCGCGUGAAUAGUAGUUUCUAGAAAUGGAACUUUAAGAGGAAAGCAGAAAUGUUCAUGGAAAUUAAACAAUCAAAAAUAUUUUCUUUUUUACAUCUUAGUUUUGAUAAAUAUAUAUUUUUUCUUUUUAAUCGAUUAUGAGUUGCUUUCUUUUCAAAAAUCACAAUCCAUUAGAUUGAAUUUCCAAUUGAUAACUUAAUGGAUAAACAUUUGCAGGAGUCCAUGACUUUCUUUGUUAUGUCAAAACACUAUUCUUUUGCCCUAGAUAGAAAUUAAGAGACAAAGGAAUAAAUGUUUUCUAGAAAUAUUUGGUUUGGAAUCAUAAGAUUUUGUUGGGCUUGAAAUAGGGGACAAAUGAACAAUUGUGGCUUUCAAUAUAAUAGAUUAUAAGCCCAAGUAGUUCUUUUUCAUAUUCAUUAUUUUUCUCAAAGCUUUGUUUUGUUUUGGAUAUCACUAACAACUGGUCAUUAGUCUACAGUCAAACGACUUCUACAUUAUUGUAAGGGCAUAACCACUCAUGGUCUUCAUCUUCUAAAGAACUCUCCAAUGUCACUAUAUGCCUUCUUCAAUGCCAAUUGGACUGGUAAUAAAGACGACCAAACAUCCACCAUUGCCUAUGUCAUCUUCCUUGGGUCCAAUGUUAUUUCCUAGAGCUCCAAGAAGCAAUGUUUUGUCAUUAAGUCCUCAAUAGAGGUUGAAUAUAGGAUGGUUGCCUUUAUAACAAAUGAACUCACCUGGAUCCAAUCACUUCUCAUUGAACUUGACAUCACUUCAAUGCUCUAUCGACCAUCUAUUGUGACAAUGUUAGCAUCAUCCAUCUUUGUGUAAAUUCAGUCUUCCACUCUCCCAUGAAACAUAUUGAGAUUGAAUUCCACUUUGUUCAUAAUAAAAUUCAAUAAGGUCAACUUUGUGUCUCCCAUGUCAGCUUUAAUGAUCAACUAAUAGAUGCUUUGACCAAACCUUUAUCUCAACAAUGACUACAAGAUUUAUGCAUCAUGAUUGGUGCUCUCUCCAAGAACUCCAUCUUGAGGGGGCAUAAUAAGGAAAACCAAUCAAACAAAAAAAUCAUGGGAUUGUAAUUAGUAUGUUUUUAAUUUAUUUUAGUUAGUUUUAUUUUCUUAUUUUUGGUAGUGUAUACAUUCUUAUUUUAGUUAGCUUCCUUUUUGUUUUUAUUUUUAGUAGUGUAUAUUGUCAAAGGGGUGCUUUUAGCGCUUUUAACUGAAGAAUGCAUGCAACAACAAAGUCACAUGAAACCCACUUUAAGAAAGUUCAAGAUAGGUACUGUGUGCGUAGGAUAAAUAGGGAAUAGUUAGGGUUGUUAAGGUGCUAUUUGUCUAUAAGAAAAAGAAUAUUUUAUAGCUGUCAAAAUUGAGUAUAAAUAUGGAAAAAAAAAAUCAUAGUAGUGCAAUACACAAAGACAUGAAGUUUUUCUGGAAAUUUCUCUUUUUUCGUUCUCUUUCUUUAUAACACUUAUCAUGGUAUCAAAGCACUAUUGGUCCUAAAGACACCACAAUUCCAAUUGAAAUCUGGCAUAAUCAUAUAUAUAUAUAUGUCAGUUAGCAAACACUAUCAAAAUAUCUAUUCUUUUACCUUUGUUGAAUUUCUCUUAUCUUUACUUCUCUUCUUCUUCUCCAUUCUAGUUUUACUUGAUAUUUAGAUCAACAAAACUUCAAUAUUAGAAAUGAUGUCAUAUCUCUCCAUUACUUUUGGAACGUUCGCUCAUCCCUUAGUAGUGAAGUUAGAUAGAAAUAAUUUUCUAUUAUGGUGUCAAAAAGUAAUGGCAGCCAUAAGAGGUCACGGUCUCCAACGUUUUGUCCUACAAGAAAACUACUCAUCUCCUCCAUAAUUUCUUAUUGAACUUGAUUAACAAGCUAGUCGAAUCAAUCCUAAAUUUAUAGCGUGGCAGCAACAAGAUCAACUUCUAGUAUACUGGUUUCUAUCCUCCAUGAGUGAAAAUAUUCUACGACACAUGGUUGGAUCAAAUAUCACGUUUGAUAUCUAGCUAGAGAAACACUCUUCACAUCUCAGUGCAAAGCAAGGAUUAUGCAACAUAAAAUGCACUGCUAACUAUAAAAAAAAUGUGGAUCCACUAUGGCUGAGUAUCUUUUCAAAUUCAAAGGCAUUAUAGAUGCCUUAGCCUCCACUGAUAAUAAUGUUUCUAAAGAAGACUAGGUAUUGCAUGUACUUGUUGGUUUAAGCUCUGAAUAUGAUUCAUUUGUUAUUUAUAUCACCACAAGAAUUGAACUUUCAAAGUUUGAGGACAUUGCAGCUCUACUAAUAACACAUGAAACUAGAGUAGAACAACAUCUUCACAGCUUGAUUGAAAUCAAUUCUCUUGAUAUUAACAUGAACACUUCUAAUCCUAGCAAAACAACUCGUUUUGGACUUGGUAGAAGAUCUUCUCCAAAUGCAAUGCUUUAGGGAAGCCCCCAAUAGGUACAAUUUACUUACAAUGUAGGAGGAAGACGAUCAAACCUUUCACCACAACGUGGAAGAGGACUAAGCCAAAACCACAAUGCCAGAUAUGUUACAAAAUAGGCUACACUGUCGCUCAGUGCUUCUACAGGUUUGAUCAAGAAUUUCAAGCCUUAACUUACACUACCAACAAUCAAUCCAUGACUGCUAUGUUAGCCACUCCUAAAGUGGUGGGUGACCCUUAUCGGUUUCCAGACUCUGGAGCUACAAACCAUUGCACACCAACAAUUGGCAACCUCACAAAAAAAAUCUACCCAUGAUGGUCUUAAUCAAGUUUACAUGGGUAAUGGAGAAGGUGAGUCGAUUUCUCACAUAGGAGAAUCUUUUUUGCACUCAUCAACCUCACUAUGUAUUCUUCAUCUUAAAAAUCUCGUACGCAUACCUCAUCUGACAAAGAAUCUUAUUGGUGUGUCCAAAUUUGCUCAAGAUAACAAAGUUUUCUUUGAGUUUCUCCUUAAUGCAUGUUUUGUUAAGGACCAAGUUACAGGUGCAAUCCUGAUUCAAGGCACACUUGAAGGUGGUCUAUGUGUCUUUCAUGUACGGCCUUCCACAACUAGCUCACAACAUCCUGAACUAUCCACAUUGGUGAAUAGUAUUUUCAAUAAGUCCAAGUAUACAACAAUUCCAAGCCAUUCAUCAAUACAAGCUUUGUCCUCCAUUGCAUUAGAUAUUUCCUCUCAACUGAAUGUUUGACACCAACAACUGGGUCAUCCUUCUCUCUCUAUACUUAAACGUGUACUCAAUGCUUGUAAUAUUUCCUACUCAAAGAAUAACAGAGCACUUCUAUGCACUACCUGCCAAUUAGGAAAACAACAUAAACUUCCAUUUCAAUCCUCAUACACUAUAUACAAACAUCUGUUAGAAUUAGUUCAUGUAAAUAUUUGGAGUCCUAUCCCUUGUCUAUCAUCAGGAGGGUUUCGCUACUACAUUUUCUUUACAGGUCAUGCCACCUGAUACUCUUGGUUCUACCCACUUCAUACCAAAUUGGAAGCACUACCUUGCUUUAUUAAGUUCAAAACAAUGAUGGAACUACAACUUAAUACAUCUAUCAAACACCUACAAACUGAUGGUGGUAGUGAAUUCAAAGCCUUCCACACCUUCCUUCAAUCAUGUGGCAUUCUUCAUCGCAUUUCAUGCUCUCAUAUUCAUGAACAUAAUGGUCUUGUUGAACGUAAGUAUCGACAUAUUGUAGAAGUUGGACUCAUUCUUCUAGCUCAAUCUCAUCUUCCCCUCAAUCUUUGGGAUCAUGCUUUCCUUACUACCGUUCAUAUUAUCAAUUGUAUUCUCACUCUUGUACUUCCAUCAUAAGCCCUCUUAUUCUCAUCUCUGAGCAUUUGGCUAUAGAUGUUAUCCUUGUAUUCAUCCUUAUAACACUCACAAGUUUUCAUUUCAUUCCACUCCUUCCAUUUUUUUAGGUUGCCCUAAAAGCCAAAAAGGCUUUAAGUGUUUUGCCCUGAAUGGAAGAAUUUAUAUCCCCUCACAUGUAUCCUUUGAUGAAUCCUAUUUUCCAUCCCUUUCAUGAACAAUCUUUUCUCCCUUAUCCAUUCCCACUUUCUUCAACCCACUAUCUCAUAUCUCUUCUUGUUUCUAAUUCUAAUCCUCCUUUAUCCCCUCCACGACCUUUCUUCCCUUCAACUUCCAACAAUCCCUCAAUUCACCACUUUGUGCCUCAACCUCUCUCUCACAACACACAUCUCUAGCUCUUGUCAUCUAUAAUAACUGGACCAUGAGACAACUUGAUUUUAAUAAUGCAUUUCUCAAUGACAUUCUCAAGAAAAAUGUCUAUAUGAUCCAACCUCUUGGUUUUAUUGAUACUACUCAUCCUAACUAGGUGUGUAAGCUUCAUCACGCUUUGUAUGGUCUCAAGCAAACUCCUAGGACAUGGUUUGAAUGUCUCCACUUACUACUACAUCAACUUGGUUUUCAUUCCAAAGUAGAUAGAUUUUUCUUCCUUAAGUUUGAGGAUGGUCAUUAAUCUUUCUAUAUACUUAUCUAUGUGGAUGAUGUUAUCAUCAUAGGAAACUCUCCCACUCAGGUGCAACAAUUUGUCCAUCAACUACAAGCUUUAUUUGCCUUGCAAGAUCUUGGAAACUCAUCCUAUUUCCUUGGACUUGAACUAAAUACUACUCCUCAGGGUGUUCUCUUAUCACAGCAAAAAUACAUCACUGAAAUCUUUCACAAAGCUCAUAUGGGUGAAGCCAAGCCAAGACCUACUCCCAUGGUCAAAGGUGUUUCUCUCUUAGCAUAUGUCGAAACUAUCUUUGAUGAUCCUCACCUUUAUCAUUGCAUUGUUGGCAGCCUUCAAUAUGCCAUCAUUUCCAGUCCAGAGAUCAGGUUUGUUGUAAACCAAGUUUCUCAAUUCAUGCAACACCCCUUGGAACCUCAUUGGAAAGUCGUGAAACACAUCCUCUGUUACUUAAGAGGCACAAGUGAUCAUGGACUCCUAUUUAACUCACAUUCCUCUCUCAAAUUAGUAGCACUCUUUGAUGCAAAUUGGGCAUCCAAUCUUAAUUACCACAAAUCAAGUAGCAGAUAAUGGCUAUUCUUAGGUCCAACCUUAUCACUUGGAGUUCUAAGAAGCAAACCAUGGUUUCCCGUUCUUUUACUAAGGCAAAAUACCAUUGUCUUGCAACUAUAGCAGCAUAACUCACCUGGGUUCAAUCCCUACUUCAAGAAUUACAUAUUUUUCUUCCACUCCCUCCAAUGUUGUGGUGUGAUAACCAAAGUUCUAUUGCCCUUCCCAACAAUCCCAUGUUUCAUGCCCACACAAAAUAUAUUGAGCUUAAUGUUCAUUUCAUUCGUGAAAAGGUCCUAAACCGUCAACUUUCCAUCCAACAUGUCCUCUCUCUUGAUUAAAUGGUUGAUUACUACCAAAAAGUGCUAUUUUGUAGACCUAAUUAUAAUGGUUUUAAGCACCUUUGUGUAGUAAUCAUAUUAAUUUAACCCAAUUAAUUCAUUAAGGUCCUUAGUAAUUGGUUUUAACCAUUUUGUGGCAAGUUUACAUGUUUUUAUCAGCUUAUGAAUCAAUUCAAGCAUGCCAAAUGAUGGAGGAGCUUCUUGGACAAGUUAAAGCAAGGUUUUAGCUACACCAAAGCAAGCCAACAAAAGGAGAGAAGCAAAGAGAAGCAAAGGGAAGCAAAGAGGAAAACAGAGGACAGCAGCUGCAGUCUUCUUUGGCACUUUUGGAGCACUUCCCGAAGUCCAUUUUAUACAUGCUAUAUACCAUUUCAAAGCUCAGGAAGUCAAGAAUCCAACGCUUCAAACCGUGUACGAUUUGGAGCUGAAAUGAGGAAGAUAUGGCCUUUGGAAGACAACUGCAUCAAGCUGAGGGACAAUUUCGCACACCACUGUUCAAGGUGCGAAUUCCUCAGUCCACUGUGCGAGAAUUUCGCACACCUCAAAUCAACGUGCGAAAUUGGAACUCCAACGUGCGAAUUUUCCCCUGUUUCUGCCGACUCCACACGAGAUCUUUUCUUUUAGAUAUUUUUGUAUAAAUUUCCAUUCUUCUCCUUGUAAUCCACGAAUCAUAAGAUUUCUUAGCUAGGAAGGAUUGGAAAAACUUCUCUAUAUAUAUUCCCUUGCAUCCAUUGUAAUAAUUAUCGAUCAAUAUAUAGAAUAUACAGAGCCUUGCUCUGUUUUUAUCUCUUCUCCUGUUCUUCUCCCGUUUCUACUUUCUUAGUAGCCAAACAGCCUCUGAGGGUUUUUCCUCAAAGGAUGAUUGGCUAAAACUUUUAGUUUCUCAAAGUAUGGAUGUUAUGUGAUGGCUUGGAUGCAAUCCCAUGGAAAUUUCUCGCACCCGGAAGGUAAGGUAGUUGUUUUUCAUUAAUGGUUCAUUAAUGUAAAGUUUGGUUUUUAUUUCCUUUGGACAACUUCCAACGGCCAAUACUUGAUAAGCUUUUGGAUUUUUAUCCAUUAGUUAUCUCCUACGAGCUAUUGGAAGGUGAGGUUUUCAAAUUCCAAGUUUUGCAUUAAUCCGUUAGAACCAAUUUCAAUGGCCAUUGAUAGGUGAGUUUAUCACUUGGAAUGACUUUGAGUUGCCAAUAUUUGGUAAGCUUUUGGCUUUAGACCAUUAGUUAUCUCUUACGAGCCAUUCAAAGGAAGUCUAAGGUGAAUAACCAUUGAUGAAAUUCACUACCAUCUGUUUUGUCAUUUUAAAGGAUUAAAACUUGAUUUGCUAAAUCCAUACCGGUUCGGGAAGCAAGCAUCACCAUAGUUGCAACCCCAACGCGAGGAGCCUAUCCUGAGAUUUCCAAUUUGCAUGAGAGCCAGAGCAUAACUAUCCUAUCUUUGAGAAACUUGUUUUUACACCCUUUCAUUUUAGUCUUUAAUGUUAGCUUAGAUUAGUUUAAAUCUUUCUAAAACAUUUGCAUCUUCUUUUAAAGCUAACAUCCAUAAGAAAAUCACCUAUUUUCCUAAUUUGAAUAUCACUUGUGUUUGCGAAAACCCUUCCCAGUGAACGAUCCUAGAACCACUAUGCUAUAGUAGCUUGGCUACUUUAGUAAUAGUAUUCAAGGUAUAAAUUUUGUUGAUACGCCUUAAGCUAAGCUACCAUGAGUCGAAUCAAUGGCAAACCACUUCAUGCUCAAUGCUUCCAACAUCUUCGCAACAAGUUUCACGUAACCUCUCUUUCACAUUUAAAAGGGAAUAACAUAUCCAUGCAAGACAAAGUUGAAAAAGGUUCUUCAACAAACGUUUCAAAAAAGUCUACAUUCAGCUUGAAGGGACAUGUCAAAGGGAUGCCUUCAGCGCUUUUAAUUGAAGAAUGCAUGCAACAACAAAGUCACGUGAAACCCACUUCAAGAAAGUUCAAGAUAUGUACUAUGUGUGUAGGAUAAGUAGAGAAUAAUUAGGGUUGUUAGGGUGUUGUUUGUCUAUUAGAAAAAAUAAUAUUUUACAACCGUCAAAACUGUAUAUAAAUAUGAAAAAAAGAAUCAAAAUAUUGCAAUAAACAAAGACAUGAAGUUUUUCUGGAAAUUUCUCUCUCUUUUCAUUCUUUUUUUAGAGCACUUAUCAUAUAUAUCCUUUAUUUUAGUUAGUUUCCUUUUUUUUUUUUUUUAGGUAGUUUUUAGUUUGACUACAUACUAGGACAAUCACCAUUAAACCCAACAAUGAACCCUAGCUUUUAAUAUAGAUAGCAGAAUUUAGUUUUAGACAGUGGGUUAAUAAAUAAAUAAAUCUAUACAAGAUUGCAAGCUCUAGUACUCAUAUUUUUUCUAUUUGGUAAACCUUGUAAAAGAAAUUUGAUAUGCACAUUUUUAGACAAGAACUUUUUGGUUGUAUUGUUAUUAAGCCAUUUGAAUUUUCUUCCAUGAAGUAAAUACAAUUUCUAUCAGAUCCUUUGGAUUUAGUGUCCCAAAAUAUAUAGUUGUGUUGUUAAAUCCACUCAAAAUGCUACUUGAGGAAACAAAUAAGCAUGAUUGUGAGUUGAGACCUACCAGAAAUGAUUUAAUAAAAGUGGAUAUAUUUACUGUACUAUAUCAAACAGCAUAGCUAGGAAUUUUAUUUGUGGGUUUGAGCCUUACAAAACAUAUAAAAGGGUUAGAGGAUAUGCAAGACAUAAAAUUAGGUUUAAAACCCAAAAGUUGGUAUAUAAUUGAUAUAAAUGAUAAUUGGCCUAUUCACUAUCCUAAAAUAUCCAAAAUAUCUUUGAUAGAUAAGAAAUAACUUUUAGAUCAUGUUUGGUUGGUUCAAUGUAACAUCGGGAUAGCAUUAGAGAAAAAAUAUUAUAUCAUAUCCCAUAUUUGAUUGGUGAUGGGAUAUGAUAAAUUAUCUCAAUACUUAUCAUAUUCUAUAUUCAAUCAAACAUGGAAUAGGAUAACUAGUAACAUAUAUUAUCUACCUUAUUUUAUUUAUCCAUUUUACAUUAGAUAUGUUAAUCUCAUAUUAAUAUAUGGGAUAUGUAUAUCACAUGUAUCAUAAAUUUAUUUAUUUUUAUCAUUUUUUUUUAUUUUUCUAUAUAGGAAAAUAAUUUUUUUAUUAAUUAAAUUUAUGGUUGAAAAAGAAAACCUAAAAAAGUUUAUAAAUUAAUAUUAAUGUGUAAUAUAUAAAUUAUUUUCAUAUAUUGAAUAACAUAAUAUAAAAAAAUUAUUUAAAAAGUUUAAAUAUUUUAAUUAUGAAUAUUGUUAAAUAUAAGAUAAAAUUCAAAUUUUUAAAUAAAAAAUAUUGAAAUGUGAUAUAAUUUUUAUUUUAAACAUUAAAAAUAAUAUAUAUUUCACAAUAUUUUUUUUAUUCAUUUGAUCACAAAUUAAAUAUAUACAUAAUAUAACAUGACAUAUCCCUUUAGAUAUGCUACCUUAAAAUAUCAUGUUCAUAGGAUAUAUAUUGUUGGCAGAUCAGAGGGUUGGCCGCGUCCAUCAACUCCCCUUGUGUUUGCCGUGGGCACUUGGAUGAAUGCACUAUAAGGAUAGGGUAUACGCCUUUCCUAACAACAAUUGCUUUUAGGAGAGUUGGUAACGCCUGAGGUCCUACAUAUAUGUUUAAAGAUAUCAUAUUUAAUUGAAAAUCAUAUCAUAGGAUAUGUAUUUUCUAUUUAAUGAGAUAUGAUAUCUCAAGAUAUACAUAUUCAAUCUUUAAAUUUUUUAUUGAAAAAAAUAAUUAUAUUACAAUCCUCCCAAUUAUAUUCAAAUAGAUCAUAUAAAAUUCAAAUAAAGGAACCUUUUUCUAUCUAAAAUUGAAAAAGGAAACCAAUCUUACUUUAAUUAAAAUAAAGUAAAGAAUAAAAUAGGGAAAUAAAUUUAACUCCUGCAUAUAUGCCUUGCUUGAGUUAUUUUAUAGUUUUAUCCAAUUCCAUAGAAGAGGAUAUUCACAUGUUGGUUACAUAUGAAAAUGAUAGGUUAUCUAUCAAGAUAUAUAUAUAUUGUAGACUUUAGCCCAAUCAUGUAUCUUUGAUAUCUUUUAAGCUUAUUAUUAUAAAUUCUAUUAUUGUGAAAUAAUUAGAUAAAAUUUUAUAAAAAUGAAUCAGCGUAUAAUUUAAUAUAAUUAUGUAGGUCAAUUGUAAAUUAGUCUUUAUUUAACUAAAUUUUAAAAACAAAAAUUUUCAAAAUUUCAAAAUUAAAACCAAAAACAACUAGACAUCAAGAAAUAUAUAUAACAAAAUAUCAAAUAAAUUUUAAAAAAUAAUGAGAAAAUAAAUUAGGAUAAUAGUAUCAUGACAAGAAAAAUAUGAAAAAUAAAAAAUAAAAAUAUUGAAUAUUAAAUAAAUCUUGUGAAAAUAUCUAUUUAUUAUUUUUCAUUUUAUUAAAAUCCUAAUAUGUCAUUGGUACUCGAUAAAAUUUAAUUACAAAUAAUUUUUUUAGCUUUUAAGAGGAGCAAGAUUUCCAUUUUAUUAAGUAGGACUUUGUUCUCUCUUGGGAAAUUUGAUUUCAGAAUUGGGUAGAUUUAGCAGCCAAUUUUACCCUUAAAUAUAUAACUAAUAAAACCAAUUCAAAGCAUAAAACGUUGAUACAUGGAGUUAAAGAAAUGGUAUAAAGCAAUGAUACAUGGGCUUCCCUUCACAGGUGGCUGAAAAGCAAACCAUCUGACCUCCUAAUUAAAGUUGAAAUGGACUUCACUUCUGAGGAUGACAUCUCAGUGCUUUUACAAGACUGAAGAUGAAGCAAUGUUCCGUACAAUUUGACUCAUGAAUUCAAGAAGGGAAACUUAGGUUUCAGGCCAUCAAUAUCAAAAUAAUAGCAUAUUCAAACCCUAGGUUUGCAAAUUUCAAGUUUACGAUGCUAACCCCAAAAAUAUUUUGGGUCUCAUGCACUUUCAGCUAAGUUAUUUUUUAAUUCCCAAAAUGCCCCCCCUCCUUCAGUCAGGUCAACCUCCACAUGUUUAAAAUAAAAUAAAAGACUAAAAAUAAAAAACAACUUAAUAGUAGGAACCUUCCUUCUUUGUUUAUUUCUGUGUGUAAACCCUCAGUUCACUUUUCCUUCUUAUCUUCUUUAUUUCCCCCCUUCCUUUAAACACAUCUAACUAGUAUAAACCCUAACGAAAAACCAUAGUCAUUUUCUUCAUUUUUCCUCCUAGUGUGUGGUCUACAAUCGAGACGCAACAACUUUGUGUGUGAUCUGGCAGAAGCUUCACAUCCUUGGGUGCCUCUGCCUACCACCACCAUCUCCUCACAUCCCAUCCUUUUCACCUCUCUCACUCGACUUCCUCUUUCUUGAUGCCUCUAUCUUUCUCAUCUUAGGUACUCUCUGUUUCUAUAUGUAUAUGAUUUGAACGAUAGUGAUCUAGGGCUUCAAUCUACAAUUUUUCUUUUAAAUUUUUUAUUGCUUGAGAAUGAUUCCGUAAUUCAUUGUAAUUCUAGGGUUUUCUUAUUGAUUCUUGCUUCUUUUUUUUUUUUUCCAUGCCAACAUGCUUCAACUUGAUUGGGCUUAUCUGAAAUUUUUAGCUUUCGUGUGUUCAAUUGCUGAGAAAUUUGUUGAAAUUGAAAGGAAAUAUAAAGUUUUGACAAUUUUAGGGAUUGAGUUGGGUGAAAGUGAAUGAUUGAGUUUAUCUCUGUCGAAUAGUUGUCCAUACAUCACUAAACUAUUAUUUUGAUUGGAAUCAUUGAGCUAAUUGUUAUUGUGUUAAUUAAAUAAGGGAUAAAGUUAUUUUCCAGCAGAUGUUAAGCUUGUAGGAAAAUUUUACAAAAAAAAAAAAUACAUCUUUUUUCUUGUCUUUUUUUUUUUCUUUUUUGUCUUAUGUGAAGCUUUGUCUUGUAGGAGGAAAUUUUAGGGAAAUUAUUUUCUACAAGUGAAUGAGAAUCAAUGGAAAAUACACUUUUCACUUAUCUAAUCAAUCAAAUAUAAAUGAAGGUUUUAGAUUUUAUUUUAUUUUCUAUUCUUUUCCUCGAUAUCUUAGCAAAUAAAUAGAGAAUUAGGAAGAUUCUUUUGAUAGAUUUGUUUUUCCCAUGACUAAGGCAUGGUUUGAUGCACUUCCAAUUUUUCAUUUUUAAAAAUAUAGAAUAAUAGCAACUUUAUAUAAAAUUUAGGAUCUCUAAUACAAAAAAAUAAAAAUAAAAAGGAAUUUAUUUUAUAUUUUAGGUUCCUUAAACUCAUUAUUUGUUUUAAUGUUUCUUAAUCUAAAUUAUUGUUCUUGAAUUUAAAUAAGAAAGGUAUACAAUUUGAUUUUUUUGUUUUUAUGGAAUUAAGAUUUGAAAUAGAUUAAUGUUGCAGUUACCAAAUGAGCAUUAUUACAUGUCUAAUUGUGGUCCUUAUUUUGUGCAUGCAUUCCUCUAAAGGAGAAAUUUCUUUCACUUAUACCUUUCAAGUUAGCAAAUAGAUUGUCAUUGCUUAAGUAAGGAACAAAUGGAGUUGCCUUCUCCAAUCAAUGGGGUUUUUUUCUAUUGUGGAUUGAGUUCCUUUUCCCAAAUUCUUAUUCUUGAUAAUGAUAAUGAAGUCUAUAACUUGUAGAAAAUAAGUAGAGUUAUUUAGUGCUCUUCUUUAUCAAUGUGUCUUGCUAGGUCCUUCUAGUUGCAUUUUUUAAUGCACAUUUUCUUCUUAAAAUUGAAAACAAAAGAAAAAUAUUAUGGUACAAUUAAGUUUUUGGAAACCAAAAAAGUUGAAGGCUAGUAAAAUAAAAUAGAAAUCACAAAAUAAAAAUAUAGAACACCAUAAGCUAGGCCUUUACUUUUUAUGGGCUCUAUUUUAAAGCUUGAAAUGUAGCCUUGGGGAUUUAUAGCUUAGUGGGUCAUUUCUCUGGUUUUAGAAAUUCACAUUCGAACACAAUUGUAUUGUUUCUAUUAACAUAUGAAACAGUUCUACUAAAUGAAGAAUGUGGCUUUAGUAAUUCCAUAGCAAUUAUAAUAUUACUUUAUACACUUAUCUAGAAACUAAUAUUGGUAGCUUUGUACCAUAAAGGAAUCUUGCAAACAAAGUUGACAAGUUAACCCUAGAAUUUCAUUCAUUUAAAAAAAAAAAUAUUUUUAGGGAUUUCAUCAUAUAUUUUCAUUUUUUUAAAUUGGGAAUUAUUGCAGAAUUACUAGACUAUGAAAAAAAUUUCGGGCUUGACUACAUUAUAAUUGAGGUGAAAAAAUGAUGAAUUGAUUCUUAAUUUAUUUUUCUCAACUAUGCAUUCUUGUUGAAACUAACUUUCUUAAGAUGGCCACCCUUAGGUACUAACUUUUUCAACCUUAGGUUACUUUACUGAACCUUGGGUACUACCUUAGUGAACCUUGGGUACUACUUUAGUGAACUUUAGGUACUACCUUAAUGCUUCUUAGGUACUACCUUAAUGCUCCUUAGGUACUAUCUUAAUGCUCAUUAGGUACUACCAUACUAAACAUUGGGUACUACCUUUGUGAACCUUAGGUAUUUCAUACAUGAACCUUAGGUGUUUCAUUCACUUCCAUCUUAGUUUAAAGAUGAAUUGAUAAAUGUUGAACUUCUCUACUCAGUACACAAUUUCUUUAAUUAAGCAUGAGAUUAUUAUGCUCUAAUAGGUCAUUCGGGAGGUUCUUUUUAGGUACUACCUUAGGUACUACCUUAAUGCACUUUAGGUACUACCUUAAUGCAUCUUAGGUACUACCUUACUGCAUCUUAGAUACUACCUUAAUGUACCUAAAGUACUACCUUAGUGAACCUUAGGUACUACCUUAAUGCACCUUAGGUACUACCUUUGUGAACCUUAGGUAUUACCUUAAUGAAGCUUAGGGUAGUUUGUUUGUGAACCUUGGGUACUAAGUUUAUCGAUCCUAGGUAUCUCCUUCCGCAACCAUAGCACAAUUUGUUUAGGAAAGCAUGGAUUAAGAUUUAGGAAUACAUAACUUUGACAUAUUAUUUUCUAUUUUUGUUUUAAUUAAGUGUAUAUAAUAUUCAUGUAAUUCCUAAGAUUAAUCAGAAAGUUUUUAUGUAUGUUUUUAUUUAUUCUUUUCAACAUAUAUUAGAGCAUCUUAUAAAACAUGUGUGAACCUUACCUAAUUAUUAUUGUUUGUGCAAAGAAAAAGAAGGAUUAGAUGAUAACCAAAAAAUCCAAUAUCAUUGGUUUUUUUAUUUAUGAAGUUCAAUUUCCCCCCUAUUUGAGGUGGCUUGGUCUCUUCCCUUGCAAUUAAGGUAGGUCAAAUGUUUAAGAGAUGUGAGUUUUCUCCUUUUACACUUAUUUGCUUCAAGGUUGGUUUUAUUCAUUAUGCCUAGCAUAUGGUUUUCUUUUAUUUUAGCUUUGAUGGAACUUAUGUGAUUUCUAUGACUUAGAUCAUACACUCCUUGUUAGAAACUUUAUCUAUAACAUAUAUCCUCUUAAUUUUCCCAUACAUGUCAAUGUUUGUAGUGAUGACCCUCAUUUUGUUUCUCACUAUGCAGCCUGUAGAUCAAAGGCAACAUCUUUCUAUGUGCUUUGACAAACUUAUGAUAAACAUAAAUCAAAGCUUGGACUUAAAAAAUAGGGAUAAGUUCACCAGAAUCUGACUAGAUUUAAGAACGAAUUCUACAACAAAUAAAUUGUGACAUCUUUUAGGCAACAACAACAAUUUUAUACUAGUAGAAGGAAUUCAUGUGUUUGCCCCCCUAAUCUUUGAGCAAAAAAAAAUCGAAAAAGAGAUGGAAGAAAAGAACAGAAAACCAACUUCCUAUGUUGUGAAAAAGUGCUGCAAAUUCCUUGAUUACUUUGUAUAGGAAGUGAUUUACAUGUAGUUUUCUUAAGUGGUAUCAUAAAUCAUACUAGGAAUUGGAGGAAAAGAUAGAAAAUACAGAGUGGUUGUCAGGCUUGUAUGGGUUCACUAAGGUGGGAUUAGAAUAUUGUAGUUUUUUUUAUUUUCAAUUAUUUUUUAGGAGAAAAAGAAAAAAGAAAAAGAAAAAUUAUGAUUUUUUUUGUUUUUUUUAACAAAUAUAAGUGGUGGAAACUUAAUUUUAUGAAUUAGAUAAUAUAAGUGUAUUUUUCCUCCACAAAGUUCAUGCUCUUGUUGGAUUAUUAUAAGGUACAUUCUCUCUAUGAUCUCUUUAAACCUAGAAAGAACACUUAAAACUUUACAACUAUUAUACCACCUAGAUAGAAACCAAAAGGUCUUCUAUCUUUUUAGGUUUCAGAACAUUAUUGCCUUAUAGUGGCAAACUAUAAGGGUCAAGGCUCAAUUCAACUACUAUAAUAACAAGUCUGGUCAAGUUAGAUUCUCUCUGCUUAUUGUAAACUAUUUGUACAAGACAUUUUUUCAAUGACUUUAUAUGGACUAUAAGAAGCCUAUUCCCAAAUGGUAACCAUGAGCUCCAAUAUCCUAUCCUCACUUUAGACUGUCAUUUACUUAGAAUAUUUAGUUUGGAGAAUAGACAAUGGGUAAUCUUUUUGUUUAAGCAAGUCAUCAUUAUCUACUUUCUUGUUUCUACAUUCUAACAUUUACAUAAUGCCAAAAUUUGGGCCCAAGCAUCUCGUGGUAAGAGUGUCCCUCAAAUAUCUAUGUUAAUCGAACAAGAACUAACUGACACAAAUGGAAAUUAUAAACAAUGGAGACAACCCUUGAAGUGACCUUUGACUCUCUUAGGGGAACAUCUUGAUUCAUGUGUCCUGAUGUGCCUCUUGAUGUUAUUUUUCAACUGCUUGGUGCCACAUAUCUCACAAAUAAUGUGUUGGUCACAAGAUUGGAGAUGAGCUGUGGACCCCGCAUUUAGAUUGCUCGAAUGCGUUUCCCACUCGAUGGCGAAACUCGAUUUUUAUUUGAAAAUUUUGAUUUUUAUUGAUUAAGAAAAAUGACUUGGAGUCGCCACUUAUUUUUGUUUUAUUUUUAAAGGGUAAACAAAAUAAGAAAGAAAAACCUUAAGUGUGACUCCUUGUUUUGGAAAAAGCGGUCUGUGAAAAACCGGAUCGGGUUCGGGGGUCAGGUUACUUAUUAGGAAGGUACGGUAAAGACCGUAGCACCCCUCUAAGUCCCUAAAGUCGGGUCUCUACUAAUGAAAUGAAGCUGACAUGGCAAUCAAUGUGAAAAUCAAUGAAUACUCAAAUCAAUCAUGCACAUAUGAGUAUCAGAAUAUGCAUAGAGAAUAACCAAAGUGGAAGUGGAUGCGUACCUGAUCAGCAAAUAGAAACGCGCUAUCAUGAAACAUGGUUAGUGAACAAUGAACAGAUAUAAUCAAGCGCUUAUCAAGGAGUAGGGUGAACCAAUCAUGCAUGGCAAAUAAAUCAAUCGAUCAGUCAAUCAAACAUGAAGUCAAGUAUGUAGGGCCCCCACCAAAGCCCGUUUAUUUUUGCAUGAAUUAAUUCCAUAAAUUCCAUUAUUCGGAAUUACGAAAUUUAAUUCUUACUUAUUUUCAAAACAUUUUAAAAACAAAGAAAAUGCAAAAGUGGCUUGCCAGAAGGAAAAUGACAACCAAAUUUUAUUGAAAAUGGAAUUUCGGUAUCCAAAAAUUCUAAGCAUGGAAAAUGGGAAAUUUUGGAUUAUUUGAAAAUCAGAAUUUGAGAAAAAUAUUUACAAAAGGGGAUUUGAGAAAUCAUUUUCAAAAAUCAAAUAAGAAGAAAACCAAGAAUGCCACAUGGAACCGGGGUAUGGAAUAGGUGGUAAGUGAGCUCUUGAGUCAACACUGUUGAUUUAUUGUCAAUGGCAAGAUUGGUAAUUUGGCUCCCAAAACUGUCCAAAUAUAAGCUGCUGUCAUUAAUGCAGAUUUUAUGGCUGUUGGGGGACCAGUCAAGGGGAGCUUGGUGAAACAUAGCAGCCAUCCUGCUCAUGUACGGACAUGCCAACCUUCCAAUUUCGGUGAAAGAAAGUGUCGGAGAAGGGUAAAUGGAUGAUGCCCGUACCGUCAUUGAGAACGAAACGGCCCUGAGCGUCAUCGGAGGCGGAGAUCAAGAUGCCCUGUAACCAGGCACGCUGGAAAAGGGCGUCGCUGCAUGUGAAGUCCUUCUGCGACGUCCUUUCUUUAGCCUUCUUAGCUGUCUGCAUAUUACCUUCAGCGUUGCUAGGUUGUAAUCUAUCUUCCCCUGUUACCAGUUGAGUUUCUCUAGCCCUAGAAACUUUUCCAUCGGCCGGAGCACCUUGGAGCCUUCAGAGAGAAGAGACAUGGGUCUGUACACGACACCUCAAUGCUCCGACGAGAUUUUGCAAUCUCGGGUGACUUAAUCUCCAUCAUCACUAUCAACCGUAGCUGCCAGGCCCCGAAACUUGGAGCCAGACCACCCCUUGGCUUGGUGGCUGCCGCGACGACCAUCUCCAAAAUCCUCAUCGUCGUCCUCUGCAGCCUUGUCGAUUCUUGAUGGUGACGCUGAACCUAUGGACGAAGGCAGUGUGCGCAGGAUCCAAUCCUGUGCUUCUAACCUGAGCAACAACAUCUUGGCAACCUCGCCAUCCACUUCCUUCAAAUCUCCUUUCAUGCAUACCCACCCAAUGUUCCCAUGAGCAACAGAACGUAACAUAGAAAAGGCCUUGUUACCCAUCUCAAUCUAUGUCUCAACAUUUCAAAGAUCUUCAGUGUAUACAUUGAGAACACUCAGGCAGAUCGAGCUGUAAAACUAAAGCCGAAGAGAACCCCAAGCUAAAGAGAGAAAGUGCAGUUCUGGAGAGAGAGCCAGGACCUCGAUAUUCUUCAUUAUGCCACUAACAAUUGAUUUAUCACCCAUUUGAAUAUUUCAUGUACGUCAUCGAGAACAUCAUUAGGAGAGUUUGUACAGACAAGUCUCCUUGCUUGUUUUUUUUUUUUUUCAAUGCAUGCAUCAAUUACAAUCUUUGUUCCUCACUGCUAUUGUUGUUCAUCCUUUACCUUUUCAUGCACGAAGUAAAAUAACAGAUUGGAUGCAUGGGAUUUUCGGAAUGACACCUGGUUUGAAGGUAGUUUUGGACGGUUAAGUGAGUGGGUGAUGUGGGUACGAGGACAGGAUAGGUAGAUGGUUGUAGGUACAGGGAGCGUGAAGAGGGGCAAGGUGGGUAUGUAGAGGUUGCUAAACGGGCAUAAAAGAUAGGGGGGUGAUGAUGUUGCCUCGGUGAAUUGGCGGGUACACCAACUUGGCAGUUUGAAACGUGUCAUGGUGAUGAGAGCUAAAGGCAUUGUGAAGCGAAGUGGUUGACGACGAUGACCGGAAAGGAAACUGGUGGAGAUAAAGAGAUAUUUCGUCCGGUUCCGAAACGGAUGGCAGUGGCGCUGGAAAAGAAGAGCAAGGUUUGGUAUACUGACCCGCCAUUAACACUAUGAAUACAAGCAGAACAGAGAACUUAUGGGCGGGAUUUCUAUCAAAUGAUCCUUGCAUGCUCUAACAAGGCCAUACAUAAAAUCGCAUGCCCAGUAGGCCAUACGAUGAUUGGUGAAUCCUUUUUUGAAGUAGACUCAUAGCCUGGCGGAUGACUACGUCUGAUAGGUCAGAUGCUGCUACAGUUCAAACACUGAAAAUGCACUAGAUACCUUCCCCCUUGAAGCUUCCUUUUCUUCUUUCCUCUCGUCUAUUUCUUGCCUCUCAAGUUCCAGAACAUCCUCUCCUCACCAACAGCUUCAGAAAAUUGGUUCUCCUUCUAGCAAAACUUCUCAUCCAAGAAAAUAUCUCCUCUCCAACAACCAAAAAUCUUUCCUUCAGCUUGUUUGCUUCUUUAACCAAAAUAACCUCUUCUCACAACUGUUGCAUUGAGCAAGAUCCAGAAACAAAUAGGAGCCAUAACAAAGCAGAAUCCACAGAGAACAGAACACAAAAGAAAACGAGUAAAAGUGAUCAUCAGAGGCUUCACUUCAUGAGUUAUUCGUGAGUCCUCUGAUUAGGUGAGAAAAAAAACAAUAUGGAAUGUAGAUAUUGGCAUGAUUCUUUGGGCGUUUCACAACAGAGACAAGACAUGCUCAGAUUAACAAUACCAAACAUGAAUGCAAGGUUAUAUCUCAACAAGCAACAAGUGGCCUUCAUUAUCCACUCCAAACAAAUCAACGAAUAUUCAAACAUCAACAAGAGACAUAGAAGAGUGAUAAACAGCCAAAAACCAUCAAUAAGCCUGUAGCAAUCAUACCUGAGGGAGUCUUUUUCAACAAAACCAGCAGGACUCCACGUUUUACUCCAGAAGAAUCAGUCUGCUACCCUGCUUCCGGCCAAGCUUCCUCCUCUAACUCAGAGAACCUCUCUGGAAGCUCUCAACAGCAGCCUCGAAAAUUUUUGGUUCCCUCUAGCUCCAGAAAUAUGUUCUGUCUCUAAAAAAAAACCACACCCCAGCUCUCUCCCCUUCAAGCUAAAACUCUCUUUAACUCUCUUUUUUCCAGCCAAAUGCCCCCCUUUUCCUCAGCUUGCUUUUCCCUCCAAGCUUCAGAACACACUCAAAAAAUCUCUAACGGCCGAGCCUCUGUCCCCCACUACCCUGCAGCUGCCAGACGACACCACCCCCUGCACCACUACUUUGCCGCCGGCCUCACUCUCUCUCAUCCGCUCCUCAAGACAACGGCCUGCAGAUUCUCCUUCUAGAAUCUUUUUCACCUUUACAGGUGUCUUCCCCUAAUUGGUCCAUCAACUCCACUAUUUUGAUCCUAUAUUGACUAAUCCGAGAGUGACACGUGGCCAGAAUGAGCUGCAUGAAAUAGCACCCAAAUGGGGGGUCUACAAAUAUGCCCCUCUUCGGUAGAGUUCACGAGUGUAAAGAAUAUGAACAAUGGAGUGAAAAGAAGGUGUGAAUAGUGAGUGUAAUGAAGUGAACUCUACCGAAGAACCAAGGAGACCCCCCUAUAGGGACACUAGUGAGAUAAAAACUCACUCAGGCCAGCAGACGAACACCAAGGCUCUAAUCCUAAAAAAAAAGAAAGAUGUCACAAAAUGCCUCUGCGGCCACACUAAGGAUCCAGGCUCCCUCUAAAAUGUCUCCAAAAGUGACCCAAAAAUCAAUGUCAAAGGUGAGUAACGGUCGAACCACCUUGGAGUACGAACAAGAAUGCGUCUAAAGGAGACUGCCCUAUGUGGACUACAUGAUGAAUACACGAUAAGCACAAGGUAACGAAAUGACGAGGAUGAUAAUAAGUGCAAAUCCAAUGAAGGUGAGACACGCAAUGCCACUGAAUAGGAAUGCUAGGAGCUGUGACUCUGCAUGACAAGACUGACUCUAAACACUAAACUAGGAAAUAAUAAUAAAAAAAAAUAAAGCUCUGCAAGCCAAACCAAAAAGCUAACUCUAAAUGCUAAACUGAGAAAAUAAUAGCUCUGGAAGCCAAACCAAAAAAAAGCUAACUCUAAAUGCUAAAUUGAGAAAAUAAUAGCUCUGGAAGCCAACCAAAAACUAACUCUAAAAACUAAACUAGAAAAUAACAGCUCUGGAAGCAAACCAAAAACUAACUCUAAAUGCUAAACUGAAAAUAACAGCUCUGGAAGCAAACCAAAAACUAACUCUAAAAACUAAACUAGAAAACAACAGCUCUGGAAGCCAACCAAAAACUAACUCUAAAAGCUAAACUAGGAAAUAACAGCUCUGGAAGCCGACCAAAAAACUAACUCUAAAAACUAAACUAGAUAAUAACAGCUCUGGAAGCCAACCAAAAACUAACUCUAGAAAUUAAACUAGAAAAUAACAGCUCUGGAAGCCAACCAAAAACCAACUCUAAAAACUAAACUAGAAAACAAACAGCUCUGGAAGCCAACCAAAAACUAACUCUAAACGCUAAACUAGAAAAUAACAGCUCUGGAAGCCGACCAAAAAAAAACUAACUCUAAAAACUAAACUAGAUAAUAACAGCUCUAGAAGCCAACCAAAAACUAACUCUAGAAAUUAAACUAGAAAAUAACAGCUCUGGAAGCCAACCAAAAACCAACUCUAAAAACUAAACUAGAAAACAAACAGCUCUGGAAGCCAACCAAAAACUAACUCUAAACGCUAAACUAGAAAAUAACCGCUCUGGAAGCCUAAACAAGAUGACGGUAAUGGCUCUGGAAGCAUAAACAAGACGACAGUAAUGACUCUGCAAGCCUAAACAAGAUGAUGGUAAUGGCUCUGCAAGCUUAAACAAGCUGAUAGUAAUGGCUCUGGAAGCAUAAACAAGAUGACGGUAAUGGCUCUGGAAGCCUAAACAAGAUGAUGAUAAUGGCUCUGGAAGCCUAAACAAGAUGACGGUAAUGACUCUGGAAGCCUAAACAAGAUGAUAGCAAUGGCUCUGGAAGCCUAAACAAGAUGAUAGCAAUGGCUCUGGAAGCCUAAACAAGAUGACGGUGGUGGCUCUGGAAGCUCAAACAAGAUGAUAGUAAUGACUCUGGAAGCCUAAGCAAGAUGAUGAUAAUGACUCUGGAAGCCUAAACAAGAUGACGGUAAUGGCUCUGAAAGCCUAAGCAAGAUGAUGAUAAUGACUCUGGAAGCCUAAACAAGAUGAUAGCAAUGGCUCUGGAAGCCUAAACAAGACGACGAUAAUGGCUCUGGAAGCCUAAACAAGAUGACGGUAAUGGAUCUGGACGUCGAAACUAAAAAGUGAUGAUGAUGACUCUAAACGUCAAACUGAGAAGUGAUAACGACUCUGAACGCCGAAACCAAGGAUGUGACUCUGAAUGUCGAUCUGAAAACCGAUGAUAGCUCUGAACGCCGAAACUGAGAAGUGAUGAUGAUGACUCUGAACGUCAAACUGAGAAGUGAUAACGACUCUGAACGCCGAAACCGAGGAGGGGACUCUGAAUGUCGAUCUGAAAACCGAUGAUGGCUCUGAACGCCGAAACUAGGAAGUGAUGAUGAUGACUCUGAACGUCAAACUGAGAAGUGAUAAUGACUCUGAACGCCGAAACCGAGGAUGUGACUCUGAAUGUCGAUCUGAAAAUCGAUGAUAGCUCUGAACGUCGAAAUUGGGAAGUGAUGAUGAUGGCUCUGAACACCGAAGUUGAGAAGUGAUAACGACUCUGAACGCCGAAACAGAGAACACGACUCUGAAUGUCGAUCUGAAAGUCGAUGACGGCUCUGAACGCCGAAACUGAGAGAAGUAGUGAUGAUGGCUCUGAACACCGAAGCUGAGAAGUGAUAACGACUCUGAACGCCGAAACCGAGGAUGUGACUCUGAAUGUUGAUCUGAAAAUCGAUGAUAGCUCUGAACGCCGAAAUUGAGAAGUCAUGAUGAUGGCUCUGAACGCCGAAGUUGAGAAGUGAUAACGACUCUGAACGCCGAAACCGAGGAUGUGACUCUGAAUGUCGAUCUGAAAAUCGAUGAUGGCUCUGAAUGCCGAAACUAAGAGAAGUAGUGAUGAUGACUCUGAACGUCAAACUGAGAAGUGAUAACGACUCUGAACGCCGAAACCGAGGAGGGGACUCUGAAUGUCGAUCUGAAAACCGAUGAUGGCUCUGAACGCCGAAACUAAGAAGUGAUGAUGAUGACUCUGAACGUCAAACUGAGAAGUGAUAACGACUCUGAACGCCGAAAUCGAGGAGGGGACUCUGAAUGUCGAUCUGAAAACCGAUGAUGGCUCUGAACGCCGAAACUAAGAAGUGAUGAUGACUCUGAACGUCAAACUGAGAAGUGAUAACGACUCUGAACGCCGAAACCGAGAACGUGACUCUGAAUGUCGAUCUGAAAACCGAUGAUAGCUCUGAAUGCCGAAACUGAAAAGCUACAAUGAUGGCUCUGAAUGCCGAAACUGAGAAGCGAUGAUGGCUCUGAAUGCCGCAACUAAAAAGUGAUGGUGGCUCUGAAUGCCGACAAUUGGAGAAGUGGCUCUGAACGCCGAACUGAAAAAAUGUGACAUGAUGACUCUGAAUGUCGUAAACCGUGAAUGAAAGACAGCUCUGAACACCAGACUGCAAGGAAACAAUGAGGGGGAAAUAUGCCCUAGUGUGGCAUGCCGCUGCAAAUCUCAAUCCGUCGGGAAAUGGCCGAAAGGGACUCUACGGGUCUCGAACGACGCUCCCCUGAGAGCUCAUAUCGAUGAAGAGCUCAGGAAUGAUGGUCAGUGAGACGAAUACAAUAUAUCUCGGCCGAGUGAUGGAAGCUGUGAUGGACAUGCAAGAGAACGAUCGCCUCCACGGCUAAAUGAGGGAAAUAUGCCCCAGUAUGGCAUCAGAUGUAUCCGAUCUGUCCUGAUAACCCGAGAAUAGCACCGAUGGGACGCGUAACAGAUCUGAUAUGUACCCCACUGAAAUGACGAUGCGGGAAUCUAGGCACUCGACAUAACCCCAUCCAGGAAUCACGACUAUAUCAAAGAGUAUGAAUCUGGCUGAACGAGUCAAGAGAGGCUCCUCGGAGUAUCAGGACAAAAUGAAAUCAAUCAUCAACCUGGCGUGUAUCUCAUAACCGUGGGUGAUCAUGUAAACCAGUGGGGAUCUAUAAAUCUCGAUCAAGAUGGGGAAUAUGCCCCAGUGUGGCAUCGGAAAUGUAACAUGUCGAAAAAUCAGAUGAGCUCAAAUCAUCUAUGCCUGCAACUGGCUAGAUGGCUCUCGAUAGGUUCCACUAAGGAAUCAUCGCGAGGAUAGCGAAUAUAUCAUCAUCCCUGCAUACAUCUCGUAAAUAAGGAUAAGCACGCGACUCCCUCAUGAUCUGUAAAUCUCAUCCGAACGGAAAUAUGUCCCUGUAUGGCAUCGAAAUGUAGGAUAGGUCGGAGAUCAGAUAGCAUGGAAUCAUCUAUCCUCGAACAUGUGACCUCUGCGAAGAUCCGUAAAGAUCCUCCGAAACGGAAUAUGCCCCAGUAUGGCAUCGACGUGCGACAAAUCAGGAAAUAUAGGUGACAUCAAAUCAUCUCUCAUCAAACAUGUGAUCCUGGUAAUCCAAACACGGCUGAAACGAAUCUAAACAUCUGAGAAGUGUCUCGCAGAAGAAGAUGCAUGGCAAAUAUCUAAAUGUCAACCGAAUCUCGAACACCUGUCCACAUAGAAGCUAUAGAAGACGAUAUCCGAUCCCAUGGCCUCAGGGUGGUCUUAAGACACGGGACGUAAUGUAGGCUAGGGUGAUAGGGUGAUAGAAAUGAAGGGAAACUAAGCUCAAAUACCCGAUGAUCAAAACCCAUACCCUCAUGUAUGAAAUGCAACAAGUAUAGUAAAUCCCGUGAGCCAUGGACCCAAUGGUGCCUAAUGUGAACAUAGUGUCAAUGAGGAGACAAGUGAAGCAAAACAAACUGAUAAUGAGAUAUGUAAUGGUGAUACGAAGGGAAUAUCAAACCCGAGAUGGGUCGUGGUAAGAAAAGAAUAAGAGGUGAAGUGAGAAUGAUGAAUCAGAAGCGAAAAUGAGGACGAUGAUAAUGAAGCGAAUAACAUCAAAAGGAGUGAUGAUCAACUCAGAUCAGACAUGGAGUGAAGUCACAUCAACUACGAACAUAAUGAUGGAACGGACAAUAACCCAGAGCUCCUAAGGGAAAGUCACUCAUCUCGUUCAUAAAACAUGCAACAAAAUGAAUACAAAGCCUGAGGGAUCCCGGGAAGCUCACAUACGAACUCCCGUCAACAAACAUACUCGAUCAAGUGACCCUCGAAUAUCAAUACAUACACUCGGUGUUGGAUAACAAUACACGCCUGGUUUUUAUUUCUUUUUCCAUUUUUUUUUUUUUUUAAAACAACAUAUGAAUGAACUGUACAUGCUCUGAACUCAUACAAAGAAGACCCAAAGACGAGAUCAAAAAUGAACAAGCAUGCUCUCAAAUAUCAAUAUAUCACAAACUCAAUCUAAUGAGAUGAGGUGACCUUCUCAAACUGAGGAUCCCUGGAUCAGUGUCCGUGGGAUAGAUAGUGGAAAUGACAUGACUACCCUCCAUGUAGUGAACUGAGGAGGAUCACCACUCGGGGUGGAAGAAAAUGAUGCAAAUGAGCAGUAGACAGGAUAAACAAGAUGAGACGAAUAACACAACCGAUGAGGCGAGAUGAAAAUGCAAUGAUGUAAACAUAUAGAGAAUAUAAUGAGGAGAAUGCACCCCUAGGUCCAAGGCUCAUGAAACUCCUGAACAAUGCAUGCAUACACUAGAGGGCCCCUAUCCCGGUGAGAAAGUGUGAGCAAGGCAAUAAGAAAGAAAGGCUAUAAUGCGCGUGCGAGGCUCAAUGGGCUAACAACAGUCUAUAUAGAUCAGAAGGGGAUAAAGGGAUAUAGCUAACCGAAAUGAUGGCCACCCAUCCUGCGACCAUGGACUCAAACAUAGUACCUCUUUAGCUGAUCCACAUUGGUCGGCUCUGAGAACUGGUUUCCAUCUAAAUCCAUCAGCCAUGCAGCGCCCUCUGGAGUCAACUCCCUGAUGAAAUAAGGUCCGCUCCAACUGGGUCUGAACUUCCCUCUAGGAUCUCUGAUCAAUCCCCUGAUGACUCUCAAGACUAAAUCACCUACAUGCAGUGGUCUCGGCUUGACCCGCUUUUUGAAAGCGCGGGCCAUCUUCCUCUGAUAUGCACGAAUGUGGUCUGCUGCUCUCAAUCUCCUCUCAUCUAGGAGAUUGAGCUGAUCAAAUCGAGCCUGAGCCCAAUCCGUCUCGGGAAUCUGCUGCUCUAGUGCUACUCUCAAUGAUCCCAUCUCAAUCUCAACAGGUAGCACUGCCUCCAUGCCGUACACCAAUGAAUAGGGUGUGGCUCCUGUAGAGGUGCGAAAAGAAGUCCGAUAUGCCCACAAUGCGAAAGGGAGCUUCUCCGACCAAUCCCGAGAAGUCUUAACCAUCUUCCGCAAUAUCCUCUUAAUAUUCUUAUUCGCGGCCUCUACUGCCCCAUUCGUCUGCGGCUUGUACGCAGUCGAUCUAUGAUGCCGGAUGCUGUAUCUCUGUACUAAGGUGUCAACCUCUGCUUUGAAAUGUACCCCUCUAUCCGAGAUCAGCUCGUGGGGGACUCCGUAGCGACAAAUGAUGUGUGAUCUAAUGAAACUGGCAACUCUGGAUGAUGUCAAUCUCGCAUACGAAGCAGCCUCCACCCACUUGGUGAAAUAAUCGAUAGCAACCAAGAUGAACUCAUGACCACUGGAAGAUUUCGAUGAAAUCUUCCCGAUGAUGUCUAUGCCCCACACAGAAAAUGGCCAUGGCGAAGUAAGUGCAUGCAACUCGGAAGGCGGCACGUGAAUGAGAUCUCCAUGUAUCUGACACUCGGGACAUCUCUGAACGAACUGGCAACAAUCUGUCUCCAUAGUCAACCAAAAAUAGCCAGUCCUCAUGAUCUUACGAGCCAACAUAUGUCCUCCCAUAUGUGGUCCGUAAACUCCCGCAUGAACCUCUCUCAUCACUCGAUCGGCAGAGGCGCGGUCUAAACACAAUAAUAGCAUCCCGUCAGCUGAUCGCCUAUAUAGCGUCUCACCACAAAUCACGAAACGGGUGGCCAACUGUCUCAAUGCCCUCCUAUCCUUGGCCGUGGUGGCCUCAGGAUAAACGCCGAGUCUCAAAAAGUGAUAUAUGUCAUGAUACCAGGGCAAACCAUCGUCUAUCUCCAUAUCAUCAAUCAAACAACAGUACGCAGGAGCAGAUCUCGACUCGAUCAACAAUGGGCGAACAGUGGCAUCAGCGGGAAUAUCAAUCAUGGAAGCUAGAGUAGCUAAAGCAUCAGCAAACUGGUUCUGCGCUCUAGGCAGAUGUGUAUAUCUCAAAUCCUCAAAUCUCGCAACCAGUAGCUCCAAAUAUGCAUGAUAAGGCCUAAGCUUCGCGUCUCUAGUCUUCCACUCGCCCUGAAUCUGUCUCAAUACCAGAUUGGAGUCACCAAACACCUCCAUCUGUCUAAUCCCGAGCUCGAGGGCUGUCUCUAGCCCCAAGAUACAUGCCUCAUACUCAACAAUGUUGUUCGUGGCCGGAUGUCGAUCCGAGAAUGCCAAACGAACAGAUCUGGGAAUGUGAUCACCAUGAGGGGAUAUCAACAAAACACUUAUCCCAUAUCCAGAAUGGUUGGCUGCACCAUCAAAGUACAUGCGCCAACCCGACAGACUAGUCACAGCUGCGACAUCCUCGUCUGGGAAGUCAUCAUCAAUAGCUCUGGCAUCAGAAACUGGUAAUGAGGCUAAGUGAUCUGCGACAAUGCUCCCUCUGAUGGACUUCUGAGUGACAUAAUGAAUGUCAAACUCAGUCAGAAGUACCAGCCAUCUCAUAAGGCGACCAACUAGAGCGGGCCUAUCAAACAAAUAUCUCAAAGGAUCAAGACGAGAUAUCAAAUGCACUGAAUACUCGGUCAUGUAAUGUCUCAAUCGGCGAGUGGCCCAAACCAAUGCCAAGCAAUAGCGCUCAAUCAUGACAUAUCUCGUCUCGUAAUCUAGCAUCCUCUUACUCAGAUAAUAAAUGGCUCGAUCUUUGCCCGAAUCAUCGAGCUGAGCUAACAUGCAACCUAAAGCCACAUCCGAAACUGAUAGGUAUAGGAGUAGAGGACGGCCUGGUGUAGGCGGAGCCAAAACUGGAGGCGACAACAAGUACUCUCGGAUCCUCUCAAAUGCGCGCUGACACUGAUCAUCCCAAACAGUAGGUUGACUCUUCCUCAAGAGUCGAAAAAUGGGCUCACAAAUGUCUGUCAAUCUGGCAAUGAAUCUGCUGAUGUACUGAAGUCUGCCUAGGAAGCCUCUGACCUCUCUUUCUGUCCUCGGCGCAGGCAUGUCAAGAAUGGCUCUAAUCUUGUCCGGAUCUACCUCUAUGCCUCGCUCACUGACCAUGUAUCCCAAGAGUUUCCCAGAAGUCACUCCGAAAGUGCACUUCUUGGGAUUCAGUCUCAAUCUGAACUGUCUGAUCCUCUCAAAGAACCUCUCCAGAGCUGCUAAGUGAUCUGAUCUACCUCGGGAUUUCACUAUCAUGUCGUCUACAUAAACCUCGACAUCCCGAUGCAUCAUGUCAUGGAAGAGGGUGGUCGCUGCUCUCUGAUAUGUGGCUCCUGCGUUCUUCAAUCCGAAUGGCAUGACUCUAUAGCAAUAAGUACCCCACUCGGUAAUGAAGGACGUCUUCUCCAUGUCCUCUAGAGCCAUCAAGAUCUGACUGUACCCGGAAAAUCCGUCCAUAAAGGACAACAUCGAGUGACCUGCUGUACUGUCAACUAACAUGUCGAUGUGUGGGAGAGGAAAAUCAUCCUUAGGACUGGCCUUGUUGAGAUCUCGGAAAUCAACACAGACUCUCACUUUGCCAUCCUUUUUGGGAACAGGGACGACAUUGGCCAGCCACUCUGGGUACUCGACCACUGAUAGAAACCCCACACUGAGUUGCUUCUGAAUCUCCUCUUUCACCUGCAAGCUCCAACGAGGGUGCAAUCGUCUCAACUUCUACUUAACCGGUCUGACAUGGGGCAGAAGUGGCAAACGAUGCUGGACGAUAGAUGGAUUAAGGCCCGGCAUGUCCUCAUAGGACCAUGCAAAGACGUCCAAAUAUGCUCUGAGCAACUGGAUGAGGCUGUCCCUCUCAUCUGUAGAUAGAUCUGACCCGAUCCUCAACUCCCUAGGCUGAUCUGCAGUGCCAAAAUCAACAAUCUCUGUGUCUCCUACAGCAGGUGAAACCCUCUGAUCAACGGGACCCGAAUCGGAAACAGAAGAUGAGUCAUCAUCUGAGUCAUGCUGUGCAAUCUCAUCAUCAAUAUCAAAAAUCUGUGAUGUGGGUGAAGAUGGUGCAGAUAAAUCAAUAUCACAAGAGACAGACAAAUACUCAAAAAUGCUCAAAUCCAUAGAUGAAACAUCGGAAACAAUGUCAGAACGGGAGACGAACCCCGACAGAACGUCAAAUGAAAGAGGUGGGUCCACAAAGUCGGACGCUCCCUCAACAAUGCCAACAUGGCUAUCAAUCAAAUCAUCAAAAACUAUAGCAUCCUCAGCAAUCUCCAGAGCAGGGGCUGUCUGGAUCUCCUCAACGAUCUCGAUGAAAGACACCCCGAAAAGAUCGAAUGGUGAAGUGAGUCCAGGCUGAAUAGUCUCCUCAAUCUGGCUCAGGCUCAGGGCGAGCAUCUCGUCGAUGUACUCGUCAUGUGGGGCAGCUCCGUCCACUACGUCCCCGACCUCAGCAAGGGUCCCAUGCUCAUCGAUCUCAUCAGGAAAACAAAGCGUCAUAAGGCUCGUGCGAUCCGGAGAAGAAGGAGCAAUCAACACAGAAGUCGAAGGACCAGGGGCUCCAUCUCUCAAUCGUAACUGCUGGACAAGGCGCUGAAGCUCGGCCUCCUGGGUGGUGCUAAGUCCUCCGACGAUCCCGUCAGAUGGUGCGUGCGGCUCCGAUGCCCUCACAAAGUAAUCUGCUAAGCUCCUGGUGUAUGGGCGAAGAGGAUAGUAGAAAGGUGUGUGGGUCAGUCGAGCCCUCACUCUCUCCUUGCGCAAACGCGCCAUGUAGAGAUAAUCGGCCUCAUUGGGGAUGAACCCGAGCCCAAAUGGUACGUCAUGAUCAGGAAUAGUGAUGAACUCGCUCGGUCCAUGCUGACGUCGACCCAACCCCAUGUCGGGUAGAUAAGACAUGCUCCGCAUAAUAUCGAGCACCACUGUGCUCCCAUGCCGGUCAAAGGACAUGGCCACAAAAUCCCGGCAGAAAUCCUCUAUCUCCACAGUCUGCACCUCAUCGAAGGUGAAUCCAGUCAGAAAAAGAUCGUCAUCAGUGUGACUAAUCUCGAGCACAGGCUCGGCGGUAAUGAACAUGUCUCCCACAGACUGUACCACGACGACCUGACCAUCGUGAAUAAACUUCACCUUCUGAUGAAGGGAAGAAGGAAUGGCCCCGGCUCUAUGGAUCCACGGUCGGCCCAGAAGCAGGUUAAAGGAUGUAGGAAUCCUCAAAACCUGGAAUACAGCGACAAAAGUGGCUGGACCGAUCAGCAGCUCGAUCUCCAAUGUACCCAUGACCUCUCUACGGGUGCUGUCAUAAGCUCGGACGGUCUGAGUGGAUGGGCCGAAAUCAGAAGGAGCGUAUCCAAGGGUGAUGGCAGUGGCAAGAGGACAUACGUUCAGGGCCGAGCCAUUGUCCAAAAGGACAGAUGGGACUCGGCGGCCUGAACAACCAACAGAUAUGUAGAGCGGGCGAGUGUGGUCUGAGCCCUCCGGUGGCAAGUCAUCAUCGGAAAAGACAAUACAAGUGGCUCUGCCAACCGUCAUCAUAUGAAUGAGUCCCUCGGGAGUGGUCGUGGUAUCAACUCUGAUCUGGCUCAGAGCUCGAGUCAGUGCAUCCCGAUGAGUACUGGAGGACGCUAAAAGGCUCCAGAUAGAAAUACGAGCCUGAGUGCUCUGCAACUGCCUCAAAAUCUCGUCAUCCUCUGCUCUGACCUCCUCCUGGGAGGCAGAUGUACCCUCAACUGGCCUAGCUGCCGCGGGAGGUGGCUGUCUCACUACUCUCCCUCCCCGGAGGAUAUACUGAACGUCCGGAGUCUGAGGAUCAUCACGAUGUGGAGCCUGAACCUCCUCAACAUCUGGGAUCAGAAUGUACGGCGCCUGAACGCUAUAGCAUGUGAAUGUCAGAGGCUCGGAAGUGGGCGCCUGUACAGAUGCUGCCUUAGGAACUAAUCGGAAUGAAGCGGGCAUCUGUGGCUCUAGAGUCACCCCACUCGUCUCGUAAAUCCCAGCUGGCAUGAUAGGCUCUGGCUCUGGAUCAUCCCAACUCAACAUAUGGACAUGAUCAUCAGUCUCAUCGAAGUCCAAGAAAUGAAUACCACCAGCUGGUGGAGGAACUGCAUGUGUGGUGUGGGUCGGCAACGGGUUUGUGGUCACACUCGGCUGGCCCAAGUGUACCAAACCCUGGUCUAUCAGAUCCUGAAUAGCGUGCCUCAGAGCGGUGCAUCGAUCGGUCUCAUGUCCAGGCCCCUGAUGAUAAGCACAGUGUAAAUCCAUCCUGAACUGAGCUGGAAUCGGCUGAGGUAGUGGCCGAGGGGUGAGAGCAGUCAACAAACCGGCCUCUAUGAGCUUCCGAAGAGCCUGGCUCAACGGCAUGCCUAUCUGCGAGAACUGCCUCUGCGUCCUCAAAGCAAACGGAGCAGAAGUCUACUGGGCUCCCGGUCGGGGAUAAGGCGCCGCAGGUCUCGCAGUGAACUGAGCAGCGUAGCAUGGCUGCCCUGCGGCUGUGUAGGAGACCGCGGGUCUCUCAAUGCUCUGAGUGGCAUAAGAAGGUAAAACCAAUGUCCGUGGCAUGUGUGUUUGAUCGUAAGCUGGACGAGGUGCCCGUGGCCUGUACUGAUGAGAUGCAUAGGAAGAAUGAGGCUCGGAAAACUGUGGGAUCGGCUGAUGGCGUCUGAGAGGCCUCUGACUGGAUGAACUGAUAACACCAACCUCUGUCGGUCUCGGUCCUAUGAAUGGUUUCUUCCCCUUAACAUCACUAGGGGAAGAAUCUGCCCAUAAACCUCUCGUGAUGCCAUCCUCGACAUCAUACAAAGCCAUAACUAGAGACCCAAAAUCUGUGAACGGGACCCCAACCACAUGUCUGGCGAUCCUCGGCUGUAGGCUCCUCAAAACCAUCUGAAUCUGGUGUCUCUCUAAUGGUCUAUCCACUAUCUCAGCUAUCUUCUCGCGCCAACGGGAAAUGAAAGAAGAAGCGGACUCCUCUGUCCUCUGCCUCAGAGCCUCGAGCUCUCUCCUCGAUACGUCUACAACAGUGUUAAACGAAAACUGUCGUAGGAACUCCUGGGCCAAGUCAUCCCAUGUACGGCGUCUUGAGGACUCCAGAGACGUCAACCAACGCUGAGCCGCCCCACUCAGAGAUAGGGGGAAAAGAGUGAUCAUCUGAGGCUCGUCCAGUCCAUGAGCCCUCAUCACGGUGCUAUAAAGUCUGAGGUGGAGGCGCGGACAACCAAUACCAGUGUACCUCUCAAUAUCUGGCAUCCUGAACUUAGCCGGCAAGCUGGCUACCGGCAUACCCCCAAAAUCAUCCCAAACAACGGAUCCAUCUGACACUCUCAUCUGCCUCAUACACUGCUCGAUGCGGUCCAUGCGCGCAUGCGUGUCAUCAGCGACAACGGCCUGGGCGACUACGGGUGGAGCGAUCUCAGAAUGCCCGUGUAAUACAUAUGGUGAUGCCUAAUGCACUGAAGGAACGGGUGGGGGUGGUGGAGGUGGGUGUGAGUCAUAUGGCGUCUCAUCCUGAACUAUCGAUGGUCUACCCUGCUGACCACCGAUCUCCUGCCUGAGGCUAGCCAAAGCCUCCUGGAUAGAAGCCAUGGCAGCCGUGAACUGAUCGACCGUGACAACCUGCUGAUCCAUAUCUGGUGUAUCUGAAACCCGAACUAAUCUGCCCUCUACUCUGAUCCACGAAACUAUACCCAGACUGAGAGUAAAAAUCCUGAUCCUGAAAGUACUCCUCCUCUGCUCUGAUCCACAAAGGUAUAUCAAGACAAGGAACAAAGGUCCGAUCCUACAAAGCACGAAGAACGGAAUAAGGAUAUGGCUUGGGGAAUGUAUAGAAGAAAAGAUAAUCUGAACAGGAACAAGCAAAGCAUCCAAGUGAAGAUGAGCGGUCCGACCGUACUCAAACUCGUCAUGAUCUCAGUGCACUCUCAACUGGAGACUAAACAGAGGGAAAAUCGGAUCCAAAACUGCGGCUACAGAGGCACGGAAAGCCCUCAGAUGCACCCACGUGUAGGGAGGGAAUCCUAAUCGAAGGAUCUACGGCUCAACCUACAAGGUCAAGGUGGCUCUAAAUGGAUAAGGGUGGACUUUAAAAUAUCCCUAGCAGAAGCGAUCAUACCCUCCGACGGUACGCAACCCUCUGUACGCCUCCGAAGAGACGGGGCGCUUCCAUGCAAGGUGGUCAUCACCUCCACACAUGCACUACCUCGCAUCCCAGGGGGUUUCCUAUGGUGAAACCUCUCAAACUCUCAACACUCAAUAGUCUACUAGCGUGCACAGUGAUGGUGUGGGUGCAUCCGAAACCCUAAGAAGCUAAAGCAAGAUAUGAAACACACUGGCCACACAAAUAUCCAUGAAACCUAGCUCCGGGCUAUAUAGGUCUUCAAUGAUCGGACUCCAAUCGACAUCAAAGUGUCGCUCUCCUCCAGAAUGCUCCCGUACAUCGAUAUAGCCCGUCGCUAGACCCUACUCCUAAUCUCUGGCUCGGUCAGAGAGCAAACACACAGAAGGUCUCACACUUGCAAUAGUGAGAACCGGGAUGAAAGGAAUGACCGAAACCAAGAGAAUUGGAGGUAAGGGGAUAGAUGUGCUACCCACAUAGACAAGCAACAUGCAAUCAUGCAGAAGGAAGGCAGUCACGCGUCAUACAGUCAAGCAAAGUACAGGAUAUAUCACUCAUGUCCACACAAAAAGCUACAACUAUCAGGAUGAAUAGCGAUAUGAACAUCAUGCUCAAAAGACGAUCAAGAUAAUAUGCAAGUCAGAGAAUCAACAUAUCAAGUCAAAUGAUAUACACCAGUGAAUCCAUGCAUGUGAGGUGAACAGAACAAUCAUGGCAAAAUCAGAAUGACUAUGCUAAGCAAGGCAAGAUGAUCAAUCAAUAUAAUCAGCAUGUCAAUGUACUCAACAAACAUGGCAAUGAAGCACAGAAAAAACAAAAUCCUUAAUCAAGAUAAUCAAUCUCAUAAUCAGCAUGUCAAAUAUCCCAAACAAAUAUAUCAAUGAAGCACAAAGAAAAUCACUGUGUCAAAAUCCCCAAUCAAGAUAAUCGACUAAUACGAUCAAUCAUGUCAAUGUCCCAAGUGAAAACUCAGGAACCCUCAAUGUGCAAUCAAGAAGUGAGUAUCCACUAAUCGACUCAUCAAAAGCCACAUUUGCUUCAUCCUAAGUUCAAGCUUGGCCCUCUAAUGAUCCCUAGUGGAGUCGCCAUUUUGUGGACCCCGCAUUUCGAUUGCUCGAAUGAGUUUCCCACUCGAUGGCGAAACUCGAUUUUUAUUUGAAAAUUUUGAUUUUUAUUGAUUAAGAAAAAUGACUUGGAGUCGCCACUUAUUUUUGUUUUAUUUUUAAAGGGUAAACAAAAUAAGAAAGAAAAACCCUAAGUGUGACUCCUUGUUUUGGAAAAAGCGGUCUGUGAAAAACCGGAUCGGGUUCGGGGGUCAGGUUACUUAUUGGGAAGGUACGGUAAAGACCGUAGCACCCCUCUAAGUCCCUAAAGUCGGGUCUCUACUAAUGAGAUGAAGCUGACAUGGCAAUCAAUGUGAAAAUCAAUGAAUACUCAAAUCAAUCAUGCACAUAUGAGUAUCAGAAUAUGCAUAGAGAAUAACUAAAGUGGAAGUGGAUGCGUACCUGAUCAACAAACAGAAACGCGCUAUCAUGAAACAUGGUUAGUGAACAAUGAACAGAUAUAAUCAAGCACUUAUCAAGGAGUAGGGUGAACCAAUCAUGCAUGGCAAAUAAAUCAAUCGAUCAGUCAAUCAAACAUGAAGUCAAGUAUGUAGGGCCCCCACCAAAGCCCGUUUAUUUUUGCAUGAAUUAAUUCCAUAAAUUCCAUUAUUCGGAAUUACGAAAUUUAAUUCUUACUUAUUUUCAAAACAUUUUAAAAACAAAGAAAAUGCAAAAGUGGCUUGCCAGAAGGAAAAUGACAACCAAAUUUUAUUGAAAAUGGGAUUUCGGUAUCCAAAAAUUCUAAGCAUGGAAAAUGGGAAAAUUUGGAUUAUUUGAAAAUCAGAAUUUGAGAAAAAUAUUUACAAAAGGGGAUUUGAGAAAUCAUUUUCAAAAAUCAAAUAAGAAGAAAACCAAGAAUGCCACAUGGAACCGGGGUAUGGAAUAGGUGGUAAGUGAGCUCUUGAGUCAACACUGUUGAUUUAUUGUCAAUGGCAAGAUUGGUAAUUUGGCUCCCAGAACUGUCCAAAUAUAAGCUGCUGUCAUUAAUGCAGAUUUUAUGGCUGUUGGGGGACCAGUCAAGGGGAGCUUGGUGAAACAUAGCAGCCAUCCUGCUCAUGUACGGACAUGCCAACCUUCCAAUUUCGGUGAAAGAAAGUGUCGGAGAAGGGUAAAUGGAUGAUGCCCGUACCGUCAUUGAGAACGAAACGGCCCUGAGCGUCAUCGGAGGCGGAGAUCAAGAUGCCCUGUAACCAGGCACGCUGGAAAAGGGCGUCGCUGCAUGUGAAGUCCUUCUGCGACGUCCUUUCUUUAGCCUUCUUAGUUGUCUGCAUAUUACCUUCAGCGUUGCUGGGUUGUAAUCUAUCUUCCCCUGUUACCAGUUGAGUUUCUCUAGCCCUAGAAACUUUUCCAUCGGCCGGAGCACCUUGGAGCCUUCAGAGAGAAGAGACAUGGGUCUGUACACGACACCUCAAUGCUCCGACGAGAUUUUGCAAUCUCGGGUGACUUAAUCUCCAUCAUCACUAUCAACCGUAGCUGCCAGGCCCCGAAACUUGGAGCCAGACCACCCCUUGGCUUGGUGGCUGCCGCGACGACCAUCUCCAAAAUCCUCAUCGUCGUCCUCUGCAGCCUUGUCGAUUCUUGAUGGUGACUCUGAACCUAUGGACGAAGGCAGUGUGCGCAAGAUCCAAUCCUGUGCUUCUAACCUGAGCAACAACAUCUUGGCAACCUCGCCAUCCACUUCCUUCAAAUCUCCUUUCAUGCAUACCCACCCAAUGUUCCCAUGAGCAACAGAACGUAACAUAGAAAAGGCCUUGUUACCCAUCUCAAUCUAUGUCUCAACAUUUCAAAGAUCUUCAGUGUAUACAUUGAGAACACUCAGGCAGAUCGAGCUGUAAAACUAAAGCCGAAGAGAACCCCAAGCUAAAGAGAGAAAGUGCAGUUCUGGAGAGAGAGCCAGGACCCCGAUAUUCUUCAUUAUGCCACUGACAAUUGAUUUAUCACCCAUUUGAAUAUUUCAUGUACGUCAUCGAGAACAUCAUUAGGAGAGUUUGUACAGACAAGUCUCCUUGCUUGUUUUUUUUUUUUUUUUCAAUGCAUGCAUCAAUUACAAUCUUUGUUCCUCACUGCUAUUGUUGUUCAUCCUUUACCUUUUCAUGCACGAAGUAAAAUAACAGAUUGGAUGCAUGGGAUUUUCGGAAUGGCACCUGGUUUGAAGGUAGUUUUGGACUGUUAAGUGAGUGGGUGAUAUGGGUACGAGGACGGGAUAGGUAGAUGGUUGUAGGUACAGGGAGCGUGAAGAGGGGCAAGGUGGGUAUGUAGAGGUUGCUAAAUGGGCAUAAAAGAUAGGGGGGUGAUGAUGUUGCCUCGGUGAAUUGGCGGGUACACCAACUUGGCAGUUUGAAACGUGUCAUGGUGAUGAGAGCUAAAGGCAUUGUGAAGCGAAGUGGUUGACGACGAUGACCGGAAAGGAAACUGGUGGAGAUAAAGAGAUAUUUCGUCCGGUUCCAAAAUGAAUGGCAGUGGCGCUGGAAAAGAAGAGCAAGGUUUGGUAUACUGACCCGCCAUUAACACUAUGAAUACAAGCAGAACAGAGAACUUAUGGGCGGGAUUUCUAUCAAAUGAUCCUUGCAUGCUCUAACAAGGCCAUACAUAAAACCGCAUGCCCAGUAGGCCAUACGAUGAUUGGUGAAUCCUUUUUUGAAGUAGACUCAUAGCCUGGCGGAUGACUACGUCUGAUAGGUCAGAUGCUGCUACAGUUCAUAUACCAAUGACCAUCAUCCUCUUUAUCUGAGCUUGCUCAUAAACACUGAAAAUGCACUAGAUACCUUCCCCCUUGAAGCUUCCUUUUCUUCUUUCCUCUCGUCUAUUUCUUGCCUCUCAAGUUCCAGAACAUCCUCUCCUCACCAACAGCUUCAGAAAAUUGGUUCUCCUUCUAGCAAAACUUCUCAUCCAAGAAAAUAUCUCCUCUCCAACAACCAAAAAUCUCUCCUUCAGCUUGUUUGCUUCUUUCACCAAAAUAACCUCUUCUCACAGCCGUUGCAUUGAGUAAGAUCCAGAAACAAAUAGGAGCCAUAACAAAGCAGAAUCCACAGAGAACAGAACACAAAAGAAAAUGAGUAAAAGUGAUCAUCAGAGGCUUCACUUCAUGAGUUAUCCGUGAGUCCUCUGAUUAGGUGAGAAAAAAAACAAUAUGGAAUGUAGAUAUUGGCAUGAUUCUUUGGGCGUUUCACAAUAGAGACAAGACAUGCUCAGAUUAACAAUACCAAACAUGAAUGCAAGGUUAUAUCUCAACAAGCAACAAGUGGCCUUCAUUAUCCACUCCAAACAAAUCAACGAAUAUUCAAACAUCAACAAGAGACAUAGAAGAGUGAUAAACAGCCAAAAACCAUCAAUAAGCCUGUAGCAAUCAUACCUGAGGGAGUCUUUUUCAACAAAACCAGCAGGACUCCACGUUUUACUCCAGAAGAAUCAGUCUGCUACCCUGCUUCCGGCCAAGCUUCCUCCUCUAACUCAGAGAACCUCUCUGGAAGCUCUCAACAGCAGCCUCGAAAAUUUUUGGUUCCCUCUAGCUCCAGAAAUAUGCUCUGUCUCUAAAAAAAAACCACACCCCAGCUCUCUCCCCUUCAAGCUAAAACUCUCUUUAACUCUCUUUUUUCCAGCCAAAUGCCCCCCUUUUCCUCAGCUUGCUUUUCCCUCCAAGCUUCAUAACACACUCAAAAAAUCUCUAACGGCCGAGCCUCUGUCCCCCACUACCCUGCAGCUGCCAGACGACACCACCCCCUACACCACUACUCUGCCGCCGGCCUCACUCUCUCUCAUCCGCUCCUCAAGACAACGGCCUGCAGAUUCUCCUUCUAGAAUCUUCUUCACCUUUACAGGUGUCUUCCCCUAAUUGGUCCAUCAACUCCACUAUUUUGAUCCUAUAUUGACUAAUCCGAGAGUGACACGUGGCCAGAAUGAGUUGCAUGAAAUAGCACCCAAAUGGGGGGUCUACAUGAGCCUUGAGGCAUUUUUCAUUAUUGAAGUGCUUAAAACAGCCUAGUUCUGAACAGACUGCCUCCACUGAGUCCAAUUUAGCUACAAUGGGAAGAGCAUUCAUAAGAGUUCACAAACAAAUAUUGGAAAAAUUCUAAGAGGUAGAUAUGUUUCCAAAUUUUAAAGAAAAAUGCAACUAGAUUAUGUUAAUUUACAUUAUCCACUAAGAAGAUAUUAAGAAAUAUUUUUAAUACAUAAAUAAAAAGAAAUUGAUAGAUAAAAGAUACUUGUCAUGAGAAUCCUCAUGCUCCUACAACUUUGAAGCAAAUUUGAACACUUUUUUCACAAAUGAAGUUUUGAAAGUUUACAUAAGUAGUACCCAUGUUUCACUAAGGUAGUACCUAAGGUUCACUAAAGUAGUACCUAAGGUUAAGUAAGCUAGUACCUAAGGUUCCUAAAAUACUUAGACGAUGUCUAAUAAGAUAAAAACAUCUCUUUUAAUGUCCAUUAGGGGGGUCUUAAUUGGCCUAAUGAAGUCCAAUGCAAUAGGGCUCUUCUACUUGUAAGAGGCAAUCCAGUCUCACCAAUUACCAUUAGAAAACAAGCUUGAAGAGGCCAAAAACUAAACCUUAAGAGAGGUGAGCCUAGCGGCUAAUGAUAUUGAUCACAUAAUCUCAAAUGUGCCAUACAUCAUAUAUCAUUGAAUUUUACAAAACAAGAUUACAAAUAAUUAACAAAAUGCAAGAGGACGUAAGUCUCUAAAGCAAACUGGAGCAACAAUUAUUACAUGCUAAAAGAAUAACAAAAAAAAUAGAUGAACUUUGAUAACUUAACGUGUACUUUUUCAUAAGAUUUGGAAGUCACAGGUUUGACUCUUAGACAUAUAUACUAGUAAGAGUACUAGUAUCAUGAAGCACAAAUUUUCUUAUUGUUAAUCUGAAACAAAAGCAACCACAUCAAAAAUUCAAUAGAAGUUAAAAAGUUCUCAAUAUAUAUACCUAAGAUUUAUUGUGACUAUAAUAUAUAUAUCUAAAUAUAUAUGCACACACAUCUAUUUCCUUGUAUGGAAGAUAUACUUCUAUCAAUUCAUGGAUGACAUAUCCAAAGGCAAACUCUUUUUAUUAGGCAAAUCUAUGAUCUUAAAAUUCAAGGUCUAGAAGAAUCUAGCUAAUAGAAAAAUGGCCACUCCAAUAUCUAAACAACGUAAUGAUAAAGGGAAGAAAAUGGUUUGCAUAGGGCAAGAAAGGUUUUCUCAUCUAGUGAAACAAUAGGACUGUGUCUUGUGAGGCUUAAGCUUCCUAUUCGUAAUUAUUUAAAUAAAUAGACUCACAGGUAGCAAUCAUAAGAGUCAAAUGUGUUUGCUUUGCUAAUCAUUUCACAAAUGCAAAAGCUAAACAUCUAAUUCAAAACCACAUGCAUCAGGUUAUUAUUAUAUUUAUGGAAAUGACUAAUGAGUAGUAAAAGCACCCAUCUCCAAGUGCUCAAGGUGCCUUCACCUUUACUAGGUAAAAUAGAAGAGAAAAUGGCUCAACAUGUGAGAACAUAGAAGGACCCAACAAAAAAUAAACAUGAAAAACAGAAAUUGAAGAUCAACCAAUAAACAUAGCUUUUUUGAGAGCUACUAAAUUCUAACCAUUUGAUUAUAUAAAAAGAUACGAAUUAUAUACCAGCUAUGUGGGUAACUUAGAAUCUUUGAUAUAAUGAAAAUGGUAUAGAUAGACUCCAUGUGAACAAGAAAUUGUAGAAUUAUUCUGACAAUAAUGAAAAUUCCUUCUAACUCCAGCCUCCACUCUCAUUCUGAUUGCCAAGCAAAGGUGGCAAAAUAAAAGAAAAUAAAAAAUUUCUGAAUCUUACAACUUUCUUUUCCCGUAGAAAUAUUUAGAAUGAAAAUUUUCCACUCAACUUGACCAAAUUUAAGUAUUUAUUCAUAAAAACUAUAAAAUUGGGAAUUUAUUUUCCUUAAACUUUGAUAGGAAUCACAAUAAAAAGAAGAAUUUCUUAACAAAAAUAUACAUAAAAAGUUGUAAAAUUGAAAAACUAUUUUCCUUAAAUUUCAAUAGAAAUAGCAAUAUAAAAAGAAUUUCUUAAAAAAAAUAUAUAGAAAAAUACAUAAAAAGACGACAUUCUCUAAAACAUACAUACAUAUAUGUGUUAAAAUAUACAUGAACACAGAAAACCUAACCUAAAUCAAACACCAAAAAUUUGGGAUUUUGACAUCCAAAUCCUAACACCAAAACCCUAAUUUUGAACCUUAGUAUUGUGAUUUCCAGAACAAUGGAAGAAAAAUAAAUAUGCAAACCUUUCCCCCCCACCCAGAAAAAAAAAAAAAAAAAACAUUAAAAGAAAACAACACAAAUAGCUUGAAGAAUUGAAGAAAACCAGAAACCCAAAUGGGAACCCCAGAUUUGGACAUGAACAUUGUUGAUAGUGGUAAAAGACAAAAGACAAUAAAAUCAUACAUGUGGACAAACAAAAAAAAAUAAAAAACAAAAAAGGCAAAGUCGGAUGUUCUUCAACGAGAAUGAUUAAAUUGAAAAUGUUGGCGGUGCUACUGCUCCAUCACAAUUUCGAGAUAGAGAGGAUGGGGGAAGAUGGAAAUGAAAAGGCUUGGAAAGAGCAGUGCGACUGAAACACAUGUAAAAAAGUUGAUAAUGAUGGGCAUGCCCUUCGAUCUAUGUCGUCCACUUCUGACAAGAAGAGGUUAGGGUUAGGUUUCACCAUAUUCUUGGGAUUUUGGGAUUAUUUGUUCAAAUAAGAGGUCCAUUUUUUUUACGAGAUUUGGGUUUUUCAUAUUCAGAUCAACACAAGGAAGAUAUUAGGUUUUUUGGAUUUUUGGGUUUCAAGAGAGAGAGAAACAGACAGAGGAUGAAGUUUUCUAUUCAAUCUUAGUGUCGACUAGGGCAGAGAGAAAAAUGUAGGCUAUUUUUUAGUUUUUUUUUUUUUCAUCUGAUGUGGAAGAUGAGCUGGCGGAAAUGGAAGGGCAAUUUGGGUAUAAAAUAACAACUACGCUCAAAGUGCAUGAAGCUCAAAUUAUUUUUGGGAUUAGAAUAGUUAUAUUAAAAAAAAAAAAUCAAAAGUUGGGUUUCCAAUUUCCUAUAUUUUUCAUAUUACCAACCCAAAACACAAGUUUCAAUUCCCUUUUGCUAUCACAUUGAAAGCUAUUGUAUUGUCAUCUUGAGAACACAAGAAUAUUUCAUGUGAUACAAUGAUGCUUAAUUUGGAAGUUUAGUGCUUGUUUUGAUUGAUGCUUUUGAAAAUUGUUUGAAAAAUUAAUUUUUAAGAAUAAUUUUUAGUGUUUUCAAAAAUAAAUUGUGUUGAGGAUUGAAUCCUAGAAAAUAGUUUGUAUUUAAAAUACAUGUAUAUAUAUAUAUAUAUAUAUAUAUAUAUAUAUUUGAUUGAGUUAAUAAAAAAGUUUUUUUAAAACAAAAAACAUAUUUAAAAGUUUUUUCUUUCAAUUAAUAAAUAUUUUCUUUAAUUAAAUUGUUAUUAUGUAUAAAUAAAUUUUAAAUUCACACUUCAUUUAAAUUAAAAAAAUUAUUCCAUCUUAAAAUUUUUAAUCUAGUUAUAAUUUUUUAAAAUAAGGGAUUACUUUGUAACCAUGUGUAACUAUAUUAAUUUCAAUAAUGUUUUUAUUUCUAUAUAUGGUAAACUCCAUCCUCAUUUUGAAAACAUUUAUUUUAAUCAUAAAUGCAUCAUACUAAUACAUGUUUUUAUUUAAAAAAAUCAUUCAAAUUAUAUGUAUACUAACACAAUCAAUAUUAACACAAAUAAAUACUAUAAGUAUUAUGAUACCAACAUCAUAUUUUAAUAUAAUAUAUUAAAGUUUUCGAGUUUAUAGAUGACAAUUUUUUAGAUAAUAAAUACAUUCAUUUAACAAUAAUGAAAAUAAGAAGAAGAAAUAUGAUAAAUAGUAUAAAUAAAAAAAAGCACGACAAUGCUAUACUCACAAUAACCAAUAAGUAGAAAAUGACUUUGAGGAUUUUUUUUUUUUAUAGGCAUUGGGUGUUGUAAGUUGGCAACUAGUUGUUGAGGUUGUUGUGGAUCAUACUUACCAACCCAUAUAAAGUAGUAGAGAUGUUCCUACAAUACAUUAAUUGUUAAAAAAAAACAUAUAAAAUAUGAUGUGUGUAUUUCACUAAUAUCAAUAUAUUUUUAUGUAAUAAUUAAAUAUACUUACAUGAUAUAAUGGACAAUGAUAAAACCAUCGACCAUUGUUCUUCUGUGUUUUCAACACGAAAAUACAUAUCCAUCCACACCCACAAUAACACAUGGGUCUUUUGUCCAUCCUACUUUUACAAUUAUAAAAUCAAAUUUAUAAGCAAUAUUUAAUCAUUAGAAAUUCAACAUACAUCAUAUAACACUAAUGAGAACUAGUUAACAAAUAUAUAUAAAUUAUAAUAUAUAAUUGAAGUAUUGACAAAUAUUUAGAAUUAAAAAUAGUACAAGUCAUAGAUUGACAUUGAAAUAAUUUGCCUACAAGAUGUCAUAGUUGCACUCUCAUUCGAUAAAUCAAUUGAGUGACUUGUGCUAUUUAUGCUCUCUUCUUUACCUUGGACUGAAAAGUCUUCUACCUCAUAUUCUCUAAACAAUUGAUCAUUUCAAGUCGAUAGGCAAAUCUAAUUAUGAAGGGUACAAUAUGCAAUAACAAUUGAUGGUUGCCUAUUUGGCUUAUAACAAGGCAUCAUCCUUAAUAUUAGAAACCAUGUCUUCAAAACACCAAAGCACUUUUCAAUAAUAUUUUGAAGAGAUGAAUGUUUAUAAUAAAAAAAAAAAAAUUAUACUUGACGGGUUGAUUACGCCUACCCCAAUAUUCUUUUAAAUGAUAUUGCUUACCUUAAUAUGAUGGCAAGAAUCCAAAUGUACAAUGAUAACUAGAAUCAACUAAAUAAUAUUUUCCUUCAUUUAGCCAAGGAAAAUUAACUUAUGGUCUAGUCAAUGCAUCCAAAAAGACACGUGCAUUAUUUGUUAUUCCUUCCCAACCAGCAUAAACAAAUGUGAACAUCAUGUCAAAAUCACAUGCACUCAUAAUAUUUUGUGUUAUAAUUGUUUUUCUACCCCUAAAACUACUUUGUCUAUCAAUUGGAACCCAUACACUAAUAUGGGUGCCAUCAAUUGCACUAAUGCAAUCCUAUAACAACAAACAUUUAUUAUUGUUAAGGAAGUGAAGUAAUGGUCAUGAAAACUAUUUAUUACAUGAAAUUCACAUGUAUAAAUAUUUUUUUAUAAAAUCUUACCUUAAACCAUGGAAAAUAUUUAGGAUUAUUGGCAACAUAUGAAGACAUCUCAUUAGUCAUAUUGUUAGGACGUAUGAGAAUUUUGCCUAGUCAAUAUAAUGCAUGUCUAACUUCUUUAAAGUGUCAAGUGACAGUCUUUGUGGAGUGUUGAAAACGGUUUGUUACAACCCUCACUCUCACAUUAUGUCCUACUCUUAUUAAGGACAUAGCAACUGCCUCUUCAACUAUGACUAAUCAUGUAUCUUGUAAGUUUUCAUGUGUCUUAAGAUGAUCACAAGUGUUCAUAAAUGUUUCUUUAUCCAUUCGAAAUAGUUAAUAGCAUGUCUGAGGAUGACCAUCUAUCAUAUCUCGUAUAAAUUGUGCACCACUUAACAUUGAUGUAUUUUAAGGUAUCUUGCAUAAAAAUAUUUCAUCAUACUCAUUCAUUAUGUGAGCAGUAAAAAUUUCAUCUAAGUCAUCUUCCUCUUCAAAAGAUGAAAUUGACUCAUAUAGUGAACCGUUGCUUGUCCUAUUAUCGUCUAUUGGUUACUACACAAAAUAAAUUAACCUACAAUAUAAAAUAACACUAAAUGAACAUUAAAAUAGAUAUUAUAUAAGUUUCAUAACCAUAAAUAAAUUUCAUACAAUGAAAAGCUAAAGAAUACGGUAAAAGAUUCUAACCAAAAGAGAAAUAAUACUUAUUACAAUGUCAUCAUAAUAGUUACUCAUCCAAACACACUCAAAUUUAAAGCUUAUUAAGCCAUGCCUUUUUCCUUUCAAUAGACAUAUUCAUAAAAAUCUCUCUCCACCCCAACAUUGUGAAUUUCUCAACAACUUUUAAAUAUUUGUUAGUAUCCAGCAAGUCAAUGGUUUGUAAGAUUGCCAUGCACCUUGUAUUUCUAAAAUCAUUAGUACCUGCACUAGUAGCUUCACUACUAGUUCCACUCAUAUAUCUCUCAACUCUAGCCAACAAUGCUUUAGUUCUAUCUCAAGAUACCUCUAUUCUAGCCUUUGAUGCCUCAGCCUAAGCUUUCAAAGUAUCUCCCAUUUGACUUAAUUUGGAAUCUUUCUUACCUCUACACUUUAAUAGAGAAUCAGUUGUACACUUUCCAAAACAUGUGGUCACUCCUCCAACCAUCUCUAGCCGUAGCGAAUCAUUAAGGAUCUUAGUAUCUACAUCCACAUGCACUCCACCAUGUUCCAAUUUUCAUCCAUCUCAUCCUCAUCAUCAAUGUUUGGUGGAUCUUGGGUGGAAGAGUAGUAGAGGGUGCCAGUUGCUGUUGACAGAUUAAAGAUCAAUCCUAGCAAGUUGUAGUUUGGGAAUUCCUUUGAGCAAAACCUUUUUGCAUUUUGGUGGGCCUAAUAGAGGGAAAAAAACUCACCCUUAGUGUAUACCAAAUAUUUAAAUUAAAAAAUGAUUAGUUUUAGAAGUUGCCUUUACCCGAAUGUAAUUUUGUCAAGUUUCCUCUAGAACAUGCAUCAUGUUAGUUUUAGCAUCCUAACCAAAUCUAGUAUGCUUUAAAAGAUUAGAGAACUCAUGGUGCAUUGCACGUAGUCUGUUAAGCUACUUCAAUUUGAAAUUUCUUUUCCCUUGACUAUUGACCUCAAGUAACAUCCUCCUCCAUGUGUUGGUACUAAAUGUACCACUAUCCAUGUUAUCUUUAUUAACUUCAUUUGGUGUGAUAUGAUUAAAUAUUUUCUCUAUAUUACCUCUACACGUUCCUACAUCCUCAACAGUUAUUUUCUUAAUUGGCAUCUGUAUGAUCCCAACACAAAUAAGGACCUUAUAAGGAGAUAACUUUAGAAUCACCAACAUAAUUUAAGGACUUGUUUGAAUGAGAAUUAAUAUUGUUGAAGUAUAGUUUAUAAAAAUAUGAAAGAAAAAAUGAAAGGAAAUUAAAUAAAAAUAAAAAUAGAUUUGAUAUUAAUGACAUCAUAGAUAUCUUUUUUAUUUUAGUUUUUAUAAAUUUUAAAGGAAAAUACGAAGGAGGAAAUGGGGGAAUGAAAGAACAGUAAAUAAAAAUAAAAUGAGUUUGAUUAAUUUUAAAAUAAAAAGAAUUUAUUUUAUAUUUUUAUAAUAAAUCAAACAUGACAAACUCAUUUUUAUUAUAAUUUUAAUUACAUUUGAUUUUCUUUUUAUGUUUUUUUAUAAUAAAUCAAACAUGAAAAAUCAUGUUUAUUAAAAAAAUUCUUAAUUUAACCUUUAAUUUUAUUAAAAAUUAUAGUAUCUUCUAUUAAGCUAAGAGAAAAGUGUAGACCCUCCAUUUUGUCCUCUUAGCACAUGUCUUUUACAGCAAUUCCCUGACAGCCCAUUAUUACUCACGUAGCCUAUCUGCUCUAAGCCACCUUGGGGACUAUGGUUGAGGGAUUUAUUGAAUUCUAUUACGACUCCUAGUAGCCCAUUUAGACUUAGAUACACUUAAGCACCACCCUAGGCCCACUUAGGCCCUACCCUAGGCCCACUUAGGCCCUUUAAGCCCAUUAGGCACCAUCCCAGGCCCAUUUAGACACUUUAGGCUCAUUUAGGUACACUUGGCCCAUUAGGCAUCACUUUAGGUCCAUUUAGACUUCAGUUCAUUAGGCACCACCUUAGGCCCAUUUAGGCACUUUUCAAGGUUUAGUUUCACUUAGAUUUGUUUUCUUGUUUUUCUUUAUUUAUUUAUUUUAUUGAUUGCUUUUAAGAUUAAGUGAGUUUUGAUUUAUUUAUAUUAUUUCAUUAUUAUUAUUAUUAUUUGUAUUUUUUUAUUAUUUAUUUUAUUUUAUAAUUGCAUGAAAUGAGUUAUUUAUUUAUUUGUUUAUUAAAUCUAAUAAUUUCAUGUUUAUGCAGGAAACUUACCAAAUGGACGACUAUUGGAGCAAGUCUAGAAGGAAGAAUUUUUCAGCAGAUUCUUGAGAAACUGAUUAGAAGGGAUGCGAUUUUUUUUUUUGGGAAAGGUGAAUUACCAAAACGGUUUGGCAUGAAAAAAAAAAUGUGCAGCAUGUAUAGGGACGAAAUGUGGGCUAUGUUCAGAGAAGAGAGAGUUCUGGUGAGUUGUCUUUCCAUGUUGGUGGAGUCAAUGAGUGGAAAAGAGAGAUCCUGGACUUGGAAAAGGAUUUUGGGAAGGAACAAACACGUCGGUUUGAAGGAAAAGGGAAAUGAUUUUUAGCACGUGGAGAAGAUGAAUGAGAGGCUGGUGAAGAAAUUGAUCUCAUUUUUCGAGGAAGAUACAGAAAGGGUUUUUUUAAAAAGGUAUUGCGCUGAUUUUGGGAGGAGACAGAGCGCUCUAUAGAGAAAGGAAGGUGACUGGUUUUGGAAGGAGGAGCAAGAGAGAGAAGAGAAGGAAGGUUUGAGAGAAGGAUUCAGGGCAUGAAAGAUGGCAGAUUUAGUGAUGAAGUGGGACUGGUUUUUUUAGAAGAGAAGAGGGUAGAGGCUUGAGAGACGUGAAGGGGCACCAUUGAGAAGGAAGAGAGAGGUAGCAACCAUAAAAAAAAGAGAAGAAUUUUUUGACAUUAGGAAGGAGAAAAGAGGAUCAACUAAGGUGAUUUUCUGGUGGAGGGAACACAUACACAGGCCUGCCAUCUACAGGGGAGUCCAAGGGAAAUUCACAUCUUGGAGAAGAGAACCACCAGCCGAUUGAACACAGGUUUCUCGCUGAGAGUAGUCCACGCAUCAAAUCUUCAUCUCCACGGGCUGUAUCCAUCACCAGUCCGCACAUCUGCUCUUCAUCCAAACGGCUCCAUAUCAGGUUCCGGAGUGUGAUCUUACACUGCAAGUGUCAUGGCUACACCCUGCGCCAUACCAGCCGCACCUCUCCGGAAGCACCUUCAACACGCACCUCCACAUGAAAGAGAUCCACAAAAAGACUUUAAAAUGAAUUAAUUUAAAAUUUUCUUAUUAUUUUGGGAAAAUUCAAAAAAUUCCUACUAGAAGUAGGAAAAGAAAGGUAAAAGAUUUCCUUGUCAUCUUGGGAGAAUAUGGAAAAUCCUAAAUUUUCCUAGUAGAGAUAGGAGAAGGAAGAUAAUUAAAAUAAUUCCUUAUAUAUGUGACCUAACAUUUAAAGAAGAUAAUUAAGAAAUGAAUUCAGAAUUAGUUUAUAGACAUAAAUUUGGCAUCCUAGUUAAUGAAAUCAUAAUGAUUCUCAUCUACAAGUAAAACUAAGUACAUCAUAUCUAUCAAAAGUUUAUAUUUAUCAUUUUCUUAUCUUUUUUUAAGACUCAUAACAAUAGAAUGGUUUAGAAUAAUAUUUAGAUAUAAAGAAUUACUAAAUAAUUAUAAAUAAAUAAAAAAUCAAUUUUCUAAACAUAUUUUGAAGAUUCUUGGGUUGGGCCAUCAAUUUGUUUAGGUUUUUUUUUUUAAAAAAAAAUAAAUCUUAGGAGAAGGAACAAUUAAAGAAGAAAAAACAAGAGAUUGACGAAGCUGAGCAAGCUAAAUGGAAUAAAGUGAUUGUGACUUUUGACUUGGUUGGUAGUAAGGUACUACUAGUGGACUGUCUUUUAUAUUGUUGUUAAUCUCUAUGCAUGCAUGAAUCUUCCAUCUCAUUGUAAGUUUUAAGUUGAAUUUUGGUGCAGAUUCAGUCAUUUUUUUUAUAUCUACUCUUUUUCUAUUCAACCACCUAUAUAAGAACUUGUCUUUACUCUUUAUUUCCCCUACUUGUCUUUCCUAACCAUAAUUACUUAUUAAGCAUUCAUUAUCUGAUGGGAAAAACUUGGAUCUAUUCGUUUCCCAAGUUAGGAUCAAGUUAGGAAUAUGCAUAACUAUCUUAGGAUUUUUCUAAAUCCUAUGCAAAGCAAAAAAAAUUACAUUUUUAUACUUGAAAAGGAUUCAAAAAGUGCUAACGAAAACCAUACCUCAGAUUCGGAUGUUCCAAAAUCAAAUCCACAUGGUGAAGAUGAAGAUCAAAAUCGUUGAAGUCUUGUAAACCCGAAGUCUUCCACCUGAUGACUCGAACCUUAAUCUUGGCACACUUCUAGUAGGGAGGAAAAGAGGAUGGAGGCUAUGGCUCUCUAUCUCUUUGGAUUGUAGAAGACAAAAAGCUAUGGAAACCCUAACCCCUAAAAGAUAUUUAUAAGGUUCCUAAGUGGGCUUAAAUGACUUGAACCCACAUGGGCUUAGGUAAAUUAAUCUAGCCCAAAAUGGGUCAUAAUUAAUUAAUUAACCCAAUAAGACCUACUAAUUAAUCAAUUAGACCAAUCUAGAGACCUUGUUCACUUACCCUUAGGCAACCUUGUGUAAUUACCAAAACACCCUUAUGCACAAAAGUGAACCUAAAGUCAAUCCGACCUUCAUAACCCAUGCUAACAAGGUAUAUGAGCUCAAAGCAAGGACCAUUGUGGCCUAUAGGAAUACUGGCUCCCUCAAAAUCCAAUUCUAAAAUUUAUUCAACAUCCCACUAUAGAGAAUCAACUAAACUCUAGUAUCCUAUGUAAAUUAACAACGAGACACCAACUGCUCAGGUCCGAGACUUGCUAUCUAUUGUGCUUAGUCUUCCCAUGAAUUGGUAUCUGUAGUCUAAUAAGGUGAAAACCAUCAACCUUUCAAGUCGAACUCUACCAUCCUUGAGUCACAAAUCCUCUUAUUGUGUGUUCAAUUGAUAUAUCUUAGCUCUCAAAGAGCCUAUGUCAAGUUCCACUUAAGGAACUACUAUGACCAUAAUUUCCAUGAACACACCUCCUUAGGAUCAUCUAAUGGGACACACUGUCUCAAUCCCAAGAGAUAUCAUGGUGCCUUUAUUGAGAAUACUUAUUGCUACCGGUUUCCAUCAAUAGUGACCUAAUCCAUAGGGAAUAUAUGAUCAGCUAAUGAUUUCACUCAUAGGUCAAAGUCAUUGCAAACUUCAACACAAACUCAAUAUUCUCUCAAGGUUGAGAGAUAAUAUAAUGAAGCAGCUUGGUGGAGUCAUGACUACUUGAUAGCCUUAAGUCAUAACUCCCUAUAAAUCUUGUCCAAUGUGCAACCAUACACACUAGUGCUCUCACCAUGGAGAACCCAUCCUAAUAGCCAAGACCAGUCAUCCCUCUAGUUAGGAGGAGGUGCACUACAACCUAUAAUGGGUUGCCUAGGCCCAUGAAUCGACUAUGAACAAGUCAUCUAUUUGCAAGGAACCCAUGACUUGGAUCUUCUGUGCAACUCCUAAUGUACCUAAGUCACGUAUAAUGCAAAAUAUACAAGCAAGAAUGCUCAUAAAGUAUAAUACAUGGAAUAAGGAUAGAUAAAAGUGAAAUUGGAACAUCAUUAAAUAAAUAAUAAAUUCCAAAUUUAUUGCAUCGUGUCAUGCUUUUAAAGGCUUUAUCCUAACAUUAUCAUGGAUGCUUAUAACUUUCUUGACAUGGUUUUCCCAUGAUGGUUCCUACCUCAUAUUUGUUUUUCCUCUCUUAAGCCAUGGUUUUUUAACAACUAGUUUUGCUAAACUCACAGAGGUUUUCUUCUCAUGUUUUUUUAAGUGAUGGUGAAUGAAGAUGAAGUUUCAAAAUUAGAAUCAUAGAAUAGAAUACUAAGGUUACCAGAUGAAAGAGAAAUACACUGGAUUAAACUGAACCUAACUCUUAGAGUGCAACUAGUUUUUAUGGACCUAAGACCAAGUCAAAAGCCUAAUAAAGGGAAACAACUAAAUAAAAGCCUAAAGAAUGGUAUGGGCUUGGAGAUAACCGGAAAAGUGCAACAUGAUAGCAAUGAAUUAAAACAUCUUAUGACAAAUAACUAGAUAGAAACAUCUUCAAAUGACAAUCUUUGGAAUAGGCCGUUAGUAAAUAGAGGUUUGCAUGUGGAAGAUGAUGGUGCAUGUUCCUUGAAUUUCCAUUAAAAGGCACAAGUUCUGUAAAGGAACAAGUUGGACCAUUUUGAAACAAAAAACCAAGAACAAAAGAAAUGAAACUCUCAUUGGAAUGCUCACAACUAAACAACAAACUAGAGCAAACUAAACUGAUAAACCUACCACAAACACUUUCUACUACAUGAAUUUUUUAAAGAACAUGACAUUAACUAAAACAACAAUGAACCCUACAUUUCAUUAAGAAAACAAGCUAUUUAUGCAUUAUAAAUUCUGAAGUUUUCUUUUAGAUCAGGAAUUUUCGUAAUUUUAUAGGAAAAUCUCAUGGAAAAUUAUAAAAAAAUCAUAUAUGUACUCAAGGAUAAACUCAUUGAAUUUAAGGUGGUAGUGGAUAACCUAUUGGGUAAACAUAUCAUGGCACUUCGAUUAGAUUGAGGUGGUUAGUCUAGUAGGUUUGAUUCUUUCCAAAUGGAACAUAAAAUCAUAUCCCAAUUUUGUGCACCAAGGAUUCCAUCAUAAAAUGGAGUAAUAGAAAUAAAAUAUUGAACUUUGAUAGAAAAAGUGAGAUCGGUGAUUGGUUUCUCAUUACUGCCCAUAUUCUUUGAGGAUAUAUCUUAAAUGUUGUAUAAUAACUCUUCUAAAUAGGUGUAUCACUUUAUAAGAUAUCCAAGAGGAUUUAUGGAUUAUUACUUUAUAGUCAGGAUUAUCAAAGGGUGUUUAUUAUUACAAAUACCAUAUUUUUUAUGAAGACUAUAUGAUAUGUAAUAAGGCAAACAAUGUAGAUUGGAGAUAUUAGAAGAUAGUCCCACUAUACACAAGGUACUAUGGAUCUAGUACCAACUAUUCCCAUUUCUUGUACACCGAUGCCUUGUCAUAGUGGGAGGGUUGUUAAACAACUAGACCGAUUAAUGUAUUUGGGAAAGUCUUUCGAGGCCAUUCUAAAAGAACAUGAGAUCGAUCCCAUAGAUUAUAGUAAAACAAUGAGCGAUAUGGAUGCACAUAUUUAGCAAAAAUCUAUCAAGGCAUAGUUAGAAUCCUUAUGAUUCUAAUGUAGUUUGGAUUCUUGUAGAAGCACCUGAAGGGAUAAAACCCCAUAGGUGUAAGUUGGUCUACAAGAGGAAUAAAGGAGUAGAUGGAAAAAGUUGAGAUUUAUGUGGCUAGGCUAAAGGUUAUAGUUCAAAACAUUGUUUUGAAUAUAGGAAACCUUUUUACCAGUAGCCAUAUUCAGAUCCAUCAUAGUACUCCUAACUAUUGCGGUGUAUCUUAUUUAUGAAAUAUUGUAAUAGGAUGUCAAGAUAGUGUUCUUAAACGAUUAUCUUGAUAUUAGCAUAUAUAUGAUGUAACCAGAUAUCUUCAUAGCAAAGGGCCUUAUGAGAAAAAAAAAUUAUAGGGAAACAUGGUGGUGCUCUAGGAUCUUGUAGGUAUAUGACAAUCAACUCAUUGGUAAUGAUGUAGGGUUAUUAUCAUUAACCAAGAUCUAGUUUUCUACUUAGUUUUAGAUAAAGGAUUUGGGAGAAACGUAGUAUAUUCUUGGGAUUAAGGUCUUUAGGGACCGCAAGAAUAGGAAACUAGCGCUAUCUCAAGCUACCUACAUAGAUAAGCUUUUGGUCAAGAAUAUGAUGCAGAAUUCCAAGAAAGGUUUGUUACUUUUUAGGCAUAGAAUUCCUCUUUCUUAGGAUCGGUGUCCUAAAACACCUGAGGAGAAAAGAACGCAUGUAGUCAAUACCUUAUGCCUCUAUAGUGGGUAGUCUUAUGUAUGUGAUGCUAUAUACUAGGCUAGAUAUUUGCUUUGAAGUGGGUAUAGUGAGUAGAUAUCGGUUUAAUUCAAGUCCAGAAAAUUGGACUAUUGUCAAGCAUAUACUCAAGUAUCUUAGGGUACUAAGGGAUUAUAUGCUCGUGCUUUAAAGUGUUGAGAUAGUUUAUAGGGUGACAUGAUGAUUGACAAAAUACCUUCUAUGGAGAACCUGGUGGAUAUUUUCACCAAGACAUUGACAUGAAGAGUCUUUGUUGGUCAUAAGGAUAACAUAAGUAUCAGAUAAGUAUCUAGCAUGCUUUAUAGGCAUGAUGCUUUCAGGGCUAGUGAGACAAUAUUAGGAUAAAGCCCUUAAAAGCAUGACAUGAUGUAACAAAUUUGGAAUUUAUUAUUUAUUUAAUGAUGUCCCAAUUUCACUUUUAUCUAUCCUUAUUCCAUGUAUUAUACUUUAUGAGCAUUCUUGCCUGCAUAUUUUGCAUUGUACGUUACUUAGGUGCAUUAGGAGUUACAUAGAAGAUCUAAGUCAUGGGUUCUUUGCAAAUAGAUAACUUAUUCACAACCAGUUCAUAAGUCUAGGCAACCCAUUAAAGGUUGUAGUGCACCACUUCCUAACUAAAGGGAUAACUAGUCUUGGUUAUCGAGAUAGGUUUCCCAUGGUGAGUGCACUAGUGUGUAUGGUUACACACUGGGCAAGACCUAUAGUGAGUCAUGACUUAAGGUUGUGAAGUAGUCAUGACCUCGCCAAGUUGCUUCAUUGUGUUGUCUCUCAACCUUGAGAGAAUAUUGAGCUUGUACUAAAGUUAGUAAUGACUUUGACCUAUGGGUGAGAUCAUAAGCUAAUCAUAUAUUCCCUAUGGAUUGGAUCAUUGUUGAUGAAAACUAGUAUAAAUAGGUAUUCUCAAUAGAGGCACCAUGAUAUCUCUUAGGAUUGAGCUUGUGUGUCUCCUUGGGUGAUCCUAAGGAGGCGUGUUCAUGGAAACUAUGGCCAUAGUAGUUCUUUAUGUAGAACUUGACAUAGUCUCUUUAAGAGCUAAGAUAUGUCAAUUGAAUACACAAUAGGAGGAUCUAUGACACUCAAGGAAGCUAGAGGUAGUUUUGAAAGGCUAAUAGAUUUCACCUUGUUAGACUAUGGACAACAGUUCAUGGGUAGACUGGACACAAUAGAUAGCAGGUCAUAGACUCGAGCACUUAGUGUCUUGUUGUUAUUUACAUAGGAUAUUGUUGUUUGGUUGAUUCUCUGUAGUGGGAUGCUAAAUCAACUUUAGAAUUGGAUUAUGAGGGAGCCGGUAUUCUUAUGGGUCCUAGUAGUACCUACUCUGAGCUCAUAUAGCUUAUUGGCAUGGGUUAUAAGGGUUGGAUUAGCUCUAGGUUCACUUUUGUGCAUAAGGGCAUUUUGGUAAUUACGUAUGAUUGCAUAAGAGUAAGUGAUCUAGGUCUCUAGAUUGGGCCAAUUGAUUAAUUAGCAUGCCCUAUUGGGUUAAUUAAUCAAUUAGAACAUAUUUUUGGCUAGAUUAAGUGAUCUAAGCCUAUGUAGGCUCAAGUUACUUACGCUCACUUAGGAACCCUAUAUAUACCCUUUAGGGGUUAGGGUUUCCAUAACUUUUAUCUUCCACCAUCCAAAGAGAUUGAGAGCAUAGCCUCCACCCUUUUUUUCUUCCCACCGAAAGUGUGCCAAGAUCAAGGUUCGAGUCAUCGAGCGGAAGGCUUUGAGUUUACGAGACUUUUACGAUUUUGAUCUUCAUCUUUACCAUGUGGAUUUGAUUUGGGAACAUCUGAAUAUGAGGUAUGGUUUUCAUUAGCACUUUCUGAAUCCUUUUAAAGUAUAAAAUGUUAUUUUUCCGUUGUACAUAGGAUUUAAAAAAUGCUUAGGAUAGUUAUGCAUGUUCCUAACCUGAUCUGGACUUAGGAAAGGGAGAGAUCUGGGUUUUUCCCAUCAUUAACUAUAUUAGAUGUAUACAAUAUUUAAUCUACUAAUAUAUGAACAAAGGGCUGAAUGGAUUUUAUUGUAACCUCUAUUAUGUUAUGUUAUAUAUACCCAAGAGCAAGCUAGUUCGGUUGGAGAUUGUGGAGCUUUGAAAACGUCCUAAAUCUAAGCUGAUCUAACCAUAAAUUGUAUUGUUGUUCCAAAGGUGUCGAAAAGGUCUUCGUUUAGAAAGUGAGAAGGAGAUGUCCCUUUUGGGUGAGUCAUUUUGAAACCCUAGCUAAUCACAUCCAUUGUCAAGCUUCCCUUGAUGAUUGUUCUUCCCAUAGUAAUGGGUCCCAAAUUAGGUCUGAUGGCAAAAGUGAAAUGAAAGGGGAUGAGACCCAAUGUUGUUGUUAAAGCAAUAAGUCCAAAACAAAGGGAGAUGACAAAGGCAAAGGAAAAAGGAAUAGGGAAGAUCCACAUUUAAAGUGAUUCAUAAGCAAUAAGAAAAGACAACUACAAAUGGGAAGAGGCUAACAGUAUAAGCUAUUGGUAAGGGAUGGAAAAUGGGAAGCUUUGAUUAGUAGUUGUUCACCACAGUGGAGUGACCAAAUGAUAUUCAAAAGUUUUCGCCAAUAGAUGUGUCAUUCCCGAUAAGAUUAUAAAUUUUUAUGAGUUAAGCUACUUUGAUUUUGAACGUUUAUUUGGCGAGAUGGGAUGGCUAUUGUUUGCUUACCUCAAUGAGGCAUCCUAUCCUCGCCUAGUAAGAUGCUUCUAUUCAAAUAUGAAAUACGAGGAUGGAGGACCAAUUAAAAUGUAUGUCAACGGGAUAGAAAUUAAGUUUGAUGUUGUAGAAUUGUUUGAUAUUUUAGACAUUAAAAAUGAUGGAAUAAUCAUAUUUGAAUAAAAAAUUUGGCCAAAGGUUAUGAGUUUUAAACUGGUUGAAGCAAUAUAGAGGAUAUGUGGCUUUGACUUCUCAAAUGUUAAGACUCCACCACCAACUCAGACAUUGAUCGUGUUGAGUAGGAUCCUUCAACAUAUGAUCAAUUACAUAUUCAUUUCUAAAAGAGGUCAUCAGGAUGAGGUUUCAUUUUUUGAUUUUUUGAGGUAUUCUUGGUUGAUAGCUUAGUGACACAAAGAAAAAACAAUAUGGGUUAUAUUAUUUUCCACCAUAUGAAAGUUUGUUUUAUUAGAAGUAGGUUUGUCCUUCCAUAUGGCAUGUUCAUUACGAAGAUCAUGAAGUUCUUUCAUGUCAACUUCCAUGGAAAUAUUGAGAUUAUCAUGUUAAAGGCUUCUGACAUGUAUAAUAUUGUGUGCCUUCAUCGUAUGCAAUUUGAGUUAAAGGAUGAUGGGACAUGGGGAAAGAAAAAGACUAAAUGGCUUGUUGGACUAGAGGUGCCAUAUGAGGAGGAGGACCAAAUUCAACAUAUGGAAACAGAAGAUGGUGGAUACGAGAAUGCAACUGGUUUGGAUAAUGACAUUGAGAUGGGGCCGGUUGUUGAAAGUAGUCUAUCAACCACAUGACCACAACCAACAUCUUCUGAGCCAUCUCACCAUUCUACAUAUUUUCGAGAGCUUAGCUCUACAAAUUAGGUCGAUUGGAAUUUCAUUAGAGAAUAUGACAAUGGGUAUUGAUAGGUCGUUUGACAUUCCUAGAAGGGUGCAUUGAUAAGUUGCAAGAUGAAUUCAAGGCCUGUAUCCAACUUGUGACUCGCCAACAUGAGGAGUUCAUCACUUUCAUGGGAGGCAUGGUUCGACUUCAUCAACUACCAUAGGCAUGGUCUAGGAAUGACCAAUGGAAAUGAUGUCCAUGUGGAAAUUGCAUUAUUUAUUUUGAAGUUGCCUAGAUUUUGCCAAUUUAUUUUUAGCUACCAUAUUUUGGCUUUAGGUUGAGUAAUUGAUAUUUUACAUUAUCUGAAAUGUUGUUACCUACUAUACAUAGUCAAAUAUAUGAGGAUUUGAUUCAUAUAUACAUAUAUUUGUGUAUCUACCUAUUGUUAAUUACCUUCCAUCAUUAACAUAAUGUAUUUUCUUCCAUUUUUCUAAAUGAGAAAAGGAUAUGAUAUAAAUUAUUCACGAUGUCAAUUUUUAUGAGAAUGGAAACGUCCAAUUUUGGUGGCAGAUCGUUGUAUAGAUCAAUAGGUAUUGUUUCUCAUUAUUAUGUUGGUUAUUAGCAUAAAUCAUACGUACAAGACUUUGACUACAUUAUUACAAAGUAUAUUGACAUGUAUAAUUUAGGGAUGGAAAAUGAGUAUGCACUCCUAAAUAUUAAUUUAAUUGGUAGUUCCCAAAUUAGUUUCCAAUUUGUCUAACAUUGUAUGCGUCAUUUGUAACUGAGGCCAUAGGUUUCAUAGAUAUAUGAGGAUAUAUUUAAUGAAUAUCUUUGGGAUCAACAUUGUUCCAAGAUGAGGAGUUAGAGUUGGGAGCCUAUUCAUUAAAAUUAUGAAGAGUCCAUUUGUCAUAUUUUCAAAUUAAUUACAUCGAAAUAGAAAAUAGCACCUAAUUCAGCUUCAUUUGCAUUUUCGCAUACCAUGAACAUAAGGGAUAUUGGCCAUAAGCGUUCUACGCUUAUGAAUUUUGUAGAAGGGAAUGGAAUAAUUAAAACCAUAUACGGUGUAAUUCAAUUGGUAAUAUAUAAAUUUUGGCUAUGAAAUAAAUCAAACAACUCCUGUUCUUUGCCUAACUAUAUGUGUAGUAUGGUUUCAAUAAUACUAAGAAUGAGACCUUCUUACCUAAGUGACACCUCUUAGAAUACUCACAUAAGUAUGCACUUUUCCUAUUGAACACAAGUUACUAUUCGUGUCGAUAGUUAUAUAUAUCAAUGACAUUGUAACAAUUAAAUUCAACAAAAUAUUAAAGUACCUUUACACUAACAUAUAGUACAUAACUUUCUAUAGAAGCUAUAGUUGGAGUGAAAAGCAUCAAAUCCCAUUGUAGGAUGAAUUACUCAUUGGCUUCUCAAUUUGGGAGUAGUCGAUCGGUAGACUAACAUAGGUCGACCGAUCAUAUUUAAUAUAAUUUGAAAUGGCUAUGGGUCGAGGUUGCGGUUGAUCCGAGGCAGUUUGCCGAUACGUACUGCAUGUGUUUAGCCAUAGUUUAACAGCAUAAAAGUAUGAUGAAAUGUAAUAGAAUGUGAAGUGAAGACAUGUGUAAUUGUUCCGUCUUCAAAUCUUCUUACCAAUUACAAGAAUAAACCUAUUUCAAAAGUAGUGAAGUCAAUGAAAGAUAUCGGAAAUUGAAUUUAAGAAAAAAAAUAAUCAACUUAAGUUAUUAUGCAACUUAAUAAUUAUAGAAAAUACCUUAGUAAAAUAAGAAUAAUCAAUAACUUAAACGACCAGGAAAUAUUGACAUUAAUUUAUAUGUAUUUAUAUAGCAAUUAGUGAAAUUAAUUUAUAUAUUCCAUUGAUUAAAAUAUGGGCACCAUGAAAUUGAAAGAUAUAUUCCAUUUUUUUUUAAAUGAACUAUUUAGAAUGACGACAUAAGUUAUUAUAAACCAAGUUAUGUUUUUAAAUAAUUUUUUAACAAGUUUUUGAUUAUUUUAUUAUUAAUAUUUUAUAAUCUAAUAUACUCAUUUUUAAUGUUUUUAAUGUAUAACUAAAAAAAUGUGAUGUAUAUUCCUUACUAAAUAGAUAUUAAUAUAUUACUUAUUAAAUAGUCAUUGGUUCGUGUUGUAACCCAUGACCACUAAACCUGAUAAACCCAAAUUAUUGUAAUAUCUAAAAUUUAUGUAUUAUAUAUAAAUUGUAUAAUAAUAGAAUAUGUAUAAUUUUGAAAAUAUAAGUUAUCAUAUAAAAUUUUAAUUUACUAUUAAUAUUUUUGAAUUUGAUAUACUCAUUUUCAAUUUUUUUCUUUUUAUGUAUAACCAAAUAAAUGUCAUAUAUAUUCCUCACUAAAUGCACAUUAAUGUAUUAGUUAACGCAUUAAAUAACUGUUGGUUCCUGUUAUAUUAUCCAUCUAUAAUAGAAUAUGUAUAUAUUUUAAAAUUACAGUUAUCAGAAAAUAUAAUUUAAUUAUUAAUAUUAUAGAAUCUAAUAUAAUAAACAUUCAUUUUAAAAAUAGAAUAUAUUAAUUAUAAAUAUAUAAUUUAGUUAUAUAUUCGUUUAAAAAAAAAUUCGAAUGUUAUAAGAAGAUGAAGAUCAAAGGGUGAAGGAGAGGAAGUGGGAAGGCCAAACCAUUAUUCACAUUCCUGUCGGUAAUAGUGCUCACUCGUCUGAUGGACCGCCAUCACUGGGUUUUGUGUCUAUUUAGUUGCUCUGAGGUGGAAAUGGGAUCGGAAAAUGAAAAGACCUUUGUGGAACUCCUAUGUAAAACCCUAUGUCUACCAAAUUAUUCACCCUCUCCUUACAGUGAUCCCAAUUGUAGCCACACUUGGUUUGUAGAGGAAUGGAAUCCGAUGGAAGUGCAUCGGUGGGGGACAAGGCGAAAGGGAAGCGACCUAUGCUAGAACCAAAUACGGAGGCACGAAAAAAAAAAAGAACUAUGAUACAUGCAUGUUUAAGACCCUGGAUUAGGAAAGAGAUAUUUUGUUUUUUUUCACCCACUGAACUAUCGUCCUGGGUAGGAAAAUUAAUUUUGGUGAGUUGAAAUACUUUGGAUUUGAGCACCUUUUUGGUGCCCAGGGAUGACUACCUCUUGUUUCUAUGAAUGAGGUUUUCUACCCACGACUAGUGAGCUGCUUUUAUUCUAAUUUCACUUACUAAGAUGGGAAACCAAUUAAAGCAUACGUCAACAGGGUUGAAAUCAAGUUUGGUGUUCAGGAGCUGUGUGAAAUUCUUGAGAUUGAAGAUGAAGGAAUAAACAUUUAUGAAUUCAAGAGUUAACCAAAUUGGAUGGUUUUAAGCCAGGUGAAGCGGUUCAAAGGAAGUGUGGCCUUAAGUCUUCGAAUGUGGCAACCAGACCAGUAGUUCAUAGUUUGACGGUGCUCAGUCAGAUACUUCAACACAUGAUAAACUACAUUUUCCUUCUUAAGGAGGGGCAUCAAGAUGAAGUUUCCUAUUUUGAGGCGUUUUUGGUUGACUGCAUCUUGACAUGUAGGAGAGUUAACAAUGGAUAUGAAAAUUUUCAGCACAUGAAAAAGUGUUCACGUAGCAUGUUGUCAAUCCUUAUUAGAUGUUCAUUACGAAGAUAAUGAAAUGUUGUGAUGUCAUAUUAUGGGGGGUGCUAGAAAUGCGUAGGCUGAAAGCUUAUCAUACUUACAAUAUUGCAGCUCUUGGUCAUAUGAAGUUUGGAUUAUUAGAGGAUAGGACAUUGUAGGGACCCCUCCCCCUGAUAACACGUGGCACACAUCUCCUGGUGACGCGUGGCACACAUUCUCAUCCGGAUCAACCUCAUCCGGAUUUUCCCCAAGAGUACACGUGGCGCGUCUCUCUUAUCCGGACCCCCUCAAGGAGAGGCACAUGACACUCACAAACAUUACAUCCGGACGACUGCCACAGCACAUCCGGACGACCGACAUACACUAUUCGGAUAUGUUUGUCUGGAUCAUUGACUGAAGUAAGCAAGUCUUACACGUUAUCACAACAGCCUGCCAUGGCCCACAUUCCGCCACCUGCAGGGUGAAAGGACAAGAAUGAAGUGACAGCAAGUCACUUCCUACGAUCACUUCCCACGAUUUCUGACAAUCGCAGCAACUACCACGAUCUCUAUCAGCCGCCCGUAGGGUGAUGAUGGCCCUGCCACCACCUAGUGUCAUCAUGACAACACAAAAUAUCUCCCUGCCAUUAAAGAGAGAAACAAAGCCUCUGAUACUAUAUAUAUGAACCUUCACACAAAGAAGAAGGUAAGCUUGCUAUACCUGGUAAAAGGCCAACUGAUUUAUCUCUAUCUCUCUAACCAUGGCUGACAAAACCAUCGGAGGAUGCGUCCGGACACCCUGUCCGGAUGCCUUUUGCAGGUAUUACGAUUGAAUCAAGAAUCUGUAUUGGUUGAGAUCGUGUGUCCACCCAUUUGGCAACUACGUGGAUUAUCAGGGACGCGAGGCCUCAACAUUGGCGUCGUCUGUGGGAAAAUAUCACUGAUUCAAUCACCAGCAAAAAUGGCCACACCUUCCCAAAGCCGUUCAUCUGGUAGGGAAGGGGAAGAUAAUUCUGAAUGGCGCCAAGCCAUCGAAAGAAGACAGUUGGCAAGCGAACGACAACUGAAAGCUCUCCUCCAGGAGACAGAAAAAUUAAGAGAGGAAAACGCGGUACUACGCAUCCAGGCUUCAACAUCGGGGCCUCCUCGUCGCCAGUGUUCGAGAGGCCAGAUAGCAAAUUCAAGGCCAGAACCAAAGUCAAUAUAUCCUGGGGCAGCGGGAGCUAUCCCAGAAGCGUACAACGUGAGGCCACAUGAGCCACACACGCCCAUGCCUCGAGCUCCCCAGGAGGAAAGCUCGAACUCAACUCAUUUCUCAGCAAAAAGACAACGCGAUAGAAAAUCCCAAUUGUCAAAUUCAAUGCGAGCAAGACUAGGCCCACAAGAGCCUGGGAGAUCAAGACCACCAGCAGCCACAACCGGAAAGCAACCCCUUACCCUGUGGUCACCCCCAAGGUGCAGAAAGUGCUCCCGCACCGUGACCCUAUGGUCACCCCCAUGGUGCGGAACGUUCACUCGCACCUAGCGGCGCAACAAGAUGGGAGAAACCUCCCAAACGAGCCACCCAUUGGCUCCAUCAGCAAAAGGCUGGACGACAUGCUCUCCACGCCUUUCUACUCUCACAUCAUUCAUUACGAGCCCCCAAGGGGAUUCCUCGUACCAAAAUUCUCCACAUACGAUCGGUCCAGUGACCCCUUCGACCAUAUCAUGCAUUAUCGAUAGCUCAUGACGCUCGAUAUUGGCAAUGACGCGCUGCUGUGCAAAGUAUUCCCUGCUAGUCUACAAGGGCAGGCCCUUUCAUGGUUUCAUCGCCUACCUCUCAAUUCUGUUGGCAAUUUCAGGGACUUGUCUGAAGCUUUCAUGGGACAAUACUUGUGCUCCGCUCAACACAAGUAGAACAUCAGCACUCUACAAAACAUAAAAAUGCAAGAUAACGAAUCCUUAAGGGAGUUCGUGAAGCGGUUUGGUCAAGCCGUGCUUCAAGUAAAGGCUUGCAGUAUGGAUGUUGUCUUAUAGAUCUUCAAACGAAGCAUCUGUCCAGGCACACCAUUUUUUGAAUCACUAGCUAAAAAGCCUCCUACAACGAUGGAUGACUUGUUCAGACGUGCAAACAAAUAUUCAAUGCUCGAAGAUGACGCAUGAGCAGCCACCCAGCAAGUCCUAGUUGCUGGGCAAGCAUCUAGGAGUGGCACGGAAAGAAGUGCCAAACCUCCGGAUCGGCCGAGGCCAUCCGAUCGAAGACAGGAGGGACCAAGUCGACCGGAAAGGCCACCUCUCACGCCACUUUCCAUAUCAUAUGAAAAACUUCUUCCUAUGAUCCAAGGUUUGUCUGACUUCAGGUGGCCUAGACCCCUCGGAACGGACCCAACCAAGAGAGAUCAUAGCAAGAGAUGUGCCUUCCACAAGGAGCAUGGUCACAUAACAGAAGAAUGCAGGUGCCUCCAUUAUUUGGUCGAAAGGUUCAUAAGGGCGGGGCACUUAAAGCAAUACCUCCACUCAGAAGCCGGAGGUAGAGACGCUUCCCAAAAUCACAACUCUGUCGCCCCCAAAGCCCCACUCGCCCCCAAAGCCCCACUCGCCCCCAAGGCCGUUAUAAACUACAUUAACGAAGGCCCAUCUGAUGAGGAGUAUGACUCCAAACGAAAGAGACAAAAGUUGUUGAGAGCUGCAUCAGUGCAUGAGCGUAUCAACUCCAUCCAGCCUGGAUUAACUGGAGGGGGCCCUCGCCCCAUAGAUGGGACAAUCAUUUUCCCACCAGUAGACCCCACCCGGACACUGCAGCCCCACCGCGACGCCCUCAUCCUAUCCUUAGAAAUAGGAGACUUCGAUGUGAGACGCAUUCUAGUUGAUCCAGGCAGCUCGGCUGAUCUUGUACAAGCAUCAGUCGUUAGCCACAUGGGCCACAGUCUCACGGGCCUUGAAAACCCUGGACGAAUCUUGUUUAGAUUCAAUGGGUCAUCGACUACUUCCUUGGGAGACAUUGUACUGCCGGUCCAAGCUAGCCCAGUCACUCUCAAUGUACAAUUUUCGAUGGUACAAGAUUUAUCACCCUUCAAUGUCAUCUUGGGGCGCACAUGGCUACACUACAUGAAAGUCAUCCCCUUUACAUAUCAUCAAAUGGUAAGUUUCCUUACCAAGGAUGCACAAAUUGAUCUAUAUGGCAGCCAGUUAGCCGCUCGCCAAUGCUACCAGAUAGCACGAGAAGCAGGGACCAGCUAGGAGGAUGCAUCCCUCCCUGAGUCCAGCCAUGCACGUAACCAAUAGCAAUUAUUGGGUCCGACGAACAAAGAUCCUCCAACAGCGGAUCCCUUGCAAACAAUUCAAAUUUCGAAAGAAGGAACUCACCUUACCAACAUCAGUUCCCUCCUGACACCCGAAGAGAUUUAGAAUAUACAGAACGUCCUCAGACAAAACCACGACGUCUUCGCAUGGGUACAUUCUGAUAUGACAGGAAUUCAUCCCUCCAUUACCUCUCAUAGACUCAACGUCUUACCAACAGCCAGACCCAUCCGGCAGAGGGUUAAGCGUUUUCACCCGAACAGACAAAAAAAUAUCCAGAAUAAGAUGGACAAGUUGCUAGAAGCCGGAUUCAUCAUAGAAGUAGAUUACCCGGACUGGUUGGCAAAUGUAGUAGUGGUGCCCAAAAAAGAAGGCAAAUGGCGAGUAUGCGUCGACUACACCAACCUCAAUAAUGCAUGCCCAAAAGACAGUUUCCCUUUACCACGAAUAUAUCAAAUUGUCGAUUCCACUACUGGGCAAGGGAUGCUCACUUUUUUGGACGCCUUCUCCGGAUACCACCAAAUCCCCAUGUCUCUGGAUGAUGAAGAAAAAACAGCCUUCAUAACACCACACGACCUCUAUUGCUACAAAGUCAUGCCAUUCGGGCUCAAAAACGUUGGUGCCACUUAUUAGAGACUGAUGACAAAGAUCUUCAAACCUCUGAUAGGCCACACGAUAGAGGUAUAUAUUGAUGAUAUCGUGGUUAAAAGCAAAACCCGAGAAGAGCAUGUUCUUCACUUACAAAAAGUUUUUCACCUCUUGAGGAAGUAUGGCAUGAAGCUGAAUUCUUCUAAAUGCGCCUUUGGCAUAAGCGCUGGCAAAUUCUUGGGGUUUAUGGUCAGCCAAAGAGGUAUAGAAGUCAGUCCGGAUCAAGUCAAGGCAGUUAUAGAAACACCACCACCCAGGAACAAGAAGGAGUUACAACGCCUCAUAGGCAAGCUCGUCGCGCUAAGGCGUUUUAUAGCCCGCUUCACUAAUGAAUUGCGACCCUUCUUCUUGGCAAUACGAAAAGCUGGAACAAACGGAUGGACGGACAACUGUCAAAACGCUUUUGAAAAGAUUAAACACUGUCUUAUGCAGCCGCCCAUCCUGAGCAGCCCCAUCCCAAAAGAAAAAUUAUACAUGUAUCUGGCUUUAUCAGAGUGGGCAAUCAGCGCUGCUCUAUUCCGCUGCCCCUCACCUAAGGAGCAGAAAACUAUCUACUACGUCAGCAAAGCAUUGGUGGACGUAGAAACCAGGUAUUCAAAAAUGGAACUAACAGUCUUAGCCCUUCGAAGCGCUGCCCAGAAGCUCCACCCCUAUUUCCAAGCCCACCCGGUGGUCGUGCUGACCGACCAACCCCUUCGUAACAUUCUGCACAAACCAGACUUAACCGGAAGAAUGCUGCAAUGGGCCAUCGAAUUGAGCGAGUUUGGAAUCGAAUUCCAACCCAGAUUGUCCAUGAAAGGCCAAGUAAUGGCUGACUUCGUGCUGGAAUAUUCCCGAAAGCCUAGCCAACGCCAAGAAUCAAGUGAAAAAGAGUGGUGGACUUUGCGAGUUGAUGGAGCCUCACGAUCAUCCGGGUCCGGAGUCGGGCUUCUGCUACAAUCCCCAACGAGGGAACAUCUGAAACAAGUCAUCCAGCUAGGAUUCCCCGCCUCCAACAAUGAAGCAGAAUAUGAAGCCAUCUUAUCCGGAUUGGCCCUCGCCUUGGCUUUAUCCGUCUCCAAGCUCCGUGUCUAUAGCGAUUCUCAACUCGUGGUCAGUCACAUCCAGGAAGAAUAUGAAGCUAAAGAUGAGCGCAUGGCACGAUACUUAGCUAAGGUGAGAGAUACCUUACAACGAUUCACCAAGUGGACGAUCGAAAAAAUCAAACGAACUGAAAAUGGACGCGCAGACGCCUUGGCAGGCAUAGUUGUCUCCCUCCCCAUCAAAGAAACCAUAUUUUUGCCUAUACAUGUGCAAGCCAACUCUUCCGUCGCGGAAACCUCCACUUGCAACGCCAUUGAGGCAAACCAAACAGAUAGCCAAGAAUGGACAAACAAUAUUAUACAAUACCUCCGGACAGGUACUUUGCCCCAAUAUCCCAAGCAAGCACACAAGAUCCGGGUGCAAGCCGCCUGUUUCACUCUGAUUGGGGGGCACUUGUACAAGCGCUUUUUCACGGGUCCCUACCUUCGGUGCCUAAGUCAUUCAGAGGCCCUGCAUGUGUUAGCUAAAAUGCAUGAAGGAGUAUGUGGCAAUCAUUCUGGAGGACGGUCUCUAGCGCAUAGGGCCCAUUCGCAAGGAUAUUAUUGGCCCACCAUGAAGAAGGAUGUCGUAGCCUAUGUAAAAAAAAUGUGAUAAAUGUUAAAAGCAUGCUCCCAUUCCCCAUAUGUCGUCGGAGACAUUGAAACCAAUCUCAGGCCCCUAGCCCUUCGCACAGUGGGGCAUGGACAUAGUAGGACCCCUCCUAGCCGCUCCCGCCCAAAAGAAAUUUCUACUUAUUGCCACGGAUUACUUCAGUAAAUGGGUGGAAGCUGAAGCAUAUGCAAGCAUCAAAGACAAAGAUGUCACCAAAUUCGUAUGGAAAAACAUCAUCUGCCGCUUUGGAAUCCCUCAAACCAUUAUAGCCGACAACGGUCCACAAUUUGAUAGCAUCACAUUCCGGAAUUUCUGUUCAGAACUGAACAUCCUGAAUUCAUACUCCACACCGCGUUAUCCUCAAAGUAACGGGCAAGCAGAAGCCACAAACAAAACGCUAAUCACUACCUUAAAGAAAAGGCUCGAGCAAGCCAAAGGAAAAUGGGUGGAAGAGUUACCCGGCGUCCUGUGGGCCUAUCGAACCAUACCCGGGCGGCCAACAGGAAACACUCCCUUCGCCCUUGCAUACGGUAUGGACGCAGUCAUUCCUACCGAAAUAGUGUUGCCCACUAUCCGGACUGAGGCAGCAAAGCAAGAUGAUGCAAACGCGGAGUUAGGAAGAAACUUAGACUGGGCAAAUGAAGUAAGGGAAAGCGCAGCCAUCCGGAUGGCAGACUAUCAACAAAGGGCAUCCGCUCAUUACAAUCGCAAAGUAAGGGCUAGAAGCUUCAAAAAUGGUACGCUGGUCCUUAGAAAAGUUUUUGAAAAUACUGCCGAAACAGGAGCAUGGAAAUUUCAAGCCAACUGGGAAGGACCCUAUAUAAUAUCUAAGUCAAGUAAAAGUGGAAAUUAUCAUCUACAAAAGCUAGACGGAACUCCAUUACUCAAACCGUGGAAUGUGUCCAAUUUAAAGCAGUAUUAUCAAUGAAAGAAAGAAGACAAGCACAAAUGAGAAUAAAGAAUGUUUUAUUAAUAUUUGUGAAGGUGUAUACAAAGAGGUCUCCGGACUACAAAAAUACAGAAAGAAGAUAGCAACAAAAAAUUACAAAAAGAAAAGCUAUCAAGGAGCAGGCUUGUCAAGCAGCUUCUUCUCUUCACCUGGAGGAAUUGAAGGGACAUCCCGUUUAAUGUCAUGUUUCUUCAUACAGCAGCGAUAGCCGAAGAAGAACAUAUCAUCUACUUGCUUCUGGUAGUCCGCUUCAAGCUCUUCCCUCUCUACAGCAAACUCACCCUCCAACUCUUCUUUUUGCGCUGAUAAGCACAACUGCAAAUCUUCCUUCUGCUUCUUCUCAAUGGAUACCUCCGUUUGGAGUUGCCUCACCUCCCCCCUCAAGAGAGCCACCUCAUCCUCCGCCUCAUGCAAGCGGGCAUCCAUCGACUCCUCUCGGCUCUUUGCCUCAGCUAAAUCCACCCGGAGAGCCUCGUUGUCUCCUUGAGCGGUGGAUAAACUGGCUUCGGCUUCCUCCAGUCUCAAGCGCAACUGAUUUUCACUGUUUUUGUGCUGAGAGGCGAAGACCUUCAUGUAAUCAGCGGUCCGCAGCAGGUUAGUAAAUAGAUCGUGUUGUUGGGCCAUGCCGUGAAGACCACUCACCAGCUGCACACAAACACACAAGCAAGAAAAGUGAAAUUACAAACCAUACCACAAACACAUCAGCAUGACAAAAAAAUCAAGAAGUACAAAACUAUCGUUUCCACCACUUCAAACAUUUUUGCUGAAGGCAUGGCAGUAUCCGAGCCGGGAGGAAUCCGUUUCAGUUUCUCUUCCAACUCUACAUAGCUAAAAGAGCCAGCAGAGAUGCAAGCCGCAUCAUCAACAGGACUUCCCCCUGAUGAGGCGUUGGAAGGUGACUCCUCCUCCAGGUCUGGGGCCCCCUCAUUUUCAGCCGGCUGGGUCUCUCUGGGAGUACCCUCAUCCGGGGCCACCACCAGGACAGCUGGGGUCUCAGUUACCAUCUCCGUUUCGCUCCCCUCCGGAUGAUCAUCCUGGACGGACGAGCAACUGACUUCGAUGGUUUCCUGGAAUCGAUCUUGAAGUCGCCCGAUGAGGCCGGACUUUAACUUGCGCGCUGAACGCGACCUCUUUGAAGCUGGCCCCUUCAUCGGUACAAGGGCAAGAAGGCUUGGCCCGCCAGAAGGCAAACUCUGGCUUUCUGCCCCCAUUUCCUCCAUUGGGGUUGCCAUAAGAGGCAAUACUUCCGCACAAAUGGCCUCGGUUGUGUCCACAUUCGGAUGGGGAGAGCCGGGUUGAUUUAUUGAUGCAACUUCUUCAGCCAAAAGAGCCACACGGCCAACCGCCGACAUUGAAGGCCCUGAGUGGUUCAGACCCGCAAGAUGUCCUGGUCCGCUUGAAAUAGAGGGUGGGAUAGGAUUUUUCGACUCUUUUAUUGUUACCUCCUUCUCAUAAGUAAUAGGAGGACGUACAAACUCCUUCAGAGAAGUGGGGAGUUUCACUUCUUUCCCCUUAUUAUGAAGAACCAGCUUCCUCCUUUUUUCUGGAGCUUUACCUGGAAGGGAGGUUGCGCUGCGUUUUUUCCCAGGAGCCUUCCGCAAAGUUCCCUCUUUUUUCCUCCUCUCCCGAUUGUCAAGGAGUGCUCGUCGUUUCUCAACAUCGGCCUCUUUCACCUCCUUGUAGAACAGGAGGUCUUUCAUAAUGUAGUGCUCCCCAGACACUACCUUCUUUGGUAGCUUCCUUGAGAGGAUGUUGAUAAUGUACGCUUGAGACUCCCGGACAACAGCCAGCAAGUUCCGCGCAGUGAGCAGUGUCUCAUAAUGCCUCUCAGCAGCAGCUAUCUCGAAUAACUUAUUUAGUCGAGCAAACGACGCCUUUUCUACCCACUCGACUACGUGGCCCCUCUUGUCUGGACCUGCAUUAUCAGCAACCAAAGGUGUUAAGCCAUCUAAUAAACACAACAAGAGGAACAACAAGACAAAUGCCGGGUAAUCCCCACAAACUGACUUACCCAGAAGCUCCAACGAAUGGUUUGGGGAAAAUGGCCUCUCCGGAUGCUCCAGAAGACCAGCCCAGGAACCCCGGACCAACAUAUGUCCCUUUGUUCCUCCUUUCGUUGAGUCCGACAGCUCAGUCACUAAUUGAAGGGAAGGCAGGUGGGCAGCCAUGCUAAAAAUAUCGUUUUUUCCCUUCUUAAGGGAGUAGGCAAAAAACACCUCCAGCAGCGAGAGGUCCAGGUUGAACAGCAUAUUUAGAAUGUUGCAUCCCAUCAGCACCCGGACUAUGUUGGGGUGGAUGCAGGCUGGUGGGAUCUGUGUGAAGUGAAAGAAUUCCUUGAACAGCGACGGGAGGGGGAACUGAAGCCCAGCAUUAAUCUGCUCUUUGGAGAACACGAUGGCAUGGUCUUCAGUUUUCUCAGUAGACAUGGCCUCUCCAUCCAUCAGUUCCACCACCACGCCAUUUGGGAUACUGAAACGUUCGCGGAACUCCUUUACACUCAACUUAUCCACAGAUUUCUCAUGAACAUCACCAGACAGGCCAGAUGAGGCAGCUCCCUUGAUUGUAGACAUUUUUUAGCUUGAGACUGAACUGGAACCUACAUACAAGAAGGACAACAGUCAAACAUAGUGAUCCAAAACUCACAAACCCUAAACGACAGACAACUCUCAAGAAAACCUCACACCACCAGUAUACCCAUCCCAAAACCCUUGACCCUACCAAAGAAAAACCCUCAACCCACAUAAAACACAGGGGGGUAACAAAAACCCUCGAAAACAUUGACAAAACACGCAGUCGCAAGCAACUUGCCCAAGCAAACUAGCAACAAACCGACAAAGACGAAAGGCAAAACCAAAGACAAAAGCAUGACAAACGAACGUACCGAGUGAAAACAGCGAAAAGAGGGUUGAACACCGCAAAUGCAGUCACCGGUACGACGCAAAAAGCACCGUCAGGAAAUUCUAGGGCUUCACUCAGAAAGCUAAGGUACGUAGAAAGUAGAAGAAGAAACACUCUCAGAAAGGAACGCAGUAGGAAAAAAUGCAACAGAAGGCACAGUAUGCUAUUUAUAGGGCAACAGCCCCUCGGAAAACCAAACGUUCAGCUACGCCAUCAUUGAAACGACACGCUGCUUGGGAAUACACAGAGACGACGACUCAUCAUAAAUGCUCUUCUCUCUCUUCACCCCCACUUGCCACGUGACCCAAUGAGCGCAAAAAGUAACCUCAGUUUCAAAAAAACCAAUUAUUUUUAACCCGCCCAUUUUGCUUGGGCAAAAUGGGCAAGUUAAAAAGGGGGGCAUUGUAGGGACCCCUCCCCCUGAUAACACGUGGCACACAUCUCCUGGUGACGCGUGGCACACAUUAUCAACCGGAUCAACCUCAUCCGAAUUUUUCCCAAGAGUACACGUGGCGCGUCUCUCCUAUCCGGACCCCUUCAAGAAGAGGCACACGACACUCACAAACAUAACAUCCGGACGACUGCCACAGCACAUCCGGACGACCGACAUACACUAUUCGGAUAUGUUUGUCUGGAUCAUUGACUGAAGUAAGCAAGUCUUACACGUUAUCACAACAGCCUGCCAUGACCCACGUUCCGCCACCUGCAGGGUGAAAAGACAAGAAUGAAGUGACAACAAGUCACUUCCUACGAUCACUUCCCAUGAUUUCUGAUAAUCGCAACAACUACCACGAUCUCUGUUAGCCGCCCGUAGGGUGAUGAUGGCCCUGCCACCACCUAGUGUCAUCAUGACAACACAAAAUAUCUCCCUGCCAUUAAAGAGAGAAACAAAGCCUCUGAUACUAUAUAUAUGAACCUUCACACAAAGAAGAAGGUAAGCUUGCUAUACCUGGUAAAAGGCCAACUGAUUUAUCUCUAUCUCUCUAACCAUGGCUGACAAAACCAUCGGAGAGUGCGUCCGGACACCUUGUCCGGAUGCCUUUUGCAGGUAUUACGAUUGAAUCAAGAAUCUGUAUUGGUUGAGAUCGUGCGUCCACCUAUUUGGCAACUACGUGGAUUAUCAAGGACACGAGGCCUCAACAGACAUGGGGUGGGAAGGAAAAUGCACAGCCUGCCAAUUUGGAUAUGCCUUUAGAAGAGGAGAAGGUGGAUGAGGAAGAAGAUAAGGAAUUUACUAGUUUAGAGGGGGCUUUUGGACUGGAAGGAAGUGGACAACAGAAGUCAAUCCAUGAAACACAAGCACCUGCAAAAAAGUCAUGUGAUAAAUCAAUGUCCAUUGAUAGCCUAUGUGUGUAGAUGAGCUUGCUUGGAGUUCAUUGGGAGGAGAUGUCAUUAGCCACUAAUAUGUGUUUGGCAUCUUUGGAGAGCCGAACUGAUAAGUUCUAGGAGGACUUCAAUGCCAGUAUCCAUCUUCUGACUCGCCAACAUGAGGGCCUUAUGAAGAAACUGGAAGUCGUGGUCCCACCAGAGCAACCGAUGAAGGGAUGAUGCAUGUUACAUUGGAUUCAGAUGUUUUUUGCCACCUAAUUUACAAAUUUACUACAUUUUGGCAAUUUUAUAUACAUGCCAAACAUGGAUAUGUUUUUUGCUUUAUUAAAGUUUUCGUAAUGUGAUACUUAUGCUGCUAUGUGGAUAUUAAAUAAAAUGAAAGUUGCUUGCCCUCACUAAUAACAAACAACAAUCCAAAAUACCCCUACUUUUUAUGUUAGUGUUUAGGGAUAAAUGCGCACAACUUUCCUGCUUGACAUAGGGGAUAUUUAUCCCAGGAAGCCUCACAUGCAAAUUUCCAAUGUGCUUGUUUCUCUCUAACAAUGAGUAAUCUAAUAUGAGGGUCAGAAAUGUACCAACUCAUCACUGUUAGAGAGAGUUGAUCAACAACUUACUUUUCAAAGGAGCAUUUCAUGGAGGUUGAGAAAAAAUAACUGUAAAUGAGAUUGAAAAGUUUGCCUAUUAGAAUCGGUAACUUGAAUAUUUGGGGUAUCUAUGAAGAGAAGUCCUUAAUUGAGAUGGGGAAGUUUGCCAAUCUGAAUCGAUAACAAAUUUCAAUUGAACCAUAAUGAAUAAUAUAUAUCUUCAUACAAUGAGGGAAAUAACUCCCAAGUUUCAAUAAUCGUAUGACUCCCAAUUUACUUAAUGGUUGAAUUGAAAAGGAUUGGCUUGCCAAUAUAGGGUUCAACUAAAUAUUAAAAAUAUAAGGGACAUGUCCAACUCUUGGCCAUGCAUUAAUAUUGUUAUGAGUACUCCAUACAAAGAAUGGAGUGAAUAUUGGUGAUCUGAUUUCGAAUGCUCUCUUGACGAUUUAAACCCACAAAAUUAAAUGAACCAAUUAGGGAGAAAUUGAAUCCAACCGGUACACUUAUGUAGCUCGACCGGUACUUAUUGAACCAUGUAAUUUUGGAGAAGGCAAUGGGUACCAAUUCAGCUCCAUCCUCUACCGGUAAACUACAUGGUGUUCCAGUAGGUACUGCAUGUCAUUAGAAAUUAAGUGAUUUCUAUAUUCACAAUAGAAGCAUUUUAUUUGGAAAUAUUUUUCAUGUAAACACAUGAAUUAUGUUGUUAUACAUAAAUCUUCCAAUUUCUAAUUAUUGAUAAAACCAAUUUGUAUAUGGUUGGAAUUAAUAAUUGAGCUCUAGAAAUUGGUAUAUUGCAUGCAUCAUCUCUAUAGCCAUAAAGUAGCAUUUUAAUUUUUAAAAUUGGUAAUCAAUCUUGAAAAUUUAAUCAUAAAACCAAUGUCUAUAUACUUUGUAAUGAUUAUUGAGCUCUAGAAAUUGGUAUAUUGCAUACAUCAUGUCUAUAACCAUAAAGUAGCAUUUUAAUUUUUUGAAAUUGGUAAUCAAUCUUCAAAAUUUAAUCAUAAAACCAAUGUCUAUAUACUUUUAAUCAUAAUUGAGCUCUAGAAAUUGAUAUAAUGCAUACAUCAUGUCUAUAACCACAAAGUAGCAUUUUUAUUUUUUAAAUUGGUAAUCAAUCUUGAAAAUUAAUCAUAAAACUAAUGUCUAUAUACUUUCUAAUGAUAAUUGAGCUCUAGAAAUUGAUAUAAUGCAUACAUCAUGUUUGUAACCAUAAAGUAGCAUUUUAAUUUUUUAAAUUGGUAAUCAAUCUAGAAAAUUUAAUCAUAAAACCAAUGUUUAUAUACUUUCUAAUGAUAAUUGAGCUCUAGAUUGAUAUAAUGCAUACAUCAUGUCUGUAACCAUAAAGUAGCAUUUAAUUUUUUUAAAUGGUAAAUUAUCAUGUAAUUUUUGUAAAAAUUUAAUUAUUUGCACUUUGUAAUAUAAGCUUUAAAAUUUGAUGAAAUGCAUACAUAAUGUCUAUAACCCUUAAUUACAAUAUCUAUUUUAAAAGUUAUUAAAUAAAUUAAUAAUAAAGAAUUUUGUAAAAUUGUGUAAUGGGUUAUGUAUACCCAUGAAUCGUAAACCCCUUCACUCUAAUCCACCAUUAUGAAAGUAGUUAUAACAUUCGUAGCACGACCAGUGGGGUUCCAUUAGGUCGACCAUUCGAUCGGUCUGCAUUUCUCUUGUUUGCUCCUCAUACAUUGUGUUGGGAAGUGAAGUGAUAGGCUCAUCUUGGGUAUUUGUGGCUAAAAACUCCCACAUUGCAAACAUAGUGGUUCAGCAGAUCCUUGGCCACAACAUAUUCUAAAGUUGAUUUUUUAUUUCAUGGCUUCAAAAUGACGUGGUCCGGUGGGGGAUAAAGCAAAAAGGAAGCGACCAUUAUUGAAACCCACUACAGAGGCAUAGAAAAAGGCCACCUAUGAUACCUGAAUGUUCAACAAUAUGGAAAAGAGGAAAAUAGGAAAAUAGGAAAAGAUAUUCUGAACUUUUCUCUUAUAGGCUUGUCAUACCGGGUAGGGGAAUAGACUUUGGUGAGUUAAGUUACUUUGGGUUUGAUUGUUUAUUUGGUGCCAUGGGAUGGCUACCUCUUGUAUCCCUAAAUGAGGUUUUCUAUCCACAGCUAGUCAAAUUUUUUAUUCAAACAUGACCUACGAGAAGGGAGGUGUAGACCCUUCAUUUUGUCCUUUUAACAGGUAUGACACCAGGUGUCUUCUCAUACUUCUCUUUUGACUCGUAGUCAUCUCUUGGUUGCCUUUCAAGCUUAAUUUAGGUUCACUUAGACACACCUGACCCAUUAGGCACACUAAGCCCAUUUAGUUGCACUUGGUCCAUUAGGUACACUCCUAGGUCACUUGACACAUUUUUUAUCACCCUAUAUCACUUAGGCACUUUUUUAAACCUUCUAGGUCACUUAGCACAUUUUUGAUCACUUAGGUUCAUUUAGGUACUCUUGACCCAUUUAGGUACACCUAAUCCACUUAGGCUCAUUUGGACUCUCACUGUGACCUUGGCCACCUAUCGAGCUUAGGUUAGAUUUCACUUAGUUGCAUUCCCACUUAGCUCACUUAGACACCUCCUUAGUUUAAUUUCCACCUAGUUCACCUUGGAAAUUCCCUCUUAGGUCACUUAGCCACUUUUCACCUAGGUCACUCAGAUGCUUUUUUGGGCUUAAUUCCCUUUGAUUGAUUUUUUUAUUGCUUGAUUUUUAAGAUUAGGUGAGUAUUUGGUUUGAUUUUGAUUUUUGAUUGCUUGAGAUGAAUUUUCGAUAUUUAAUUGUGUCAGAUUGAUUUUUUAUUUUAUUUUUUAUUGUGUUUUAGGUUAAUAUUUAGAUUAUUAAUUAUAUGCAUUUGAUAUUUAUUUAUUUUUCUUGUUUUAUUUAUUUAUUCAUCUACUUAUUUGUUUUCAAAAAAAAAAAAAAUUUGUCUGUGAUUAGUGAUCUUAUCUUAUUAUUAUUAUUAUCAUUAUUAUUAUUAUCAUAUGAAUUAAUUCUUAGGUUUUUCUCAUAUAUGCCAGUAUUGAUAUUUUCUAUUUUUCUUUUCCAAAUUGGCAUGAUUUUUAUUUAUUUUCUAUUAUAAGGUUUUUAAUUUGUAGCUCUUUUUUUCAUUUAUUUAUUUAUUUUGCAUGGGAGUUCGAGAACUCUCAAGAAUGCAACAAGAAGGUUGCCAAGUUAAGCGGUGUAAGGAGGGAACUGUACCAGAGAAAUUAGAUUGCACCAUAGGAAAUCAAAGAGUCCGCAUGGAAAAGUGGAGUUCUGGAAACAAUGAGUGGGAAAAAUAAUACGUGGGAAAAAGGCGUUUGAAGAAAAAAAAGGAAGGUUGGGGUUUUCUGAUGGGGAAAGUGGAAAAGCCUGAAGGUGGAACCUUCAGGAGGUUAAAAAUCAGUAGAAAGGGCUAUGAAAAAAAAAAAAAAAAAGGAACAAAGCAAAAGAAGUGGAGAGGAAAAAAACAGAGAAUUGAGGGCAUUCAGAUUUGAAAGUCUAUGUAAAAAUAGAGCAAAUGGGUGUGGUUCUUAUAAGGGUUCCAACCAGCUCUGCAUCAUCUUUUGGGAGAAUUUCUCCAAGAAGUACUUCAUUGAUCCUAAAAAAAAUAAUUUUUUUUUGCCUCCUUUUGUUCUUCAACCGGGACUAUGGUGGUGAGUCUUGGUGAAAUGGGGCUUUUCUCAUUCAUGGGUUUUGUAGUACAUUGCUUGCUUUUAAUUGGGUAGGGCUUGAUUUUUCAUGAGCAGUCCAUAAAUGGGGCUAGGGUUUCUCAUAUGAGGGAGUUUUGGGUAAAAAGGGUAGUUCUCAUUUAUGGGUUCUGCAAUCAGAGAUUGAUCCAUUUGCUAAUGGAGUUGUUGGUUCAUGUACGACAUAUUUUUUAGUGAAAUGGGUUCUUUAUGUUGAUGGGUUUUUGAAUACUGAUGCGGCUCGCAAUGGGAUGCCAUUCAGAUUUCUGAUGUUUGUUCACAAAUGUAUGUGUUAAAAUGUCGUUGCUUCUGGUAUUAAGCUCGCUUGUUGAAGUUUAUAGAUUAAGAAAGGUCUCUGUUUGGGAGAAUUGAUCCUUAAGUUUCUAUCAAUUGAUGGUUCUAGCGUUGGAUUUGUUUAGAUUUUCAUUUGUUGCUCUAUUCAAGUGGUGUUGGUUCAUUGUUUUUUUUAUUUUAUUUUAGUCUGAGGGUUUUCCAUUUUCCUAAAAUUGGUUGUUGCUAAGAGAAUUGGUGAAGCUUUGGUUAUCAGGUUUGGUCAUUAUUUUUCAUUUUCAGAUUUCUUGAGUCUUAGUGGGUUUUCAGUUCUUGUAUUCAAGCAUUGUUUUUUUGUUUUCAAUUUAAUGAAAAUUAUUAUUUUAGGUACUUCAAUGGUGGGAAGUGAGACUAAAGGGAAACUUUUAGUUUUUGGAUUUGAUGCCAGUUUUUCUUAUGGAAUGAAGCAUGAUGAUGCAAGUGGAAUUGGUAUAGGGAAAGGUUUCAGGCUCCAAAAAGCCAACAAAAGAUGGACAACUAAUAUUUCUUACAGUUGGUGACAAAUCUUUGUAUGAAAUUGUUGCUCCACUCUCAGACAUCAUGGGAAAGUCAAGAUUCUUUCCUUGGGAGUGUUGGAAAUGGAGAUACAAUGAAACUUGUUGUCAACAUGGUGAUGGGAACUAUGAUGGCCUCUUUUUCUGAAGGUUGGUUCUCGGUGAGAAAGUGGGAUUGAAGCCAGAUGUUAUUGUCGAGGUAAUAUCACAGGGAGCUAUAAGUGCAUCAAUGUUUUCAAUGAAAGGUCCUUCAAAGGUGAAAUCCCUCUACCCAACUGCAUUUCCCUUAAAGUAUCAACAAAGAGACCUCAGGCUUGCCCUCGGAUUAGCAGAAUUUGUUUCCUAGCCUACUCCAAUUAUAACAGCUGCAAAACAAUAAUCAAUAGCAGCAACAAUACCUACCAACACCUCUCUACCGUUGGGAUCCUUUCUCUCUCUCUAGCAUGACAUGCAUGGCACACCUCACCACCAUGCAGUCGCACCCCAACCAUAUGCUCACCCACAACCAUCCCUCACCACCAUGCAACCGCCUUUAACCAUAUGCUCACCUACACCUCACCACCAUGCAGUUGCACCCCACCACAUGUAGCCCACAUACAACUCAAAGCCUCUCUACAGCCCAUAUGCAACUCAAAGUCUCAAUCUAGCCAUCUUCUAGUAUCCCAUCCAGUGGCCACGUUCCAUUCCUUUGUUUGUUUUUUAUUUUAUUUUAUUUUAUUUUAAUGUUAAAAAUUUAUUUAUUUACUUAUUUUAUUUAUUAUGUUUAUUAUUCUCAAAUAACUCUUUAAAAUCCUUUUUUUUUUAAAUAUAAUCUUCAAAAAUAUAAUUUUCAAAUAGUUUUCUAAAUUUCCCAAAUUCAAUUUUUUAAAAUCCCAUUUUCAAACAAAUUUUCCAAAAUCCCAAAUUUAAUUUUUUUAAAUCCCAUCUUCAGUCAAAUUUUCCAAAAUUCCAAAAUCCCAAAUUUUUUUUUUUUUAAAUCCCAUUUUCAAAUAUAAACUCCAAAAUCCCAAAUUUAUUUUUUAAAAUCCUAUUUUCAAAUAAAUUUUCCAAAAUUCCAAUUUUUAAAAUUACCAUAUUCAAUCAAAAUUUCCAAAAUUCCAAAAUCCUAAAUUUAAUUUUUAAAAUCCCAUUUUCAAAUAAAUUUUCCAAAAUUCCAAACUUAUUUUUUUAAAAAAAAUUCCAUUUCCAAAAUUUCAAAUUUAAUUUUCAAAACUCUCAUUUUUUUUAAUAUAAAAAUGAAUAAGUUUUCAUAAUUCCAAAAUGAUGAAAUUUAUGAGAAUUAAUUUAUAAUAAAAAUAAAUUGGGCUUUGGCGGGGGCUCGACAUUCAUAACAUUUCUUUUAAAAAUAAUUCAAGUGAACUAUGUGAUCGAUUUUGUUUGAUUUUGAUUUGGUUUUGUGUGUGUGUUUUUUUAUGCUUGUCAUUAUACAUUGACCUUGUUUUCAUGACAGGGCUUUAUUACCUGCUACCAAGGUACACUCUCACCCUCACUUUGUUUAAAAUUUUAUUAUCAUGACUUGUUUUCAAACUAUUAUCAUUUUAGUAUUCAUUGAUUUUCUAGUUAAUUGUCAUGUCUGCUUCACCUUAUUUAAUAGAGACCCAUUUUUAGGGGCCUAGAGGGAUGCUAUGGUCUUUACCAUACUUUCCUAAUAAGUUACCUGAUCCCCAAACCUAGACUUAGGUUUUUCAUAGACCGUUUUUUCCAAAUAAGGAGUCACACUUAAGGUUUUCUUUCUUAUUUUGUUUUCCUAAAAAAAUAAAACAAAAAUAAGUGGCGACUCCAAGUCUUUUCUAAAAAUUAUAUUUUUCACCAAAUAAACAAAAAACGAGUAUUGCCAAUCAAGUGGGAACGCAUCGUGAAAAAUAUGGGUCCAUAGGAGGACCCAUUCCAACAUCUAUGAAUGGGGUGGAAAUUAAGUUUGAUGUUGCCCAACUUUGUGAAAUUUUAGGUAUUGAAAAUGUUGGAAUGAAGAUAUUUGAAUCAAAAAGUUGGCCAAAGGUUGGUGGUUUUAGCCGUGUAGAAGCAAUGCAAGGGAUGUGUAAGUUUCCAUUUUCUAAUGUCACCACAUGACCACAAGCUCACAGUUUGACAGUCUUGAGUAAGAUACUCCAACACAUGAUCAGCUAUAUAUUCAUUCCCAAGGGAGGUCAUAGGGAUGAUGUAUCUUAUUUUGAGGGCUUUUUGGUUGGCUGCAUAUGGACAUUAAUUGAAUCAUUUUCUUGAGGACCCAUUGUAAGUAUGUAACAAGUUAAUGGUUAACAAUCACCAAUUGUACACUUAAUUCAAAAUUGAAAGUUUUUUUAAAAUAAACCAUUAUAUGUUAUACUUGGAAAAUAAAAUAUAAAGUGGUGGAUCUCAUUCAUUUGUGCAACAUUCUCAUUCGAAUAUGACAUUUGUAGAUAGAUUUUGUGACAUAUUGAUAUUCACAAUCCUAUUGUGGAAUAUUUAUAGACACAUUUACAACAUAAACAAAUGGCUACUGUCUUCACAUUCUUUUGACAUUGUCUUCACAUUUUCAAAAGAGUUUCAUCAUUGAUUCCAUGGAGUGUGAUUACACAACAUAUAAUAUAAAUUGUAUAUAUUUGGAAAUAAAUAUGUACAAUGUGUAAUUACAUUGUUUAGUUACAAAAAUAUAAAUAUAUUUGUGGACCCGCAUUUUUCACGUACACCCCCACUUGAUGGCGAGACUCGCUUUUUAUAAAGUAAAAAUGAUGUAUUUCAUAAAAACUACAGUCGUCACUUCUUUUUAUUUUUUAUUUUUAAACAGGAAAAUGAAAUAAGAAACUAAAGCCCUAAGAAACAUGACUUCUUAAACUUUUGGAAAAACGUGUCUUUGAAAAACCCAAGUCUAGGUCCAAGGAUCUAACUACCUAUCAGGAAGGUGCCUUAAAAAAAUGUAAUACCCCUCUAAACCCUAAAAUAAAGGUCUCUAUUGACUAAAUUAAGGGAAACAUGAUAAUUAAUCAAUAGAUCAAGGAUACUAAGAAAAAAGCAAUACUGAUUUUGUCUAAGGCCAAGCAACAUGCUAUUCAUAACAAAACAAAUAUACCAAUAGAAACACUCAUAUAAGAAAAGGGGAUUAGCGUACUUGAGUUGCGUCUCAAAGUGCUUUCAUGAAAACAUCAAAGGUUAGUUUAAAAAAUAAUUAAUACAACACUCAACCUAUAUUUCAUCUUAUUCAAGGAAUCAAGUAACAAAUUUGAGCAAUCAAGACAAUAUCAAACACGAGAGUAUUCACAAACAAAGUUUGCAUAUUUACAAAAUUAAAGAUAUAAAAGGUGUAAGGGAUGUACUUGGAUAGCAUGCAUAACUUACAAUGCACCUGCACAUAGCUAGAGUAGGUUAGAACAAUUGUAAUAAUGAAUAAAUAGGAUACAAAACCCUAAUAUAAAUGGUAUAUAUACAACUCAAAUGAAAUGGUAGGAAUCUAAAGAAGCAAUAGCUAUCAUGUAGGACAUGCAAUACAACUCAUUAUUAAAGCUAAACUAAUUUACAUGAUUGUCAAAGAUAUAAAAAAUAUUGAUUAAGACAAAACAUAUAGCAAAGGGGUAGAAUAGUCAAAUUCACUUGCAAAAUCCUAAACAAAUACUUAGAGAUAUUAUUUCAACAUGGGAAAAAUCAUAUGACACCAUCAUUAUGUCUAUAUUACAAUACCAAAGCCAAGACCAAGUAAAGAUGUGUCAAUUAACUCCAGAUUAAAAGAUAAGUUAAACAUUUUAUAAAAAUUCCAACAUGCAAUCAGAAUAGGAGUCUUCACAAAAAAAAAAAAAAAAAAUGUCUUAAAAAAAUAUAUAGAAAGUAAAUUUAAUUACAAAAAAAAUAAAAAUUAGGAAACAUCCCUACAUGUCUAGAUGAUCAUCCAAUUGGCUAAACAAUUUAAUAAAGCUUCAUUUAAUCCCAUUUUACAAAAACAUUCGAGAAGGUCUAGAACAUGAUUGAAUUCUAAGUAUACAUAAAUUGAAUUUUUUUAGCUAACCCAGAGGUGCUAUAAAAUCAUACAAUAUUAAGAAUGUCUAAUUUACAAGAAAAAUAAGGUCAAGGUAAAAAGGUACAUGAUUCAAAUUUAAAAACAAGAAAAUAUCCCCUUUGUUCAAAAUCAAGGCAAUAUAGUGGGUGCAAUAGGAGAAGAUCAUAUCUUUUAAUUGGGAAAACCUUUUUCAACAUUUUAUGUCUAAAAUAAACUUUAGGAAUUAUAAAAUCAAGUAAAAAUAUUAAAACAUUUUUAAAAAAAUUAUCUAAUAAUUUUAAAAACUUAAAAACAAUCUAUGUCUCUAAAACUAGGUGAAAAUAGAACCCGACAAAAGAUUAACCUAAUAACACCUACUUCAAAAAUGUUUUCUAACUCAAACCAAGUUCUAAAAUCAAGUUCAAGAAGUUAACAUCAUAUAUAUACAAGCAAAUUUUUAGGAAUACUCUAAAUAAGUCAUAUCAAAUUUUUAUUUUAGAUGCAUUAUAAAUCCAACAAGAUAACAAUAAAAGGUUUUUGAAAAAUAAUUUUAUGUAAGGGCUUCACCUAGUCCCCAAUUAUUAUACACAAAUCUAGACUAUGGAUUCCCAUCUAUUUGGGACAACAAGCUUGGAUUCAUGUUUCAUUUUUUUUGAACCUAUAUGAUGAAUCAAAAUUAAACUAACCAAAUUUCAAACCUUUUUUUAACAUGAUGAAUUUAAAUUAAAACUAACUUAAACUCUAACUUGCAAUCAAAUAAAAUAAUGGAUCCAAACAAAAACAAAACUAAAUUCUAACUUACCAUAAUCCAAGAGUGGUGCGAUUGUUGUUGAUACCUGAAUGGUGCAGCAUCCUUUUUCAAGUCACAAUGUGUUCAGUGUGUAGAGAUUCCUAUGACAGCACGCUGGUUGUCGCCCUUAGUACAUGGUUGUGUCUCUUUGAGUUUUACAGUGCAUGCUCUCUUUGAAAAGUAUCUGGUUUGUGUGUGAAUCUGGCUGUCUAAAAUCCUUCCUCCUCUCAAAAUCUGGCCGCCCUUUCUUUUCUUUAUAGAUAUAAUGCAGCUAUGUUCUUCCCUCCCCGAAAGCAGCGUGGUAUUCCUAAUUAAAAUAGGUGCAGUCGUGAGUAAUGGAGACUCCUACAUGAAUGUGGCAGCGUGUUUUCUUUAUUUUCAUAUGGAAGCUGCUUUUAUAUUUAUAAUUUAUUUUUAAUUUGAUAUUGGAAAGUGGCUUUGAAAAUAGUUUCUAAUAUUUACAAUGGAAAGUGGUUUCUCAAUUUAUAUAUAUCACAAUUAGAAAAAUAUUAACAAACUUUAAAAAAAAAAUAACUUACCAAAUUGACAUUAAAAAUUUUAUAUUAAAAAUUAACUUACUAAAAUUUAUUUACAUAUAUACCACUAAAAAAUAUAUAUUAGAAUACUUUUAAAAAAUAACUUUUCAAAAUUUUAUGUUCGUACGUACCACUAAAUAUAUUAAAACACUUAAAAAAAUAACUUACCGAAAUUAUAUUUAUGUAUAUACAACUAAAAAAUUUAAAUUAAAACAUUUUAAAAAAAUUAACUUACCAAAAAUAUAUUAAAAGCACUUUAAAAAAUAACUUACUAAAAAUCUAUUUCCAUAUAAAUACCACUAAAAAUUUUAUAAUAAAAGCAUUUAAUAAUAAUAAUAACCUACCAAAAAUUUAUUUACCUACAUACCAUUAAAAAUUUUAUAUUAAAAACACUUUAUAGAAAAUAACUUACUAAAAAAAAUUAAGUGAACUAAAACAAAGCAUUUAAGUGACCUAAGCCUAAAAAGUGCCUAGAUGAACUGAGUGGAAAAGGAUCCAAGUGAAACUUAACCUAAACUCCGAGAGUGGCCAAGGUCAUAGUGAGGGUUCAGAUGAGCCCCUCAACAAAAGGUCUCUGAAAGUGACUCAAAAGGAGAAAACUGUAUGAGUGUCAAUAAGCCACCAAGGGACAACUAAGAGGCAAAAGAAAAGUAUAGGGGGAUACCUAGUCUCACAUGUGCUAAGAGGACAAAAUAAAGGGUCUAUAAAGUUUUGAUACAAUCAUGUUUAUGAUCGAGUUCUAGGUGAUAGUGAUUUUCUUCAAUAUGGAGGAUAAAUCUUGGAUUUGCCAUCAAAGCACUAGGAGAUAUUGCAAAGUUUGAUCUCGUUGACGAUUAAUCAUUAUCCGAUACUAGGGAAUACCUCCUUUAUAGUUGUAUUAUGGUGUAUUUUUUUUCCUAUUUCAGUUGCUUAUACCAAGGGAUUCCUGUUUAGAGUACCUUAUUGAUCAUUUUUACACAUUGGGGCAUACCCCAUUUAUUGAGAUUAUAUGAUCUUUUGUUGAUUUCAUGACCGCUUAUUUCAUUUGUUGAUCCCUAUGAGUUAUUACUAUGGGCAUGUACCCUUUUUCAUUGAGUUCGUUAUCUCAAUUGCCUCUUCUCCUGAGCUUGUUAGUUUGUUUUGGCUAUAAAUAAUUUCUUUGUCCUCGUUUUUGUUUUAGGUGUUUUUGGUUGCAGAUCUAGUACCCACCCCUCUCUUAGUUUGUUUAGAUUAUCUCUUAUCAUUUUAGUUUUCAUUUAUGGAAUUUCUUCAUUUUGGUUUCGUUUAUGGCAUCCAUUUCUUUGAGCACCAUCUUGGGCAUACCCCCUUUAUAGCCCAAAGUUGUUUAUUACCUCGUAUUUCGAAGUUUAUCAUCAUUCCAUUGUCAUUUGUGACAUCCUUUCAUUUUAGUUUCCUUUAUGGCCAAAGCUGUUCAUUACCUUUUAUUUCAGAGUUUAUUAUUGCUUUCAGUUCCACUUGUGACAUCCUUUCAUUUCGAUUUUGUUUGUGGCAUCCUUAUCUUUGAGUAUCAUCUAAGGCAUGCCUUCCUCACAUCCCAGAGCUAUUAAUUAUUUCUUAGUUCAGAGUUUAUUAUCGCUUUUAGUUUCACUUGUGGCAUUCCUUCAUUAUGAUUUUGAUUGUGGCAUCAUUUUCUUUUAGUAUUACCUGGGGCAGACCUCUUUCCUUGAGAUAUUUAGAUCCUCUAUUUUGGUGAUUUGAUCAUACUUGUUUAGUCAACCUUUAGUGGUUCUAUUUGGAGUAAGGGAUCAUGAUCUCUUUUAGGCUCAACUUAUAGCCUAUAUUGUUCAUUACAUCCACAACCCUAAGUUGUUCAUUGCAUCAUAACCAAGAGUUGUUUAUUCAUUUACAUAUUUGAUCCUUUCAUUAUUUUGGUCACCUCUGAGUGGUUUGACCAAGAGUUUGCGUAUCACACUCUCCUAUUUGGCUGUUAUUUUUUAGGGCAUUCAAAGCCCAUAAACCUGAGUUAUUCAUUACAUUAUAACUCUGAGUUGUUCAUUGCAUCCACAAUCCUGAACUGUUCAUCAUUUCUAUUUAUCUUUGAGACAUUUGAUUUAGAGUUUACCUACCACACUCUUCUCAUCAUCCAUUGGUUUUUUAAGGCAUUCAAAGCCUAUAACCCUGAGUUAUUCAUUACUUUACAACCCUGAGUUGUUCAUUGCAUCCAUAGCCCCAAAUUGUUAAUUACAUAUACAUUCUCCAUACCUUAUCAUCCUUGUAUGCAAAGUCAUUCUUUUCACCCCUUCAUAUCCUUAAGUUACUCAUUACAUACUUUUUUCUCUUGUCGUUCUUUUUUCUUGUGCAUAAUUGUUCCAUCCUUGUUGUUACAACCCUAUAUUUCGAGCUUAUCAAAUCAUGUGAAGAACAAAAUUCCUAGUCUUUUUAGUUCUUUGGCAUAGUUCACUUGUUCUAGUCAUUACUUGUGUUCCCACUCGCACUCUUACACUCGUGAUCUUUAUCAAAGAGGGGCAUAUUUGUAGACCCUCCAUUUUGUUUUGUUAGCACAUGUGCUAUUAAGUGUUCUUUUAGUACUCCACAAUAGUUCCCAGGUGGCCCAUUGUUACACAUAAAACCUAUCAUUUUAAGUGGCCUUGGAGACUCUAGUAGAGGGAUUUAUCUGAUCCCUCAUUGUGACCCUUGGUACUCCCGAGUUAAAUAUAGGAUUUUCAUUUUCUUUUCUUUUUAUGAUAGUUCAUUUAGGUAUACGUUUAGGAUAACAUACUUAGGCAUAUUCAGGUACACUUUUUAGGACACUUAGAUACUCCUUAGGUCACUUAGGCACCUUUCUGAGCCCUUUUUUCCCCCUAUUUUGAAAGAACCCAUUUGAGCCCUCCAUUUUGGCUCAUUUGAUCUCUACCCUUGAUCCAUUUUGAAGCCCUAAAAAUCACAUUUUUCACCUCAACCAUCACCGGCUACUAGGCCUUUUCUCGAAGUUUACUCUCCUCUCUUUCAUUUCCUUUCUCUUUUCCCCUCUCUUUCUCUCCAUCUCAUCUUCUUAUUCUUAUACCCAUCUCUUCAUUAUCCCUUUAUGGCCUCCAUUGUCACACUUUUCCAUUAAAGGUUGAAGAAUAGGUAAAACCCCUAUUUUUUUUAUUCUUACAAUGAUUAUUUGGGUUCUUAGAUAGUGUUUGUGGGCUUUUGUCAAUGUAUUUGGUUUAUGAGACUUGGUUAUGGAUAUUAGGUUUUGGUAUUUGGAUGUGGGUUAUUGGAUAUGGGUUUGUGUUUAUGGAUUUCAAAUUUGGAUAUUGGAUAUUUUGGAUAUGGGUAUUUGGUUUAUGAGAAUUGGUUAUGGAUAUUGUGUUUUGGUAUUUGGAUGUGGGUUAUUCGAUAUGCGUAUGCAUUUAUAGGUUUGAACUUUGGAUAUUGGUGUAGGGAACCCCAGAUUACUUCGUUCUCAUGCCUUAGAUCACAUAGGGUACAUGCAAAUCUAUCCUAGGCCCUCCAAAUCUAUCAAAAUAUAUAAAUAGUUCAUCUAAAAUAACAUGGAUACCACAGAAAUCAUAGAAUUGGAGAAUAAAGCCACAUACCUUUGAUCCGGAUAUUCUUGGAUUGAUUGUAAUUGAUGUAGAUAUCUCCAAAGUCAUAAAAGAUCUCGUAAACACCAUGAUCUUCCGCCCAAUGACUCUUUUUUGUGUCUAUGCACUAACAUGGUAGAGAACUCAAGGGUGGAGGCUAGGGUUCUCUCUUUAGACUAUAAGGAGAAAAUGACAAGACCUGAAAACCUUAACUUUUGAAGGGGUAUUUAUAGGCUUCUUACUAGGCUUAAGUGACUUAAGCCCACCAUGGGCUUGUGUCACUUAAUCUAGCUCAUAAAAGGUUUCUAAUUAAUUAAUUAACCAUACGAGGUUCUAAUUAAUCAAUUAGCCUAGUCUAGAGAUACCACUAACAUAUUCUUGUGCAAUCUUACGUAAUUACCAAAAUGCCCUUAUGCACAAAAGUGAACUAAAAACUCAUCCAAUCCUCAAAAAUUGCGUCAUCAAGGAAUAUAAGCUUAGAGUGAGGACCAUUGAGAUACAUAGGAGUAUUGGUUCCCCCAUAAUCAAAUUCUGAAAUUGACCCAACAUCCCACUAUAGAGAGUCAACUACACUCCAAUACCCUAUUUAUAGUUACAACGAGACACUAAGUGCUCGGGUCCGUGACCUACUAUCCACUUCAUGCAAACUCCCAAUGAACUAGUGUCCGUAAUCUAACAAGGUAGUGCUAUCACCUAUCAAGAUUACCUCUCAAAUCCUUAAGUUAUAAAUCUCACUUAUUAUGUGAUCAAAUGACAUACUCUAACUCUAAGGAGCAUAUGUGAAAUUCCACUAAAUGAACUAUUGUGGCCACAUAUUUCAUGAUCACAUGUCCUUUGGAUCACCCAAUGGGAUACACUGUCUCAAUCCCAUGAGAUAUCAUAGUGUCAUUAUUGAGAAUGCUUAUUACCACCAACCUCCAUCAACAGUGACCCUAUUCAUAGGGAUAUAUGACCACUAUAAGGUCUCACCCAUAAGUCAAAGCUUCCUAUUGAUUUUAGCAUAGGCUCAAUAUCCACUCAAGGUUUAUAGUCCAUACAGUAUAAUACCUUGGUCAAUCAUGAAAAUUGAUAUCCUUGCGUUAUGAUUCACUAUAGGUCCUGCCCAAUGUGUAUCACAUAUAUUAGUGCACUCACCAUGGGAAACCCAUCUCGACUACCAAGACAAGUCAUCCUUCCAAUUAAGAGGUGGUGCACUACAGUCUCUAUCGGAUUGCCUAAAUCCAUGAACCAACUAUGGACAACUUAUCUCCUUAUAAGGAACCCAUGACUUCUAUCUUCUAUGCAACUCCUAAUGUACCCAAGUCAUGUAUAAUGUAAGAGAUAUGAGUUUAAUGGUCAAAUUAAUGUCAAUAUACUAAAAGGAUAGCAAGGAAUAGUUAAAUCUAACUUUGCUACAUCAUGUCUUGCUUUUAGGGGCUCAAUCCUAACAAACUCCCACUAGCCCUAAAAGUAGAGUAGGCAACGUAGAAAAAAGUCUACUCCAUAGUACCAUCACCUCUUUAUAGUAUCUCACAAUAAGGUAACACUUUCUCUUUAUAUUUUUCCUCUUCUAGUGGUACUUCGGUUCUUUAGACCAUACCAUCGUCCAAUUGUUAUCACAUAAUAUGAUCUUAGAUGAUAUAGCCAAGGGAACUACCCAUAAGACAAAAGGUUUCCUUUGCUGUUAUAAAUGUUGGGAACCCCGGAUUACUCCAUUCCCAUGCCUUGGAUCACGUAGGGUGCAUGCAAAUCUAUCAUAGGUUCUCUAAAUAUAUCGCAACAGAUAAAUAGGUAUUAAAAAACAAUAAGAAUACCAUAGAAAACAUAGCUCUAGAGAAUAAAGCCAUAUACCUUUGAUUCGGAUAUUCCUGGAUCGUUUCCAAUCGUUGUAGAUAACUCUAAAAUCAUAAUAGAUCUCGUAAACACCAUGAUCUUCUACUUGAUGAGUCUUUCUUAUGUCUAGGCACUGAGAUGGUGGAGAUCUCAAGGGUGGAGGCUAGGGUUCUCUCUCUAGAUUGAAGGAGAGAAUGACAAGACUUGGAAACCAUAACACUUAAAGGGCUUCCUAAUAGGUUUCCUGCUAAGCUUAAGUGACUUAAGCCCACCAUGGGCUUGGGUCACUUAAUCUAGCCCAAAAAUGUUGCUAAUUGAUUAAUUAACCAUGCAAGGCCUAAUUAAUCAAUUAGCCUAGUCCAAAAAUACCACUCACUAAUCCCUAUGCAACCUUGAGUAAUUACCAAAACACCUUCAUGCACAAAAGUGGACUAAAAACCCAUCCAACUGUCAUAAGCCAUGUCAACAGGGAAUAUGAGCUCAGAACAAGAACCAUUAGGACCCAUAGGAGUACUAGCUCCCUCAUAAUCAAAUUCUAAAAUUGACUCAAAAUCCCACUAUAGAGAGUUAACUGCACUUUAGUACCCUAUGUAUAUUACAACGAGACAUUAAGUGUGCUCAAGUCCGUGACCUACUAUCCAUUGUAUGUAGACUCCUUAUGAACUAAUGUCCUUAAUCUAAUAAGGUAGUGUUAUCAUCUAUCAAGAUUACCUCUCAAAUCUAUGAGUUACUAAUCCCACUUAUUAUGUGAUCAAUUGACAUACUCUAGCGCCAAAGAGCAUAUGUCAAAUUCCACCAAAGGAAUUACUAUGGCCAUAGAUUUCAUGAUCACAUGGACUGUGCAUCACCCAAGGGGAUACGCCGUCUCAAUCCCAUGAGAUAUCAUGAUGCCUCUAUUGAGAAUUCCUAUUGCCAUAAACCUCCAAUAAUAGUAACCUAAUCUGUAGGGAUAUAUGACCACUUUAAGGUCUCACCCAUAGGUUAGGCUUCCUAUUGAUUUUGGCAUAGGCUUAAUAUCCUCUCAAGGUUGAAAGUCCAUGCAGUAUAGUAGCUUGGUGAAUCAUGACAAUUGAUAGCCUUGCAUCAUGGUUCACCAUAGGUCUUGUAUAGUGUGCAUCACAUACUAGUACACUCACCAUAGGAAACCCAUCUUUACAACCAAGACAAGCCAUCCCUCCAAUUAAGAGGUAGUACACUACAAUCUCUACUAGAUUGCCCAAAUCCAUGAACCAAUUGUGGACAACUAAUCUACUUACAAUGAACCCAUGACUUGUAUCUUCUAUGCAACUCCUAAUGCUCCCAAGUCACGUACAAUGUAAGAGACAUAGGCUAAAUGCUCAAAUCAAUGUCAAUACAUCAAAGAGAUAGCAAGGGGAUAGUUAAGUUUAAAUUUGUUAGAUCAUGUCUUGCUUUUAGGGGAUCAAUCCCAACAAUAAAAGGAAAAAAAAAAAACCAGUUAGAGUGUACAUAUACCUAGAGGUAGACUUGGGAGAGUCCUUAUCAAACUAAAGUCCAAUUUCCCAGUAUGAAAUGAGUACCAACUCAUUGCAAAGACUCACAAACAUAUAAUCUCUCAUUCUCCAAAGAUAUUAGAGUAUAUGUUUGACAUUUUCCCAAAGCUCUAAUAAGGAAAUGGACUAAUAUCCACUUAUUAUUCCUACAACAAGGCAAAUAUCUGGUCUGGCACAUAACAUCACAUACUUAAGGUUAUCCAUUGUAGAGGCAUUGGAUACCACCUUAAUGUGAUCUUUCUCCAUAGAUGUCUAAGGACGUUGAACCUAAGAAAGACAACUCCAAAUCCAAAGAGUAACAAACCUUCUUAGAGUUUUGCAUCAUGUACUUAACCAAAUGCUCAUCUAUAUAGGUGACAUGGUGCAAUUUUCCUAUUCUUUUAGUUCUAAAGGACCUUAACCCCAAGAAUGUUUUGCAUCUUCCUCUAGAUUUUCAUCUAGAACUUAGUAGACUACUAGAUCUUAACUAAUGACAAUAUCCCUACAUUAUAUCCAAUGAGUAGAUUAUCAUCUACCUACAAGAUCUUAGAGCAUCACCAUGCUUCCUUAUGCCUUCUUGUACACAUAAGGCCUUUUUCUAUGAAAAUGUUUAGUUGUUGUAUCUUACAAAUGAGACAUACUACAAUAGAUAGGAGUAAUAUGAUAGAUUAACCCCUAUUGAAAAGGUUUUCCAUAGUUAAAACAAAGUUUCAAACUAUAGCCUUUAACUACAGUCUUAGCCACAUAAAACUCAAGCUUUCUUUCUACUUUUGUGUUCCUUCUGUAUACCAACUUACACCUAUGGGUUUUAUCCCUUUAGGUGCUUCUACAGGAACCCAAACUAUGUUAGAAUACAAAGAUUCUAACUACCUCUUCAUAACUCCUUGUCUUAAGUGACCACAAACAUUGCUCACUAUUUCAUCAUAAUUUAUAGGAUAUAAACCUCCCACUACGAUGAGGGACUAGUGUACUAGAAAUCAUAAGAAUGGUAUGCCUUUAACCUUUUGGAUUCAUAGUUUCCUAUGCAAUGUGGGACUAUCUUCUAAUAUAUCCUCCAAUCUAUAUCACUUUUUGCCUUAUUCCUUAUCAUAUAGUCUUCAUAAAAAAUUUGACUUUUGUGUCAACAAAUAUACUUUGAUGAUCUGACUAUAAAGGUAAUAACCCAAAAAUCCUCUUAGAUAUCCUAUAAACUGAUAUACCUCUUAAGAAAAGAUGUAUUACAUAGUUUAUAAGACAUAUCCCUAGAAGAAUCUGGGAAAAGAUGAGAAACCUAUCCAUGAUCUCAAUAUGUCCAUCCAAGCUUGAUAUCUUUUUUUCAUCUCUCAAUUUUGCAAUAGAGGCCUUGGUACACAUAACUAGGAAAUAAUCUCGUGCUCCAAUAGAAUUAAUAAAACUUACUAGACUUAUCAUCUUGAUUUAAUCGAAGUGACUUGAUAAGUAUACCCAAUAGGUUAUCCGAUUCUGCUUUAAAUUCAAUGAAUGUAUCCAAGUCAUUAGAUCUCUUAUGAAAUGAGAUGCUCGUUGAGCACUUCUUUUGCAACCAUAGUUGCCAAUUUUGAAAGGCAUAGAACAGCUUGGGUAAGGAAGCCCGAGAUGGUGCCCAUUAUAAACUCCAUUAUGUUAGCAUUAGGUUCAACUCCAUCGAUUGUUGUAUGGUUAUAAAAUUUCUUCAGAAUGGACUUUCUUAUGAGAAAGUUGAGCCAUGUAUAACAUCACUGCAUUAUGAGCCAUUAACAGUCUAGUAAGAGUAAGCUCUCUAAUCAUACAAUCUAUCUUUCACAUCAGUUGCUAGACAUUGGCCGUCUUAUUAACUAAAGUCUUUGCAUGCCACCUACGAACUGCUGAACUAUGUCUCUUUUUAAUGCUUUAGGUGAUCUAAAUAAACAAUUUGACUUAAUUCUUGGGUAUGUGCACCAUAAAAAAAAAUUACCUUUCCACAAAAACAAUCUUAUUCCCUACCUUUCAGCACAAUCUGAACCGAGAGGCCAUAUGCACAUGGUAAAUGCAAACAGAGAAAAAAAGGUUAUAGUGACAACCACUCAUAGUGUUUACAUCCCCUAGAGAGAAAGAUUUUGGGAUUGAGCCUCAAAAAUCAAGACAUGAUGUAACAAAGUUAGACUUAACUAUCCCUUUGCUAUCCUUUUAGUGUAUUGACAAUGAUUUAAGCAUUCUGUCUAUGUCUCUUACAUUGUACAUGACUUGGGUGCAUUAGAAGUUACAUACAAGAUACAAGUAAUGGGUUCUUUGUAAGUAAAUAAGUUGUCCAUAGUUAGUUCACGUAUUUGGGCAAUCCAGUAGAGACUAUAGUGCACCACCUCCUAAUUGGAAAGAUGACUUGUCUUGGCCGUUGGGAUGAGUUUCUCAUGGUUAGUGCACUAGUUUAUGUGAUGCACACUGGACAGGACCUACAAUGAAUCAUGACGUAAGACCAUCAAUUAUCAUGAUUCACCAAGCUAGUAUACUGCAUGGACUCUCAACCUUGAGAAGAUAUUAAGUCUAUGCUAAAAUCAAGAAGAGGUUUUGAUCUAUAGGUGAGACCUUAAAGUGGUCACAUAUCCCUAUAGAUUAGGUCAUUAUUGAUGGAGGUUGGUGGCCAUAGGUAUUCUCAAUAGAGGCAUUAUGAUAUCUCAUGGGAUUGAAAUAAUAUGUCCCAUUAGGUGAUCCAAAGGACAUGUGGUUAUGAAAUUUGUGGCCAAAGGAAUUCAUUUUGUGGAAUUUGACAUAUGCUCCUUGGAGCUAGAGUAUGUCAUUUGAUCACAUAAUAAGUGGGAUUUGUAACCCAAGGAUUUGAGAAGUAAUCUUCAUAGGUAAUAACACUACCUUAUUGAUUACUACCAAAAAGUGCUAUUUUGUAGACCUAAUUAUAAUGGUUUUAAGCACCUUUGAGUAGUAAUCAUAUUCAUUUAACCCAAUUAAUUCAUUAAGGUCCUUAGUAAUUGGUUUUAACCAUUUUGUGGCAAGUUUACAUGUUUUUAUCAGCUUAUGAAUCGAUUCAAGCAUGUCAAAUGAUGGAGGAGCUACUUGGACAAGUUAAAGCAAGGAUUUUGGACAUUUAAAAGCUUGAAUUUCAAGUGGAAACACGAGCACAAGCAAAGAGAAGCAAAGAGGAAAAGCAAACAAUGGAGAAGAGGAAAACAGAGGACAGCAGCUGCAGUCUUCUUUCGCACUUUUGGAGCACUUCCCGAAGUCCAUUUUUUACAUUCUAUAUACCAUUUCAAAGCUCUGGAAGUCAAGAAUCCAACACUUCAAACCGUGCACGAUUUGGAGUUGAAAUGAGGAAGAUAUGGCCUUCGGAAGCCAACUGCUCCAGCAUAUGCGAAAAUUUCGCAUUCCACAAGAGCAUAUGCGAAAUUCGCAUUUGGUUCGCAUAACCCAUGCGUGUUGCGAAUUUUGCUCUGCCCUUUGCCGACUCCACUUUAGAUAUCCUUGUAACUAACCAAUCAUAAGCUUUGGCUUUUGUAAAGACUAUAUAAGGGGUGGAAAUCACCUCUUGAAGAAAGAGACGCAUAUAUACAGACGGAGCCUUGCUCUGUUUUUCUCUCUUCUCCAGCUCUCCCGUUUCUAUUUUCUUAGUAGCCAAACAGCCUCUAAGGGCUUUUCCUUAGAGGAUGAUUGGCUAAAACUUUUAGUUUCUCAAAGUAUGGAUGUUAUGUGAUGGCUUGGAUGCAAUCCCAUGGAAAUUUCUCGCGCCCGGAAGGUAAGGUAGACGUUUUUCAUUAAUGGUUCAUUAAUGCAAAGUUUGGUUUUUAUUUCCUUUGGACAACUUCCAACGGCCAAUACUUGAUAAGCUUUUGGAUUUCUAUCCAUUAGUUAUCUCCUACGAGCUAUUGAAAGAUGAGGUUUUCAAUUCCAAGUUUUGUAUUAAUCCGUUAGAACCAAUUUCAAACGGCCAUUGAAAGGUGAGUUUAUCACCUGGAAUGACUUUGAGUUGCCAAUAUUUGGUAAGCUUUUGGCUUUAGACCAUUAGUUAUCUCUUAUGAGCCAUUCAAAGGAAGUCUAAGGUGAAUAACCAUUGAUGAAAUUCACUACCAUCUGUUUUUCCAUUUUAAAGGAUUAAAACUUGAUUUGCUAAAUCCAUACCGGUUCGGGAAGCAAGCAUCACCAUAGUUGCAACCCCAACGCGAGGAGCCUAUCCUGAGAUUUCCAAUUUGCAUAAAGAGCCAGAGCAUAGCUAUCCUAUCNNNNNNNNNNNNNNNNNNNNNNNNNNNNNNNNNNNNNNNNNNNNNNNNNNNNNNNNNNNNNNNNNNNNNNNNNNNNNNNNNNNNNNNNNNNNNNNNNNNNNNNNNNNNNNNNNNNNNNNNNNNNNNNNNNNNNNNNNNNNNNNNNNNNNNNNNNNNNNNNNNNNNNNNNNNNNNNNNNNNNNNNNNNNNNNNNNNNNNNNNNNNNNNNNNNNNNNNNNNNNNNNNNNNNNNNNNNNNNNNNNNNNNNNNNNNNNNNNNNNNNNNNNNNNNNNNNNNNNNNNNNNNNNNNNNNNNNNNNNNNNNNNNNNNNNNNNNNNNNNNNNNNNNNNNNNNNNNNNNNNNNNNNNNNNNNNNNNNNNNNNNNNNNNNNNNNNNNNNNNNNNNNNNNNNNNNNNNNNNNNNNNNNNNNNNNNNNNNNNNNNNNNNNNNNNNNNNNNNNNNNNNNNNNNNNNNNNNNNNNNNNNNNNNNNNNNNNNNNNNNNNNNNNNNNNNNNNNNNNNNNNNNNNNNNNNNNNNNNNNNNNNNNNNNNNNNNNNNNNNNNNNNNNNNNNNNNNNNNNNNNNNNNNNNNNNNNNNNNNNNNNNNNNNNNNNNNNNNNNNNNNNNNNNNNNNNNNNNNNNNNNNNNNNNNNNNNNNNNNNNNNNNNNNNNNNNNNNNNNNNNNNNNNNNNNNNNNNNNNNNNNNNNNNNNNNNNNNNNNNNNNNNNNNNNNNNNNNNNNNNNNNNNNNNNNNNNNNAAAAGAUCAACUCUCAUCUUAAUGAAAAGAUUGAUAAUAUUGAGGAGUUCAAUGAAUUUAAGAAUUGGAGGGGGUUUAUAAUGAUUUAUCACUAAGGAUAGAAAAAGUUCAAGACUCCAUUGAGAAGCUCACCAAUCUCGACAUAGCAAGGGGGAAAAGGAAGCUUCCUCCUCAACCCCACCAUAACCUUCAAGGAACCAAUGCAAAAAGAUCAAGGAAAGUGUUGAUGAUCGACACUUUGGUGGGGGAUUGCUAUGACAACUCUAUGGACCAACCUUCCAUUGAAAAUCGUAAGGUUCAAGAUGAUAAAGGGUUACUUGAACCCUUUAAAGCAUCCACUUCUCCAGGGAAGAGAAGAGAAACGAAUUCCCUUGGACCAAAUGGGAAGGAUGCCAAUUUUGUUUGGGAUCCAGGGGGAAUUCAGCAUGAAGUGGGUGUGUGAGUGAGGAUGAGCUAAAUAGUUCAUCUUCUUUUUGGGGUACAUGCUAUCAGCUUCAUUUAAAUUAUAUGCUUUCUUUAAAUUUAUGCAUGUUUUAGUUUGAAUUCUUAGUUUUAAUUUUGUUUUAAUAUGUUUUUAAGAUGAGUUUUGAAGUGUUCAUGCAGGUAUGAUGCUUGCAAAAAUCGAAGUUAUGGUGAAAACAAGGGAAAACAGGGGAGAAAAGCCAAAACAGAGCAAUUCGCACCACCCCAUUUCGGCAACUGUUGGGCACAUUUAGAUCACUUCCUGAAACUUAAAUUAUGAAUACGAUAUCUCAUUUCAAAGCUUGGGAAGUCAGGAGUUCAUAGGUUCAAACGGUGCUUGAUUUGGAGCUGAAACGAAGAAGUUAUGGCCGUUUGAAGAUGACUGUGCAAAGCUAAACGGGAAUGUUGCAGCCGCACCCCAUUUUACUACUGUUGGACACGUUUUUGGAGCACUUUCUGGAGCUCAAAUUAUGCAUACCAUAUCUCUUUUUGAAGCUUAGGAAGUCAGGAGUCCAGUGCUUCAAACGGUGUGCGAUUUGGAUUUGAAACGAAAAAGUUAUCACCAUUUGAAAGAAUCCAAUUUGCAUUUGGGCGUGUGAAUAGUGCAAAUGCGAAAAUUUCGCAUUCCACCAUGUGAAUAGUGCAAAUGCGAAAUUCGCAUUACCUUUCCCCUUGUGCGAAAUUUUCGCAUAACACCCCCCUUGUGCGAAUUUUUAAGUUUCCCCUGUUUUUAGCCAAAAAUCUUCAAUUUUAACACCCCUGUAAGCUACAUUCAAAUGUCAUUGCAACUUAUAUCAGUAUACCAUCAUGGCAUGGAGCCUUUGAGCCUUGUCCUCAGCUGCUCAAAGUGGGGCCCACUCAUCAUUUUUGUAAAUAUUUAGUAUAAAUUCCUCUCUCAUUCAAAUUUUGAAUUUUGAAAUAGGUGGUUCAACCUUCUCAAACUCCAAGUCCACAUCACAUGAGGUACCACUUCCUUCCUCCUUAUUUUCGAUUCAAACAUUGAGGACAAUGUUCAUCUCGGUUGGGGGGAGAGAUGAGGAAGUAAGUAUUAGUUUAAAUUUUUAUCUUACUUAGUUAAAUUAGCUACUUUUUGUUUAAAUUUUAAAAUUUUUGCUUUAAACUCCAUGGAUAUUAAGGAUUAACUCUCAAAAUUAAAUGAGAGAAGUCGAGUUUCAACUUGAUUACAUGAGUCUUAGAGUUUGUAUUAUGCUCUUCUAAAAGUUGAUGAAUUGUUGAAACUCCCAUUGCAUGCAAACUUAUCUCUUCCACCUUAAGCUAUUCGCACACACAUACAUUAGAUUCCGAUUAUAAGAUGUGAAACUAUCUCACCCUCUAAGCUUGAGAAAUCAUAAUUUGACACCUUUAACCUCUCUUUAAUAGUGUUGGGACACCUCAUAAAGACCAAUGAGUCUUUGAAAAAAUAGAAAAAAGAAGAAAAAGAAAAAGAAAAAGAAAAAAAAUAUAGAAUAAACUUCUUUGCUUGCCUUGAAACCCGAGCAUGGUCCGAAGGGGUGGCGAAAGCCUUUAAAGCCUGGUGCCCUAAGCCUUUAUUGGUUGGGAGUCACCGAUCCUCUGCUUGUUACAUGGGUGAAUUGGUUAAGUUUAGUAAGUGAAAAGAAUUGUGAAUAAGAGGUGCGUUCCUAGCCUAUCAAGAGAUGGUUAAUUUUGCUAAGCUUAAAGAAAGACUUAGGUUGGGGGGAGAUGAUAGUUAUCCAUACUAUACUCGGAAGCUAAUCACAUUAACACUUAGAUUUUAGUGGAAGAAUUUGAUUUGGAUCUUUUGAGAGUGGAAAUUCUUUUGAUGCUUAAACUUGCAUAAUAUCCAUUCUUUGUACUCUAUGAUCAAGUGAAUGCUUUGACAACUCUUAUUAUAGGUUGAGUUUCACAUCUUUAUUGAUCCAUGGAUAUCCAUCAUGCCACUCAUAUCAUUUUUUGGAGUGAUUUGCAUGAUCCCUUUUAUGUAUAUUAUUAUAGUUUACUUAGUUUUUAUCUCCUCCAUUGCUAAGGGACUAGCAAUGAGUCGGUUGGGGGGUGUGAUUACUACCAAAAAGUGCUAUUUUGUAGGCCUAAUUAUAAUGGUUUUAAGCACCUUUGAGUAGUAAUCAUAUUCAUUUAACCCAAUUAAUUCAUUAAGGUCCUUAGUAAUUGGUUUUAACCAUUUUGUGGCAAGUUUACAUGUUUUUAUCAGCUUAUGAAUCGAUUCAAGCAUGCCAAAUGAUGGAGGAGCUACUUGGACAAGUUAAAGCAAGGAUUUUGGACAUUUACAAGCUUGAAUUUCAAGUGGAAACACGAGCACAAGCAAAGAGAAGCAAAGAGGAAAAGCAAACAAUGGAGAAGAGGAAAACAGAGGACAGCAGCUGCAGUAUUCUUUCGCACUUUUGGAGCACUUUCCGAAGUCCAUUUUUUACAUUCUAUAUACCAUUUCAAAGCUCUGGAAGUCAAGAAUCCAACGCUUCAAACCGUGCACGAUUUGGAGUUGAAAUGAGGAAGAUAUGGCCUUCGGAAGCCAACUGCUCCAGCAUAUGCGAAAAUUUCGCAUUCCACAAGAGCAUAUGCGAAAUUCGCAUUUGGUUCGCAUAACCCAUGCGUGUUGCGAAUUUUGCUCUGCCCUUUGCCGACUCCACUUUAGAUAUUUUCCUUUGUAUUUUGUGAUGUAAUUUCCUUUAUUAUCCUUGUAACUAACCAAUCAUAAGCUUUGGCUUUUGUAAAGACUAUAUAAGGGGUGGAAAUCACCUCUUGAAGAAAGAGACGCAUAUAUACAGACGGAGCCUUGCUCUGUUUUUCUCUCUUCUCCAGCUCUCCCGUUUCUAUUUUCUUAGUAGCCAAACAGCCUCUAAGGGCUUUUCCUUAGAGGAUGAUUGGCUAAAACUUUUAGUUUCUCAAAGUAUGGAUGUUAUGUGAUGGCUUGGAUGCAAUCCCAUGGAAAUUUCUCGCGCCCGGAAGGUAAGGUAGACGUUUUUCAUUAAUGGUUCAUUAAUGCAAAGUUUGGUUUUUAUUUCCUUUGGACAACUUCCAACGGCCAAUACUUGAUAAGCUUUUGGAUUUCUAUCCAUUAGUUAUCUCCUACGAGCUAUUGGAAGGUGAGGUUUUCAAUUCCAAGUUUUGUAUUAAUCCGUUAGAACCAAUUUCAAAUGGCCAUUGAAAGGUGAGUUUAUCACCUGGAAUGACUUUGAGUUGCCAAUAUUUGGUAAGCUUUUGGCUUUAGACCAUUAGUUAUCUCUUACGAGCCAUUCAAAGGAAGUCUAAGGUGAAUAACCAUUGAUGAAAUUCACUACCAUCUGUUUUGCCAUUUUAAAGGAUUAAAACUUGAUUUGCUAAAUCCAUACCGGUUCGGGAAGCAAGCAUCACCAUAGUUGCAACCCCAACGCGAGGAGCCUAUCCUGAGAUUUCCAAUUUGCAUAAGAGCCAGAGCAUAGCUAUCCUAUCUUUGAGAAACUUGUUUUUACACCCUUUCAUUUUAGUCUUUAAUGUUAGCUUAGAUUAGUUUAAAUCUUUCUAAAACAUUUACAUUUUCUUUUAAAGCUAACAUCCAUAAGAAAAUCACCUAUUUUCCUAAUUUGAAUAUCACUUGUGUUUGCGAAAACCCUUCCCAGUGAACGAUCCUAGAACCACUAUGCUAUAGUAGCUUGGCUACUUUAGUAAUAGUAUUCAAGGUAUAAAUUUUGUUGAUACGCCUUUAAAGCUAAGCUACCAUGAGUCGCAUCACUUAUUAGAUUAUGAACAUCAUUUCAUGGGGAGUCUGCAUGUAGUGGAUAUACAUAAGAUACUAGAGUGCAUAAGGAUAAGUGAGUGGUAUCUUUAGACUGGGCUAAUUGAUUAAUUAGACAUUGUAUAGUUAAUUAAUUAGUAACCUUUUUUAGCAAGCACCCAAGCCCAUAAUGGGCUUAAUUCACUUAAGCCCAAUAGGAAGCCUAUAAAUAUCUCUUUAGAGGUUAGGGUUUUCAAGUCUUGCUAUCUUCCUUUUUCAGUUGAAAAAGAAAAACCGUGGCCUCCACCCUUGAGAUUUCCACCAUAUUUGUGCCUAGAAACAAGGAAGAGUCAUUAGGUGGAAGAUCUUAGGAGUACAAGAAACACAUUAGAAUCAUACAAGCUGCAUUGACAAGAACUGCAUGAGAUGUGCAUAAACCGAAUGCACGAAACCACACGAGAUGCGCACAAGUCACAUGCUCGAAAUCACAUGCGAUGUGCAUAGGCCACAGACACCAAAAUCGCACAGGACGCGCACAUGGGUAGCAACAUGAGGACAGAUUCUCCAUUUUUUUAGGCAUGUUUUUCACCGCAACAAAUUGAUCUAAGAACAUCCAGAACCAAGUAUGAACACUUUAACUCUAGAUCUAUGUUUUCUAUGGUUUUAAUAUUGGUUUUUGAAUACCUGGUUUUCUCUACGAUAGAUUUAGAGAGCUUAUGAUAGAUUUUCAUGCACCCUAUGAGAUUUAGGGCAUGGAAAUGGAGCAAUCCAAGGUUCCUGACAAAAAAAACCUCACUACUAGACCUUUCAUGGAGUAUCAAAGGUUCAGAAUUGCCAACGUCAAUGAUUUUUAGACUAGCAGAACGCAUAGGGCAUACAUUCAUCCAUUUUCAAUAAGGUUCUUUGCUAAUGGAUGGUUAGUUUCAUGUUACUUGAUGAUAGCAUAGUGCCAAGAACACAUGAUGGUUAUGAGGAAGACAGUUAUGAGAAGUGAUUUGAACCAUAAUUGUUAUUUGGGUCUUCUUUAGGUAAGCUAAAUGGUGAAUGAGGUGAAUAUGAUGGUUGAAUCAUAUAUGACAGCCAUGAAAUGCCAAAGGGUUAAACCAACUGAGCAUGAAGACUACAUAAGCCUUUCAUCCUAGGUAGCUUUUAGCACUAGCAGUGUUUAUUAGGCAAUGAAGGAGAAAAUGUGCAUUAAAGGGCCAUGAAGGCCAUGCAGAAUUAAACUUUAUGUAUAUUAUGAUGUUUGCAAAGCCUAUGAGACACGAAGAAUAUUGGUUGGGUUGAAAUCUAGAAUAAGGAAAAUUGGUAGAGAUGGAAUGAGGGAUCUAGGGAGGCUUAGAAUGGAGAUGGAGUUCUAGAGAAAUGGGUAUGGGAAAUAGUAGAGAAUGAUACAUGGUUUAGAGAGAGAGAGAACUAGGGUGGUGACAAGAAAAUAGACCACGUUGCCACAUUUAUUCUCAUGAAGGCAUGGUUGAUGUCUUGAGGAAUCCUCCUCUAUGAGGCGCUUAAGGUAUCAUUUGGAAAGCCACAACCUUUCUCUAAAGAUAUGUGGUACAACCUCCCUUAUUUUUUGGUGCAUGUGGAGCCUUUUUUCCUUAAAAAAAAAAAAAAAAAAAAGUCACCAUUAUCAUCCCCCUGCAAUUGUGAUGUUGCAGAUCAUGCACCAAGAUGGCUAUGCAUAGCGAUGCCAAGGUGGGGGGCUCAAGAGGCGACUUGGGGUGCAUCAUUUUGAAGUGGUAGCAAGGGUGUUCAUUUUUCUAAAGAAGAUUUGGGACUAUUCUAAAUAUGCCUAGAUUUCUCAAAAACCAAAAAUCCCACGCCAUUAUAGUUACCCAAACUUUGGAGAAAUAGGAUACUUGUCCCAUUCAUGUCAGUGGUCCACAACUCACUUAGAUAAAUAUACAAAAUACCCUUUUACAUGGUCAGUAACUCCUUGGUUCCAAAAGAAGCCAAUUUCAUUAAAGCAUAAGGAAUCUAACAUCUUCAAAGAGAAACCGGACCUUUGUAUAAUCCUAAAGCACCUUCAGCUUUAACAAACUUGGGAGAUGAUUACUACCAAAAAGUGCUAUUUUGUAGACCUAAUUAUAAUGGUUUUAAGCACCUUUCAGUAGUAAUCAUAUUCAUUUAACCCAAUUAAUUCAUUAAGGUCCUUAGUAAUUGGUUUUAACCAUUUUGUGGCAAGUUUACAUGUUUUUAUCAGCUUAUGAAUCAAUUCAAGCAUGCCAAAUGAUGGAGGAGAUACUUGGACAAGUUAUGGCAAAGCUUUUGGAAGCUCAAAUUCAUGAAGAACCAAGCUUUGGAGCUCCAUAUCCCUUUGCCAAAGUCGUUCAAAGUAUGCAAGGAAAGAACAAUGGAGAAGAGGAAAAACAAAGUGAAGAUGAAAACAGAGGACAGCAGAUGCAGUCUUCUUGCGCACUUUUGGAGUACUUACCGAAGUCCAUUUUCUACAUUCUAUAUACCAUUUGAAAGCUCAGGAAGGCAAGAAUCCAACGCUUCAAACCGUGUAUGAUUUGGAGCUGAAAUGAGGAAGUUACAACCUUUGGAAGAUGACUACUCUAAGCUGAAGGAAGGAUUCAGCAAAGUGUUGCGAAAUCACCCUUUUGUUGCGGAAUGAUUUCGCAGCCUUUUUGCACAGUGCUUUGGAUUUCCCUUGAAGUUUCACUCCGCGAUGGAAGCCAAACACCACAAUAUGAAAGCCAACUUAGCACCGGUGCGGAACCAGCCUUUUGCUGCGAAGUAAUUUCGCAGCCCUUUUUGUGUGUCUGCGAAAUCUCGCAGACACCAUUUUCUCCUGCGAAAUGGUCCUUAGUGCUUCCCGAUAUUUGCCACCGACUCUUUUGGGAUAUUUUUCUUCAGAUAUUUUUGUAUGAAUUUCCAUUCUUCUCCUUGUAAUCCACCAACCAUAAGAUUUCUUAGUUAGGAAGGUUGGAAAAAUGUCUCUAUAUAUAUUCCCUUGCAUCCACUGUAAGAGAAUCAUGUAAUCCAACGGGAGGAAGAUAUAUAUUUUACAGAGCACUUGCUCUGUUCUUCUUCAUAUAUAUAUGUAUAUAUAUAUAUAUAUAUAUAUAUAUAUAUAUAUAUAUAUAUAUAUAUAUAUAUAUAUAUAUAUUUGUUUUCUCGUUAUUUUUCUUUCUACCUAAUCAAACUCUAAGGAUUUUUCCUUAGAGGAUGAGAGGCUAAGCUUUUUGUCUCUUGGAGUGAGGAAAGCCGGGUAAGUUUCCACAUGCAUAAUUUGGAAGUUUUGUUGUUUUAGUUUUUAAUGAAGAGAAAGUGUAACCCGUUAGUGAUUUCUAUGUUUUUAGUUAACUUAAAAGGCCUUUAAAUCACCUGGGCCAACACUUGGUAAGGCAAGUGAUCUCCGUCCAUGGAGAUGCACUAGUUUACCCCUUGCGAGCCUUUGGGAGGUGACUUGAAGGUAGGAUUUUCUGGAAUUGCCAACACUUGGUAAGCUUUUGGACUCCAAGGAGACAUCCAUUAGUUAUCUCUUGCGAGCUUUUGACGGGUAAUCCAAGGUUAAAGAUCACCUUGAAUGGCAAGUGCUAGGUGAGAGGUAUGAGUCAUUGCAAGUUGCAUCAGUGAGAGGGAUUUAGUGUUUGAACCCAUUAAUGGGAAGCAUCUGUACAACACCGGUUGGAGAAUGAACUAUAUGUUAAUUCUCUAAUGCGAGGAAAAGAAACAAGUGACCGGAACUCUCCUUUUUGUAUGAGGAACCUGAGCCUAGUGAUCUGAACUCCAAGAAACACUUUUCUUUGUAAGUAAAAUCAAUUACUAUUUUUGGUUAGUUUAAAACCAAACAUUUUUUCUUUCAGACAUCUUUAUGUUUUCUUUUAAAGCUAACCUUGAAAUGAAAAGGCACCAAUUCAGCUUUGAAUUAAUAUCAUUUGUGAAGUGAAAACCCAUCCCAGUGAACGAUCCUAGAGCCACUAUGCUAUAGUAGCUUUGUCUUUGCUACCCUAGUAAAUGGUGUAAUAGGUUAUAAAUUUUGUUGAUUACUCCCUCAAUCAAGGAGCACCAGCUGGACACGAAUCAGCUGAGACACCAAUUGGGCACGAAUCAAAUGGCGCCGUUGCCGGGGAUCGAACCCUGAAUCAGAUGGUGCCAUUGCCACUUCCACUACUAGGGACGAAUCAGGAGACAGAUUUCUAACAAAGCUAGUCUAAGUCUGAACUUAAUCCUUCACUACUUUCAUAAUCCACUUUAAAAGCAUCACGCAACAUAUGAAACUGAUCCCAUGACCUCCAUGAAUAGAGGGAGAAAAGGAAAAAAAAAAAAAAACAGAAAACAUAGUAUAACCUAAGAAUUUUUUUUAUGUUUUAAUCAUAGGGGCAAAAGCAAGUGAAAGAAACAAUGGGCAGAAGCGUGAUUUUCAUAUGUUACAUAGAAAAUUUGAAUCAUAUUCAAGACACAUCUCAAAGAUAACUAAAUAUGCAAUGUAUGAGUAUAGUAAGAUCUAGUCUAUCAACAAAAAUCAAUGAAAAAAAAGGAUAUGAACAUGCUAUAGCCCAAUCCAAAUAAUCUAAAGAUCAGUAGAGAACCAAAUGUAUGACAUGAUAUCCAUACCAAAAUCAACUACAAGCAUACAAGCCUCUGGUGGUCACACCAAAGGAUUCAACAAGUAUUAGCAAUAACAAACGAAGAAGCGAGGAUUUUUUUAUUUUUUAUUAUUACAGUAAAGAACUUACCUCCAAGCAUAUGUAGGCUAGUGAAUCCUUUCUCUCUCCAGUUCCCUUUUCUCAUUUGGUUUUUUUUUCCUCUUUCUACCUUAAACAAUACCUCAAAACCUACCUAGAGAAUCCAAAAACUUUUCUUCCACUCUUCCUUCCCAUCCUCCUAUUUAAUCUGAAUACUUUUCUUCCUAAAAAUAGUCCAUACUUGUGGUUUUUUAAAACUUUAGUUUUUUCCCAUGCAACAAUCCUUCGAAACCCCAACCUCUCAUUUUUUCCAAUCCUCUCUCUCCUUUCUCUUUCCUCACAUUUCAAAUUCUGGUGAAUCAUGCCUAGUUAACUACAUGCAUAUAGAGAGGAUGACAUGUAUCCAAAUGGUUAUGCAUAGCUAUGCAAAGGUGGGACAUCGAAAGAACUUAGGUGAUUGGUGAGGCCUAGCUGAGGUGCAAUUCCAACAAUGAAUCAAUGUUGCACUUCGAAUUUUUUUUUUUUUUCUUCUCCUCAUUUUCCAAUAUCAAGGUUGAGAGCCUCAAGACAACUCUGAUAAGAGGAUAUUUUUGCAAACUUCCAAUCAUGUCAUUUUUAUCUCAAAUGCCAAUAUUGAUAGUGCCUUGUUGUAUAUCCUCACCAUUAAGUACUAACUUGCUUAAUUGUCAGUGAGAAAUUGAUCUUCUUGAACUUUGUCAACUUCUAAGGACCUAGAGUCAAAAUAGUCAUUUUCAUUUGAAUUUUUAGUAGUUCCCUCAUUUGGAGAAACAAUCCUAACUUGACUUAAAGCAUCUUCUCCACCAAAACUCUUUUGUUUUUUCUUUUCUUUUCUUCUAGAAUCAUUUUUUUUUACCUAAAUAAAUAAGUAAAUACAAAAAAAAAAUGAAAAUAAAAUAAAAAAGAAGAAAAUAAUAAUGAUAAUAAUAAAAGUAAGAAUAGUAAUAAUAAUAAUAGUGAUGAUAAUGAUGGUAAUGAAAACAAUGGUAACAAAGACAAUUCUAAUGAUGAUAAUAAGAAAAAUAAUAAUAACAAAAAUAUACAAUGACUAUAUAUAUAUAUAUAAAAGAUAAGAAAAUAAAUAAAUAAAUAGAUAUAAGUACACGACACAUAUUCAUAAAGAGAACAUGCAAGGUACAUAAGCCAUGCAAGCUACGUCAACCAUGCAAGCUAUGUUAGUAGUGCAAAUGACUUAAAGGUGUUGGGAUAAGCCUAAGCGGACUAGGUGCACCUAGACGGACUAAGUGUCCUAAUGGGCCUAAAUGUGUGUAAGAAAAUUGUCAUAAAUGUGUACCUAGUAUCUAGGAUGGCUCAAAGAGGUAAGCUAUAUGAGUAGCAAUGGGCCACCAAAAACUACUAUGGAGUACUGAAAUACUACAUAAUUAGGGCAUGUGCCAAGGAGACAAAUAUGCCCAUCUUCAGUAAAGAUCACAAGUGUAAGGAAUGCAAAUAGAAAUAUGAGUAAUGAGUGGAAUGAAGUGAACUAUACCAAAGAAUUAAGAGAAGACCAGAAAUUUUGUCUUAGCAUAUGACUUGAUAAGUCGUAAGAUAAAUCGAUCAUAAGAGAUGAAAUACCUUAAAUAAGAGGAUAAAUGAAACCCAAGCAAUGAACUAAUAGACAUGAUGAAUAUGAAUGAAUGAUGAAGAUAAAGAAUGGAAACUAUCAUCUCUGAAAACUAGGAAACUAUGACUCUAAAUGCUAAAAAUGAGAAAAAGAACGGCUCCGAAAGCCUAACAAAAAAAUGUGACUCUAAAUGCCUAAACCGAGAAAGUGGCUUUAAAUGACUAACUAAGAAAGUCGUUCUAAAUGCUUAUAAAUUUGAAAACCUAUGGGGAGAAUGGUGGUUUUGUAGUCCUACCCAAAAAUGGUGGCUCCAAACAUCUAACUAAGAAAGUGGUGGCUUUAAAUGCCUAUGGCUCUAAACGCCUAUCAAGAAAAGUGGUGACUAUGAAUGCCUAUGAGGAAAGAAUGGCCUUAAAUGCCUAUUCAAAAGUGGUGGCUUUGAAUGCUUAUGAGAGAAAGGGUGGCUUUGCACACCUAACCAACGGGAUGGCUCUGAAUGCCUAUCUAAAAAUGGUAGCUCUAAAUGCCUACAACUCUAACUGCUUAUGGCUCUGAAUGCCUAUGGCUCCAAAUGCCUAUCUAAAAGGGGUGGCUUUAAGCUUCUAUGGCUCUGAACGCUUAUCUAAAAGUGGUAGCUCUUAAUGCCUAAGAGAGAAAGGGUGACAUUACACACCUAACCAAUGGGAUGACUUUGAACGCCUAUGACUCUAAACACCUAUCUAAAAAGGGUGGCUCUAAAUGCCUAUGACUUUGAAUGCCUGUUUGAAAGGGGUGGCUUUGAAUGCAUAUGGCUCUGAACACCUAUCUAAAAAGGGUAGGGCUGAAUGUCUAUCUAAAAAUGGUGGCUCUGAAUGCCUAUGGUUCUAAAUGCUUAUGAGAGAAUGGGUGACAUUGCACACCUAACCAACGGGAUGACUUUGAACAACUAUAGCUCUAAACACCCAUUUAAAAGUGAUGGCUCUGAACACCUAUCUAAUAGAAGUGGCUUUGAACACCUAUGGCUUCGAACACCUAUCUGAAAAGGGUGGCUCUGAACGUUUGUAGCUCCAAACGCCUACCUAAAAUAGGUGGCUUUAAACACCUGUGGCUCUGAAUGCCUAUCUAAAAGUGGUGGCUCUGAACGCCUAUGGCUUUGACCGCUUAUGGUGUUAAAUGCCUAAGUUGAAAAUGGUGACUUUAAAUGUCUACGACUCUUAAUGCUGAUCUAAAAGGGGUGGUUAUGAAUGCCUGUGGCUCUGAACACCUAAGUUGAGAAAGUGGCUCUGAACACCUAAGAUGAGAAAGUAACUUUGAACGCCUAAUUGAUGGGACAUCUUUGAACGCCUAUGAGGGGAAAGGUGGUGGUAAACAAAAAUACGAUAAUCUUAACACAGGGGAUAUUCCCCAAUGUGAUAACCUCUAAAGGUCAAAACCUAGUCUAGGUAAUGAUAGAGUCUGAUUAAAACUUGAUAAUCUCAAAGAAGGAAGGGUAUACCUCUGUAUCAAAGGUGCACCAAGCUACUAGAAUGUCAAAUGAAACGAGCAUGUGCAUAUAUAUUGUAGUGAGAAGGAAACAACCUAUUUUGAUAAAGGUCUAAAAAAGGUAUGAGCAUAAAUUGUUCUAUAUCUUAAACAAAUUCUCUAUCAAAUGAUCUUAAACGUAAAACUCAACAAAUGUACAUCAUAGUUCAACUAAAGAAAGACUAUGGUGAAAACAAAUUGUCUUAUAAACACUCAAUUAAAGAGUCCAUCAAUGCUCUCUAGGUGAAAUUUGAUGAUAUCAAUCUCAAUCUCAAUCUCAAACAAAGUUAAAUGAAGCAAACCAUGAUAUCACAAAUCAUGAGAAACUAGAAUAAUACGAUCAAAUCAGGAGAUGAACUAGCUAUGAAAAUAAUGACUGAUCAUAGAGAAGUCAAUCCCCUAUGUAGAACAUGGAAUCAUAAAUAUAAGACAAAAAAAACUAUCCAUCUCAUCAAAGUGGGGAAUAUGCCCCAAUAUAGCAAAUGAUGCUCAUAUGAAGUAAGUAAUCAAUACCGACCAUUUGCUCAUGCAUCUUGCCUCAAAUAGAUCUCCUCAAUGAGAAGGGGAUAUGCUCCAGUAUGGCACCUGAUGUGAAAGUCUCAAGAGGAACGAAUAACACUAAUUAUUUAAUUGUGUAUCCAAUAGUCACAAAUCUUAAAGUCCCAAAGGAAAUAUAACACUCCCAUAAAAUGAUGACCCAAAGUGAUAAAAGAGUACAUGCAUGGUAUAUGACAAAGAUUUGUCAUUACCAGACCAAUAUCUCUAUAAUCAUGAAUAUAGGGGCCAUAUAGACCAAUGGUUACUAGGAAAACUGAAAGAUGAGGGUAAUAUGACCCAGUAUAAACAUCUGGUGUGUCAGAGAGAUAGAACUGAUAUCAUCAAAUGAAUACUAUCUCCAUACUCAGGUUUCAUCAAACAUCAUCAUACUAAGAGGAAAAGAAAUCAAAUGUCACUUGAAAAAUCUUUCACAAGGGAAAGCACAACAACACCCAUACUUCAACUAAUCGUUAAAACUUGCCUAAAUGAAGACUGUUGAAGAUAACGCCUGAUCUCACAACCUCAAGGUGGUCUUACGACACAAACCAUAACAUAGGCUUGGGGUAAUAGGGUGAAAUAAAUGAAGAGAAACUAAGCUCAAGUACCAAGUGAUCAAACCCAAUAACCUCGUGUCUAAGAUAUAAUGUGUAAAAUAAUCUUGUGAGCCAACAAACUUAAUAGCAAACAACGAAAGUAUUGACGAAAGAAGAGAGAAAAGAGAAAUGGUCAAGCUAUUGAUGCAACAUGUGAUAAAUAUGAAGGUAAUAAAUCAGAAACGUGUAUCAAUGUAAGAAAUGAAUAAAUAUGGCAUGAUUGUAUGAAAAAAAAAUGAUGGGAAAUGAAGGAAAGCAGCGAUAAGAUACAAAGAAUGAUGACCAACUCAUAUUAGUACAACUGAGAAAAGUCAUAUCACCAAUGAUGGAAUGGCAGUGAAGAUAGUGAUUUGGAAACCUUAGUGACAGGUUACCUAAUCCUCACACCCAAUGUAUAUCAAUCCUAAUCCAUGAAGUGAAGGAUCUCAUAAAACUCUCACCAAACUCUCGUCACUCUAAAUGCAUAACAUAAAUGAUCCAAGGAGUGGAAUGCUCUCAAAAGGCUCACAUACGAGCUCGAAGAUAUAUAUACCCAACGGACAACUGAUGAUAAAUGAUCCAAUGAACAUCCCAUGACAAAUAAGCUCAAUAAGUAACUCUCGAAUAUCAACAUAUGCUAAAUGGAGUGUAAUAUCAUAUACAAACACAUCAUUACAUUUUUUUUUCAAGAACACUAAUAUAAACAAACUAAAACUCCAUUGGGAAAAUAAUAGAAGUGAAUAAACUCUCCCCAAUCAUUGAUGAAAAUAUGAAUCAUACACAAACCACAGAAAAAGUCCAACUCUAAUCACUAACAAGUAUAUAAAACCCCAACCCUAAGACCACCUUUUAAGCUAAGAUCUCCAAAUCAAAGCCAACAAGGUGGAAUGAAGAGUGUGACAUGACUACCUUGAUGCACUAAAAAAAGUAAAAAGUCAUCAACCCAAGGAAAUAAGGAGAGUGAAAUGAAGCAAGUGAAGACAAAAACAUGGAAAUGGAAAGAAAAUGAACCAUAAUGAAACAUAACAGGAGUGAAAUGGUAAGUUGAUGAUAACAAGAAGGAAGAAAAUAAAUCAAAGAGUCCAAAACUCACAAGACUAUCUAAGUUAAACAUGCAUGCACAACCAAGGGCCCUUAUCUAGGUAAUGAAAGGUAAGCAAAGCUAUAAGAAAGAAAUAUUAUAAUGUACCUCAUAAAGCUUAAAGGGCUAGCAAUGGGUUGUGUGUGAAAUGGGUACGAUAAGAUAUGAGGCUAAUUGAAAUGAUGGCCACCUAUCUUUUGACCAUGAUCUAAAAUGUAAUACUUCUUUAGUUGAUCCACAUUGGUUGGCUAUGAGAAUUGCUUUCCAUCUAGGUCAGUCAACCAUGCAAUCCCUUCUGGAGUCAACUCUUUAAUAACACAAAGUCUACUCCAACCAUGUCUAAACUUCUCCCUAGGGUGUCCAAUUAGACCUUUGAGAAUCCUUAGAACCAAAUCCUCUUUUUGUAAUGUCCAGGGCUUGACCUGUUUCUUAAAGGUGCGGGCUAUUUUUCUCUGAUAAGCUUGAAUAAGGUCUAUAGCUCUCAACCUUCUUUUUUUUCUAAAAAGUUAAGUUGAUCAAACCGAGAUUGAGCCCACUCCAUCUAAAAAACCUAUUAUUUAAGGACCACUCUCAAUGAACCCAAUUCCAUUUCCUCGAGUAAAAUGGCCUCCAUACCAUACACAAAAAAAAUAAGGUGUAGCUCCUAUAAAGGUGCAAAAAAAAGUACGGUAUGCUCAUAAAGCAAAAUGAUGCUUCUUUGAUCAAUCUCGAGAAACCUCAACCAUCUUCCAUAGAAUCCUUUUUAUAUUCUUUUUUGCAGUCUCUACUGCCCCAUUAGUCUAUGGCUUGCAAGCAAAUGAUUUAUGAUGUUGAAUGUCAUAUUUUUGUAACAAAGUUUCAACUUCAGCUCUAAAGUAUGCUCCCCUACCUGAAAUCAACUCAUGAAGAAAUCCAUAAUGACAAAUAAUACGUGACUUGAUGAAAUUGGCAACUCUAGCAUAGGUCACUUCGCAUAUGAUGCAACCUCUACCCACUUAGUGAAAUAAACUAUGGCAACUAGGAUGAACUCAUGACCAUUGGAAGAUUUCAGCGAGAUCUUUCCAAUUAUAUCAAUACCCCACGCUAAGAAUGGCUAUGAUGUGAUGUCAAAGCAUGCAACUCUGAGGGUGGUUCAUGAAUAAGAUCCCCGUGCAUCUAACACUCUAGGCAUUUUGAACAAAUUGACAACAAUCAGUUUCCAUAGUCUACCAGAAGUAUCCCAAUCUCAUAAUCUUAUAUGCUAACAUGUGUCCACCCAUAUAUGGACCACAAAAUCCUACAUGAACCUCUUUCAUCCCUCGAUCUACAGAGGUUUGAUAUGAUAAGAGGAUAUUUGUUGCAAACUUCCAAUCAUGUCAUCUUUAUCCCAAAUGCCGACAUUGACAGUGUUUUGUUGUAUAUUCUCACCGUUAAGGAGUACACUUGCUUGAUUGCCAGUGAGAUAUUGUUCUUCUUGACCUUUGUCAACUUAUAAGGGCCUAAAGUCAAAAUACUCAUUUUCAUUUGAAUUUUCAGUAGUUCCCUCCUUUGGAGAAACAAUCCAAACUGGAUUGAAAACAUCUUUUUUUUCUUCCAUAAUCAUUUUUUUACCUAAAUAAAUAAGUAAAUAAAAUAAAAUAAAUAAAAAAGCAUUUUAAAAAAAUGAAAUGAAAUGAAAAUAAAAAAAAAUGAAAUAAUAAUAAGAGUGAAAGUAACAACAACAACAACAACAACAACAAUAAUAAUAAUAAUGAUGAUGAUGAUAGUAAUAAAAACAAUAAUAACAAAGACAAUUUUAAUGAUGAUAAUAAUAAAAAUAAUAGUAACAAAAAUAUACAAUGACUAUAUAUAUAUAUAAAAGUAGAUAAUAAAAUGAAUAAAUAAAUAGAUAUAAGUACGCGACAUAUACUCAUAAAGAGAACAUGCAUGCUACGUAAGCCAUGCAAGCUACAUCAACCAUGCAAGCUACGUCAGUAAUGCAAAUGACUUAGGGGUACUAGGGUAAGCCUAAGCGGACUAGGUGAACCUAGACGGGCCAAGUGUGCCUAAUGGCCCUAAAUAUAUCUAAGCAAAUUAUCAUAAAAGUGUACCUAGUAUCUAGGACGGCUAAAAAAAGUAAGCUACAUGAGUAGCAAUGGGCAACCAAGAACUAUUGCGGAGUAUUGAAAGACUACUUAAUCAGGGCAUGUUCCAAAUGAACAAAAUGGAGGGUCUACAAUAGACUGUUUAAUACAUCUUCUUCUUAAGAAGUAUAUCAGAUUAUAGGGUAUCUAAGAGUAUUUUUGGGUUAUCACCUUUAUAGUCAAAAUCAUCAUAAGAUAUUUAUUUGCACAAAUGUCAAAUUAUGAUGAAGACUAUAUGAUAAGGAAAAAAGAAAAAUGUGAUACAGAUUGGAGGAUAUAUUAGAAUAUAGUCCCAUAUUGCAUAGAAUACUAUGUAUUUAAAGGGUAAGAAACAUACCAUUCUUAUGAUUUCUAGUACACCUGUACCUCAACAUAGUGGAAGGUUUAUAUCCCACAGAUUAUGAUAAAGAGGUGAGUAGUGUUUGUGCUCACUUAAGGCAAGGAGCUAUGAAAAGGUAGUUAGAAUCCUUGUAUUCUAACAUAGUUUAGGUUCUUGUAGAAACACCAAAAGAGAUAAAACCCAUAGGUGUAAGUUGAUCUAUAAGAGGAACAUAAGAGAAGAGGGAAAUCUUGAGUUUUAUGUGCCUAAGACUAUAGCUAAAGGUUAUAAUUUGAAACUUUGCUUCAACUAUGGAAAACCUAUUGUCAUACUCACAUCCAUUAGAUUACUCUUAUCUAUUGCAGUGUGUCUCAUUUAUGAGAUAAAACAACUAAAUAUUUUCAUGGCAAAAGUCCUUGUGUGUACAAGAAAGCACAAGAUCGUGGUUUGAGUCAUCGGGCGAAAGAUCUUAGGCGUAUGAGACCUCUGGACUCAUGAAUAAUGUACCUGUAGAUCUAUAGUUAACAAUGGUUUUUAUAGCCAUAUGUUUCCGUUAUGAUAGAUUUAGAGAUGCCUAGGGAUAGAUGCAUGCACUUUAUGAGAUCUAGGGCAUGGGAACGGAAUAAUCCGAGGUUCCCAAUACAAAUACCCCUUAUGGGGCUAAACAAACCCCCACAUUGGGUCACAGAUCAACUUUGAUACCAUUUGUAAUGACCCACACACAACCAUGUAGAUAUUGUCCACUUUGGGCCUAAAAGAGUCCUCACGGCUUUAAAACUUGUUUGUAGGGUUAAGAGGGAUCCAUACUUAUAUAGUGCCAUGAAAUUUCUCCCAUAUCUAAUUUGGGAUAUCAUAAACACCCUCCAUGUAGAAACAACGUCCUCAUUGUGUCCCAUGGGAUUGUGGGACAAAAUAGACAGACAUCCCUUAUGGGGCCAAACAAACCCCCCACAUCGAGGUUGGGAUCGACUCUAAUACCAUUUGUAAUGACUCGCACCCAACUGUGAAUAUAUUGUUCAUUCUAGACCAAAAGGGUCCUCACGGCUUUAAAACACAUUUACAGGGUUGAGAGGGAUUCAUACUUUUAUAGUGUUAGGAACUUUCUCCCCUAUUCGAUGUGGGACAUCAUAAAUAUCCCCUCAUGCAAACACAACGUCCUCGUUGUGUCCCAUGGGAUUAUGAGGUCAAACAAACAAAGACCCCUUAUGAGGCCAAACAAACCCCACACCAGGGUUUGGGGUCUACUCUAAUACCAUUUGUAAGGACCCACUGCCAACCGUGUAGAUAUUGUCCACUCUGGACCUAAAGGGCUUACAUGACUUUAAGACGCAUCUACAAGAUAAGAGGAGCCUAUUGUAGACCCCCUUUGCGGAUGACCCAAUGAAUGGAAUUUUUUUCCAUUUCUUUGAAGUAUGGGAGGACCUCUUUCUGGAAAAAAAAAAAAAGAGAAACCGGCCGCAUGGGACAUGUGGCAAAGAAGGUAUGGUGGUAGCAAGGAGCAGGUGAAGACUUGUGAAAGAAGAAAAACGGAGGGGGGGUGUCUUCAUUGAGUUGGAAGGUGAGGUAGUCGUCGUGGAAGAGGCGGGCAGAGGAGUUGGAAACGGAGGAAGAGUCAUUUUUAGCAAAAACAGAGGAGGAGUUUGUCAUUUUGGGUCCAGGUAUGACUUCCACAUACUUCCUCUAUCUCAUUUCGGAUGAUUCUACUCGAUUUUCCUACUGUUUUUUGUUUUUUUUUUCUUUUAUUCAACUGGGUGCCUAAAGGUUUAUAUUUGGUGUUAUGCAUAUUUAUGAAAUUCCAAAACUAUUUAUUUUUUUAUUUUUUUCAUGCAUCUUCAUUGAUUCUUUCUAGCUUCAUUUAUGAAUAACUUGAGUGUUCUUUUGUUUUAUGAAUGCUUCAAAUAUAGACCCUCAUUCCCUGAACUUAAUGUGCCAAAGUCGUGUUUUCAAUCCUCUUUGAUCCCACUUAUGUUUAGCUCUUUGAUCUUUAUAAAACAAAGUUAGAAUUAAUAGUUUUGUUUUUCUUCUUCUUCUUUUAUACAUGCUCUGUUUUCCCUCAUUGUAUCCUCUGUUUCUGGUAUUCCUGGAGUGAGUAUCAUGUUUGGGCUGGCCGGUUAGAUCGGGUUGCUUCUGAGGGAGUUCAUCAUCAGGGUUUUAAGGGGCCAUUAUCAGGUUGCCUAGUAGAUGAAGAACCAGAAUGAAUGACUAUGGCUUCCACAAACUACAAAUUCGGGAUGAAAAUAGGAGUAUAUUGAGCAGAGGCGAUGUCGAGCGAAGAAGCUCCAGCCAAAAUAGUGUUGAAAGUCAAGGAACCAAAAAGGGAGAGAGUACAACCUUUGGACCUAUUAGAGAUCUUGGUUCACACCAUUGGUGGCAUGAAAAAGAAAGCCGACGGGGAAGAAUCUUCACCUUGCACAGCCAUGCCGACUGCCUAAGAUGUUUCACAAAGAUUCAAGUAACUUGACGUUACUAUUCUUCAUGUCAAGCUCCCUGUCACUGGAGGAAAUAAACACCUGGUCCUGGUGCCCAGUCUGCUCUCCGAGCCCCUUGCUCGUUCUGGAAUGAGGAUGGGGCUAUGACUCCCAUUUCCCACUCAUUCAUCCCUGAUCUCAUUCACGUGCAGGCAUCCUCAAACAUUCUCCCUUCUCAUAAGAUGCAUAUCCACUCACUAACCUACACCACCCAAUACCUAUAAACCCAUUCAUUUCUCUUACACCUGAAAGCCAUUGUGAUUUUCUUUUAUUAUUAUUUUCUUGCUUGGGAAUCAUUACAUGGCAGUGAAGUCAAUGGAAGAUUUUUUUUGGUGGGCCAUCCUGGAAUGUAUAUGCCCAUUUUCCUUUUGGUCUCACACGUUUUCAUUCUAACUUCCAAAUUUUACUUUAGUUUAUUUUAUUAUUAUUAUUAUUAUUAUUAUUAUUAUUAUUAUUAUUUAAAUGUCAUCUUCAAAUAAAUUUUCCAAAAAUUCUAGUUCCUAAAUUUAAUUUUUAAAAUGUCAUCUAAAAAUAAAUCUUAAAAAAAAAAUAAUAAUAAUAAUAAAUUCCGGUUUCCAAAUUCUAAUCCCCAAUUCCCACAAUUCCAAUUUUUCAAACUUAUUUAUUUAAUCAUUAUUAUUUUGGUUAUUAUUAUCAUUAUUUCAUUUAUUUAAUUGUUUAUUUCCUUUAAAAAUUCCAAUCAUUAAAGUUCUAUUUUUCAAAAUUCCGUUUUCCAAAUUUAAUUUUCAAUCUAAACAAAUUUCACUAUUCAUGUUCAUUCGUUUAAUUAUUAUUUUCGUUAUUAUUAUUAUUAUUCCAUUCAUCUACUUACUUAUUUCCUUAAAAAAAAAAAUAUGUCUUUAAACAAUUCUUCAAAAACCUGGCUUCCAAAUCUAAUUUCCAAUCUAAAAAUUCUACGAUUCAUAUUCAUUUGUUUAAUGAUUAUUUUCAUUAUUCUAUUUAUUUAUUUAUCCAUUUGUUCGUUUAUUUAAAAUUUCAUCUCUAAAUAAUUCUUUAAAUUUCCAAUCCUUAAGUUCAAUCUCUAAUCUCUAAAAUUCUAUUUUUCGCAAUUAUUUACCUAAUAUUUAUUAUCUCAUCAUUAUUAUUAUUCCAUUCAUUUAUUUAUUCACUUAUUCAUUUAUUUAAAAUUCCAUCUCUAAAUAAUCCUCCGAAUUUUCAAUCUCUAAAUUCAAUUUCCAAUUUCUAAAAUUUUAACUUUCGCAAUUAUUUAUCUAAUCGUUAUUAUUUUCGUUAUUCUAUCCAUUUAUUUAUUCAAUUGUUUGUUUAUUUAAAAUUCCAUCUCUAAAUAAUUCUUUAAAUUUCCAAUCCCUAAGUUCAAUUUCCAAUUUCCAAAAUUCUAAAUUUCGCAAUUAUUUACCUAAUCUUUAUUAUCUCGUCAUUAUUAUCAUUCAAUUCAUUUAUUUAUUCACUUAUUCAUUUAUUUAAAAUUCCAUCUCUAAAUAAUCCUCUGAUUUUCAAUUUCCAAUUUCUAAAAUUCUAACUUUUGCAAUUAUUUAUUCAAUCGUUAUUAUUUUCAUUUUCCUAUCCAUUUAUUUAUUCACUUGUUCAUUUAUUUUAAAUUUUAUCUCUAAAUAAUUCUUUAAUUUUUCAAUCCCUAAGUUCAAUUUCCAAUUUCCAAAAUUCUAACUUUUGCAAUUAUUUAUCCAAUCAUUAUUAUUUCGUCAUUAUUAUUAUUCCAUUCAUUUAUUUAUUCACUUAUUCAUUUAUUUAAUAUUCCGUCUUUAAAUAAUUCUUUAAAAUUCCGAUUUCCAAAUUUAGUUUUCUGAAAUUCCAAUUUUCCUAUCUCCGAACUUAAUUUUCAAUUUUCAAUAUUCCAAUUUUCGCAUUUAUUUAGUUACUCAUUUAUUAUUAUUAUCAUUAUUAUUAUUAUCAUUUUAUUCAUUUAUUUAUGAAAAUUCCGCCUUCGAAUGAUUUCCAAGAUUUCCAAUUUUUAUAAUUCAAUUUUCAUAGUUUCUACUUCUCAAAUAAUUUUCAAAAUUCCAAUUUCUUUCAAAUUUAAUUUCUAAAAUUAUCAUUCUUAGAUUUAAUUCCUAAAAAUCCAAUUUUCACUAAAACUCCAAUUUUCAAAUAACCUCUAAGACUCCAAUUUUCCUUCGAACAGUUUUAAUUUCUGUUUGGUGAUGCAUGUGAUAUGUUUUGUGCUCUUUAUUGUACACUGACCCCAUUUUUAUAAUAGCGCACUGCUCGUUCGUGGCCUAGGUACGCAUCCACUCUCAUUCUGGUCAUUCUCUAUGCAUGUUUUGAUUCCCAUAUGUGCAUGAUUGAUUUGAGUAUCCAUUGAUUUUCCUAUUGAUUGUCACAUCAGCUUCAUUUUAUUAGUAGAGACCCGACUUUAUGGACUUAGAGGGGUGCUACGGUCUUUAUCGUACCUUCCCGACAAGUAACCUGACCCCCGAGCCCGAUCCGGUUUUUCAUAGACCACUUUUUCCAAAACAAGGAGUCACACUUAAGGUUUUCUUUCUUACUUUGUUUAUCCUUUUAAAAAUAAAACAAAAAUAAGUGGCAACUCCAAGUCAUUUUCUUUUUAAUAAAUAAAAUCAUUUUCAAAUAAAAAUUUAGCUCGCCUCAAGUGGAAACGCAUGAGCAAAAAUACGGGGUCCACGCCUAUAUAUAUAUAUAUAUAACACCAAUAACUUUCUCCCCUAUCUGAUGUGAGAUAUCACAAACACCCCUCCUUUUCCCAUGUAGACACAACAUCCUCAUUGUGUCCCAUAGGAUUAUGGAGCCCCUCACAAGGCCAAAUACACCCCCACACUAGGGUAAGAGAUCAAUUCUUAUACGAUUUGUAACAACCCAUAUCCAACUAUGUAAAUAUUCACUUUGGGCCCAAAGGGGCUUUAAAACACAUCUAUAGGGAGAUCCAUGCUUAUAUAGUGGUAGGAACUUUCUUCCCUAUCCGAUGUGGGAUAUUACCAUAUUACCUCAUUUAUUUCAUUAGUACUAAUUAAAUAAUGUAUUGCAUGCCUAAUUCAUUUCAUCAUUAUUUUUAUUUUUUUUAUCAAAAUAAGUUAAAGAAAUAUAAUUCCAAUUUUCAAUUUUCAGAAUUGGUUAAGUCUUUUAUGAAUUGUUUAAUGAAUUUUAUUUUAAAAGAAAUUCAAUUUCAACAUAAAUAAUUUAAAAAUAGAGUUUGAUUCAAAAUUAUGUGGUUUUAGCGUGAUGUUUAGUGUUAAAAGAUUUAAAAUAAGCACUUAAAAUAUAAGAUCUCCCGCUUUUCAUUUACAAGUUAACUCUUCUAUCAAACUCUCUUUUAUUAUUUAAAUUUAGUUUCUAUAUUUAAGUAGUUGACUCCUAUAAGGGUUUGAUAUUUUUGUUACUAAGAGUUUUUUUUUAUUAGGUAUGAAAAUAUCCAUAAAUAAGUAGUUGUGUGAUAUCUGAACACUGAGAAAAAAAAUUAACUUCUUCAUACUUUCUCUUAAUCACUUACCUCUUUGGGUAAUUAUUUGUGUGUUUUUCAAUCUCAUUGCUCCAACAAAAUUUUGAUUGUUGAUCAAAUUUUUUAGUUUGUGCUGCGUACUUUUCUCAUAACCAUUUUAAGAUUAUAGUCUGAAAAUGUUGUAGUUAAAUGGAGCCUGACUGACUCAUAGUCAAAGCAUAUAUCCCAAGCUAUCAAUUUAAUGCCCUACUCAAAAGGUCUCUCGAAAGCCUAUACUAAUGGGGGGCCAGGUUGCCCACUUUGUCACUUGCAUGCAUGCAUCUUGGUCAGUACAUACAUCAAAAUGAUGGUAGAUAACUUGGACCUUUCGCUGUAAUUUCUAAAUCCAUUUACAGUGGCCUUGGGUUUAACCAUUUUCUAUAAAUGUGGGGUUCAAACAUAUAACUAAAGCAAAAGUAUAUGGAAGGAGGGGUCGGGUAGAUAGAGAAAGGGCAUGUCAGCUUGUUCAAUGUUGUACAAAAUGGCCUCACAUGAAAGUUACGGAUCUAAAAGUCUCAUGGGCCAUGUCAUGUCGGUCCUCAAGGACUGUAAAAAGACAAUAUAGUGCUGAGGGUGGUGACAUGUUGCCUCCCUCAACACCAUAUUGUCUUUUUAGACUGUAAGUGUUGCCUCAUUGUGUCCUUUGUCAAUCUCAAAUUCAUGGAACAUUUUAAAAAGUGUAUAUAAGAGGUGGAAAUGACUGUUAACUCAUUUAUAGUCACAGGAAUGGUAGCUGAUGGGAGAAAGUUUUGAUAUAAAAUGCACGUAUUCAUAUUCAAUGCAUGUUUCAGAAAAUUUAAGAAUUUCACCUUUAGAAGAGAUGGCAUUCCUUUGGUAGUGCCCACUUUCUCACUAACUUCAUUUUAUUUGAGGUACCUGCCUUGCUUUUCUGCGCACCUGAAACUUUACUUAAAUCCUAAGUUCAUUUCUUGGCCAUCUUCUCUUCUGUUUGUAUGAUCAUUUUGGGGAUUACAAAUUCCCAUAUAUUUACAUUAGAAAAGAAGGGGUCCGUCAAAACCCUUGUAUGUACAAAGAAAUGAGAGCUUAUUUUAUCUCCUAAUAUACAAAAACUAAAAAGAUGGUGUCAAAUAUUAGUUUGAGAAAAGAAUGUCACUACAAGGAAAAAUGUAUAUGGUGACAUUUAUAACGAGUCACCAUAAACAUAGGGUGUCACUACAACAUAAUGUCACCUUCUCCACUGACACUAUAGAGGGUACCAAUUGGUGACGUAUUUGGAAGUGACACCAAAGUAGAUAAAUAGUGACCCAUUCGGAAGUAACACCAUAUAUUUCUAGUGAUGAUAGGGUGUCACAUUAAAUACAUCAUCUUUGAGUUAUGAUGUCACAUUAAAUGCAUCACCUUUGAGUUAUGGUAUCACAUCAUUGUAAAUUAUUGUGGAAGAUAUGAUUGGUUUUAGUUGUUGAUUUUGUAAUGCUUAUGAAUUAAUAAGAUUAACCUGUUUAUAUUUUGUCCAUAAAUAUAACAAUCAUAUUAUAUUUAACUCAUUUUUCUGUAAUGUUUCUGGAAUAACUCAUAAUACAUUAAUCAUCUAAUAAUAUUUGUAUAUCAGAUGUUCACAAAAGGAUAGUACGUCCAACAUAUCAAACCCAUCAAAACUAAAAAAGAAGAGUGAAUACAUACCAAAACAUGAUUCAGAAAUGUUAAAGAUCCCAAGAUUCAUGUAUACCUCCAUUUCAUAAGCAUAAAACCAACUAACCAUAAAAUGACAUAAAAGUCCCAUCUAAAAAUCUAAAUUUCUCAGUUGCAAUUAAAGUAACAUUUAUGUCCUAUAACGUAUGACAUAAGAGUUGCAUUUAAAAACUCAAAAUCUUGUUGCCUUCUUCCUUUUUUUUAUUCUCCAUUUCACCCUCCCAAGAGUGUAUACCUGUAUUUUAAAAUUUAAUGAGUUUUAGAGAUUUUUAUUGAAGAAAAUAAACAUGGAUCGAUGUUAUCAUAAAUGAACAAAUCUAAGAACUAUUUUUUUUUUUCAAAUAGAAACAUUAUUCAAAGAAUAAGCAUUACUAUACAAUACCUAUGGAAAAAUUCAUGUAGUAGCUAAGGGACUCACCAUGCAUGGUGAUCAUGAUGCAUCAACAUGAUUCAUGAUUAGUUGUAGCACAAAAGUAGCCCAUUCUCCUCUAAUUUCAUCGAAUUCUACUUGAGAAUAUGUUUUUUUUUUAUCACCAAACUGAAAUCAAAUGAGAAAAUAACAUUAAAAUGCAUAACAUUUGGAAGCCUAAAACUAUGUACAAUUCAUUAAAUAAGUAAUACCUUUGAAGCAAUAAUUGUAGGAUAAAAAAUUAUCUCUUUAAUGAAUCUCAUAACAAAGUAGCCAUAUUCGAACCCUCCUUCUUGUCUUGGACACUAAUCGAUCAAUUAUAAAAUAACAUUAGUACUCACAUAUAUAAAUGGUGCAAAUGCAUAAGCUAAUGUGUAAAGAAAAAUUUUUGGAUGUCACCUGCACUAGUUGCUAAGAUGGCUCCCUCUUAUAUGUUUUUUUUGCAAAUAUUCGAAGAGCCCUAUGUAAAUAAGUUCAAUGGGUACAUUUUUAAAAUAGGUAAAUAUUAUAUGUUUUAAUAUAUAUAAAUAAUAAAAAAAAUGUGUUUGAAGUGAAUGUAUUUUUUUAUUUAAAAAUAAUACUAUGAAAAAUAAUAGGAAGAACUUACAUGUUUACGAUGUCAUUUAAGUCCUCACAUGGUUUGUGAUGCAUAGGGUCAAGAUAGUGGACUAUCAUUUUCCUUGGCUCAAGCACUACCUAAAUAUAAACCUUUUAAGUCCUCAUAUCUAUUUCUAUUAACAAAAUAUAAAAACUUUCCAAAACUCAACUACUUAAAUAUAAAAACAAAAUCAAAUAAAAUAUCUAGUUAAUUGGAUUUUAGAAACUAAAUAAACUAUAAAUAAACUAAAUAUAAAAACUAAAUAAAAUAUCUAUGCCCAUGAAUUAAUUGAAUAGGAUAGAAAGACACAGAGAGAACAUGGUUAUGGUUAUGAUUUCCAUCUUAUCAUCUCCCGUCAAUACCAUUUUAAGGUUGGACACUACUUUUGUUGCUAGACUUGGAAAGGGAACUUCAAAAUUGAAAACAUAAAUAAACCCUUAUGUAAAAAAAAAAAACAUUAAAAUAUAAUUGAGCAUUAAAAUAUUUACUCUCUUUCAUCACUUUCAUUUGAAUAUUAAUAAUCUCUUAUUGAGAUAGAUACUUACAAUUUAACAAAAUAGAAAUUCCUAAUAAUAAAAAUAUAAACAUUUCUAUUUCUAUUAACAAAAUAUAAAAACUUUCCAAAACUCAACUACUUAAAUAUAAAAACAAAAUCAAAUAAAAUAUCUAGUUAAUUGGAUUUUAGAAACUAAAUAAACUAUAAAUAAACUAAAUAUAAAAACUAAAUAAAAUAUCUAUGCCCAUGAAUUAAUUGAAUAGGAUAGAAAGACACAGAGAGAACAUGGUUAUGGUUAUGAUUUCCAUCUUAUCAUCUCCCGUCAAUACCAUUUUAAGGUUGGACACUACUUUUGUUGCUAGACUUGGAAAGGGAACUUCAAAAUUGAAAACAUAAAUAAACCCUUAUGUAAAAAAAAAAACAUUAAAAUAUAAUUGAGCAUUAAAAUAUUUACUCUCUUUCAUCACUUUCAUUUGAAUAUUAAUAAUCUCUUAUUGAGAUAAAUACUUACAAUUUAACAAAAUAGAAAUUCCUAAUAAUAAAAAAUAUAAACAUUUCUAUUUCUAUUAACAAAAUAUAAAAACUUUCCAAAACUCAACUACUUAAAUAUAAAAACAAAAUCAAAUAAAAUAUCUAGCUAAUUGGAUUUUAGAAACUAAAUAAACUAUAAAUAAAUUAAAUAUAAAAACUAAAUAAAAUAUCUAUGCCCAUGAAUUAAUUGAAGAGGAUAGAAAGACACAGAGAGAACAUGGCUAUGGUUAUGAUUUCCAUCUUAUCAUCUCCCAUCAAUACCACACAUGCCUUCCCGGAUUGGUCCUUUUGGGGUUGGAUACUCUCAACGAAAUUCUAUAUCUCAUUCCCACUUAGAUACAAACAGAAAAAUCAUUCUUUUUUUUUCCUCUCGUUUUUUAGAAAGGAUGAAGAUUAUGUGAUAAUAAAUCUCAAAAAAAUUAUGUACCUGUCAUUCUCACACAAAUACAUAUUAAAAAUCAUUCAUUUUUUCCUAUUUUUCACUUUUUUUUAAGGACUUGAUCAUGUGUUUGGUUUAGAUUAAAAAAUCAAUUAAUCUACAGUUUUUUCUUCUAUGCUAGAAGAUUAAACCUAAAUUUUUCUUCCUUACAACUCAAGAAAACACAAUUCACAAAAACCAUAAUACAAAGAUGUUGAAACAAUUAAUAUAAUGACAUUAAUAAAAGAAAAAAAUUAUAGAUCCAAGAGAUUUUGGGUUACCUAGGAGUCCACAAAGUGAAGAAUGUCCGUUGUGAGCAUGUUGACUAUGGAUGGGUGAGAGAAAAGGUUGAAGAAGAUCAUGAUUUUAUAUAUAGGAUUUAUAUAUUGAGAUUUUUUGGAUUGUGGGUGAGAUAUGGAAACAAUGGGAUUUUUAUAUAGUAUCCAUCAUUAUUAAUUCUAAAAAUGGGCUCAUUAAGUUAUAAUACCUAAAAAAAUUUAUUUUUUUAUGAUGUCACUUUCCAAAAAAUGACACUAUAAAUAUAAAAUUAAUAUCAUCUAACUACCUCAAUUGAAGAUUUUUUAUAUAAUGUGUCACCUUUAUUAAUUAUAAACCCUAUGGUGUCAUUAUUUUAAAAGUGGCACCGUAAAUAGUGACACCAUAAACUAUUUUUGUAGUAGUGUGUCUAACUAUAUUUGGCUACUAGACAAAUUAUUUUAUCCCUAUUUGAGAAAGCUUCCUAAAUUCUAGUCAAUUUAUAAGAAUAUCUUGAUAAAAACUUCUAUAAACAUGAGGUGUACCUAAUGGAAUGUCAUAUAUUUAUACUUUGAAAAAGUAAGGAGGAAGAAAAUUUGGGUUUAAUAAAAUUUUUAAAGACUAAAAUUAUCCUUGAGUUCAUAAAAAAGGCACUUUAAAAUGUAUUUUGUAAAUAUAACACUUAUAUGAAAGAUAACUUGGAUAUCUAAUACUUCCCAAAAAAAUUAUCAUAAGGCAAAUCGAUCAUAUAACAAAUUCACUAAUUUGAAAAGAAUAAGUACACAAAUUUAAUUGAAUGAAACACGAACCUCUUCUAAGAAUCAUACACUCACUAACACACACUUGCCUUAACAUUUACAUGCUACAUCCCUUACUCAUUAAUGAACUCCUAAAUUAUUGGAGAAGAUACGAUCAAUCACCACAACUCUGCUUUAAAUAUGAGUUAGGCUUCUAAGAAUAUUGAGAAUGCACAAAAUAAUAAUGGCAAUUGCAAUUCAAGGUGUUUUUGUUUUUCAAUAAUAUAGAAUAUAUUUAUAUGAAAAAACCCUAGUAGGUGGGGUUUAAUAGCACAAUUUUUUAAAACAUAGAAUUUGAAACAAAUAAAAAAUAAAUAAAUUCAUCGAGUACUUGAUUAUAGGGAAUAUAUGGUUAUCUCCAUUCCCAUCCCUGGGCUGUUAAGGUGAAGGCUAAAUCUCCUUAGGGCUAUCUAGAUCUAAGCAACAUAAGCUAUACGCAUAAAAACUAUUAUAAAUCUAUAUAGAUGUGCUUUACCUAAUAUUUGGAUGUUCCCAAAUCAAUUCAUGCUAGUAAAGAUGUGCCAAAUGUAUGAUAAUUCUCAUAAACACUACAAUAGUCUUUCAUUCAAUGGCUUUUUUCUGGAUCUUGACACAUGAUGGGUGGAAUCCUCUAGGAGGGUUGGUAGAUAGGGUUCUCUUCUUUCUAGAUUGAAUAAGAGUACAUGAUUGUUAAGAGUAAAGUCCUAACCAUUGUAGGGGUAGGUGGAGACAGAGGUGUUCAUAGAGGCUUCCUAUGAGCUUAAGUGACUUAGGCUCAUCCUAGGCUUAGGUCACUUAAACUAACCCACUUGGGUUUUAAUUACUUAAUUAACUCUAUUGGGAUUCAAUUAAUUAAUUAGCCCUAUCUAGAAGGAUCAUUCACAAGCUCCUAUGUAACCUUACGUAUUUACCAAAACACCCUUAUGGACACAUUUGGACAAAGAACACAACUAACAUUCAUAAACUAUGCCACCAUGGAAACUAAGCUCAAGCGGGGACCACUAGGACCCAUAAGAAAGUAUUAGUUCCUUUAGAAUCCAAUUUUGAAUUUGACUCAACAUUUGAAUACAGUAAGUUAACCGUACUUCAAUAUCCUAUGUAUAUUAUAACUAAACAUAAGUGCUUAGGUUUGUGAGCUACUAUCCAUUGUAUGCAAACUCCCCUUAAACUAUUUUCCUUAAUCUAACAAGGCAAUACUAUUCUAGAUUACCUCUACAAUCCUUGAUUCUUAAAUUCUCCUAUUGUGAGAUUAAUUGACAUAACUCAGCUCACAAAGAGCUUAUGUCAAGUUCUAAUAAAGGAAUAAUCAUAAUCUUAGAAUUUUUUAAUACAUGCCUUUAGGAUCAUUCAAGAGGACAAACUAUCUUAAUCCCAUGAGAUAUCAUGGUGCCUUUAUUGAGAAUACUUAUUUCUAUUAGCCUCCAUCAAUGGUGACCUAAUCCAUAGGGAAUAUAUAACCACCUUAGGGUCUUAUUUGUAGGUCAAAGUCACUACAAACUUUAGCAUAAGCUUAGUAUUCUCUCAAGGUUGAGAGGCUAUACAAUAUACUAGCUUGGUGAGAUCAUGACUACACACUAGCUAAUGUCAUUCACCAUAGGUUUUGUCUAAUGUGUAACCAUACACACUAGUGCACUCACCAUGGGAACCUGAUCUCAAUCACAAGGACCAGUCAUCUCUCCAAUUAGAAAGUAGUGCACUACAACCUUAAAUGGAUUACAUAAGUCCAUGGACUAACUAUGUACUAAUCAUCUACUUACAAGGAACCAAUGCUUUGAUCUUUGGUGUAAUUCCUACUGUACCCAAGUCAUUUACAAUGCAAGAGAUGUCAUGUUUGAAUGCUCAAAAAAUAUAAUGCAUGAAACAGAUAGGUAAAUCAUAAAAUAGGAAUCUUAUUAAUAAAUAAUAAAUUCAUCAUUGUUACAUCAUUUUAUGCUUUUAAGGUCCCUAUUCUAACAACUCCCACUAGCCCUCAAACCACAUUGAGAAUACAUUUGACACUUACACUAUCCUUAUAACCAUCAAAGAUUUUACUCGAAAAAAUCUUGGUAAGGAGAUCUUCCAUGUUCUUCGUAGAAUUUAUAUUCUUUACUACUACAUUUCACCUCUACACUAUCUCACAAAUCAAAUGGUACUUCAUUUCAAUGUGUAACAUUGAUGCAUAUGGCAUACAAAUUGCGUGAGUCCAUUAAUGGAUUAAAGCAAGAAUCUCGCUCAUGGAACAAACAUCUCGAUUAAGUAGAUAAGACCUUUGACUUUAAUAAAUAAAUAAAAAAAGAAUGAACUUUGUGAGUGCUAGAAUAGAGCACUUAAAAGAAUGACUUGGAAUUCAUUAUUUAUUUAUUGAUAUUUUAGUUUCUUUUUUAUCUAUCCUUAUCUACCCUAUGGAUUGGGUCACUAUUGAUAGAAGUUGAUAGCAAUAGUUAUUCUCAAUAAAGGCAACAUGAUAUCUCAUGAAUUUUAAGACAGUAUGUCUCCUUGGGUGAUCUUAAGGAUGUGUGAUCAUGAAAUCUAUGGCCUAUAAUAAUUCCUUUAAUGGAAUUGGACAUAUGUUAUUUGUGAGGUAGAGUAUGUCAUUUGAUCAUAUAAGAAGAGGAUUUAUAACUCAAGGAUGGUAGCGGUAAUCUUGAAAGGUUGAUAACUUGCACCUUGUUAAAUUAUGGAUGGUCAAUUCAUAGGGAGACUGUAAAUAGUGGAUAGUAGGUCAUGGACCCAAGCAUUUGGUUUCUUGUUGUAAUAUAUAUAGGGUAUUGGAGUGCAAUUGACUCUUUAUAGUGGAAUGUUGACUCAACUUCAAAAUUGGAUUAUGAGAAAGUUAGUAUUUUUCUAUGGGUCCUAAUGGUCCCUAUUCUAACUCAUAUUCCUUGAUGACAUGGUUUAUGAGGGUUGGAUAGGCUUUCAGUUCACUUAUGUGCAUAAGGUCAUUUUUUUUAAUUAUGCAAUAUUGUACAUGGGUAAGUGAUUGGUAUCUCUAGACUAGGUUAAUUGCUUAAUUGAAGUCAUAUAGGGUUAAUUAAUCAAAUUAGCAACCCUUUUGGGCUAGAUUAAGUGACCUAAGCCCAUGGUGAGAUUAAAACACUCAAUCCCAAUAGGAGGCUUAUAAAUACCCUCUUAGGGAUUAGGGCUUUAAAGUCUUGUCAUUCUCUCUAUGUAGUCCAAAGAGACAGAAACCUACUUCCAACCCUGAGAUCUCCACCAUCUCAAUGCCUAGACCUAAGGAGGAGUCAUCGGACAGAUGAUUGUUGUGUUUACAAGAUCAUCUAUGUUAUUGGAGUUUUCUUCACUAAUAAUAAUAAUCAAUCUAGGAAGAUCCGAUCAUAGGAAUGACACAUUUUCUAGAUGUUUGGUUUUUUUUUGUUUCUAAACACCAAAGUUUUCCAUCGUGCUUAGAUCUAGAAAUUCUAAGAUAGGAUUUCAUGCACCCUAACUAUCCAAAGCUUAGGAAUGGAGCAAUCUAGUAUUUCCGAAUAAACUGUUAAUUUAACUUCAGAACUGGAUUUUGAGGGAGCUAGUCCUAUCCUAUAGGUCUCAAUGGUCCUUGCUCAAGCUCAUAUACUUUGAUGGAAUGGUUUGUGAGGGUCGGAUCAGUUCUUAGUUCACUUAUGUGUAUAAGGGCAUUUUGGUAAUUAUAUAAGAUUGCACAAGGGUAAGUAAAUAGUAUCUUUGGAAUGAGCUAAUUGAUUAAUUGUAGCCUAAUUGGGUAAAUCAAUCAAUUAAUACCCUUUUUGGGCUAAGUUAAGUGACUCACGCCCACGGUGAGCUUAAGUGACUUAAGCCUAAUUAAAAACCUAUGUAUUCCUUUUUAGGAGUUAGGGUUUCAAACUUUUUUCAUUCUCUCCUUUUAGUCUAUAGAGAGAACCCUAGCCUCCAAUCUAGAUUUCCACCAUCUUAGUGUCUAGACUUAAGAAGGAGUCAUUAGAUAGAAGACUACUGCAUUUACAAGACCUUCUAUAGUUUUGAAGUUAUAUACGUCGUUAUAAAUCAAUUUAGGAAUAUCUAGAUUAUGGGUAUGACACUAAUUUCUAGAUCUAUGUAUUAUUUUUUGUUUUGAAUGCCUUGUUUCCACUAUGCUUUGAUUUAGAGAGCCUAGGAUAGGAUUGCAUACAACUUAAUGAUUCAAGGUUAGGGAAUGGAGCAAUCCAAAAUUCCUUAUAGUGUGUACAAGAAGGUGCAGGGAAGCAUAGUGGUCUUUAUUUUCUUAUAUAUUAAUGACAUUCUACUCAUGGGGGAUGAUAUAAGGUUAUUGUCAUUAGUUAAGAUCUAGUUGUCUACUUAGUUUUAAAUAAAAGAUCUAGGAGAAGUGCAGUAUAUUCCUAUGAUUAAGGUUCUAUGGAAUAACAAGAAUAGGAAACUGAUGUUGUCUUAAGCCACCUACUUUGACAAACUUUUGGUCAAGUAUGUGAUGUAAGAUUCCGAGAAAGGUUUCCUACCCUUCAAGCAUGGAGUUCCUCUUUCUCAAGAUUAGUGUCCUAAAAUAACUAUGAAGAAAGAGCACAUGUAGGCAAUAUCCUAAGCAUUAGAUAUAGGUAGCCUUAUAUAUACGAUUCUAUGUACUAGAUUGGAUAUUUUCUUUAUAAUAGGUAUGACAAGUAAAUAUCAAUCGAAUCUAGGCCUAUAACACUAAACAACGGUCAAGCAUAUACUCAAAUAUCUUAGAAAAUGAGAGAUUAUAUGCUUGUGUUCCGAAGAGAUGAGUUUGGGUAUACAAAUUCACACUUCCAGUCUAAUAAGGAUUCUUAUCAAUAUAACAAAUUUGUAAUAGGAUCCCUAAGGCCAUGAGAAUCUUUUUAUUAUUUUUUUCAUUAUUUUAUAUUUCCUUUUUAUGCAUAUCUCAUAUUUUGCAUAUUUUUUGGAUAAAAUAAAUAAAAAUGGUGAUUUUGGAUUUACUUUAGAAGAAUAUUUCUUUUAGAAGUUAUUUUCUAAUAAUUAUCUAUUAAAAAAUUAGAAGUUGCUAAUUUAGGUUACUAGACAUUCAUUUUGAAUAAUCUUUUUGUUUUGGAUAGGUGGUUCUCCAAGCUCUUCUCCCUAGAGAAAGAGAACAACAACUAGGUGGUCCUCAAAGCUCUUCUUUCUAGGAGAAGGAGGAUGACACCAAAGGUUCUUUAGGCUUUCCUCCCUAAGAGAAGAAGAAUAGUGGUGGAUAAAGAAAGUUCAAGGAAAAUGAAUAAGAAAAGCAAUUUGUUUUUUUUAAGCAUAAGUGUUGAAAUUUAAAAAAUAAGUAAAGAAAUUGAAAAGUCUCAUGAUAAAGAAUUUAUUUUAAGAAAGGUUACCAAAAUUACAAGAAGUCUCUUAUUCCAAAAGAACAAAACUAGGGAAUGUUUGGAAUUAGUACAUAUUGAUGAGUGUGAAACUUUUGGAGUUCAUACAUAGAAAGGGUAUGGGUACUUCAUUUUUUAUUGAUGGAUACUCUAGGUUUGGAUAUGUGUACCUAGUCCAUAAGAAAUCUGAUGCCUUAGAUAAAUUCAUUGAAUUUAAGGUAGAAUUAGAUAACCUAUUGGGCAAACAUAUCAAGGCACUUCGAUUAGAUCGAGGUGGUAUGUCUAGUAGGUUUGGUUCUUUUACAUAAGGAGCAUGAGAUAAUAUCUUAUUGUGUGCACUAGGGACUCCAUUGCAAAAUGGAGUAAUGGAAAGAUGAUGUUGAACUUUGAUAAAUAUAGUGAGAUUAAUGAUUGGUUUCUCAUCACUUUCCAUAUCCAUUUAGGAUAUUCCCUAAAGGUUAUAUAUGACCUAUUACUAAGUUGAUACCUUUAACUUCCAAAGAGUUACAAACACACUAUAAACUUAGUUUAUGAUAUAUUUGCACAUGGGAGUGUUUAGCACUUGUGUUGAACAAAAAUGUAGACCAAUUAGAAGCAUGGUAAAGGGUAUAUCAAUUUAUAGGAUAUCCAAGAAUAUUUCGAGAAUACUACUUUAUAACUAGGAUUAUUAGAAGGUCUUUAUUGCAACAAGUACCAGAUUUUUUAUAAAGACUAUAUGAUAAGUAAUAAUGCAAAGAGUGAUAUAGAUUGGAGAACACUAGAAGAUAGUCCCACAAUGCAUAAGAUACAAUGGAUCCAAAGGUAUAGAGACAUACCAUUCCUAUUACUUCUAUUACAUGAGUACCUCAUCAUAGUGGGAGGUUUAUACCCUACAAAUUAUGAUGAAGCAAUGAGCCUGUUAGUGCUCAUAAUUUGGCAAGGAACUAUGAAGGGAAAGUUGGAAUCUUUGUAUUUUAACAUAGUCUGGAUUCCUGUAGAAUCACCUAAAUGAAUAAAACUCAUAGGUAUAAGUUAGUCUACAAGAGGAACAAGGAGUAGACGGAAGAGUUGAGUUUUAUAUGACUAGGUUGUAGAUAAAGGUUAUAGUUCAAAACAUUGUUUCAACUAUAAGAAACAUUUUCACCAAUAGCCACACUCAAAUCAAUUAGAGUACUCCUAUCCAUUGCGGUGUAUCUUAUAAUUGUGAGAUAUUUCAAUGGGCUGUCAAGAUAGUGUUUUUAACAAAUUAUCUUGAAAUUAGCAUCUAUAUGAUAGAACUAGAUAUUUUCAUAGCAAAGGGCCUUGCAUGUACAAGAAGACAUAUUGAAGCUUGAUGAUGGUAUAAGAUCUUAUAGGUAGAUAACAAUCUACUCAUUGGGAAUGAUGUAGAAAUAUUAUCAUCAAUCAAGAUCAAUUUAUAUACUUAUUUCUAAAUGGAAAUCUACAAGGGAUUACAAGAAUAGGAAAAUUAGGCUAUGUCAAGCAUAUACUCUAGUAUCUUUGGAAAACGACAGAUUAUGUGCUUAUGUUCCAAAAGUGUUGAGAUAUUAUAGAGGGAUGACGUCAUAGUUAACAAGAUAUCUUUUGUAGAGAACCUGACGGAUCCUUUCACCAAGACAUUGACAAGGAGAGUCUUUAUUGGUCAUAAGGAUAGAAUAGGUUUCAAAUGAGUAUCUAAUAUGUUUUGAUAGAAUGAUGCUUUUAGGGCUAGUAGGAGAUUGUUAGGAUAGAGCUCUUAAAAACAUGACAUGAUGUAACAAAUUUGAAAUUUAUAUUUUAUUAAAUUAUAUUCCAAUUUCACUUUUAUCUAUACUUAUUCCAUGCAUUGUACUUUAUGAGCAUUCUCAACUAGCAUUUCUUGCAUUGUACACGACUUGGGUGCAUUGGGAGUUACACAGAGAUCCAAGUCAUAGGUUUCUUGCAAGUAAAUAACUUGUUUAUAAGUGAUUUAUGGACUUAGGCAAUCCAUUAAAGGUUGUGGUGCACUACCUUCUAAUUGAAGGGAUGAUUGGUCUUGGCCAUCGGGAUAGGUUUCCCAUGGUGAGUGCACUAGUGUGUAUGGUUACACAUCGGAUACAACUUACGGUGAGUCAUAACAUAAGGCUAUCAAGUAGUCACGACUUCACCAAGUUGUUUCAUUGUGUUGUAUCUCAACCUUAAGAGAAUACUGAGUUUGUGCUUAAGUUAGUAGUGGUUUUGACCUACGGGUAAGAUUGUAAGUUGAUCAUAUAUUCCCUAUAGAUUAGGUCACUAUUGAUGAAAGCCAAAAAUAAUAGAUAUUCUCAAUAGAUGCACCAUGAUAUCUCAUAAGAUUGAGACAAAGUGUCCUCUUAGGUGAUCUUAAGGAGGUGUGUUCAUAUAAACUAUGGUUAUAUUAGUUCUUUAAGUGAAACUAGACAUAAGCUCUUUAUGAGCUAAGAUAUGUUAGAUAAUCAUACAUUAAAAGGAUCUGUGACUCAAGGAUAGUAGAGGUAGUCUUGAAAGAUUGAUAGUUUUCUCCUUGUUAGAUUAUGGACACUAGUUCAUGAGGAGACUAAACACAAGGGAUAGCAGGUCAUGGACCCAAGCACUUUAUGUCUCAUUAUCAUUUACAUAAGGUAUUGAAGUACAGUUGAUUCUCUAUAGUGGGAUGUUGAACCAACUAUAUAAUUAGAUUAUGAGGAAGCUGAUAUUAUCCUAUGAGUCCCAAUGACCCCCGCUCAAGCUCAUAUACCUUGUUGGCAUGAUUUAUGAGUGUUGAAUCGACUCUUGGUUAAUUAAUGUGCAUGAUGGUGUUUUAGUAAUUAUGCAAGGUUGCACGUGGGUUAGUGAACAACAUCUCUAGAUUAGGCUAAUUAAUUAAUUAGAUGGUCCAAUGGGGUUAAUCAAUCAAUUAGGACUUAAUUUAGGCUAGAUUAAGUGACUCAAGCCUAUGUGGGCUCAAAUCAUUUAAGCCCAAUUAGGAACCCUAUAAAUACACUAUAAGGGUUAGGGUUUCCAUCACUUUUGUCUUCCACCAUCCAAAGAAAAGAGAGAGUCCUAACCCUCACCCUCCUAAACUCCCUACCAUUUGUCUACUAAGGAACGAGGUUGAGUCAUUGUGUGGAAGAUCAUGGGUCUAUGAAACUUUUGAUGACAUCAAUUUGAUUAUUCAACACUUGCAUUUAAGACUUGCGAACAUCCAAACCUAAAUGUUAGUAUUUUAACCCUAAAAAGAAUUUUUGUAAAAAAAAUGACAUUGCUUCCAUUACUUAGAUCUAAGAUAACAACACGUUUGAGGUUGAGAAAUACUAUUUUGGCAAUUUUGCCACCAUGGUUCCCCAGUGGAGUAUGUUUGAGAUAGUGAUAGUUUGGUUCACACUUUCUUAGUAGAGUAUUCUUUGAGACAAUGAAAAUCCCUAGUGGUUUCUUUAAGAUAUUGGUAGUUUUACCAUCCUGAUUCCCCAUUGGAGGAUUAUUUAGAUAGUUACAGUUUCCAAUGGAGUACUUUUGGAGACUUUGAUAGUUUGUCAUCUUAGGUCUCUAGUGAAAUAUUUUUUAGAUAGAGACAUCUUGGCUACCAUGGUUUCCCAAUGGAGUAUUUUAAGCUAAUUAGAUGAACCAUUGUGUUUGUAACCUCAGUGGAUUAAGAUUAGAUUAACUUUCAAUCCUCAACAAAGUGUCCUCAACUAUACACUCAAUUGUUCAAUUUGAUGCGACACUUAACAAAGAAUUUGAGUAGUUCUUGUUUUACUUAUCAGAGCAUUCCAAAUGCCAUGACAUCAAUUGUAUUCGGUUAUAUUUUGAGAUCUACUAGCAAGGCACUUUUGAGACACACAGAGUUUCACUUCAAUCCUUCUAAAGGAUUAUGGACAUAAGCUUGCAUUUGUAUUCAAUUGAGAAUUUUUGAUAUGGAGUUAUUUUAGCGAGGUACAUGCAAUGUUCUAUUUGUUUCAUAAGAUCAUAGGUUCACAACAAAGUAUUUUUCCAAACAGACUCAUGUGCUUGAUGGAUCAUUGUUGUAUACCAGGAUGUUAUCUCCUUGCAGUUUUCCUUCAAUGGAUGAUUUUGUAAUUGUCAGUCACCUCUUCCAAUAAAUAGUGGUUUCCAUCAAAACGCCUAACAACGUGUGAAUCCUACAUACUAGGUCAUAUUUCCCCUUCUUGACUAUCAUAUUAUCAUUGGAUUUCAUUUUAGUUUUAUCUACCCACAUUCCUUGAGAUUGUUAGAUUGUUCAAACAUCAAAUUUCCUAUAUUCCCAACAAAGUUUAAAACUUCAUAAAUAACAAUAAAGAAAAUAAAUGAUAAAAUGGUAGAAUUGGGCAACUUUAUACCAUGCAAUUGGUAUAGGUGUCUUCCGAACUUAAACCUAUGUUUAGUGUUGAUAGUUUCCAUUUAAGGAUCCAUAGUGAACUAGGUCCUUGAACCAAACUUCUACAUGUCACAUGCAUAGUAUUGAUAUGGACUUGGUUCUAAACAAGUUAACACUAUUAAUGGUCAUGCACUAGUAUCUUGAUUCUCAUGAGAGUUAAUAGGAAAUAGCCUAAUCCUAUAGUCAUGGCCUCACUAUAACUCUUACUUAGAUCAGUUCUCUAAGGGUAUAUGUGAACUAUACUUUGUAGCAUUUUUUGCCUUGGGUUAAUUUUGGGUAAAACCCUUUGUAACAUCACAUUGGUAGCAUUGUAACCACAAUGAUGGAGAAGAGACUCUUUCCUCAAAGUUAGUGCUACUUACAAGUUACAUAGUGUAGAUUGUUUCUACCCAUUGAACUUUCUUCAUGAAAUCUUCAAUAACAAAGGUUGUGUUACCUCCAGAGGUAGCUCCCUUAUGGGCUUAGCCCAUUUCUAAUGGAUGUAGCUUACUUACUAGUCAUGGGACAACCAUUCCUUAAUAAAAUGGUUAUUUUCUUCAUCUUAUAUAUGAUGAGAACCCUCGAUUUCUCCGUUCCCUAACCCUAGAUCUCAUAAGACACAUGCAUCUAUCACUACUCAUUUCUAAUUCUAUCGCAACGGAAUAAAAUGGCAAUAAAAGAUAUUAUUAACUAUAAAUUUAGAGAAAUAGCACUUAUACCUAUGAUCUGGCCGUUCCUAUAUCAAAAUCCAUCUGAUGAAGAUGAAGCCUACAGUUUGCAAAGAUCUUGUACACCUAAAGUCUGUCUCUCGAUGACUUUGACCAUGACUUUAGCACUCCAAAAUAUGGACUUUGAAAGGAAGGAAGCUUUGGCUUUCUCUCCCUGGAGGUGGAAAACAACUGACUAAAGUCAUGGAAACCCUAACCCUAACCCUAACCCCUAAAGGGUAUUUAUAAGGUUCUCGUAUUGGAUUUAAGUGACUUGAGCCCACCAAGGCCUAGGUCACUUAAUCUCGCCCAAAAUGGGUUCUAACUGAUUAAUUAACCUCACAAGGUUAUCUAAUUAAUCAAUUAACCCAAUCUAGAGACUUUGCAUACUAUCCCUUAUGCAACCUUACAUAAUUACCAAAACACCCUUAUGCACAAAAGUGAACCUAGAGUCAAUCCAACCCUUAUAAACCAUGUCAAUAUUGUAUAUGAGCUCAGAGUGAGGACCACUAAGACCCAUAGAAGUACUGGAUCCCUUAGAAUCCAAUUUUGAAGUUGAUUCAACAUCUCAUUACAAAAAAUCAAUUGCACUCCAAUACCUUAUGUAAAUAACAAAACGAAGUUCGGGUUCAUGACCUACUAUCCACUACAUGCAAACUCUCAAUGAACUGGUGCCCGUAAUCUAACAAGUUAGUGUUAUUACUUAUAAAGAUUACCUCUCUAAUCCUUGACUUACAAAUCCCACUUAUUAUGCGAUCAACUAACAUGCUCUAGCUUUAACGAGCAUCUGUCAAAUUCCACCAAAGGAAUUACUACAACCACAUAUUUCAUGAUCACAUGUCCUUUGGAUCACUCAAGAGGAGACACUAUCUCAAUCCCAUGAGAUAUCAUGGUAUCUUUAUUAAGAAUAACUGUUGCCAAUAGCCUCCAUCAAUAGUGACCUAAUCCAUAGGGAUUAUAUGACCACUUUAUGGUCUCACCCAUAUGUCAAAGCCUCCUAUUGAUUUUGGCACAGACUCAAUAUCCUCUCGAGGUUGAGAGUCCAUGCAGUAUAGUAGCUUAGUAAAUCAUGAUAAUCUAUAGCAUAGUGAAUCAUGAUAAUAUAUAACUUUAUGACAUGAUUCAUCAUAGGUCCUAUCUAGUGUGCAUCACAUACACUAGUACACUCACCAUAGGAAAUCCAUCCUAACAGCUAAGACACAUCAUGCCUCCAAUUAGAAGGUAGUGCACUAGUGUCUCUACUAAAUUUCCUAGAUCUAUGAACUCACUAUUGACAACUUAUCUACUUACUCCAACCUAUGACUUAUAUCCUUUAUACAACUCCUAAUGUACCCAAGUCAUGCACAAUAUAAGAGAUAUGAGUUGAAUGUUCAUAUCAAUGUCAAUUCAUAAAAGGGAUAGCAAGAGGACAAUCAAGUCUUACUUUGUUACACCAUGUCUUGCUUUUAGGGGCCGAAUCCCAACAAUAUACUUAUGUCAAUUUGUCAUGUGUAAAUCAUAUGUUCCACUUUAUUAGCAUCAUUAUAGUACUAUAACUUUCUACACAUUCAUCAAGAACAAAUUAAUAAAACAUCAUAUAUGAAAAUUAUCACAAAGUAUCUAGUAUUUUGUAAUUUCUAUAAAUACAUUGGCAUUACAAAUAUGCAUAUCUUCUAUUAUAUUUUCAAAUGCAACCCCCACAUUUGAAAUAUUUUUCCCAAUAAAUUUUUUCCUUAUAGGAAUAGCAAGACCUUAAAGUGAGACUCUCGAUUGCAUUUUAUAUAAUAUCUCAAUGUGGAAUGGUUGCAAUUCAUAUUGAAAAUCUUAUAUACAUUUUUAUCAAAUCUUUGUAAAAUAUAUGUAGGAUUAUCAAUAUGGAAAAUUCCAAUUUUCCUUCUCAAACAAAAUUAUCAAAUCGAUACAUCCUUUAAAGGCUAUUUAUAUUAUAGAUAUAAUUUUUAUCACCAAAAAUUCAAUAUGAUAUUAUUCCACUAUAUAUAUAUAAGGAGAAUUCAUAAACUUUAUAAAAUAACUUAUCUAAUAACUUUAAUCCCUUAAUAAUAAUUUUGAACAAAUAAAUUAUAAAUCCUAAUGCAAUUUCAGCAAAACAAAUAUAAUUGUAGCAUCAUAUUAUUACUUUCCAAUAAUUUUAGAAUAAUCUUAAACUAAAUAAAUAAAUAAACUAUCAACAAUAUUUAAAAAUUUCUGACAAGCAUGUUAAGGUAGAAAUGAUUUCUAGAUUUUAGGAAAUUUUUCAUUUACUUUUUCACAUAUUUUUUAUGUAACUAGAAAGCAGUAAAUAACUCAAAAGAAGUAUGACAACAUGAUCUUAACUUUCUUCCAAUGAUUUAUUUAAAUAGGAAUAAUACUCAUGUGAAAUGGAAGAAAAGGUAAGAAAAGAUAGAAAUAUUCUAAAACUUUCAAAUUAAAAAAAAAAAAGAAAGAAAGAAAGAAAGAAAAGGACAAAAUUUUAUUCUUUUUUAAAAUAGUUUACAAUCCAAUAUCAAUCAUUUUUAAACACUAUGUACUUACCUAUAUAGAAAUCAAAUAUGUUAUAUUCCCACUUAGGAAGAAUAGAGGAUUUGGAUUGUCACAAAAUUUUGUGUAAAGACGUAUAACUUUUAACAUAUAUAAAAAAUGAUAAAUCAAAAUCAUAGGAAAUAAAAUUAAUGUGGAUAAGAAAAGGUAGCCUAGUUUGGUGAGACACAUGUAAAACAUAUCUUCCUAAAAUCAUUAUCACCUCCUUGCCUAUGGUACCAAUGAUUGAUAGCAAUUCCAAGAUACAACCCUAAUUGGCUCACAAAACUAUCUCCCCUAUAUGCACGUCCAUAGGAAGAUGAAGAAGAACCUGCUCAUGAUUGAGUUAUCAAAACAAUAUGAAGAGUUAGGAUGAAAAGACACAUAAAGGAACUAUAAAAUAUGAAGAGAAGAAUGGUAUGAAGAUAUUUUAGUAUAAUUUCAAAGAUAAAAGGAAAAGCCUUUUUUUUUUUUUUUUUGAGUAAGAGAUGACCAUUAUGUUAAUAGAUAAUAAUAUUAAGAUUCCAAUUGGUUAAAAAUAUUUAAGGUUAUUAAAUUACAUAUUAAGUUAAGAUUUUUUAACCAUAAAAAUAAUUGACUUUCCAAACCAAAUGAAAUAUAUUUUAAUUAUUCUAUUUUUUAAAUAAUCAAAGUUUUAACCUUUUAAACAUCAAAUUUCCAACCAUAUAUAUUUUUUAAAGUUUAUUUUUAAGAUAAUUUUUAAAUAAAUCAUUUAUGAAUACAUUUUUUUCAAUAUUAAUAAUAACGUUAAUAAAUCUUAUAUGAGUAAAUUUUUAAAUUUUAUUUUGGACGACUUAACACUAGUGAAGAAAAGAGAAAAUGGCAAUGUCGGAAUAUAUGAGAGAAAACUAUUUAUGGAUGGGGUGUUGGAAUGGUUGGACUGGUAGUUGACUAAUAAUUAUUGAGCUGCAGUACUGUUACAAUCACAUGGAAUUCCUCUUCUGUGGCUCCGAGAAAUGCAGGUCAGGAUCUCCUUAGGGGCUUAGAAAUUGCCACAAACAACUACAGAGACGUAUCUGGAUAAAUAAGUUUGAAGGCUUUGAAGCUUGACAAGGAGUUGUUUCACUUAUACAUGCUCUUACUGGUUAUAGUUGAUUGCAGGUUACAUACUACUAAGUUGUUUAUGGACGGCCCGUCAGAAGUGCGGAAAGGUGCAUGGACAAGGGAAGAAGAUGUUCUGCUAAGGACGUGCAUUGAAAAGUAUGGAGAGGGAAAGUGGCAUCAGGUUCCUUUCCGAUCGGGUAUAAUGACUUCAUGAUAUAAUUUGUUUUAAUUUGCUGUUUUGGAAGAAGAUGUUUUCAUUUUUCUCGUGUUUCCAGGGUUGAACCGCUGCCGGAAAAGCUGUAGACUGAGGUGGUUGAACUAUCUGAGGCCAGAUAUCAAGAGAAGAGAAUUCACGACCGAUGAAGUUGAUCUCAUUAUAAGGCUUCACAGGCUGUUGGGCAACAGGCAAGCUCCGAAACAUCAGUAAAUCAAUUACUAGGGAUGUAUCCUCACAUUACGACUUGAAAGCUGUCAUUGUUUAACAUAGGAAAAAAAGAAAGAAAAGAAAAGGUUUUCCGUGUAGUUCUUAAAUUAUUUUAAUCUCAAUUUACGACUAUAUUAUUUAUUUUGUUUUGUUUUAUUUCUGCAGCCUUGGAGCCUUCUGAAAUUGUAUCUAUCAAAAUUCGUUUUUGAUAUCUAUCGGCUUAAUUUCUAUUUUUAUUUCCUCUCUUCUGGAGAUGGGCAUUGAUUGCUGGUAGGCUUCCGGGAAGAACUUCAAACGAUGUAAAGAAUUACUGGAACACCCACCAGAGCAAGAAGUACUUUGGUAAAGCGGGUAAAGAUGUAGCUGACAAGACAGCCAAAGUCACAGUUAUAAAUACUUGUCCUCGGACCUUCUAUAAGAACCUAUCUUAUUUAAAAGGAAAAGCAGCAAAAGAAAGUGAUGUCCAAUCAGCAGAUCAUACUCUUAGCAAGCCAUAUUCAACGCCACCUCUGUCAGAGGAUGGAUUUUCAUGGUUGGACAGCUUAUUUUCUGGCAAGGAAGGCCAAAAAG